UAUGGCCCGAGGUCGUGAAGCAAGCCCGUGGUGAAGUUGAGAAGAGACGCAGGAGAUCACGUGCUACUAAAAAAAAGUAGGCAGACCCACUAGCACAAGCACAAGCACAGGGGUCUGGUUCGUCCAGUUUAAUCAUCAUGGGUACUUUUUUUGUUUCUACGAGUUUCUUUCUUUCUUGAAUGAGGUGUUUUUCUUUCAGAUAUAAUCGUUUGCCAGAAGAAAUAAAUAUUUACUAGUAUCGUGUGAGUUUUUGUGGUCAAUGUGUGUGUUGGCCACAGGAAACAAUAUGUAAUGCUUUUGUAGAUUGAUCGCUAUGACUUUGUGUCACAGUUUCUCUCAACUUUGGAGGCAGACGGGACAGAGAAGCGCCCCUGUUAUACCCUUUGAUAAGCCUCUGUUCCUCCUCCUCUAAGAAAGAAAGUUAGGGUUUCUGCCUCUUGCCGGCGUUGCCGCAGGUUCGCCUCGUCUCCGAUGACCCUAGGGCCAUGGGGGCGCGGUGGAUCCUACCAAGGGCCGGCGGGAGGGCUCCGUUUUCAGUCGUUUUUUCCUGUCUUGUUAGGGUUUGUGUCAUGCUCAGGAAGGCGAGACGGCGGCGGCUCCCUGAAGAUGGAAUAAAGGUCUCUCCGCCUAGCCCCCGUUCCGGCGGUGCAUCUAGCAUCGUUGGUGGGCGUGUGGAGGUGUGUCUCCGGUGGAUCUGUCUUUGGUAGAUUUGCUCGGAUUUCGUCGUUGUUCGUCUACGUUCGUGUGUCUUCGGGUUGAAUCCUUCCAACCUACGUUAUUCUUCAUCGGCGGCGGUUGCUGUUCUGGUGCGCUGGUCCUAUGGGGCCUUAGCACGCCGACUUCCCGACUGUCUACUACAACAAGUUGUGCCCGACUCCGGCGAUGGAGGGGUGAUGACGGCGGCGCGCCUUCGGCUCGCCUCAGUGCUUGUAGUCGUCGCUAGGUGGUCUACGGAUCUGGAUGUAAUUUUUAUUUCUGGUGUUCGUUGUACUGUCAUGAUUGAAGAUGAAUAGAUUGGAAGUUUUUUAUCAAAAAGUUUCUCUCAACUUUCUCAAGUACGUAACAUAUAUCUAUCCCAUCUGUUUUUUUUUUGACAGAAAGCAUAAUACAGGUCAUAAAUAAAGAAAUAGCCUAGAUACUAAAUUCCACAAUAAUUAGAAACAUUUGACCACCAAUUUAACAGGCAAGUUAAUCACAACCAUUGAAUAUUACACUUCUUUUUUACUGCCAUUAAAUUAAAGUUGGAAAAAAUAUUUUCCCACAUUCCUAUCUCGAUAGAUCAUCGAGCCUUUGCUCCAAAAAAUGUAAUAAAAUAAUAACCAUCAAGCCUGUCAAAAAAGUUCAUCGAGGCUCACUGUUCCCCAACCUAAGGAUGCCUCCAUACCCGUCUUAGGGUGCCCUAGGUAGCCUGUCUUUCAGAUCAAGCUCUGAGUGAUUGACCGUGCAUUGCAAUGGUAGAUAAAACGUCCACCAAUAUUUUCAUCAGCGCAGCAUAGCGGCGUCCUAUUGAUGCCAACCAAGAACCAACUAUAGGUGUUCACACAUUUUGGUCUAGAAGAAAUGCAUAUCAUCCAGGCAUUAAUCAUGAAACCAACCUGAGCACUGCUCUCCGACAUUUUUAAGCUGGUGUGCCACUUAGGGCAGUUCAAGUGCUCCAAAUAAAAAUGAAAAGGAGUAUCAUAUAUAUUAAAAAAAUGUUUAGUAUUUCUCUAUUCAUUACCUAAUCUACCAUCUCCCCUUUUAGGUCUCACUCUUGAAAUUUUUUUGUUUAGCUCCCAUGAUUAUUAAAUGAACCAAUUAAUAAAGACGUGCAAAGUCCACCUUUAAUUUCAUUAUCUCAAAUAAAAAUGAAAAAGAGUAUCAUAUAUAUAAUGUAAAACAUUUUUCAGUUCAUUGACCUAAUCUUCCAUGUUCCAUCUCCCUUUUCAGAUCUCACCCCUAAGAUUUUGCUUUACCUCCCAUGAUUACUGAACGACCCAAUAAAUAGAGACAUCCAGAGUCUUUCUCCAAAACAAAUAUCGGCUUUAAAUCCCAUGAGUUGCAUCCNNNNNNNNNNNNNNNNNNNNNNNNNNNNNNNNNNNNNNNNNNNNNNNNNNNNNNNNNNNNNNNNNNNNNNNNNNNNNNNNNNNNNNNNNNNNNNNNNNNNNNNNNNNNNNNNNNNNNNNNNNNNNNNNNNNNNNNNNNNNNNNNNNNNNNNNNNNNNNNNNNNNNNNNNNNNNNNNNNNNNNNNNNNNNNNNNNNNNNNNNNNNNNNNNNNNNNNNNNNNNNNNNNNNNNNNNNNNNNNNNNNNNNNNNNNNNNNNNNNNNNNNNNNNNNNNNNNNNNNNNNNNNNNNNNNNNNNNNNNNNNNNNNNNNNNNNNNNNNNNNNNNNNNNNNNNNNNNNNNNNNNNNNNNNNNNNNNNNNNNNNNNNNNNNNNNNNNNNNNNNNNNNNNNNNNNNNNNNNNNNNNNNNNNNNNNNNNNNNNNNNNNNNNNNNNNNNNNNNNNNNNNNNNNNNNNNNNNNNNNNNNNNNNNNNNNNNNNNNNNNNNNNNNNNNNNNNNNNNNNNNNNNNNNNNNNNNNNNNNNNNNNNNNNNNNNNNNNNNNNNNNNNNNNCCCCCCACCACCCGCAAACCCUAGGCCCGAUCCCCACUCUCCCACUUCCCCGAUCCACCUCUCCCUCUCGCCCCCUCAAUCUGGAUCGCCGCUGGACCACGACGCCCAGCAUUCGGCGCCUCCAACGCCACCCGACGCCCGACCCCGUCGCCCGACCCCGUCGCCCCUUGCUGCCGUUCGUCGGGUCGCCCGUACCUCACAGAGGCCGCCUCGCCAUCCUCGCCCCCCUCCACGUUCCUGGAUCUGGAAGGGCCCCCGACCGGGCCACUCGCUGCCCCGACGCUCGCCACCCCGUCGUCGUCCCGUCGGUGCACCUGAGACGCCCCGACCCCUCACUCGCCGGUCGCCCGAGGACGACGUCGCCGACCCCGUCCCCCUCGUCACCGUUCGCCGCCGUCUUCUUCUACGCCUGCGCCAUCUGCUGCUACUAACCCCAUAGCCGGGCCACCGUGUGCCCUCCCCGUGAGCUCCCCUUCCUCCUCGACCCUCCCUCCCGCGCUCACCGCUCGUCGUAGUCGCCACGACCACCGCGCCUCGAUCCCGUUCGGUCCGUGCACGUCCACGACUCGCGCGCCCGCCUGCGAAUGGCCUCGCCCGCGCCGUUCACCGCCUCCGCCAGUGCCCCGCUGCUGAGGCGGCCCCGUGCUCCCUCGCCUCGCGCCUCUGCCACCGUCCCCGUUCCCUGCUGCGGCUGUUCGGGACCGCGCCUGCUGCCCACCCCGUGGCCGCCCUCCCCGCCGCUCGCCCGUGCCUGUGCGGCACUCGCCGCGCCGCCCCACUCCGGCCGUCGCCGCCCCGGCCUGGCCACGCCCCUCCUCGGACGGUGUCGUGGCCUCGCCGGCGCCCCUGUUGCCCCGUGCCCUCGCACGGGCGCUCGCCCGUUAACCCGCUUGCCCGUCGCCCGAUUAACCCCCUGGGCCACUGACGUUGGGGCCCCACGCCCCUGUGUAAAAAAAAGAAGGAAACAAUAUAUAAAAAUAAUUAGUUAAUUAGUUAAUUAGUUAAAUGGUUAAUUAACUAACUUAAUUAACCUUGCUUAGUUAGCCGGAUGAACUAGUUUAGUUAAAUUUAAAUCUGUUAGAUAGUUAGGUCUAUGACAGAACGACCCCACACGUCAGUUUGACCAGUCAAUGCUCUGUUGACUGCUGACAUCAUGAUGACGUCAGGCUGACAUCAUAAUUCCAAUUUUGAAUUAAUAAUAAUUUCAGAAUAUUAUUAGAACUUUGAAAAAUCAUAUAAAAUAAACCGUAGCUCGGAUGAAAAACUUUUUUAUAUAAAAGUUGCUCAGAACGACGAGACAAAUUUGAAUACGCGGUAUGUUCAUCUGCCAGAUGCCCCUAUCAUACCAAACAUGCAAUCUUUCUGAGGGAGUCCCGGACUAGGGGGUGUCCGGAUAGCCGAACUAUCAUCUUCGGAAGGACUCCUGGACUAUGAAGAUACAAGAUUGAAGACUUCGUCCCGUGUCCGGAUGAGACUUUCCUUGGCGUGGAAGGCAAGCUUGGCGAUACGGAUAUAUACAUCUCCUACCAUUGUAACCGACUCUGUGUAAGCCUAACCCUCUUCGGUGCCUAUAUAAACCGGAGGGUUUUAGUCCGUAGGAUGAACAACAAUCAUACCAUAGGCUAGCUUUUAGGGUUUAGCCUCUCUGAUCUCGUGGUAGAUCUACUCUUGUACUACCCAUAUCAUCAAUAUCAAUCAAGCAGGAGUAGGGUUUUACCUCCAUCGAGAGGGCCCGAACCUGGGUAAAAACAUCGUGUCCCUUGUCUCCUGUUACCAUUCGCCUAGACACAUAGUUUGGGACCCCCUACCCGAGAUCCGCCGGUUUUGACACCGACAUUGGUGCUUUCAUUGAGAGUUCCUCUGUGUCGUCAUCUUUAGGCCCGAUGGCUCCUCCGAUCAUCAACAACGAUGCGGUCCAGGGUGAGACUUUUCUCCCCGGACAGAUCUUCGUAUUCGGCGGCUUUGCACUGCGGGCCAAUUCACUUGGCCAUCUGGAGCAGAUCGAAAGCUACGCCCCUGGCCAUCAGGUCUGGUUUGGAAGUCUGAACUAUACGGCUGACGUCCGUGGAGACUUGAUCUUCGACGGGUUCGAGCCACAGCCAAGCGCGCCGCACUGUCACGAUGGGCAUGAUCUAGCUCUGACGCCGGACAGUGCCCUGGAGGCCGCACCAGUGUCUGCUCCGACCCUUAGCUCGAAGCCGACUGCGCCGAUCGAGGAUGGGUGGCUGGACACCGCCUCGGGGGCUGCGAUCCCUACGGCGAAUGAGCCGAACACCAACCCUGUCCUUUGCGAAGCUCGUGACUCCAAGGCGCCGGACUCCUCUCCGUACUUCGAACCUUGCGCGCCCCUGCCAAUUGAAUCCGAUUGGGCGUCGAUCAUGGAGUUCACCGCCGCAGAUAUCUUUCGGCACUCGCCCUUUGGCGACAUCCUGAAUUCACUAAAGUCUCUCUCUCUAUCAGGAGAGUCCUGGCCGGACUAUGGUCAGGAAGGUUGAGAUGCGGACGACAAAGAAAUUCGAAGCCCACCCACCACCCACUUCGUAGCCACCGUCGAAAGUUUAAACGACGUGCUCGACUUCGACUCCGAAGACAUUGACGGUAUGGACGACGAUGUAGAAGACAAACAUGAACCAGCACCUAUAGGGCACUGGACAGCCACCUCAUCUCACGAUGUAUACAUGGUGGACACACCUAAAGGAAGCGACGACGAGGAACAAUGGGACGCCACGAGGGAUCAUUCCCUCGAAAAGCAGUCAAAACGGCGACGUAAGCGCCGCUCAAAAUCCCGCCUCGACAAAGACAGCAGUCAUACAGACCCAACCAUAGAGCAGGGCAAACCGGUGGACGGCGAACAUGCUAUCAAGCAACCGUCCGAACAUGACAAUAUGGAUAAACAAUCCGUCCCCUGCGAAGAUAACAGUCCGGGCGAUCUCACGCCGGACAGGUUGCCGGAGCAGAAGAACCGCCACAAAAGGCUCGUCGCCACUGCACGUAGCCUGAAAAAGCAGAAGCGGAAGCUCAAAACAGCGGAAGAUGCGCUCAAAAUCAGAUGGAGCAAAGUACUCAACACCGCAGACAAAUACGGCGACAGUCGCCGAAAAAAGAGCUACCCGAAGCGAAAACUACUGCCCGAAUUUGACGAGGAAGCCGUAGAGCCCCCACAAUCAAAGAACAAGGAGACCACCCGGUCGGAUAGACGACCCCAUGGCAAACAUAGAGCAGCAAACGACGCCGCACACAAGCUGACACGCGAUCCACACACGGAUUCGCAUCAAAAAGAUGGCCCAGUUAGAUCUAUCUACGGGCCAAGAAAGCAAGCUCUAGUAAGCAAUGCAACACGUCAAGUAUCCGAAUAUUACGGUACACCUAAAUAUAGGGGUUUGCCGCACAUCCCCUAUUUUUCACCGAUGAGGUUCUGGAUUUUGAAUUUCCAGCGGGAUUCAAGCCCGUAAACAUAGAGGCAUAUGAUGGAACAACAGUCCCUGGAGUCUGGAUUGAGGAUUACAUCCCCCACAUACACAUGGCUAGAGGAGAUGACCUCCACGCCAUAAAAUACUUACCCCUCAAGCUCAAAGGGCCAGCCCGACAUUGGCUCAAAAGCCUCCCCGAAAACACCAUUGGAAGUUGGGAAGAACUCGAGGAUGCUUUCCGGGCAAAUUUUCAAGGGACCUAUGUCCGACCUCCGGAUGCAGACGAUUUAAGUCACAUAACUCAACAACCCGGAGAGUCAGCCCGAAAAUUCUGGAACAAAUUCCUUACUAACAAGAAUCAAAUUGUCGACUGUCCGGACGCCAAAGCCUUAGCAGCUUUCAAACACAACGUCCGAGAUGAAUGGCUCCCCAGACACCUCGGCCAAGAAAAACCAAGAACAAUGGCCGCAUUAACAAGCCUCAUGACCCGCUUUUGCGCAGGAGAGGAUAGUUGGCUGGCAAGAUGCAGUACCAGCGACCCAAGUACAUCCAAAGUCAGGGAUGGAAACGAGAAAUCGCGACGCAGCAAGGAUCAGCGCCGGACCAAGGGAAACAUCCCGAAGAGCAUGGCAGUCAACGCCGAAUUCUAAAGCUCACGGCAGGAUCAUAAAAAACUGCCCCUUAAGGAUAACAAGGACGAGCUAUCUAACUUAAACAAAAUCUUGGACAAGAUAUGCCAAAUCCAUAGUACUCCCGGGAAGCCUGCAAACCAUACCCACAGAGAUUAUUGGGUCUUCAAGCAGUCUGGCAAACUCAAUGCCGAACACAAGGGGCUCGACACACCAAGCGAGGACGAUGACGAACCCCACAAGCAGAGCACCGGAAAACAAAAGAAUUUCCCACAAGAAGUCAAAACAGUAAACUCACUUCACAUGACAAAAGGGAAAAAUAGAGCGGCGCCCAUAGAUAUACACGCCAUAUGGCCUAUCCCAGAGGAGUCCCGCCAUUGGUUGUUAAAAUCAAUCACCUUCGACCAUCAGGAUUACUCUACAAGUAUCCGGAAUGCAGGAUGGACUGCCUUGAUAUUAGAUUCGAUAAUCGAUGGACUCCAAUUUACACAAGUCCUAAUGGACGGCGGUAGUGAUCUAAACCUGCUAUAUCAGGACACAAUCCGCAAAAUGGGGAUAGACCCAACCAAAAUUCUCCAUAGCAACACUUCCUUUCAAGGGGUAAUGCCAGGGCGAUAUGCCCAUUGUACGGGCUCUCUAUUGCUAGAAGUUGUGUUCGGCUCACCCGACAACUUCCGCCGCGAAAAGUUAACCUUCCACCUCGCCCCAUUUACAAGUAUCUAUCAAGCACUACUAGGGCGCGAAGCUUUCGCCCGCUUUAACGCAAUAACGCAUUAUGCAUCCCUCAGACUUAAAAUGCCCGGUUCACGAGGCAUCAUCUCCUUAAAGGGAAAUAUCGAGUGUUCCUCGAGCGCGGAAGAUUGUGUGACUGCCUCGACGGCCACACACUAAACCGGCUUGACUAAUCCAAGCACCUAAACAGGUCGUUCAUACCCCGGAUACGGUUAGACGAGUCCGGCAUAAACAUACAGGGGCUUACCAGCCGCAUACCCCCGCACUAGGGGCUCCGCGCAUUUACAACAAGAGACAUUAAAGCUCAAUUUUAUUCAUUUUUUGAAUUGUACUUUGUUUAUUUAGUAUAAACAUACAUUUUCGCACGACCUUUUUCAACUAAGUUCCUCUCUUUUACAGAUGAACACCGUGCUACACCCGUCCAGGAUACGGCACAACGGAGACACAGGCGCAGACGUGCAGUAGGGACCCGUUGGAAGGAUUCUUUUCAGAUUAAGACCCUGCGUAAACCUUUUUUACUGUCUCUUGUUGAUACACAUCCCCCGGUUUCUUGCUAUAACCGAGGAGGAGGCUGGCAUUUUGGCAUGGGCCACGUCAGAAUUUUGCGCGUACCUGGACACCAGGGGCUUAUUACCAAGGGCGUUGUUCGGACCGUAUUCAUAAAGACCGAAUACCUUAGGGAGUGUUCGGCGUCUCGAGUUAGGCCUUAUAUGCAUCAGCUCCGAAUCAUGUCUUUGGUCAAAUGUUGGGUUUGCCCGGCUCCUGUGUUUUGCUGCCUUACGUUCCGCUCUAUCGGCUAACACGGCACCAAGAGAACUACUGCGAUUGUGCCCCGGUUCGUCCAGGCGAGCACCUCAGUAGAGAAAGCCGAAAACUGACUGUCAUGAUAUAGUGUGAGACUAGUCAACCACUCGAUGACCCGCCGGAAUCUAUAGGAUUCCUCCGCAUUGACGAAGGGCCGUUUCCCGGUCAGGCACAUACGCGCCCCAAAUUCCGGUGAGCGCGGUGCCCCUAGGGGCUAUAUAGUAGCCCCACUGUCAAACUCCUAUGGCUAAGUGAAAGUGAUAAAGCAUUAUAAUCCGGUUCCCUAGUUUGCUACACUACCACCUCCUUUAUAGGACCAAGACGUUGGAUCAAGUGUGAAAAUGCGCCUUUUGCAAACACCCCCGCAUUAUAUGCAUGGGGGAUGAAGCUGAAGACUACCAUCUUUCAGGUUAUAUACAAAUAUACAUUAACGGCCGCACAGGAGGUAUUUUAAUUCUUGAAGGCACAAGUAUAAAAAGCUUUUAUAUUUCAUCGAAACAUUGUUUCACAAUAAUACAUGUUAUUCGAACAUAAUAUCCUUCGAGCACUACAUCUCUAUUAAAUGAGCGCCCUGCAGAACUUCCUGAAAAUAUUGCUCGACAGGUACUCGGCUUCCGUCUGAAUCUGGGGAUGCAACAUCGGUGGCCUUCAUCUCUGCCCAGUAUGUCUUGACACGGGCAAGAGCCAUCCGCGCACCCUCUAUGCAUGCCGACCUCCUCAUUGCAUUGAUAUGCGGCACCGCACCAAGGAACUGCUGCACUAAGCCCAAAUAACUCUUUGGCUCGGGCCUUUUCAGCCACAAAAGACUCACGACAUCCUUCAUGGCAAGUCCGGAUAACCUAUUCAGCUCCGCCCAUUCGGCCAAGCGAUCGGUUAAUGGUAGAGGAUGCUCUGGAUUAUGGAACUGCGACCAAAAAACCUUUUCCAUUUCGUGAUCCUUUUGAUCUCGAAAGUGUUCGGCCGCGUCCGCGGCACUUGCCACCAAGUCCAGAUAAGCAUCCUCCGAAAUCCAUAGCCGGUCCAACUGAGCACAUUUAGGAUCCGUGAACUUCCUCCGCAGCAGGAAGGGCUUUCCAGCCGCGAUAUCUCCGGCCUGACGCAGCUCCUCCUUCAUAGCUCUCAUCGCAGAGCGAGCAUCCUUGGCCUCGGUAGUGGCCCUCUUCAGGUCCUCUUGCACUGCCCGAUCUUCCCUUUCAAGAAGCUUGUAGCGGUCGGCAGCAUUCUUCAACUUCACGGCCAUCUCGGCCAUUUUCUUCUUGCUUCGGCAGUGAGAAGCCUGUUCAGCUUUUAGCUCUUCGGCCGCCUUCAAGGCAGCCGCAUCACUUUUUCCGGCCUGCUCCUUGGCUCGGGCGAGCUCCGCCCGAAGGUUCUCCAUGGCAGCGGCACCAUUUGUAUCAAGCAUACAUGUUGUAAGGCACGGGAAUCAAGCUCCCUUACUAGGUGUCCGCGGAGAAAUCACAUACCUUGUGACUCAUCCAGCCGCUUAUGGACAAGAGCGAUGUCGGCAUCCGCCACGUCAAGUUGCCGCUUUAGUUCGGCAAAUCCAUUAGUCCGGCUAGCCACCGGACACUUCGCCACCUACAUAGGAAGGGUGACAUAUUAUACCUGGGAUUAUGAUCCUCGGCGCGCUGUCAUUUUUGACAACACACCGUGUCUCAGGGGCUACUAUCUACACAGGGCGCAUUUUAUAUGCGGAACUAUCAGAAGGUACAUCAUUCUGCGUACCUCAAAACCUAUCAGUAAACUUCUGACGGCUUCGUGCAAUCCUCUCUCAGUGGAUGAAAUCCUUUCAAUCACCGUACUCAUUAACGCACGGUGAUCUUCUGAGAUAGACGCUCGCCCGAGCAGAUUCUUCAGCUCCUCUGACCGUACACUAGGUGGUGCCGGACUCGUCCGACGACCUUUUUUGAAGGCCGGAUGUAGAGGGCUUUGUGGGGAAAUAUGACUGCCUUCUGGCCCCGCCGGACUCGAAGAAACCCUCCGCGAUGACACCUCAGGGUCACCCGCCUCGCACGACGGUACGGCAGGGGGAGGCGUUUCGCUAUCUAUCAUCUCAGGACGAAGAUCCCCCAAAGAUGAGCUCUGCUGAGAAGGGCUGAGAUCCGAACUACAAGGUAAAACUUCAGUUACCCUCAUCAGAAAUAGGGCAGGGAUAUCCUUUACUUUAAUAAAAACUCCCCUUUUUACUUACGGCUCGGUGGAGGGCUGGUCCCUUUGGGGGCACAAUGCGGCCGAGGCAUCCCUCGGCGCAGGACCCUCUGACGAAGAUUUCUUCCCCCGCUAUGAGACCAUGGUCUCCGGGUCUUCAGAGGCGGUCCUCUUCUUCCCCUAGAUGGAGGGAUUCUCGAUCUCUCCUUUCCUGACAACCUCCUUCGCGGAGGUGGUAGCUUCCUUGUUCCCCCCUUCACCUUCUUCCAAAGGCGCAACCUCCAGCAUCCUGGUCAACAUGGGAUCCGGCGUGGUCUCAGGGAGGGGGGCCGGUCACCUGAUUAACUUUGCUUUCGCUAUCCACUCCUGUUCAAGGGACAGCUCUUUUGAGAGCAAAUUCAUGAUAAACAUAGGAUAGCGUGUCCGGGUACAGGGCUACUUACUUGAGUAUCCGGGCGAUUGCAGCUCAGACCUGCGUCCUCGGUCAAGUCUGGACACAUCGCUUGUGAUCCAAAGAAAAGCUUGUACAUCUCCACGGGCGUCGUGCCCAUAAAAUGUUGGAGAGCUCGUGGCCCCUUUGGGUUAAAUUCCCACAGGCGGAGGGGGCGACGUCUGCAGGGUAGGAUGCGACGAAUCAGCAUGACCUGCGCUACUACGACCAGAGUGAUCUCUCUCUCUCUAGGAGGUCUCGAAUGCGGCCCUGCAACAAGGGCACGUCCUUGGACGGCCCCCAGUCAAGUCCUUUAUUGACCCAUGAUGCCAGCCGCGGUGGAGGACCCGAGCAAAAGGCAGGUGGCGCCACCCAUUUGGUGCCCCUGGGAGCUGUGAUAUAAAACCACUCUUGGUGCCAUAAGCUGAGCUCCUCUUGAAAAGAGCCCUCGGGCCACAGAGCAUCAGCAUUCUUGCUUAUAACAGCCCUUCCGCACUCUGCCUGUUGCCCCUUGAUCAUCUUCGGCUCCACUUUGAAGGUCUUGAGCCACAAUCCGAAGUGAGGGGUAAUACGGAGGAAGGCUUUGCACACGGCAAUGAACGAUGAGAUGUGGAGGAUGGACUCCAGAUCCAAGUCAUGAAAUUCCAACCCAUAGUAAAACAUGAGCCCCCUCACGAAGGGGUCCGUCGGGAAGCUUAGACCCCGAAGGAAGUGAGAUGCGAACACCACGCUUUCACCAGGCUUGGGGGUGGGAAUAACUUGCCCUUGGGCAGGCAGCCUAUGUGAAAUUUCGCUGGUUAGAUACCUGGCAUCUCUUAGCUUUAGCACGUCUUCUUCCGUAACGGAGGAAGGCAUCCACCGGCCUUGCAGGUCGGAGCCGGACAUCAUCGAAGGCCCGAAGCGCCUGAAUCUGGAGCUUUGGAUGUUGGAACUCGAGGCGAGGGGCAGAUUCGAUUGAGAUUGCAAGAAGGGAGUGGAGCCUUGGUCUCUUUAUAAAGAGGUUGAAUACCAAGAGCCUUCCCCGUGACCGUUCGGGACUUGCCUUCGAUAGAGGAGACGUGCCAACGGGCACGGUUGGGUUACCCACGCCCGUAUUGAUGAGAAUCACGGGAUAAGGGGACACCAUCUCUGCUUUGACAAGACGUGCCAAGGAAACCGCCUCGCUAACCGCGCUGAGGUGGCAUACUAAAAACGAUUUGAAUAAAGGCUUGGCCGUGGUGCGAUCUCACGCCACGAGAUACGUCAGCAAAAUUGAAUUUGUGUAAAUAUUAUUCUCUCUACGGUGGUAUGUGGAACUUAUUUUGCAGAGCCGGACACUAUCCUUGUGUUCAAAAUCUUCUAUGAAGUAUUCGGCGGAGGAACCCGCCUUGCAAUGCCGAAGACAAUAUGCGCGCCGGACUCGUCGUCAUUGAAGCCUGGUUCAGGGGCUACUGAGGGAGUCCCGGACUAGGGGGUGUCCGGAUAGCCUAACUAUCAUCUUCGGAAGGACUCCUGGACUAUGAAGAUACAAGAUUGAAGACUUCGUCCCGUGUCCGGAUGGGAAUUUCCUUGGCGUGGAAGGCAAGCUUGGCGAUACGGAUAUAUAGAUCUCCUACCAUUGUAACCAACUCUGUGUAACCCUAACCCUCUUCAAUGCCUAUAUAAACCGGAGGGUUUUAGUCCGUAGGACGAACAACAAUCAUACCAUAGGCUAGCUUCUAGGGUUUAGCCUCUCUGAUCUCGUGGUAGAUCUACUCUUGUACUACCCAUAUCAUCAAUAUCAAUCAAGCAGGAGUAUGGUUUUACCUCCAUCGAGAGGGCCCGAACCUGGGUAAAAACAUCCUGUCCCUUGUCUCCUGUUACCAUCCGCCUAGACGCACAGUUCGACAUCCCCUACCCGAGAUCCACCAGUUUUUUACACCGACACUUUCCCUUCCGUUUCAUCUGUCUGAAAAUGCCUAACUCUGGGAAAACUUCCCAGAUGUUAUCACCCUUCGCCGGUAUUGUGUAGCACCGUGUUAGAACACGUCUAGCUCUGCCUGUUGUCCUGUUAUGCUCUUGCUUGCUAUGUGUUUACUAUUUUCUCCCCCCUCUUCUCUUCGGUAGACCCCAUGACAGCUGCCGAUGCCACUGUGAUCGACUACGUCGACGACAACUCCUCCUUCUCGCCUGAGCAACCAGGCAAGCCCCCCUUUGAUCAUCCCGAUAUCGCCCAUUCUAUACUCUCAUGCUUGCAUUAGAUUUUGCUAUUGUAAUUGAUUGCUCCUAUUCUGAUGCAUAGCCUGCUUUUGUACCUGCUAUUGUACCUUACCUUCUUAUCCUAAACUGCUUAGUAUAGGUUGGUUAGUGAUCCAUCAGUGACCCCCACCUUGUCCUUGUUGCCCCUGCUUCAUCUUCGACGACUCGAUCAACAUGAUAGAUGACCAGAGCCUGACACCUCACAUCACAUCACGCCCCUUUAGUUGCUCGACUCUGCAGAGCUACUAUCGAGUGUCGAGGGUGAUCCCUCAUAAUGCACUCCUGAUGAUAAUUCUGUAGUGUAGCUAUUUAGUCAUUGUCAUCGAGGGUGGUUCCUCUUUCACGAUUCCCAAUACAGCUCUGUCGUGCAACACCUCAAGUGUGAACCUCAAGGGUGGAUCCUCUUACGCUCACCUUGAUGGUUACAUCGAGUGGAAUCCUCCGUGGGUGAUUCCUUGGGUUUUCCCCUUGAUGUUUGGACACACGAUUACCUUGACUUUACUUGAGACCAUUGUUGAAGUCGGGUCGGCCCUGAGGGGUACCCGCAAGUUGAUGUUUAAGUCGGGCGGGCCCGUUGAGCACCCGCGAAUUUUCCACGUGGCACGGCCGGGCAGUCUGGGCCCUUGCCGUAAGUCCACGAGACGGGGCGACGGGGUCACAUUAUUGUGAGUCUCUGCUCGUCUCCGCGAGCCCCCAAUGCACUAAUGGUUUUGGUAUUUGUUCUGAGUUGGCCUCUAGCCUUUCUGCACUAACCACCACGCGAGAAUAGUUAUGGGCCUCGACGUCCAGUUCAGCAUCGUGGGCCUGUCGGGCCAGUGCCAUCCAGUAUGAGGUGGUGCUCGUCCCAGCUCGUCGCACAACAACCCGGAGUGCUGCGGGCGAUGGGCCCAUGACCCCGGAGUGCUUAGGAUGUAGACCGGCGGGGACCUCUCUGCUGAGCCUAGGUAGGGCUACGACGUGUUGAUCUUCCGAGGCCGGGCAUUGACCCCAGAAAAGGUGUGUCCGGCCAGAGUGAUCAAGCGUGUUGGGUAACAUGGUGCCCCCCUGCAGGGAAGAUAUAUAUUCGAAUACCGUGUCCACGGUAAUGGACGUUCAGACUUACAUCCUGAUCUUAUAUAACUAGAAAUGGAUACUUGAGAUAUGUGACUCCGAGAUUGCUUUCUCGUAGGGAGACGAGGAAGGAUCUCUGGGCGUUGAUGUUACAACAUGUUUGUUAAAUAUAAACUGCUAUUCUUUACUAUUCUACAUGCUGCAAGAUGCUCGGAGCUGCUUGAAGAUUUUUGUCUUCGAUAGGCUAGGACUUCCCCUCUAUUCUGGCGUUUUGCAGUUCAGUCCACAGAUACAAACCUUUCAUUUGAUACCAAUGCAUACUUAGUAUAGAUCUGAUGCUUGCGAGUACUUUGGAUGAGUACUCACGGUUGCUUUGCUACCCCUUUCCCCCCCUUCUUUCUUCUUUCUGGUUGAUGCAACCAGAUGGUGGAUCCCUGGAGCCAGACACUACCGCCGAUGGAUGCUACUACGUGAAGAUCGCCGAUGACCAGUAGCAGUUAGGAGGUCCCAAGCAGGAGGCCUUGCCUCUUCGGUCGUUGUUGCUUUUGUGCUAGCCUUCUUAAGGCAUCCUUCUUUAACUUAUGUCUGUACUCAGAUAUUGUUGCUUCUGCUGACUCUUGUGUAUCGAGCUUGUAUUCAAGCCCUCGAGGCCCCUGGCUUGUAAUAUAAAGCUUGUAUUAUUUUAAUUUGUGUUUAGAUUUGUGUUGUGAUAUCUUCCCAUGAGUCCCUGAUCUUGAUCGUACAAAUUUGCAUGUAUGAUUAGUGUACGAUUGAAUCGGGGUGCAACAAGGUGGUAUCAGAGCCGACUGCCUGUAGGAUCCCCCUUUCUAACUCCUUGGCCGAAGUUGAGUCCAGUCUUUGAAAAAAAACUGAUUUACUAACAAGGCUGUGUGGCUUACGGGCCCACGUCGCCAUUGGAUGGUAUUAGGAUCUUUUACACCUCGUCUGUACUCUGUCAAUCUGAUCUCUCUUCUAUUCGGGUUAACUGAUUUUCCUAACAACUUUAGGUUCUCGUAAAUACUUACUCCCAGAGAGCCACUUACUCCAGAUGAUUACUUGGUGCACCAGAAGAUUCUGAAGAUAGUCUUUGAUGUUUUCCCUAGACCCUUGUGCCCUUCGCCGUUGCGAUCCCUACCACCGAUAAAUCCUUAUUGGUAACUAUCUACAUUGUCGUUCAUACCUUCAUCCCCAGUUGCCCUUGUUAUUACAAGAUGUCCUGAAAUACUCUCUGAUGUUCCGAGACUCCUUUAUGCUUACUACACUGCCCUGCAGUUCCUUGCCGCAUGAAUACCCCUAUGAAUAAUUCCUCACACUUUUCAAGGAUUUGUUCAUUCCUAGUUGAUCAAGUGAUUCAUACUUUGAAGUACUAUCCGAUCUUCCGGUAAUCCUCUCCAACUAUUGCGCAGCAAAUACUUAUCUACUUGCAUUAUGGUUACUCUGUAUGUCUAGCAAUACUCAUUAGCAUCCUUGGUCAUCGUGAUUUCGAGCAUUUGAUUCGAUUUGUUUGUGUAUGCUCGCGAUCACCAGUCCUAUUUAAAAUCCUUCCCUUGGUUCAGAUGUCACUUUGGACAUGAGCUGGUGUUCGACAAAUCAAACCUUGAUUGAUUGUCGAUCUAUGUCUUUUCAACUUACUUGUCUUUGAUUAGAGCCUCUGCUUCUGAUCCCCCGGUUUGGGAAUCAUAAUUCUGUUACAUUUGAGCUUUGAAUUGGUUAGUUGUUUCUAUAACCUGAUCUCCUUGCAUCCUUUCUUCUUCUGGUUGAGUACCGUUGCUCACAUCAGAUCCCUCGUGUACCACCAGAUCCUUUGUUGGAUUUUAUCCGACAGCUUCUUCCUUUCUCAAUAACCUUGUGAGCCUUACCUCGGAUACAUAAUGCCUUUGGUAAGUUGUAUCUUCUGCUUUCUCAACCAUACUCUGCUUCCGGGCUUGAGUUUUUACUCGUGAAAUUUGUGGUAUAUGUUCCUGAUAUGCCCUGAUGUGUUGAACCUAUGUCUUCCCUAAAUCCGUGUGAACCCGAAGCUUAUGCGGGUUAUAUCUACCAGCGUUUCUUUGGAUAACAUUUCAAUGCUACAACUUAUUCGAAUGCGAGAAGUGAAUGGAAAGUUGUGCAUUAGAGAAGUGGGAGUCGACCAUGGGCCUUUGUGUUCAUGCCCAUGGACCCGAUGUGGAACUUAUCAUCGAAGCUUCUUGUUAUAAUAAUAAUCCCCUUGUGAUAAGUUCAUCUUGUAUCUAUGUUUGGUCCUUUGCAACCGUGGUUCCGACCAUAUUGUUCUUCUUUGAUCCCAUUUCUCGGACAAGUUGAAGUACUUGUCUUUUGUAGUUCUUUUCACCUAUCCAACCUCUACUUUGAUCUACCUUUGAGUAUUACCCUCUGGUAUCUGAAGAAUAUCACAGAACUACAUAACUUCUUAUGAGUUCUUCAUCAACUAUUAUUUCUCGCUCACUCAAAUUUUCCACGGGUUCUGGGUUGUAGACACUCGAGAACACCAAUAACUGAUUGGAGUAUAUACUUUCCUUUCCUUUGUUUCAUUUAAAAUUUCAUGUAACCUAACAUAUCUGAGCGGUGAUAAUUCCUUGCUUAUGUAAACACCUCGGUGUACAAACUCUAUCAGUAAGACCUUGUUACUAUUGUUGAUGACAUUCCGGUAGCCAUCGAUGGACGAGAACUUUGCCUAUUGGUCCGCCUUGUCCUAACGAGCAGGAAAAUGGUUCUCUUCGUCCCUCGCCCUUGGUACCGAUGUUGUUGCCAACGUAACCUACAAGCUAUCCUCUGAUCUGCCUCGCUAUCAUGACCGUGCAAAAUGUUAGCACCCUUCCUGCUUUUACCCCACAUGGUGGGCCCAUAACCCACUGUUCCACAGGAUUGAAACCUGACUCUCCUAUACAACCUUGAUUCCAAAAUAUUCUUUGCACGUGGCUUCAUAUGUAAUUCACGAGCUAACUUCCUCACCAUGUUUCAUUCCGGUAUUAGAGGCAACAUUUUUCUUCAUUGCUUUGAACCCCUUCAUCACCUGUUUUAGGCAUCAGCUGGAUGCCUACCUGAUUGAAACUUGUUGAACCUCCUUAUAACACUCUUGAUACAUUUCCUGGUGCUUCUAAAAUCUCCUUCCUUGAGAUAACUACCAGAUGCCGAACCUUUCAGACAUCCGUCCUUAUAGCUUCCCCCUUAUUCCACCCCUUAAAUCUCAGAAUGAGAUUUCUUGUAGUAGAGGAGAAUUGUGACUCCUGGAUAAUUAAGCUACAAUAAUCCUCGUUAUGGUGCCAUGUCAUCACAUUACUGUUGCUAAUCCUCACUUGAUCUAAAUCAUAGUUCAAAUUCAAGUUUGUCAAACAUGAAAGCUAAAAUGUUCGAAGUGUGGCAAAUAAUCUUUGGUUAUUUGUCAGGUUGAAACCUAUAUUUCAUAGUAUGUUUUAAUGCCCUAAACUAAUAAAACAAUGACCAAGGCAAUAAAUAAAAUGCUUUUCUAAUUUAUGAAAAAUCCAAAACAUUUCAAAAGCCUCCCAAACUUUUUGUGGCAGCGCUAAAUAUUUCCUAGUAUUUGUUUUGUGCACCUCCACAUUUUUUUGCAAAGUCAUUUCGUGGCUUAAAUGCAAAUGUAGGAUGUUAAAAGAAAACAAAAAAGGGGAAAUCAAAAAAUAAAAGGAAAAGGAGAGAGACCCCCUCCCCCCCCACAGGGCAUCGGCCUAGCUAACCAACUAGCCGGUCCAGUCAGCCAGCCCAUCCCGGCCGGCCCACCUCUCCCCGCAUAACCCCCCACCACCACCCGCAAACCCUAGGCUCGAUCCCCACUCUCCCCACUUCCCCGAUCCACCUCUCCCUCUCACCCCCUCAAUAUGGAUCAGGGCUGGACCACGGCACCCAGAAUUCGGCGCCCCCAACACCACCCGACGCCCGACCCGUCGCCCCUUGCUGCCGUUCGUCGGGUCGCCAACACCUCGCAGAGGCCGCCUCGCCAUCCCCGCCCCCUCCAUGUUCCUGGAUCUGGAAGGGCCCCCGACAGCGCCACUCGCCGCCCCGACGCUCGCCACCCCAUCGCCGUCCCGUCGGUGCACCUGAGCCGCCCCGACUCCUCACUCGCCGGUCGCCCGAGGAUGACGUCGCCGACCCCAUCCCCCUCGUCGCCGUUCGCCGCCGUCUUCUUCUGCGCCGGCGCCGUCUGCUACUACUAACCCCAUCGUCGGGCCACCGUGUGCCCUUCCCGUGACCUCCCCUUCCUCCUCGACCCUCCCGCCCGUGCUCACCGCUCGUCGUAGUCGCAACGACCACCGCGCCUCGAUCCCGUUCGGUCCGUGCACGUCCACGGCUCGCGCGCCCGCCUGUGAAUGGCCUCGCCCGCGCCGUUCACCGCCUCCGCCGGUGCCCCGCUGCUGCGGCGGCCCCGUGCUCCCUCGCCUCGCGCCUCGCCCGCCGUCCCCGUUCCCUGUUGCGGCUGCUUGGGACCACGCCUGCUGCCUACCCCGUGGCUACCCUCCCUGCCGCUUGUCCGUGCCUCCGCGGCACUCGCCGCGCCGCCCCACUCCGGCCGUCGCCGCCCCGGCCUGGCCACGCCCCUCCUCGGACGGCGUCGUGGCCUCGCCGGCGCCCCUGUUGCCCCAUGCCCUCGCACGGGCGCUCGCCCGUUAACCCGCUCGCCCAUCGCCCGAUUAACCCCCGGGGCCACUGACGUUGGGGCCCCACGCCCUGUGUAAAAAAAGAAGGAAAAAAUAUAUAAAAAUAAUUAGUUAAUUAGUUAAUUAGUUAAUUAAUUAAAUAGUUAAUUAACUAACUUAGUUAACCUUGCUUAGUUAGCCUAAUGAACUAGUUUAGUGAAAUUUAAAUAUGUUAGACAGUUAGGUCUAUGACAGAACGACCCCACACGUUAGUUUGACCAGUCAAUGCUCUGUUGACUGCUGACAUCAUGUUGACAUUAGGCUCACGUCAUAAUUCCAAUUUUGAAUUAAUAAUAAUUUCAGAAUAUUAUUAAAACUUUGAAAAAUCAUAUAUAAUAAACCGUAGCUCGGAUGAAAAACUUUUCUAUAUGAAAGUUGCUCAGAACAACGAGACGAAUCCGAAUACGAGGUCUGUUCAUCUGUCACAUGCCCCUUUCAUACCAAACAUGCAACCUUUCCCUUCCGUUUCAUCUGUUCGAAAAUGCCUAACUCUGGGAAAACUUCCCGGAUGUUAUCACCCUUCACCGGUAUUGUGUAGCACCGCGUUAGAACACGUCUAGCUCUGCCUGUUGCCCUGUUAUGCUCUUGCUUGCUAUGUAUUUACUAUUUUCUCCCCCUCUUCUCUUCGGUAGACCCCAUGACAGCUGCCGAUGCCGCUGUGAUCGACUACGUCGACGACGACCCUCAUUCUCGCUUGAGCAACCGGGCAAGCCCCCUUUUGAUCAUCCCGAUAUCGCCCAUUCUAUACUCUCAUGCUUGCAUUAGAUUUUGCUACUGUAAUUGAUUGCUCCUAUUCUGAUGCAUAGCCUGCUUUUGUACCUGCUAUUGUACCUUACCUGCUUAUCCUAAACUACUUAGUAUAGGUUGGUUAGUGAUCCAUCAGUGACCCCCACAUUGUCCUUGUUGCCCCUGCUUCAUCUUCGAUGACUUGAUCAACAUGAUCUAUGACCAGAGCCUAACACCUCACAUCACAUCACGCCCCUUUAGUUGCUCAACUCUGCAGAGCUACUAUCGAGUGCCGAGGGUGAUCCAUCAUAACGCACUCCUGAUGAUAUUCCUGUAGUGUAGCUAUUCAGUCAUUUUCAUGCCAUUCCCGAUACGGCUCUGUCGUGCAACACCUCAAGUGUGAACCUCGAGGGUGGAUCCUCUUAUGCUCACCUUGAUGGUUACAUCGAGUGGAAUCCUUCGUGGGUGAUUCCUCGGGUUUUCCCCUUGAUGUUUGGACACACGGUUACCUUGACUUUACUUGAGACCAUUGUUGAAGUCCGGUCGGACCUGAGGGGUACCCGCGAGUUGAUGUGAAAGUCGGGCGGGCCCGUUGAGCACCCGUGAGUUUUCCACAUGGCACAGCUGGGCAGUCUGGGCCCUUGCCGUAAGUCCACGAGAUGGGGCGACGGGGUCACAUUAUUGUGAGUCUCUGCUUGUCUCCGCGAGCGCCCAAUGCACUAAUGGUUUGGGUAUUUGUUCUGAGUUGGCCUCUGGCCUUUACGCACUAACCACCACGCGGGAAUAGUUAUGGGCCUCGACGUCGUAGUAUUAGCUGAAGCUUUGUCAGACAUCCAGUUCAGCAUCGUGGGCCUGUCGGGCCAGUGCCAUCCAGUAUGAGGUGGUGCUCGUCCCAGCUCGUCGCAUAACGACCCGGAGUGCUGCGGGCGAUGGACCCAAGACCCUGGAGUGGUUAGGAUGUAGACCGGCGGGGACCUCUCUGCUAAGCCUAGGUAGGGCUACGACAUCUUGAUCUUCCGAGGCCGGGCAUUGACCCUAGAAAAGGUGUUUCCGGCCAGAGUGAUCGAGCGUGUUGGGUAAUGUGGUGCACCCCUGCAGGGAAGAUAUAUAUUCGAAUACCGUGUCCAUGGUAAUGGACGUUCAGACUUACAUCCUGAUCUUAUAUAACUAGAAAUGGAUACUUGAGAUAUGGGAUGGAUAUGUGACUCCGAGAUUGCUUUCUCGCAGGGAGUCAAGGAAGGAUCUCUGGGCAUUGAUGUUACAACAUGUUUAUUAAAUAUAAACUGCUAUUCUUUAUUCUACAUGCUGCAAAAUGCUCGGAGCUGCUUGAAGAUUCUUGUCUUCGAUAGGCUAGGCCUUCCCCUCUAUUUUGGCGUUCUGCAGUUCAGUCCCCAGAUACAAACCUUCCAUUUGAUACCAGUGCAUACUUAGUAUAGAUCUGAUGCUUGCAAGAACUUUGGAUGAGUACUCACGGUUGCUUUGCUACCCCUUUCCCCCCUUCUUUCUUCUUUCUGGUUGAUGCAACCAUAUGGCGGAUCCCUGGAGCGAGACACCACCGCCGAUGGAUGCUACUACAUGAAGAUCGAUGUCGACCAAGAGCAGUUAGGAGGUCCCAGGCAGGAGGCCUUGCCUCUUCGGUCGUUGUUGCUUUUGUGCUAGCCUUCUUAAGGCAUCCUUCUUUAACUUAUGUUUGUACUCAUAUAUUGUUGCUUCCGCUGACUCUUGUGUAUCGAGCUUGUAUUCGAGCCCUCGAGGCCCCUGGCUUGUAAUAUAAAGCUUGUAUUAUUUUAAUUUGUGUUUAGAGUUGUGUUGUGAUAUCUUCCCAUGAGUCCCUGAUCUUGAUCGUACACAUUUGUGUGUAUGAUUAGUGUACGAUUGAAUCGGGGGUGCAACAAGUUGGUAUCAGAGCCGACUGCCUGUAGGAUCCCCUUUCUAACUCCUUGGCCGAAGUUGAGUCUAGUCUUUGAAAAAAACUGAUUUACUAACAUGGCUGUGCGGCUUACGGGCCCACGUCGCCAUUGGUUGGUAUUAGGAUCUUUUACUCCUCAUCUAUACUCUGGGAAUCUGAUCUCUCUUCUAUUCGGGUUAACUGAUUUUCCUAACAACUUUAGGUUCUCAUAAAUACUUUCUCCCAGAGAGCCACUUACUCCAGUUGAUUACUUGGUGCACCAAAAGAUUCUGAAGAUAGUUGAUGUUUUCCCUAGACCUUUGUGCCCUUCGCCGUUGCGAUCCCUACCACCGAUAAAUCCUUAUUGGUAACUAUCUACAUUGUCGUUCAUACCUUCAUCCCCAAUUGCCCUUGUUAUUACAAGAUGUCCUGAAAUACUCUCUGAUGUUCUGAGACUCCUUUAUGCUUACUGGCACUGCCCUACAGUUCCUUGCCACAUGAAUACCCCUAUGAAUGAUUCCUCACACUUUUCGAGGAUUUGUUCAUUCCUAGUUGAUCAAGUGAUUCAUACUUUGAAGUACUAUCUGAUCUUCCGGUAAUCCUCUCCAACUAUUGCUCAGCAAAUACUUAUCUGCUUGCAUUAUGGUUACUCCGUAUGUCUAGCAAUACUCAUUACCAUCCUUUGUCAUCGUGAUUUCGAGCAUUUGAUUCGAUUUGUUUGUGAAUUCUCGCGAUCACCAGUCCUAUUUAAAAUCCUUCCCUUGGUUCAGAUGUCACUUCGGACAUGAGCUGGUGUUCGACAAAUCAAACCUUGAUUGAUUGUCGAUCUAUGUCUUUUCAACUUACUUGUCUUUGAUUAGAGCCUCUUCUGAUCCCCCGGUUUCGGAAUCAUCAUUCUGUUACAUUUGAGCUUUGAAUUAGUUAGUUGUUUCUAUAACCUGAUCUCCUUGCAUCCUUUCCUCUUCUGGUUGAGUACCGUUGCUCACAUCAGAUCCCUCGUGGACCACCAGAUCCUUUGUUGGAUUUUAUCCGACAACUUCUUCCUUUCUCAAUAACCUUGUGAGCCUUUCCUCGGAUACAUAAUGCCUUUGGUAAGUUGUAUCUUCUGCUUUCUCAACCAUACUCUGCUUCUGGGCUUGAGUUUUUACUCGUGAAAUUUGUGGUAUAUGUUCCUGAUACGCCCCGAUGUGUUGAACCUAUGUCUUCCCUAAAUCCGUGUGAACCCGAAGCUUAUGCGGGUUAUAUCUACCAGCGUUUCUUUGGAUAACAUUUCAAUGCUACAACUUCUUCGAAUGCGAGAAGUGAAUGGAAAGUUGUGCAUUAGAGAAGUGGGAGUCGACCUUGGGCCUUUGUGUUCAUGCCCAUGGACCCGAUUUGGAACUUAUCAUCGAAGCUUCUUGUUAUAAUAAUAAUCCCCUUGUGAUAAGUUCAUCUUGUAUCUAUGUUUGGUCCUUUGCAACCGUGGUUCCGACCAUAUUGUUCUUCUUUGAUCCCAUUUCUCAGACAAGUUGAAGUACUUGUCUUUUGUAGAUCUUUUCACCUGUCCAACCUCUACUUUGAUCUACCUUUGAGUAUUACCCUCUGGUAUCUCGAGAAUAUCACGGAACUACAUAACUUAUUAUGAGUUCUUCAUCAACUAUUAUUUCUCGCCGACUCAAAUUUUCCAUGGGUUCUGGGUUGUAGACACUCGAGAACACCGAUAACUGAUUGGAGUAUAUACUUUCCUUUCCUUUGUUUCAUUUAAAAUUUCUUGUAACCUAACAUAUCUGAGCGGUGAUAAUUCCUUGCUUAUGUAAACACCUCGGUCUACAAACUCUGUCAGUAAGACCUUGUUACUAUUAUUCAUGACAUUCCGGUAGCCAUCGAUGGACGAGAACUUUGCCUAUUGGUCCGCCUCGUCCUAACGAGCAGGAAAAUGGUUCUCUUCGUCCCUCGCCCUUGGUACCGAUGUUGUUACCAACGUAACUUGCGAGCUAUCCUUUGACCUGCCUUGCUAUCAUGACCGUGCAAAAUGUUAGCACCCUUCCUGCUUUUAACCCACAUGGUGGGCCCAUAACCCACUGUUCCACAGGAUUGAAACCUGACUCUCCUGUACAACCUUGAUUCCGAAAUAUUCUUUGCACGUGGCUUCGUAUGUAAUUCACGAGCUAACUUCCUCACGAUGUUUCAUUCUGGUAUCAGAGGCAACAUUUUUCUUCAUUGCUUUGAACCCCUUCAUCACCUGUUUUAGGCAUCAGUUGGAUGCCUAUCUGAUUGAAACUUGUUGAACCUCCUUAUAGCACUCUCGAUACAUUUCCCGGUGCUUCUAAAAUCACCUUCCUUGAGAUAAGUAUCGGAUGCCCAUCCUUUCAGACAUCCGUCCUUAUAGCUCCCCCCUUAUUCCACCCCUUAAAUCUCGGGAUGAGAUUUCUCAUAGUGGAGGAGAAUUGUGACGCCCGGAUAAUUAAGCCACAGUAAUCCUCGUUAAUGGUGCCAUGUCAUCACAUUACUGUUGCUAAUCCUCACUUGAUCUAAAUCACAAUUCAAAUUCAAGUUUGUCAAACACGAAAGCUAAAAUGUUCGAAGUGUGGCAAAUAAUCUUUGGUUAUUUGUCAGGUUGAAACCUAUAUUUCAUAGUAUGUUUUAAUGCCCUAAACUAAUAAAACAGUGACCAAGGCAAUAAAUAAAAUGCUUUUCUAAUUGAUGAAAAAUCCAAAACAUUUCAAAAGCCUCCCAAACGUUUUGUGGCAGCGCUCAAUAUUUCCUAGUAUUUGUUCUGUCCACCUCCAAAUUUUUUUGCAAAGUCAUUUCGUGGAUUAAAUGCAAAUGGAGGAUGUUAAAAGAAAACAAAAAAACGGGAAAUCAGAAAAUAAAAGGUAAAGGAGAGAGACCCCUCUACCCCCCACAGGGCACCGGCCCAGCUAACCAACUGGCCGUUCCAGUCAGCCAGCCCAUCCCGGCCGGCCCACCUCUCCCCGCAUAACCCCCACCACCACCCGCAAACCCUAGGCCCAAUCCCCACUCUCCCCACUUCCCCGAUCCACCUCUCCCUCUCGCCCCCUCAAUCUGGAUCAGGGCUGGACCACGGCGCCCAGCAUUCAGCGCCCCCAACGCCACCCGACGCCUGACCCCGUCGCGCCUUGCUUCCGUUCAUCGGGUCGCCCGCACCUCUCAGAGGCUUCCUCGCCGUCCCCGUCCCCUUCCACGUUCCUGGAUCUGGAAGGGCCCCCGACGGCGCCACUCGCCGCCCCAAUGCUCGCCACCCCGUCGCUGUCCCGUCGGUGCACUUGAGCCGCCCCGACUCCUCACUUGCCGGUCGCCCGAGGACGACGUCGCCGACCCCGUCCCCCUCGUCGCCGUUCACCGCCGUCUUCUUCUACGCCGGCGCCGUCUGCUGCUACUUACCCCAUCGUCGGGCCAUCGCGUGCCCUCCCUGUGAGCUCCCCUUCCUCCUCGCACUACUAGGAAAAGGCCUACUAAUGGCGCACCAGUUUUGCCUACUAAUGGCGCACUACUGGUGCGCCAUUAGUACCACGCCACUAGUAUUUUUUACUAAUGGCGCACCUGUAGUGCGCCAUUAGUAUGCCCAGAGGUGUGCGCCAUUAGUAAUAAAAAAAAUUCAAAUUUUUUUUCAAUUUUUUUUUCGUUUUUUCUUAAUCUCCGGUCACUAUGGCUUAAUCUCGGGUCAAUAUGCUUAAUCUGAGGUCAAAUCGCACUCCGUGGUCAAACUUCCCGAAUGGUCACCCAUACUCACACUACUCCAGCCCAAGCACGCUAAACUUCAGAGUUCUAUCCAACCCCAGCACCAGCUCACUUCACAGGCACUUGUUGAUAUAUCUAGCAUAUCAAUCCUAUUAAACCUUUUUGAUGUUUAGGACUUUGUUCAUGUUCAUGAGUGUGAUGAAAUUUUGAAAAAAUAUUUCAAACUUCCGUUCAUAUUACGUAUCAUAUUUUGAAAAAAAUCCCAAGAAAAAAUCGAAACUAAUUUUUUUUCUGUUACUAGUGGCGCACCUAGCAAACGGUGCGCCACUAGUAAGUUUGAAAUUUUUUGAAUUUUUUUGCCUCCAGAUCUUAAAAGCCCCGUAACUUUUUUUCGGUUAGGUUUUUUAGGAUUUUGAAAAUGUUUAACGGGUUUCCCCCAAUUAAAUUCGGAUGUAACUUUUUGAGUAGAUGAUUUUUCAUAUAGAAAACUUUUUAAUCCGAGUUCGUAUGCAAAAGUUAUGCCCAUUUUACAAAUUCCAGAGAGAUUUUGCAAAUAAAGUCGAAAUUCAUAUUUGCAAAUUUUCCCAACAACUAGACCACAUAUCACAUGGGAAACUUUUUUUCUUUUGUUUCUUUGACAUUUUCAUCAUUCUCUUUUAUUUUAUUUUAAACUGAAAAGGCGAUCUAGGGGGGGUGCAUUCUGUGGAAUUUUUAGGCCAAGUUAGUAAUGGCGCACCGUGAGAGUAGUGCGUCAUUACUAGUUUACUAGUUUUAAAAAAAACAAAUUUGAAAAAAAAUUACUAGUGGCACACCGUGGAUGUGGUGUGCCAUUAUUAGUUAAAACUAGUAAUGGCGCACUAUCCCCUGGUGCGCCAUUACUAGUUUUGAAAAAAAGAUUGAAAAAAAAUUUGAAUUUUUUUACUAAUGGCGCACCAUGGAUGUGGUGCGCCAUUACUAGUUUAACUAGUAAUGGUGCACUAUCCCCUGGUGCGCCAUUAGUAGUUUUGAAAAAAAUUGUUACUAAUGGCGCACCGUGGAUGUGGUGCGCCAUUAGUAUUUGGACACUAAUGGCGUACCAACACAUGGUGCGCCAUUAGUAUAUAGUAGUGGCGCACCACAUGUCUGGUGCGCCAUUAGUGUCCAUUUCAUCUAUACCCCUUUUCCUAGUAGUGUCGACCCUCCCUCCCGCGCUCACCGCUCGUCGUAGUCGCCACGACCACCGCGCCUCGAUCCCGUUCGGUCCGUGCACGUCCACGGCUCGCAUGCCCGCCUGCGAAUGGCCUCGCUCGCACAUUUCACCGCCUUUGCCAGUGCUCCGCUCCUGCGGCGGCCCCGUGCUCCCUCGCCUCGCGCCUCGCCCACCGUCACCGUUCCCUACUGCGGCUGCUCGGGACCGCGCCUGCUGCCCACCCCGUGUCCACCUCCCCACCGCUCGCCCGUGCCUCUGCGACACUCGCCGCGCCGCCCCACUCCGGCCAUCGCUGCCCCGGCCUGGCCACGCCCCUCCCCGGACGGCGCCGUGGCCUCGCCCGGCGCCCGAUUAACCCCCUGGGCCACUGACAUUGGGGCCCCACGCCCCUGUGUAAAAAAAGAAGAAAAAAAUAUAUAAAAAUAAUUAGUUAAUUAGUUAAUUAAUUAAAUAGUUAAUUAACUAACUUAAUUAACCUUGCUUAGUUAGCAUAAUGAACUAGUUUACUUAAAUUUAAAUAUGUUAGAUAGUUAGGUCUAUGACAGAACGACCCCACACGUCAGUUUGACCAGUCAACUCUCUGUUGAUUGCUGACAUCAUGAUGAUGUCAGGCUCACGUCAUAAUUCCAAUUUUGAAUUAAUAAUAAUUUCAGAAUAUUAUUAAAACUUUGAAAACUCAUAUAAAAUAAACCAUAACUCGGAUGAAAAACUUUUCUACAUGAAAGUUGCUCAGAACGACGAGACGAAUCCGAAUACGAGGUCCGUUCAUCUGUCACAUGAUCCUAUCAUACCAAACAUGCAACCUUUCCCUUCCGUUUCAUCUGUCCGAAAAUGCCUAACUCUGGGAAAACUUCCCGGAUGUUAUCACCCUUCGCCGGUAUUGUGUAGCACCGCGUUAGAACACGUCUAGAUCUGCCUGUUGUCCUGUUAUGCUCUUGCUUGCUAUGUAUUUACUAUUUUCUCCCCCGUCUUCUCUUCGGUAGACCCCGUGACGGCUGCCGAUGCCGCUGUGAUCGACUACGUCGAUGACGACCCCUCCUCGCCUGAGUAACCAGGCAAGCCCCCCCUGAUCAUCCUGAUAUCGCCCAUUCUAUACUCUCAUGCUUGCAUUAGGUUUUGCUACUGUAAUUGAUUGCUCCUAUUCUGAUGCAUAGCCUGCUUUUGUACCUGCUAUUGUACUUUACUUGCUUAUCCUAAACUACUUAGUAUAGGUUGGUUAGUGAUCCAUCAGUGACCCCCACCUUGUCCUUGUUGCCCCUGCUUCAUCUUCGACGACUCGAUCAACGUGAUCGAUGACCAGAGCCUGACACCUCACAUCACAUCACGCCCCUCUAGUUGCUCGACUAUGCAAAGCUACUAUCAAGUGCCGAGGGUGAUCCCUCAUAAUGCACUCCUGAUGAUAAUUCAGUAGUGUAGCUACUCGGUCGUGGUCAUCGAGGGUGAUUCCUCUUUCACCAUUCCCGAUACGGCUCUGUCGUGCAACACCUCAAGUGUGAACCUCGAGAGUGGAUCCUCUUACUCUCACCUUGAUGGUUACAUCGAGUGAAAUCCUCCGUGGGUGGUUCCUCGGUUUUUCCCCUUGAUGUUUGGACACACGGUUACCUUGAAUUUACUUGAGACCAUUGUUGAAAUCGGGUCAGCCCUGAGGGGUACCCGCGAGUUGAUGUGAAAGUCAGGCGGGCCUGUUGAGCACCCGCGAGUUUUCCACGUGGCACGGCCGGGCAGUCUGGGCCCUUGCCGUAAGUCCACGAGACGGGGCGACGGGGUCACAUUAUCGUGAGUCUCUGCUCGUCGCCGCGAGCCCCCAAUGCAUUAAUGGUUUGGGUAUUUGUUCCGAGUUGGCCUUUACGCACUAACCUCCACGCGAGAAUAGUUAUGGGAUUCGACGUCGUAGUAUCAACCGAAGCUUUGUCAGACGUCCAGUUCAGCAUCGUGGGCCUGUCGGGCCAGUGCCAUCUAGUAUGAGGUGGUGCUCGUCCCGGCUCGUCGCACAACGACCCAGAGUGCUGCGGGCGAUGGGCCCAAGACCCCGGAGUGCUCAGGAUGUAGACCGGCGGGGACCUCUCUGCUGAGUGUAGGUAGGGCUACGACGUGUUGAUCUUCCGAGGCCGGGCAUUGACCCGAGAAGGGUGUGUCCGGCCAGAGUGAUCGAGCGUGUUGGGUAACGUGGUGCACCCCUGCAGGGAAGAUAUAUAUUCGAAUACCGUGUCCACUGUAAUGGACGUUCAGACUUAUAUCCUGAUCUUAUAUAACUAGAAAUGGAUACUUGAGAUAUGUGAUGGAUAUGUGGCUCUGAGAUUGCUUUCUCGCAGGGAGUCGAGGAAGGAUCUCUGGGCGUUGAUGUUACAACAUGUUUGUUAAAUAUAAACUGAUAUUCUUUACUCUUCUACAUGCUGCAAGAUGCUCGGAGCUGCUUGAAGAUGCUAGUCUUUGAUAGGCUAGGCCUUCCCCUCUAUUCUGGCAUUAUGUAGUUCAGUCCACAAAUACAAUCCUUCCAUUUGAUACCAGUGCAUACUUAGUAUAGAUCUGAUGCUUGCGAGUACUUUGGAUGAGUACUCACGGUUGCUUUUGUACCCCUUCCCCCCCUUCUUUCUUCUUUCUGGUUGAUGCAACCAGAUGGCGGAUCCCUGGAGCCAGACGCCACCGCCGAUGGAUUCUACUACGUGAAGAUCGCUGAUGACCAGGAGUAGUUAGGAGGUCCCAGGCAGGAGGCCUUGCCACUUCGAUCGUUGUUGCUUUUGUGCUAGUCUUCUUAAGGCAUCCUUGUUUAACUUAUGUCUGUACUCAGAUAUUGUUGUUUCCGCUGACUCUUGUGUAUCGAGCUUGUAUUCGAGCCCUUGAGGCCCAUGGCUUGUAAUAUAAAGCUUGUAUUAUUUUAAUUUGUGUUUAGAGUUGUGUUGUGAUAUCUUCCCGUGAGUCUCUGAUCUUAAUCGUACACAUUUGCGUGUAUGAUUAGAGUACGAUUGAAUCGGGGGGCGUAACACUGCACACACACACACACACACACACAUGAAUCUGGUUACUCCCUCCGUCUCAGUUUAGAGGGCGUGCACAUAGUUCUAGGUCAUCCAUUUGACUAAUUAAAUUUAAGCUAUAUGUCACCAAAAGUAUAUCUUUAGAUUCUUAAGCGGAUGUAGUUUCUAAACAUAUAUUUUUCAUGACAUAUAAUACAUAUAGGUAGUUAAAUUUUCAACCUAGAACUACGUGCAUGCCCUGUAAAUCGAGACGGAGGGAGUAUUUUAGUUCAGAACACUGUGUCCCUCACAUGAAUGACCGAUUUAAUCAGGUCUCUCAAAUUCCACAAUUAUAAUGCGUCCCCACAUGAAUCUGGUCUUUUUAGUGCUCACCACCAUUGCAUGACCAGAUUUUAAGGUCUCCCACAAUUAAUGUACCCCCUUUUUUUAACUAUAAGCGGAUAAUCCCUCUGUUUGCUCUCUGCUUAUUGAUUUUCAUGGUGGCUUGUUGAUUUCCCAAGCAACUCAUGUAAACUGGUGGGAUUUGAUGUAAUGAAACGAGGCAAGACUAUUUAAUGAAUGACCAAACGUGAAAGGGAUGGGCAAACUUUCAAGCAAGGUGAGACUAUUUAACACUUUGGGCCACAAGUAAACAGUCCGUGGUGCCUGCUAGGUCAGGGUGGACACGGUCCGGGCCGGUCCGGGCCCUGACCGAGCUGUCCUUUGGACCGGCCGUCGGCGGUCCAGACCGGACCGGACUGAGCAGCGUCGUGGUCCUGUUUCCUGGGACCGGACCGGCAGGGACGAAGCCCGAGCCGGACCGAGCGGCUCGUUUGGACCGGCCGGAGUUCACCACAGAGCACGCAUCGGAGCAUGGCGACGCGGGGAGGGCGCUGGAGGCAGCGGAGCUCAUCGUGGAGAUGUUAGGCAGCUUUGGAAGAGUUAGAGGGAGCUAGAGGAGCCAAGAAGAUCACCAGAGCGAGCUCAUCGGCGACGAAUUUGGCACGAUGGCCGGUGGACGGAGAUGAAAAAGACGAUGCACGAUGCGGCGAUGCAGGUCCUCCCACGUCGUGUUCGUUAGUGCAUACGACAGAUCCGAGUGGGGCGCGUCCAGUGGACAUAGUUUCUAGGGCCAGCAAGUUGAGUGGCCGCGCGGACGAUGGCCCCCGCGGCGGCGGACAUGAACGGCGACAGUUUCUUGCACCCCCGCCACGCCUGGGUCGCCACGCACUCGCCACAAUCCCGCCACGCCCCCUCCAUGCCGCCCGCACGCCCCAGCCACGCCCCACUCGGUGCUCACCGUGCCGCCGCCAUGCUCCCGCCACGCCGAUGCUUCGGUUUCUCGGUCCUGCGAGCUGGCCCGGUGAAAGCUCGGACCAGACCGACAAACUUUCGGGCCAGAAUCUGCAGCUUGGACCGGCUGUUUUUUCCAUCGGGCUAGGACCGAGCUAGCCCGGACCGAGCGGGCCAUGAGCCGGUCCGAAAGACCGCUCGUGUCGUCCAUCCUGACUGCUAGGUGAGGCCCAAUACGCUGGACGGCUCGGUCAAUAGAGGAAAAGAGAAAGAAAAAGAAGGGCCUACAAGCAUAUCUCAGGAACGCGCCCGUUACUAAUAGCAGCAUACCAAGCCGAACUGAACUUUUAACAUCAUGUUGAAUAUGUUAAAAAUGAAACUGGUUGAUCCCAAUGGUAUAUUCCUGUCCACAAAGAAAAUUUCUAAAUGUCACUAUGGGGGUUGUUUGCAUAAGGGGAUUAUAUAUGUUUCCUUUAAGCAUGUUUAAUCCUAAAACUACGUUGGUUCAUGUAAUAGACCUCAGGAUAAAUAAGACACUUUUUAUGACAAUUCAGGAUAAAUAACACUUGGUUUCCAAAAAACAGAAAAGGUGAGCUUUUAAAUAAACGACUAUUAUUCGUUUUUCUUUAUACAUGUUUAUAUAUAGCUAUAAUCCUACGCCUAUACUCUUUAACUGCACACCACGUCCGUAUAGCUUGUUGCUAUCGUGAUUCGACACACCCCUGUUGCUCCUCAGCCCCGGCGAGCUGUGCGACUGCAAGUCAGGUCACCGUCGAUGCCUCUCCAAUGGGCAUGGCCGGUGGAGGCAAGCGAUAGGGGCCAAUCGGCCCUGCCCAGCAUCGCUUGACACGGGGACCCUGCAGGAUAGAGCCGUCGUAUGACAAGCACUCCUCUUGCUCUAGCGCGACACCGUUGCAGCAGCCAAUAGCUCCUCGUGGCGCCGCAGCUUGGCCACAAUGUGCUUCUCCACCAUGCAAUGCAUGCGGCGUGGUCCAACUUGCCGCAUGGCAUGACAGUGCUUCGGAGAGCCAGGCGCCUGCCGGGCCGGCGCUGCAGACUCCUCAUUGUCAUUGACAAUGCAUGCAUCGAGCGCAAACAACAUGCGAGUCAGCGAGUGCAGGAGGGCAGAAUGCUUCCCAUUGGCAGCACUGAAGUGAACUUUGAAUGGAUGCUAAGGGCGAUUUGCUGCAGCAACGUGGCGUGUUAAGCUUCGGGAGGAAGCUUGGAGGAAGGUAAAGCAUAGCUUCGAGCGCUUGUUGGAUGCGAGCGUGCUCUUGUGUUUGGCUCCCUAGACUGCGGCGAGGGUCAAGUCUCUUAUCCAAUUCAUUCUGAUCAAUGGAUCUAACCCAAAAGUGGUUUUGCAAAAAAAAAAGCUUUUAAUCCAAAAAGAGAUUUGCUAAAACGUUACUAAAGCUCGUUUCCUAUAAUUUCUCCUAAAAUCCGUUUUCUAAAAACUGAACUGUAUCCAUACAACCACUAUAGCAACUGAACCGUAUCCAAACAACCACUAUAGCAACUCUCAACUGGAUGUCACUAGAAUAAUUAUAUCAACUGAAAAUAUGAACCAAGUAACGGGAAGACAACCCAAAGGUUUUUUUACAUGAAAACGGCCCAACGUAUUAACAGUCCACAAACGGGCUGACUGUAACGACGAGCUGAAUUUGGCCCACAAGCAAAAAAUAACAGUAAUGGGCCGUAUGUAACCGAAUGCUGCAAAUGAGCCCAAAAAUCAAUGGGCCCUGAGAAGGCCAAAAGAUAACUUGGGCUGGAAACGGCCCAAUGAAAGCCGUUAAUGGGUAUAAAGUGAUACACUGUUCAUUACGGGCCAGUUUCACCACGGGCCAUUAAUGGGCCAAGAGUUACAAAGGGCCUCAUAUGGGCUGAAAGAAGUCAUGGGCCACACAUGUGCCAGAAGUUAAAACUGGCUGGAAUCAUAUUGGACGGCCCAGAUGACGCUACUGGGCCUAAUUCGGAGAGGUAGUAACGGGCCCUAGGUUAGCGGGCUGUAAAUGGGCUAUAUGCGAACAGGCCAUUAAUAGGCUUUCCGUGGGCCAGCCUGCCACCUUUUGACCAAGUCAAACGGGCUGGCCUUUUCACAGGAAUGGGCCUCUGUUGGGUCGUGCCAUGUGUCACCGUAUCAUAGCGCCUUUGGUCCAAUGAGUGGAUGACAUCUGUCCCAACGAUGAGCCGACACGUGUUUCCUCCAGCCAAUGAUGAUUUUACACGUGAAAAAUCCCUAUCGGUCGGGGCUGUUAACGGGUUAUCGGAUCCAAAACCGGAUCCGAUAGCUUAACGGCAUUCCGUCACGGUGGAUGCCACGUGUCGGUCAGCCUUGACGAAAGCACUUUUGUGACGCGCGAUUUAUCGUACUUCCGUGAUGAUAAUUUUGGUAAUGUCAUGGAACACUUCUACGACAGCGCAUGUAUGACUAUCUUGAUUCUGUCAUAAAAUCGUCAUGGAUGUACAUGCAUGACAAAAGACGCGACCUACUGUGACAAACACGUAUAAUCACAGAAGUGUAUUUUUUUAGUAAUGCAAGCAAUACAACCUAAAGCAGGAGUAGGCUUUUACCUCGUUGAGAGGGGCCGAACAUGGGUAAAAACUCUCGGUGUCCUUUGUCCCGUUUAACCCCUUCAAGCUAACCUAGCGGCGAUGGCUCCACACCUAAGUCCUCUUGCUAGGACAUCUGUAGUGUUAAGUCCAUGAUAGCCUGCAAGGACAGGAUUGAAGGAAGCUUCACUAUGAUGUGUCAAUGCCAAUGGAAGAUAUGUUUCGUGUUUCACCAUGCAUGUGCCGCCAACAACCUUACUUUGUUAUGGAAGACUUGAUGAAGACCGAAUAUACUUACAGGUGCAUUCAUUACCCCCAUAUAGCACAACAGAAUAACCAUCUUCAGCAUGGCCCUUUCCUCUACCCAGUUCCAAUCACCCCUCCUCCAUAACUGCUAGAACUUGGACCUGAUUGCCAUGUUUGAGAUAAUAUUUUUAAGAAUACCUAUGGAGUGGUUAUUUCUUUUCAUGACAUCGCCGUGGAGAUUUAUAGUUGAAAAAUGAUCAAUUUCUAUAUAGAAGUUAACAGUAUAUAAUGGUUCGAAGCAACUCUAAUAGUAGUGAAUUUAGGAUAGAGUACAUGACAUGAUAUACACUAUCAAUAAUAGUAGCUACUGUUGUGCGUGCAGUUUUUUUUCCCUUACAAGAUGCUAUAUGAAAAUUUUCAUGGCUGCAAAAUGAGUCUAUAGGAUUAUUCUAUAUUUAUGAACUACUCCCUCCAUUCCCUUUUGUAGUGUGUAUAGUUUUUUGCCUAAAAUUCCGAAAUGUAGUGCUUGCAUACAACACAAAGCUGGUUUGGACAAGUUACGCUUCGCUGGAAUCAAGGGACACACGCAGCAGAGCACGCACAUGGGUGUGUAGCAAACCAUGCAUGCAAGGUUAAUCUGGUAAAAUUCACAGCUCCAGCUCAUGCAUUGGUAUUGGAGCUAACAUCUAUGUGCACUAUAUAAUGAAACAGAGGGAGUAACAAUAGCACUAUUGUGUGCAGUAUUUUUCUAGAAGAUGAUAUAUGCAGAUCCUGUUCUCUGCAAGUUUCUGUCGCGCACAUCAGCUUCAAGUCAGCACCCUAGGCCAAUACAACCACUUCCUCCUUUAUUUAUCCCUCCCUUUCUGACUUCCUUCCUUCUUCCUUCCGAGCAACGACAAAUUUAGUGGGAUGUAGAAGAGGCGGCAAGCACAUCUAGCAGCAGGAGAUAAGCAAUAGUUUGUUCCUCAAUAGCAACAACAAUAUUCCUUCCAUUCACUUUUGUAAGGGGCUGGAGGCGGUCACGUAGAAAAAAUUUCAGAGUUUCUCGAUUUGCCCUGUCACUCUCGCAGUCUCGCUUCGCGCUCCCCUCUCUCAGUCCAAAGUGGAUCCUCUAAUCUCUCGCUUCGCAUCACCGCUCUGUCACUCCUCUCCGGCGCCCGCGCCGCCGCCGCCCCUAUCCUCCCUCUCUCUGAAAGAUUUGAUGAAAGCGUGUACCUCUGGCAGGGACGCGCGCAUGUUUAUAUAGAGUAGAUGGUUUACAAGAUACGGUAGUUAGGCGUGGAUUGAUCCUCAAGCAAACUAUACAAGACGUAAGGAGGAAUCCCAACAGCCUAACUACCAGACUAUAUCAACACGCCCGCACUAGCUAUACCAGAAGGUAUAUACGGUUUAUAUACGACCAUACAUACGUACAAUAAUAUCUAACAUGCCCCCUCAGUCACAGAUUCACCAAGUUGAGAUUGCUCUUGAAGUCUUCCAACUGGCACCAUAAUAGUGCUUUAGUAAAGCCAUCCACAACUUGAUCACCUGUGGGAAUGAAAUGAAUAUCCAUGAGUUUCUGUGCUACUCUUUCUCUAACAAAAUGACAGUCCACCUCUAUGUGUUUGGUCCUUGCAUGAAAGAUUGGAUUUGCUGACGAAUAUGUGGCACCAAUAUUGUCACACCAAAGACGAGCAACUGGUGAGUGAGAAACUCCAAGUUCUUGCAGAAGAGUCUAAACCCAAAUAAUCUCUGUAGUAGUGAUGUCUACUACACAACCUUCUUCUAGUAGACGUUGUUGGGCCUCCAAGUGCAGAGGUUUGUAGGACAGUAGCAAAUUUCCCUCAAGUGGAUGACCUAAGGUUUAUCAAUCCGUGGGAGGUAUAGGAUGAAGAUGGUCCCUCUCACACAACCCUGGAACCAAAUAACAAAGAGUCUCUUGUGUCCCCAGCACACUCAAUACAAUGGUAAAUUGUAUAGGUGCACUAGUUCGGCGAAGAGAUGGUGAUACAAGUGCAAUAUGGAUGGUAGAUAUAGGUUUUUGUAAUCUGAAAAUACAAAAACAGCAAGGUAGCAAGCAAUAUAAGUGAGCAUAAACGGUAUUGCAAUGGUAGGAAACAAGGCCUAGGGUUCAUACUUUCACUAGUGCAAGUUCUCUCAACAACAAUAACAUAACUGGAUCAUAUAACUAUCCCUCAACAUGCAAUAAAGAGUCACUCCAAAGUCACUAAUUGCAGAGAACAAACGAAGAGAUGAUUGUAGGGUACGAAACCACCUCAAAGUUAUUCUUUCUGAUCAAUCCGUUGGGCUAUUCCUCUAAGUGUCACAAACAACCCUAGAGUUCGUAGUAAAAUAACACCUUAAGACACAUAUCAACCAAAACCCUAAUGUCACCUAGAUACUCCAAUGUCACCUCAAGUAUCCACGGGUAUGAUCAUACGAUAUGCAUCACACAAUCUUAGAUUCAUCUAUUCAACCAACACAAAGAACUUCAAAGAGUGCCCCAAAGUUUCUACUGGAGAGUCAAGACGAAAACGUGUGCCAACCCCUAUGCAUAAGUUCACAAGGUCACUGAACCCGCAAGUUGAUCACCAAAACAUACAUCUAGUAGAUCACGUGAUAUCCCAUUGUCACCACAGAUAAGCACAUGCAAGACAUACAUCAAGCAUUCUCAAAUCCUUCAAGACUCAAUCCGAUAAGAUAACUUCAAAGGGAAAACUCAAUCCAUUACAAGAGAAUAGAGGGGGAGAAACAUUAUAAGAUCCAACUAUCGUAGCAAAGCUCGCGGUGCAUCAAGUUCGUGCCAUAUCAAGAACACGAGAGAGAGAGAGAGAGAGAUCAAACACAUAGCUACUGGUAUGUACACUCAGCCCCGAGGGUGAAUUACUCCCUCCUCAUCAUGGAGAGCGUCGGGAUGAUGAAGAUGGCCACCGGUGAUGGAUCCCCCCUCCGGAAGGGUGUCGAAACAGGGUCUCGAGAGGUUUUUGGUGGCUACAGAGGCUUGCGGCGGUGGAACUCCCGAUCUAGGUUUCUUUCUGGGGGUUUCUGUGUUUGUAGGAACUUUUGGCGUCGGUUUCAUGUUAGGAGGGUCUCCGAGUCGUCCACGAGAUAGGGGGCACGCCCAGGGGGGUAGGGCACACCCUCCACUCUCAUGGACGGCUAGGGACUCUUCUGGCCCAACUCUUUUACUUCGGGGCCUUCUUUUGGUCCAUAAACAAUCAUCAAAAAUUGGCACGUCAUUUGGACUCCAUUUGGUAUUCCUUUUCUGUAAAAUUCAAAAACAAGGAGAAAACAGAAACUGGCACUGGACUCUAGGUUAAUAGGUUAGUCCCAAAAAUCAUAUAAAACAACAUAUAAAUGCAUAUAAAACAUUCUAGAUGGAUAAUAUAAUAGCAUGGAACAAUCAAAAAUUAUAGAUACGUUGGAGACAUAUCAAGCAUCCCCAAGCUUAAUUCCUGCUCGUCCUCGAGUAGGUAAAUGAUAAAAACAGAAUUUUUGAUGUGGAAUGCUACCUAACAUAUUUAUCAAUGUAAUCUAUCUUUAUUGUGGCAAGAAUAUUCAGAUCCAUAAGAUUCAAAACUAAAGUUUAAUAUUGACAUAAAAGUGAUAAUACUUCAAGCAUACUAACAAAGCAAUCAUGUCUUCUCAAAAUAAUAUGGCCAAAGAAAGCUAUCCCUACAAAAUCAUAUAUUCUGGCUAUGCUCUAUCUUCAUCACACAAAAUAUUUAAAUCAUGCAAAACCCCGGUUUCAGCGAAGCAAUUGUUUCAUACUUUAGUAUUCUCAAACAUUUUUAAUCUUCAUGCAAUACAUGAGCGUGAGCCAUGGACAUAGCACUAUAGGUGGAAUAGAAUGGUGGUUGUGGAGAAGACAAAAAGGAGAAGAUAGUCUCACAUCAACUAGGCGUAUAACGGGCUAUGGAGAUGCCCAUCAAUAGAUAUCAAUGUGAGUGAGUAGGGAUUGCCAUGCAAUGGAUGUACGAUAGCUAUAAGUGUAUGAAAGCUCAAAAAGAAACAAAGUGGGUGUGCAUCCAACUUGCUUACUCAUGAAGACCUAGAGCAUUUGAGGAAGCCCAUCAUUGGAAUAUACAAGCCAAGUUCUAUAAUGAAAAUUCCCACUAGUAUAUGAAAGUGUCAACACAGGAGAAUCUCUAUCAUGAAGAUCAUGGUGCUACUUUGAAGCACAAGUGUGGUAAAAGGAUAGUAGCAUUGCCCCUUCUCUCUUUUUCUCUCAUUUUUUUGGGCCUUCUCUUUUUUUUGGCCUCUUUUUUUAUUUUUUUAUUUUUUUCGUCCGGAGUCUCAUCCCGACUUGUGGGGGAAUCAGUCUCCAUCAUGCUUUCCUCACUAGGUCAGUGCUCUAAUAAUGAAGAUCAUCACACUUUUAUUACAACUUAAGAAUUACAACUCGAUACUAAGAACAAAAUAUGACUCUAUGUAAAUGCCUCCGGCAGUGUACCGGGAUGUGCAAGGAAUCAAGAGUGACAUGUAUGAAAGAAUUAUGAACGGUGGCUUUGCCACAAAUACAAUGUCAACUACAUGAUCAUGCAAAGCAAUAUGACAAUAAUGAAGCGUGUCAUAGUAAACGGAACGGUGGAAAGUUGCAUGACAAUAUAUCUCGGAAUGGCUAUGGAAAUGCCAUAAUAGGUAGGUAUGGUGGCUGUUUUGAGGAACAUAACGGUGGAUGUAUGGUACCGGCGAAAAUUGCGUGGCACAAGAGAGGCUAGCAAUGGUGGAAGGGUGAGAGUGCGUAUAAUCCAUGGACUCAACAUUAGUCAUAAAGAACUCACAUACUUAUUGCAAAAAUCUACAAGUCAUCAAAACAAAGUACUACACGCAUGCUCCUAGGGAAAGGUUGGUAGGAGUUAACCAUCGCGCGAUCCUGACCUUGAUACGUCUCUAACGUAUCUAUAAUUUUUGAUUGUUCCAUGCUAUUAUAUUACCCCUUUUGGAUAUUUAUGGGCUUUAAUUUACACAUUUAUAUCAUUUUUGGGACUAACCUACUAACCGGAGGCCCAACCCGUAUUGCUGUUUUUUUGCCUAUUUCAGUAUUUCAAAGAAAAGGAAUAUCAAAUGGAGUCCAGACGGAAUGAAACCUUCGGGAGCGUGAUUUUUGGAACGAACGUGAUCCAGAGGACUUAGAGUGCAAGUCAAGAAGCAGCCGAGGCAGCCACGAGAUAGGAGGGCGCCCCCCCUAUAGGGCACACCCCUAUCUCGUGGGCCCCUCGGGCGGCCACCGAUGUACUUCUUCCCCCUAUAUAAGCCUACGUACCCCGAAAACAUCCAGGGAGCAACCGAAACACAAUUUCCACCGCCGUAACCUUCUGUAUCCCCGAGAUCCCAUCUUGGAGCCUUCGCCGGCGCUCCGCCGGAGGGGGAAUCGACCAUGGAGGGCUUCUACAUCAACACCAUAGCCCCUCCGAUGAGUUGUGAGUAUUUUAACACAGACCUACGGGUCCAUAGUUAUUAGCUAGAUGACUUCUUCUCUCUUUUUGGAUCUCAAUACAAUGUUCGCCCCCUCUCCUGUGGAGAUCUAUUCGAUGUAAACUCUUUUUGCGGUGUGUUUGUCGAGAUUCGAUGAAUUGUGGUUUUAGGAUCAAGUUUAUCUAUGAAUAAUAUUUGAAUCUUCUCUGAAUUAUUUUAUGUAUGAUUGAGUUAUCUUUGCAAGUCUCUUCGAAUUAUCAAUUUGGUUUGGCCUACUAGAUUGAUCUUUCUUGCCAUGGGAGAAGUGCUUAGUUUUGGGUUCAAUCUUGCGGUGUCCUUACCCAGUGACAGAAAGGGUUGCAAGGCACAUAUUGUAUUGUUGCCAUCAAGGAUAACAAGAUGUUGUUUAUAUCAUAUUGCUUGAGUUUAUCGCUCUACAUCAUGUCAUCUUGCUUAAAGCGUUACUCUGUUCUUAUGAACUUAAUACUCUAGAUGCAGGCAUGAGUCGGUCGAUGUGUGGAGUAAUAGUAGUAGAUGCAGGCAGGAGUCGGUCUACUUGUUGCAGACGUGAUGCCUAUAUACAUGAUCAUGCCUAGAUAAUCUCAUAAUUAUUCGCUUUUCUAUCAAUUGCUCGACAGUAAUUUGUUCACCCACUCUAAUACUUAUGCUAUCUUGAAAGAAGCCACUAGUGAAACCUAUGGCCCCCGGGUCUAUCUCUUAUCAUAUUUGCUUCCAAUCUACUUUUAUUUGCAUCUUUACUCUUUGCAUCUAUCUUAUAAAAUACCAAAAAUAUAUUUAUCUUAUCAUACUAUCUCUACCAGAUCUCACUUUCGCAAGUGGCCGUGAAGGGAUUGACAACCCCUUUAUUGUGUUGGUUGCGAGUUCUUUGUUUGUUUGUGUAGGCGCGUGGGGCUUUUGAGGAGCCUCCUACUGGAUUGAUACAUUGGUUCUCAAAAACCGAGGGAAAUACUUAUGCUACUAGUGCUGCAUCACCCUUUCCUCUUCAAGGAAAACCAACGCAAGCUCAAGACAUAGCAAGAAGGAUUUCUGGCGCCGUUGUCGGGGAGGUCUUCGCUCAAGUCAAGACAUACCAAGUACCCAUCACAAACUCAUCUCCCUCGCAUUUACAUUAUUUGCCAUUUUGCCUCUCGUUUUCCCCUCCCCCACUUCACCCUUGCCGUUUUAUUCGCUCUCUCUUUCCCAAUCUCCUCCUCUAUUUUUCGGUUGCCUUUUUCUGUUUGCUUGUGUGUUGGAUUACUUGUUGCCAUGGCGCAAAAUAAUACCAAAUUGUUUGAUUUCUCGAAUACCAAUAAUAAUGAUUUCCUUAGUACUCUGAUUGCUCCUCUUAAUGAUGUUGAGUCUUGUGAAAUCAAUACUGCUUUACUGAAUCUUGUUAUGAAAGAUCAAUUCACCGGCCUUCCUAGUGAAGACGCCGCUACUCAUCUAAACAACUUUGUUGAUUUGUGUGAUAUGUAAAAGAAGAAAGAUACGGAUAACAAUAUUGUCAAAUAGAAGUUAUUUCCGUUUUCACUUAGAGAUCGUGCUAAAGUUUGGUUUCCGUCUUUGCCUAAAAAUAGCAUUGAUUCUUGGAACAAGUGCAAAGAUGCUUUUAUCUCUAAGUAUUUUCGUCCCGCUAAGAUUAUCACUCUUAGGAACAAUAUCAUGAAUUUUAAACAACUUGACCAUGAGCAUGUUGCCCAAUCUUGGGAAAGAAUGAAAUUGAUGCUUCACAAUUGCCCUACUCAUGGUUUGAAUUUAUGGAUGAUCAUACAAAAAUUUUAUGCCGGUUUGAACUUUGCUUCUAGAAAUCUCUUAGAUUCGGCCACGGGAGGCACGUUUGUGGAAAUCACGUUAGGAGAUGCUACAAAACUUCUUGAUAAUAUUAUGGCUAAUUAUUCUCAAUGGCACACCGAAAGAUCUUCUAGUAAAAAGUGCAUGCUAUAGAAGAAAUCAAUGUUUUGAGUGGAAAGAUGGAUGAACUUAUGAAAUUAUUUGCUACUAAAAAUACCCCUCUUGAUCCCAAUGAUAUGCCUUUGUCUACUUUGAUUGAUAAUAACAAUGAAUCUAAGGAUGUGAAUUUUGUUGGUAGGAAUAGUUUUGGAAACAAUGCUUAUAGAGGAAACUUUAAUUCUAGAUCGUUCCCUAGUAAUUCCUCUAAUAAUUAUGGAAAUUCCUAUAAUAAUUCUUAUGGUAAUUUUAAUAAGAUGCCCUCUGAUUUUGAGAAUAGUGUGAAAGAAUUUAUGAUUUCUCAAAAGAAUUUUAAUGCUUUGCUUGAAGAAAAUUUGCUCAAAGUUGAUGAUUUGGCUAGGAACCUUGAUACACUUUCGCUUGAUGUUGAUUCUCUUAAACUUAGAUCUUCUCCUCCUAAGCAUGAUAUCAAUGUGUCUCUCAAAGCCAUGAGAAUUUCCAUUGAUGAGUGCAAAGAAAGAACCGCUAGAUUGCGUGCAAAGAAAGAUUGCUUUAUAAAAGCAUGUUCUUCUAGUUUCCAUGAAAAUAACGAUGAAGAUCUUAAAGUUAUUGAUGCAUCUCCUAUUAGAUCUAUGUUUUGCAAUAUGAAUCUUGAUAAUUAUGGGACUGAUGAUGAGUCAACUUUACCUAGAAGGCAUCCCAAGAAUUCAGAGUUUUUAGAUCUUGAUGCUAAAUUUGGUAAAAGUGGGAUUGGAGAGGUCACAACUUUAAAUAGUAUUGAACCCACUAUCUCAGAUUUCAAGGAUUUUGAUUAUGAUAAUUGUUCUUUAGAAGGUUGUAUUUCCUUGUUGCAAUCCGUUGUUAAUUCUCCUCAUGCUUAUAGUCAAAAUAAAGCUUUUACCAAACAUAUCGUUGAUGCCUUCAUGCAAUCUUAUGAUGAAAAUCUUAAUUUGGAAGUUUCUAUACCUAGAAAACUUAAUGAUGAGUGGGAACCUACUAUAAAGAUUAGAAUCAAAGAUCAUGAGUGUUUUGCUUUGUGUGAUUUGUGCUAGUGUUUCCACGAUUCGAAAACUUUAUGUGAUAUUCUAGGUUUCCAUGAUCUUGAUGAUUGCUCUUUAAAUUUGCACGUUGCGGAUUCCACCAUUAAAAAGCCAAUGGGAAGGAUCAAUGAUGUUCUCAUUGUUGCAAAUAGAAAUUUGGUUCCCGUAGAUUUUAUCGUUCUUGAUAUAGAUUGCAAUCUUUCUUGCCCUAUUAUUCUUGGUAGACCUUUCCUUAUAACGAUUGGCGCGAUUAUUGAUAUGAAGGAAGGGAAUAUUAGAUUCCAAUUUCCAUUAAAGAAAUGCAUGGAGCACUUUGCAAGAAAUAAAGUCAAAUUACCUUAUGAAUCUAUCAUGCAGGCUACUUAUGAAUUUAGUGCCAAAGAUGGCGCUCGUUAGAUCUAUCUUCGCUUUUAUGCCUAGCUAGGGGCGUUAAACGAUAGCGCUAGUUGGGAGGUAACCCAAUUUUAUUUGUGUUUUUUGUUUAUGUUCCUGUUUAGUAAUAAAUCUUGCAUCUACCUUCUGUUUAGAUGUGUUUUUAUCUUUUAAUUAGUGUUUGUGCCAAGUAGAACCUAUAGGAUAACCUAUGAUGAUAGUUGAUUUGAUUCUGCUGAAAAACAGAAACUUUGCACGCACGAAUUUAGUUUUGUUAAAUCACAGAAACGUGUUUUUGCGUUGAUUAUAUUUGCUGUUGAUCAAUAGACAAAUUUUCUAGGACUUCCUAUUUUGGUAGGAUUUUUAGAGUUCCAUAAGUUUGCGUUAGUUACAGAUUUCUACAGACUGUUCUGUUUUUGACAGAUUCUGUUUUUCGUGUGUUCUUUGCUUAUUUCGAUGCAUCUAUGGCUAGUAAAAUAGUUUAUAAACCAUAGAGAAGAUGGAAUACAGUAGUUUUAACACCAAAAUAAAGAAAGAAUGAGUUCGUUACAGUACCAUAUGUGGUGGUUUUGUUUUCUUUCACUAAUGGAGCUUAUAAGAUUUCCUGUUGAGUUUUGUGUUGUGAAGUUUUCAAGUUUUGGGUAAAGCUUUUAUGGAGUAUGGAAUAAGGAGUGGCAAGAGCCUAAGCUUGGGGAUGCCCAUGGCACGCCAAGAUAUUCAAGGAUAGCCCAAAGCCUAAGCUUGGGGAUGCCCCGGGAAGGCAUUCCCUCUUUCGUCUUUGUUCAUUGGUAACUUUACUUGGAGCUAUAUUUUUAUUCGCCACAUGAUAUGUGUUUUGCUUGGAGCGUCGUGUAUUAUAUUAGUCUUUGCUUUUUAGUUUAACACAAUCAUCCUUGCUGUACACACCUUUUGGGAGAAGCCUAUUUUAUUAGAAUUUGCUAGAAUACUCUAUGUGCUUCACUUAUAUCUUUUGAGCUUGAUAGUUUUUGCUCUAGUGCUUCACUUAUAUCUUUUAGAGCACGGAGGUGACUUAUUUUUGUAGAAAUUGCUAGUCUCUCAUGCUUCACUUAUAUUAUUUUGAGAGUCUUUUAGAACAGCAUGGUAUUUUCUAUGGUUAUAAAAUUGGUCCUAGAAUGGUAGGCAUCCAAGUUGGGUAUAAUAAAAACUAUCAUAGGAAGUGAAUUGGAUGCUAUGAUCAGUUUGAUACUUGAAAAUUGUUUUGAGAUAUGGAGGUAGUGAUAUUAAAGUCAUGCUAGUUGGGUGAUUAUGAAUUUAAAGAAUGCUUGUGUUAAAGUUAACAAGUCCGGUAGCAUGCACGUAUGGUUAAAGUUGUGUAACAAAUUUGAAACAUGAAGUGUACCUGGCUUGUGCAUCCUUAUGAGUGGUGCUCGGGGACGAGCGAUGGCCUUUUCCUACCAAUCUAUCCCCCUAGGAGCAUGCGCGUAGUGCUUGAUUUUUGAUGACUUCUAAAUUUUUGCAAUAAGUAUAUGAGUUCUUUUGACUAAUGUUGAGUCCAUGGAUUAUACGCACUUUUACCUUUCCAUCAUUGCUAGCCUCUUCGGUACCGUGCAUUGCCCUUUCUCACCUUGAGAGUUGGUGCAAACAUCGCCGGUGCAUCGAAACCUCGUGAUACGAUACGCUCUAUCACACAUAAACCUCCUUAUAUCUUCCUCAAAAUAGCCACCAUACCUACCUAUUAUGGCAUUUCCAUAGCCAUUCCGAGAUAUAUUGCCAUGCAACUUUCCACCGUUCCGUUCAUCAUCAUCAUGACAUACUUUACUUUUGUCAUAUUGCCAUUGCAUGAUCAUGUAGCUGACAUCGUAUUUGUGGCAAAGCCACCAUGCAUUAUUUUUCAUACAUGUCACUCUUGAUUCAUUGCACCAUCCCGGUACACUGCCGGAGGCAUUCAUAUAGAGUCAUAUCUUGUUCUAGUUUCGAGUUGUAAUUCAUAUGUUGUAAUCAAUGAGAGUGUGAUGAUCAUAAUUAUUAGAGCAUUUCCCAAAAAGAAAAAAAAAGAAAGGCCAAAAAAAAGAAAGGCCAAAGAAAAAAAAGAAAAAAAGAAAAAAAAGAAAAAAAAUAAAAAAAAUAAAAAGGGCAAUGUUACUGUCUCUUUUUCCACACUUGUGCUUCAAAGUAGCACCUUGUUCUUCAUGUAGUGAGUUUCAUAUAUUGUGCUUCAAAGUAGCCCAUGUUUUUCAUAUAGUGAGUCUCAUAAGUUGUCUUUUUCAUACUAGUGAGAAUUUUUCAUUAUAGAACUUGGCUUGUAUAUUUCUACGAUGGGCUUCCUCAAAUGCCCUAGGUCUUUGCGAGCAAGCAAGUUGGAUGCACACCCACUAGUUUUCUUUGGUUGAGCAUUCAUUUAUAUUUCUAGUGCAUCCGUUGCAUGGCAAUCCCUACUCCUCAUGUUGACAUCAAUUGAUGGGCAUAUCCAUAGCCCGUUGAUUAUCCUCGUCAAUGGGAGACUUUCUCCUUUUUUGUCUUCUCCACACAAUCCCCAUCAUCAUAUACUAUUCCACCCAUAGUGCUAUAUCCAUGGCUCACGCUCAUGUACUGCGUGAAGGUUGAAAACGUUUGAGAUUAUUUAAGUAUGAAACAAUUGCUUGGCUUGUCAUCGGGGGUAUAGAAGUUGGGAACAUCUUUGUGUGACGAAAAUGAAGCAUAGCCUAACUAUAUGAUUUUGUAGGGAUGAACUUUCUUUUGCCAUGUUAUUUUGAGAAGACAUGAUUACUUUGAUUAGUAUGCUUGAAGUGUUACUAUUUUUAUCAAUAUGAACUUUUAUUUUGACUCAUUUGGAUCUGAACAUUCAUGCCACAAUAAAGAAAAUUACAUUGAGAAUUAUGCUAGGUAGCAUUCCACAUCAAAAAUUCUCUUUUUAUCAUUUACCUACUCGAGGACGAGCAGGAAUUAAGCUUGGGGAUGCUUGAUACGUCUCCAACGUAUCUAUAAUUUUUGAUUGUUCCAUGCUAUUAUAUUACCCCUUUUGGAUGUUUAUGGUUUUUAAUUUACACAUUUAUAUCAUUUUUGGGACUAACCUACUAACCGGAGGCCCAGCCUGUAUUGCUGUUUUUUUGCCUAUUUCAGUAUUUCGAAGAAAAGGAAUAUCAAAUGGAGUCCAAACGGAAUGAAACCUUCGGGAGCGUGAUUUUGGGAACAAACGUGAUCCAGAGGACUUGGAGUGCAAGUCAAGAAGCAGCCGAGGCAGCCACGAGAUAGGAGGGCGCCCCCCUAUAGGGCGCCCCCUGUCUCGUGGGCCCCUCGGGUGGCCACCGACGUACUUCUUCCUCCUAUAUAAGCCUACGUACCCCGAAAACAUCCAGGGAGCAACCGAAACACAAUUUCCACCGCCGUAACCUUCUGUAUCCGCGAGAUCCCAUCUUGGGGCCUUCGCCGGCGCUCCGCCGGAGGGGGAAUCGACCAUGGAGGGCUUCUACAUCAACACCAUAGCCCCUCCGAUGAGUUGUGAGUAGUUUACCACAGACCUACGGGUCCAUAGUUAUUAGCUAGAUGGCUUCUUCUCUCUUUUUAGAUCUCAAUACAAUGUUCUCCCCCUCUUUUUGCGGUGUGUUUGUCGAGAUCCGAUGAAUUGUGGUUUUAUGAUCAAGUUUAUCUAUGAAUAAUAUUUGAAUCUUCUCUGAAUUCUUUUAUGUAUGAUUGAGUUAUAUUUGCAAGUCACUUCGAAUUAUCAGUUUGGUUUGGCCUACUAGAUUGAUUUUUCUUGCCAUGGGAGAAGUGCUUAGCUUUGGGUUCAAUCUUGUGGUGUCCUUACCCAGUGACGGAAAGGGUUGCAAGGCACGUAUUGUAUUGUUGCCAUCGAGGAUAACAAGAUGGGGUUUAUAUCAUAUUGCUUGAGUUUAUCCCUCUACAUCAUGUCAUCUUGCUUAAAGCGUUAUUCUGUUCUUAUGAACUUAAUACUCUAGAUGCAGGCAAGAGUCGGUCGAUGUGUGGAGUAAUAGUAGUAGAUGCAGGCAGGAGUCGGUCUACUUGUUGCGGACGUGAUGCCUAUAUACAUGAUCAUGCCUAGAUAAUCUCAUAAUUAUUCGCUUUUCUAUCAAUUGCUCGAUAGUAAUUUUUUCACCCACUGUAAUACUUAUGCCAUCUUGAGAGAAGCCACUAGUGAAACCUAUGGCCCCCGGGUCUAUCUCUUAUCAUAUUUGCUUCCAAUCUACUUUUAUUUGCAUCUUUACUUUUUGCAUCUAUCUUAUAAAAUACCAAAAAUAUAUUUAUCUUACCAUACUAUCUCUAUCAGAUCUCAUUUUCACAAGUGGCCGUGAAGGGAUUGACAACCCCUUUAUUGCGUUGGUUGCGAGUUCUUUGUUUGUUUGUGUAGGUGCGUGGGACUUUUGAGGAGCCUCCUAUUGGAUUGAUACCUUGGUUCUCAAAAUCUGAGGGAAAUACUUACGCUACUAUUGUUGCAUCACCAUUUCCUCUUCAAGGAAAACCAACGCAAGCUCAGGACGUAGCAGACCUCCACACAAAGGAAGAGAAUCAAUAAAUAAAUCAUGCUCCAACUUCAUCACAUAAUGGUUCACCAUAAGUGCAUGCUACAAAAAUCACAAACUUUAACACAAGUAUCUCUCAAAUUCACAAUUACUCCACUAGCAUGACUCUAAUAUCACCAUCUUCAUAUCUCAAAACAAUCAUAAGGAAUCAAACUUCUCAGAGUAUUCAAUGCACUUUAUAUGAAAGUUUUUAUUAUACCCAUCUUGAAUGCCCAUUAUAUUAGGACUAAUUUUAUAACCCAAGCAAAUUACCAUGCUAUUCUAAAGACUCUCAAAAUAAUAUAAUUGAAGCACGAGAGUUCAUCUAUUAUAAAACUACCGUCGUGCUCUAAAAGGAUAUAAGUGAAGCACUAGAUCAAAUGACAAACUACUCCGAUAGAUAUAAGUGAAGAUCUAUGAGUAGUCGAAUAAUUAUGUAACUAUGUGGAGACUCUCUAAUAUAUCUUGGGAUAUUAUUCAAACAAAAAGCAAAACUAAAUGAAAUAAAAUGAUGCUCCAAGCAAAACACAUAUCAUGUGGUGAAUAAAAAUAUAGCUCCAAGUAAAGUUACCGAUGAACAAAGACGAAAGAGGGGAUGCCAUCUAGGGCAUCCCCAAGCUUAGGCUCUUGGUUGUCCUUGAAUAUUACCUUGGGGUGCCUUGGGCAUCCCCACGCUUAGGCUCUUGCCACUCCUUAUUCCAUACUCCAUCGGAUCUUUACCCAAAACUUGAAAACUACACAACACAAAACUCAACAGAAAACUCGUAAGCUCUGUUAGUAUAAGGAAAUAAAUCACCACUUUGGAUACUAUUGUGAACUCAUUCUAAAUUCAUAUUGGUGUAAUAUCUAAUGUAUUCCAACUUAUCUAUGGUUCAUACCUGAUACGUUCAUUUUGCAUCAUGCUUUUAUAUCAAUAUUUAUUGCAUUAUGGGCUAUUAUUACACGUUAUGUCACAAUACUUAUGGCUAUUCUCUCUUAUUUUACAAGGUUUACCAUGAAGAGGGGGAAUGCCGGCAAUUGGAAUUCUGGCUGGAAAAGGAGCAAAUAUUGGAAACCUAUUCUGCACAGCUCCAAAAAUCCUGAAACUCCACGGAAGUCACUUUUGGAAUUAAUAAGAAUUAUUGAGCGAAGAAAAUACAAGAGGGGGCCCACACCCUAGCCAGGAGGGUGGGGCCGGGCCCACCCCUAUUGAGCGCGCCCCUGUCUCCUGGGCCCCUGGUGGCCCUCCGGUGCCCAUCUUCUACUAUAUGAAGGCAUUUACCCUGGAAAAAAAAUCAUAAGCAAGCUUACGGGACAAAACUCCUCCGCCACGAGGCGGAACCUUGGCGGAACCAAUCUAGGGCUCUGGCGGAGCUGUUCUUCCGGGGAAACUUUCCUCCGAGAGGGGGAAAUCAUCACCAUCGUCAUCACCAACGAUCCUCUCAUCAGGAGGGGGUCAAUCUCCAUCAACAUCUUCAUCAGCACCAUCUCCUCUCAAAACCCUAGUUCAUCUCUUGUAUCCAAUCUUGUAUCAAAACCACAAAUUGGUACCUGUGGGUUGCUAGUAGUGUUGAUUACUCCUUGUAGUUGAUGCUAAUUGGUUUACUUGGUGGAAGAUCAUAUGUUCAGAUCCUUAAUGCAUAUUAAUACUCCUAUGAUUAUGAACAUGAAUAUGCUUUGUGAGUAGUUACGUUUGUUCCUGAGGACAUGGGUGAAGUCUUGCUAUUAGUAGUCAUGUGAAUUUGGUAUUCGUUCGAUAUUUUGAUGAGAUGUAUGUUGUCUCUCCUCUAGUGGUGUUAUGUGAACAUCGACUAAAUGACCCUUCACCAUUAUUUGGGCCUAGAGGAAGGCAUUGGGAAGUAAUAAGUAGAUGAUGGGUUGCUAGAGUGACAGAAGCUUAAACCCUAGUUUAUGCGUUGCUUCGUAAGGGGCUGAUUUGGAUCCACUAGUUUCAUUCUAUUGUUAGGUUUACCUUAAUACUUCUUUUGUAGUUGCGGAUGCUUGCAAUAGGGGUUAAUCAUAAGUUGGAUGCUUGUCCAAGAAAGGGCAGUACCCAAGCACCGGUCCACCCACAUAUCAAAUUAUCAAAGUACCGAACGCGAAUCAUAUGAGCGUGAUGAAAACUAGCUUGACGAUAAUUCCCAUGUGUCCUUAGGGGUGCUUUCCUCAUUAUAAGAAAUUGUCCAGGCUUGUCCUUUGCUACAAAAGGAUUGGGCCACCUUGCUGCACUUUAUUUACUUUCAUUGCUUGUUACCCGUUACAAAUUAUCUUAUCACAAAACUAUCUGUUACCUACAAUUUCAAUGUUUGCAGAGAAUACCUAACUGAAAACCGCUUGUCAUUUCCUUCUACUCCUCGUUGGGUUCGACAGUCUUACUUAUCGAAAGGACUACGAUAGAUCCCCUAUAUUUGUGGGUCAUCAAGACUCUUUUCUAGCGCCGUUGCAGGGGAGUUAAGCGCCUUGUGUGAGUGGAACUUGGUAAGGAAACAUUUAUAUAGUGUGUUGAAAUUUUUUGUCACUUGUUACUAUGGAAACUAAUCCUUUGAGGGGCUUGUUCGGGGUAUCUUCACCCUGACCAGUAGAGCAAAGAGUUUCUCCUCAACGUACUGAACCUACUUAAAAUGUUUACUUUGAGAUUCCUUCGGGUAUGAUAGAGAAACUGCUAGCUAAUCCCUUUGCAGGAGAUGGAACAUUGCAUCCCGAUUUACACCUUAUCUUUGCGGAUGAAGUUUGUGGAUUAUUUAAGCUUGCAGGUAUUCCCGAUGAUGUUGUCAAAAGGAAGGUCUUCCCUUUAUCUUGGAAGGGAGAUGCGUUGACAUGGUAUAGGCUAUGUGAUGAUACGGGAUCUUGGAAUUAUAAAUGAUUGAAGUUGGAAUUUCACCAGAAGUUCUAUCCUAUGCAUCUUGUCCAUCGUGAUCAUAAUUACAUAUAUAAUUUCUGGCCUCGCGAAGGAGAAAGCAUCGCUCAAGCUUGGGGGAGGCUUAAGUCAAUGUUAUAUUCAUGCCCCAAUCAUGAACUCUCAAGAGAUAUGAUUAUUCAAAAAAAUUAUGCUCGGCUUUCUCUCAAUGAUCGCACCAUGCUCGAUACUUCCUGUGUUGGUUCUUAUAUGCUGAAGACUACUGAAUUCAAGUGGGAUUUAUUGGAAAGAAUUAAACGCAACUCUGAAGAUUGGGGUUCUGACGAUGGUAAGGAGUCAGGUAUAACACCUAAGUUUGAUUGUGUUAAAUCUUUUAUCGAUACCGAUGCUUUUCAUGGAUUUAGCGCUAAGUAUGGACUUGACUCUGAGAUAGUAGCUGCCUUUUGUGAAUCUUUUGCUACUCACGUUGAUCUCCCUAAGGAGAAGUGGUUUAAAUAUAAUCCUCCCAUCAAAGUAAAAGUAGUUGCACUAAUUACAGUUGAAGAAAAGACUAUCACUUAUAAUGAUCCUAUUGUUCCUACUAGUUAUGUUGAGAAACCACCUUUUCCUGUUAGGAUGAAGGAUCAUGCUAAAUCUUCAACUGUUGUUCGUAAGAGUAAUACUAGAACUUAUACACCCCCUGAGCAAAUCAAAGUUGAACCUAGUAUUACUAUGGUUAAAGAUCUCUUGGAUGAUAAUAUAGAUGGGCAUGUUAUUUAUUUCUGUGGUGAAACUGCUAAUAUUGCUAGACCAGAUGCUAAAAUACAUAGACCUGUUGUAGGCAUGCCUGUUAUUUCUGUUAAAAUAGGAGAUCAUUGUUAUCAUGGAUUAUGUGAUAUGGGUGCUAGUGCUAGUGCAAUGCCCUUUGACUUAUAUAAAGAAAUUAUGCAUGAUAUUGCACCUGCUGAAAUAGAAGGUAUUGAUGUUACUAUUAAGCUUGCCAAUAGGGACACCAUUAAGCCCGUUGGGAUUGUUAGAGAUGUUGAAGUCUUGUGUGGGAAAGUUAAAUAUCCUACUUAUUUUCUUGUUCUUGGUUCCCCACAAGAUGACUUUUGUCCCAUUAUAUUUGGUAGACCCUUCUUGAAUACUGUUAAUGCUAGGAUUGAUUGUGAAAAGGAUAUUGUUACAAUUGGCUUAGGGGAUAUGUCUCAUGAGUUUAAUUUUGCUAAGUUUCAUAGACAAUCCCGUGAUAAAGAAUCACCUAGUAAGGAUGAGAUUAUUGGUCUUGCUUCUAUUGCCGUGCCUCCUACUGAUCCGUUAGAACAAUAUUUGCUAGACCAUGAAAAUGAUAUGUUUAUGAAUACAAGAAGGGAAAUCGAUGAAGUGUUCCUUCAACAGGGUCCUAUUUGAAAUCCUAGGGGAUCCCCCUCCACCCCAGGGUGAUCCUGUGUUUGAGCUCAAACCAUUACCUGAUAAUCUUAAGUAUGCUUAUCUUGAUGAAAAGAAAAUAUAUCCUAUUAUUAUUAGUGCUAACCUUUCACAGCAAGAAGAAGAAAGAUUAUUGAAAACUCUGAAGAAGCACAGUGCUGCUAUUGGAUAUACUCUAGAUGAUCUUAAGGGCAUUAGUCCCACUCUAUGCCAACACAAAAUUAAAGUGGAGAAAGAUGCCUAACCAGUUAGAGAUCCUCAACGACGGUUAAAUCCUAAGAUGAAAGAAGUGGUAAGAAAGGAGAUAUUGAAGCUCCUUGAGGCAGGUAUAAUUUAUCCCGUUGCUGAUAGUGAAUGGGUAAGUCCUGUCCAUUGUGUUCCUAAAAAGGGAGGUAUUACUGUCGUUCCUUAUGAUAAAGAUGAAUUGAUCCCGCAAAGAAUUAUUACAGGUUAUAGGAUGGUAAUUGAUUUUCGUAAAUUAAAUAAAGCUACUAAGAAAGAUCAUUACCCUUUACCUUUUAUUGAUCAAAUGCUAGAAAGAUUAUCCAAACAUACACAUUUCUGCUUUCUAGAUGGUUAUUCUGGUUUCUCUCAAAUACUUGUGUCAGCGGAGGAUCAAUCAAAAACUACUUUUACUUGCCCUUUCGGUAGUUUUACUUAUAGACGUAUGCCUUUUGAUUUAUGUAAUGCACCUUCUACCUUUCAAAGAUGCAUGAUGGCUAUAUUCUAUGACUUUUGUGAAAAGAUUUGUGAGGUAUUCAUGGAUGAUUUCUCCGUUUAUGGGUCCUCUUUUGAUGAUUGCUUGAGCAACCUUGAUCGAGUUUUGCAGAGAUGUGAAGACACUAGUCUCGUCUUGAAUUGGGAAAAGUGCCACUUUAUGGUUAAUGAAGGAAUUGUCUUGGGGCAUAAGAUUUCCAAGAGAGGUAUUGAAGUUGAUAAAGCUAAAGUUGAUGCUAUUGAAAAGAUGCCAUGUCCCAAGGACAUAGAAGGUAUAAGAAGUUUCCUUGGUCAUCCCAGUUUUUAUAGGAGGCUCAUUAAGGACUUUUCUAAAAUCUCUAGGCCUCUGACUAAUUUAUUGCAAAAAGAUAUUCCUUUUGUCUUUGAUGAUGAUUGUGUAGAACCGUUUGAAAUACUUAAGAAAGCUUUGAUCACUGCACCUAUUGUUCAGCCACCUGAUUGGAGUUUACCCUUUGAAAUUAUGUGUGAUGCUAGUGAUUAUGCUGUAUGUGUUGUUCUAGGGCAAAGAGUUGAUAAGAAAUUAAAUGUUAUCCAGUAUGCUAGUAAAACUCUUGAUACUGCCUAGAGAAAUUAUGCUACUACUGAAAAAGAGUUCUUAGCAGUUGUAUUUGCUUGUGAUAAGUUCAGACCUUAUAGUGUUGAUUCUAAAGUUACUAUUCACACUGAUCAUGCUGCUAUUAAAUAUCUUAUGGAAAAGAAAGAUGCUAAGCCUAGACUAAUUAGAUGGGUUCUCUUGCUCCAAGAAUUUUAUUUGCAUAUUCUUGAUAGAAAGGGAGCUGAGUACCCCGUUGCAGACAACCUGUCUAGGUUAGAGAAUGUUCUUGAUGACCCACUACCUAUUGAUGAUAGCUUUCCUGAUGAACAAUUAGCGUUCAUUAAUGCUUCUUGUACUGCUCCUUGGUAUGCUGAUUAUGCUAAUUACAUUGUUGCUAAAUUUAUACCACCUAGUUUCACAUACCAGCAAAAGAAAAAGUUCUUUUAUGAUUUAAGACAUUGCUUCUGGGAUGACCCACACCUUUAUAAAGAAGGAGUAGAUGGUGUUAUUAGACAUUGUGUACCUGAGCAUGAACAGGAACAGAUUCUACGCAAGUGUCACUCUGAAUCGUAUGGAGGACACCACGCUGGAGAUAGAACUGCACAUAAGGUAUUGCAAUCUGGUUUUUAUUGGCCUACUCUCUUCAAAGAUGCUCGUAAGUUUGUCUUGUCUUGUGAUGAAUAUCAAAGAAUUGGUAAUAUUAGUAGACAUCAAGAAAUUCCUAUGAAUUAUUCUCUUGUUAUUGAACCAUUUGAAGUUUGGGGCUUUGAUUAUAUGGGACCUUUUCCCGCCUCUAAUGGUUACACACAUAUUUUAGUUGCUGUUGAUUACGUUGCUAAGUGGGUAGAAGCUAUUCCAACUAGUAGUGCUGAUCAUAACACCUCUAUUAAGAUGCUUAAAGAAGUUAUUUUUCCAAGGUUUGGAGUCCCUAGAUAUCUUAUGACUGAUGGUGGUUCACAUUUUAUUCAUGGUGCUUUCUGUAAGAUGCUUGCUAAGUAUGAUGUUAAUCAUAGAAUUGCAUCUCCUUAUCACCCGCAGUCUAGUGGUCAAGUAGAAUUGAGCAAUAGAGAGAUCAAAUUAAUUUUGCAAAAGACUGUUAAUAGAUCUAGAAAGAAUUGGUCCAAGCCACUUGAUGAUGCAUUAUGGGCCUAUAGAACUGCACAUAAAAAUCCUAUGGGUAUGUCUCCGUAUAAGAUGGUAUAUGGAAAAGCAUGUCACUUAGCUCUCAAACUUGAACAUAAAGCAUAUUGGGCUAUUAAAGAGCUCAACUAUGACUUCAAACUUGCCGGUGAGAAGAGGUUAUUUGAUAUUAGCUCACUUGAUGAAUGGAGAACCCAAGCCUAUGAGAAGGCCAAGCUGUUCAAAGAAAAAGUUAAAAGAUGGCAUGACAAAAGGAUACAAAAGCGUGAGUUUAACGUAGGUGAUUAUGUGUUGCUAUUCAACUCUCGUUUAAGAUUUUUUGUAGGAAAACUUCUCUCCAAAUGGGAAAGUCCUUACGUUAUCGAGGAGGUCUAUCGUUCUGGUGCCAUAAAAAUCAACAACUUCGAAGGCACAAGUACGAGGGUGGUGAACGGUCAAAGAAUCAAACAUUAUAUCUCAGGUAAUCCUAUCAAUGUUGAAACUAAUAUUAUUGAAACGAUAAACCUGGAGGAAUACAUAAGGGAAACUUUCCAGAAUGUUUCGGACUCCAAAAAGGAAUAGGUAUGUGGUACGGUAAGUAAACCGACUCCAAAACAGUUCUAAUGGCAAUUUUUCUCCGUUUUGGAAUAUUUAAGAAUUUUGGGAAGCGAGAAGUAAUCCGGGAAGGACACGAGGCAUCCACGAGGGUGGAGGGCGCGCCCACCCUUACUGGGCACGCCCCCCGGUCUCGUGGGCACCCCGUGUGCCUCCCAGACUCCGUUUUCUUGCAUGUUACGUAUUUUGGUCGGUAAAAAUUCAUUAUUUAAUCUCUCGAAGGUUUUGACCAUCGUAUCACGCAAAACUCCUCUGUUUUUGUUUCGAGUUGUUCCUGUUGCAUAAUUAGAGCAAGAUGUCUUCUCAAGAGUUAGUCGGGGAGAGUCGGGUGUCUCACCCCCAGGUGUCGUGGUUCUAAGCCUGAUAGUAUAAUAGGGUGGUAGGUAUGGAGAGGCAAGAUCCUAGCUAUGGAGUAGUUGUGUACGCAAGGGAUGUACGAGUUCAGGCCCUUCUCGGAGGAAGUAACAGCCCUACGUCUCGGAGCCCAGAGGCGGUCGACUGGAUUUUAUGCGUAUGAGUUACAGAGGUGCGAACCCUUCUACCUGUGGAGGGGGGUGGCUUAUAUAAAGUGCGCCAGGACCCCAGCCAGCCCACGUAAUGAGGGAUUCAAUGUACAUUAAGGCCGGGCGUUACUGGUAAUGCCAUACAUAAAGUGCUAUCAUGACAAUAAAGACUACUUAAUAACAAACCGUUUGUGUGUGGAGCGACUCUAGAUCUCCUAGUGGUCGAGUGAGUGGCUUCAUGGUCGAGUGUCUUCGAGUCCAUCGAGUGGAAUCCUUCCAAGUCGACUGAAAAGCAGUUUCUUCUAAAGAUGUCCUUGGGGAGGGUACCUUGGACAGGUCCAUGACCCUACCCUAGGUACAUGGCUUCAUCAUUAGCCCCCGAAUGGAUCGAGGUUUGAGUGAGGAAGGAGUUGAGAAUUCUUCCGACCUGUUUUUCGUGCUACGAGUGUGUCUUGUUCUGGACCAUUGACUUUUAGUGAUGGCAUCAACUUCUUUUUCAGUCGCCUUGAUCCAUUCUUUUUAUUUGUCGAGUGACCUUUAUGAGCUUGGAGAUUUCCGAGCGACGGAUCGGAGGAAAUCUGCAGUCUGACAAGUUGCUCUACUGUUCGCGGAUUUAGCGGGAUCCGAAUUUCGGGAAGCGCGCGAAGCAGAGGAGGCUGUGGUACUCGGAUGGGAUAAGGCAGGGACGCCUCGAUCUUCGUGCCACCUUUUUCGCCACGUAUCGCGCGCGUGACUGUUGCGGGAUUUGACAGGAUCGUCCGGGCCUACCAGUCAGCCACUCAGAAGAGACUUCAUAUAAGGCGCCGGACGGUUUUUUUUUUAACAAUGCGCCCUCAUUUUCCCCUCUUUCUUCCUCAGAUUCACCUGAUGUGUUCGCCACCGUCCCAGCGCUGUUACUCUGUGUCUGCUUCGCCGGCGACGAUGGUGAAGGAGAAGACAGUGGCUUUGGAGCGGGCGAAGAAGGCGACGGCGAAGGCGAAGGGGAGGGCGACCAGUCGGGGUGGAUCCUCGUCGCGGGCCGGUAUGCCGCAGGGCUGGAUCCAGGGUGAUUGGAUCCGCUCGACCAUCAGCCAGAAGGACCUCGACGACCUGGCCAACGAAGGACUGAUCCCCCAUGGAUCAGCGAGGCUUCCGGGGAAAGAGUGGCAGCCGUAGCCUCAGGAGGGUGAGUGCGUCCUCUUAGCCACCCACGUUGACCGCGGGUUUUCUCUACCGACGAAUCCUUUCUUUCGGGGAUUUCUGAACUUCUUUGGGGCACAACUCCACCACUUCACACCCAACUCUAUCGUCUAUCUCACUGCUUUCGUGUCCUUGUGUGAGAACUUCUUGGGUUGUCGGCCGCAUUGGGGCCUUUUCAAACACAUUUUCACCUGUCGCUCUCAGACGGUAAAAAAGGCUAGUCCGAGUGACGAGAAAACCCAAGUAAUCCAAAUGUGUGGGGGUCUUGGGGUUCAGAUGAGGAGUAAAAGUGCUUUUUCCAGCCAUGAUCCCUCCCGAGUCAGUCCGAGGGUGGCAGUCGACCUGGUUCUACUGCCAAGACCAGCCGACGCCAGGGCAUUCGACUAGACUCCCUCCUUUCUCCAUGGACCGAGUGAACAAGUCGUCCUCUCUGAAGGUGGUCCCGGAGGAGAAGGCUUAGGUUAAGGUGUUGGUAGAGCGUGUAGUCCAGCUCAUCCGCGACGGGGUGACUGGCAUGGAUCUUCUGGAGGUUUUCCUUCGACGGCGCAUUCAGCCACUUCAAUAUUGAGGCCAUCCGAUGUGGAUGUACUCUAGUACCGAAGACACCACUCGGGUCCACCCGGAGGAGGUCGACGAUGACACUCUGGAGAGGUGGAUGACUGCCAUCACAGGGAACAAAGAUAACCCCGUGGAGCCAGAAGGAUCCCGCCACUCGACCAGUCAUACGAACCAGACAAGGUAUGAUCACGUAUCUCCGACCGUGACCCUGUUUCCUUCAUUCUGUUUUGCUACCAUUCGGUAGACUGACUUUUGUCUUGUUUGUUGUCUUCCAGAUCACUACCGAGAUGUAUUCGAUGCCCAACGGGGCGCAAGAACAGAACGAAGAGGAGGAAGGGAGUGGGGGUGAAAGUCAAGAGGAGUGGGAAUCCGAUGGUGAGGAGGGUGAAGAAGAUGCCGGCUCUGAUGAGGAAGAGGAGGAGGAAGAGGAGGAUGAAGUCGAGCCUCCCUGUACAGGAAGAUGCCGGCUCGUCCAUGACCCUGCAGUUGAGCGUGGCAAGGCGGCCACGCCUAUUGGGCAGUCAACCAAAUGUCCUUGGACGACCUCUCUGGUGCCAACUGAGAAAGUGCCGAAGCAACCCCGAGUAGCGUCAUCAAAACCGAUGAAGGUCCUGCCGAAGAUGAGGAUGGUGAUUCCCACUAUUUCCGGGUAAUGGCAUAACUUGUGUUUUCUUGUUUAACAUGGAUACACUCUUGGUCGGCUCGUUCGCUGACCGACUAAUUUCUGAAAUCGCAGUGCUGCUAAUUCUGAGACCUCGACCAGACAUGAAGAUCAAGAAAUGGAGGAUGCUAUCACUUCCAACCCUGGUAUGAUCUUUGUAGUUUCGCUUUCGGUCGAUAGGAUCUUCAUUUUUAACUUUGAAUCUUUUCUGUAGCUCCACCUAAUAUCAUCAUUGAUCUUCCUGAUGAUGACGAUGAGGAGCCACUAAGGCAGAGGAGGAACAGGAAGACGUCUGCUGGCAAGACUGCUCAGGUCGUAUCAGCACCUGAGACGCUGGUUCCGGAGGGGGGCAACAUCACUCGGACUACCGUGUCCUUUGCUGUGCCGCUGACGAGUGCUCGCCCUUCGUCGUCGAGUGCUGAUCCGCCUUCCCUUUUCUCCACCCACCAUGUCCCAGAGGACCAAGCAGGCGCUGCUAAAGAAGCUAUACGCCAGGCGGGGGUCAUGAUGGAGCAGGUGAAGGCGAUCCGAGAUGCCAGUCAAGCGGCUUAUGAUGCAAGUUCAGCCCUUCAGAGCAAUGUCCAGGUUAGUUGAUCACCGCCUGUUCUGUUAGGAUAUGGUACCUGAAAACUUUUCUUUCUGAAGAUCUUACUAUCUGUCGUCCACCUACUAGGUGUGUCGAUUGAAUAUCUGGAUUGGUGGGGGCACGCCGAGUGCACCCACUGGGUGUAGUCCCCGAGACUAUGGUGGACUGUUGGCAGUCGAUUAUAGUCUUUAUACCUUGAACUUUUUCUCUUUACUCUCUCCACUCGAUCCGGUCGAAUGGAAUCAUGGAACCAGUGGGGGCACGCUGAGUGCACCCAUUUGGUGUAGUCCCCGAGACCGUGGUCGACUGCUGGCAAUCGACUAUGGUCUGAAGAACAUUUUUUUUGAAACUAUGGCUAACUGCUGGUAGUUAGCCUUUUUUGUCUCUUUUGGUCAACUGAUCGACCCGAGCCGAUAGAACUAGUGGGGGCACGCUGGGUGCACCCACUGGGUGUAGUCCCUGAGACUACAGUUGAAUAUUUUGAUUCGGCUGUAGUCUUAAAAAUACUACGAUCUUUCUCUUAGUCACUCGGGAGUGACCUAUCUUUGACGUCUGUCGAUUGAUCUUUCGCAGAAAUCUUGCGAGCUUGUGGCCCGUUAUACUGAGUUGGAGAACAAGCAUAUCCAGCUCAAACUUGAUCUGAAGCUUGUCCAAGAGAACUUUACGAAGGCGAAGGAGGAGGCAAAAGGUAUGUUUAGUGAGAACCUUGAUGACUGCCCUUAUUUCUUGUCCAUUCCUGAGUCUGAUCUCACUGUCAUUUUGCAGAUAAACUGAAGGAUGCUCUGAAUAAGAAGGACCUUGACCUUGCCGAGGCACAAAAAGCGGCUUCGGACAAGACGAAACUUGCAGAAGAAAAGCUGGCUUCAAUCAGCAAACUUGAAGAGGAGAAUACCAAUCUGAAAGCUCCUCUCGACGCGGCCAACAAGGAGGUCAGUUGACUGAAGAAUGACAAGAUAGCCCUGAGCGACAAGGCUAGCGAACUGGCGGGAAAGAAGAAUGAUCUAGAGGUUUAUAUGGGAGGACUCGCCAAGAAGCUAUUCCUCAUGCUUGAAGAUAAUCUCUUAUAUCUGACUGGCUUGUAAUUAUGGACUUACCACAAAACUGCGGGCUUAUCUUUGGGUUGUGUUUACAGAAUUCUGCCAAAACUUUGAGGAAGAAACUGGUCGAGUGGAGACAAGCCUGGAUCCCAUCAACUCUCCUGUGAAGGAUGAAGCCGCCAUGAACGUGCUCCGACUCAAGUCUCGCGUUACUGCUGUGGUCGACUAUCUUGCUAGACUGAAGGUUGCAACGUCGCGCAUCGACACAACACUCUGGCUGGGGGAAACACUUCAGAAUGACCUCGAGUCUCUGAUGACUCGACUGAACGAAGUUCCAAGUCAAGAAUGGAAGAAGACUUCUGCCAGGUGUGGUGCUGAUGUUGCUCUGUCUCUGGUCCGUGUUCACUGCAAGGACGCGCGAGAGGACAAGCUGGUGUCUCUCAAGGUUGCCAAUACCAAGAAGCAUGACUUCCGAUCUUUCAUGGAGACCUUCAUUGCUGCUGCCACUCGGAUUGCAGAUGGAAUCGACCUGGACGAGUUUUUCCCGCCUUCCAGUCCUCCACAGGAGGAGUAAAAAACUUGUAUGCUUGAUGCCUUAAAUUUGCCUCGAAAUGCUGAGUGGUUUUUGUAACCGGUAAACUUUAACAGGCUUGGUGCCUGAGAACUUCUGGAUCCAUAGGAUGCUAUCUGAACUUGGGUUUGCCGUUGAAUACGUUUGCAUUUGUCUUCGAACGAACAUUGUUCUUCCCUCGGAAUAUAUGCUAGUGCUUGUGAUGCACUCUUGCAGGUAGGUAUGAAGCACAGAUUGCAGUCGACUUGCAUUCUUGCGGAUCCGGAUGGAGUGUACAUUGUAUUUGUGGCGGAGCUCUGAAGGGGAAGGUAGCAGUCGACUUGCACCUCGUCAUCCUUGCAGAGCGGAAUGAAUCUCAUACUUAGGCUAGCACUGGGCUGCAGCUAAGCCCCCGAGUGGGAGGUUUGCUCUCCAUUCGGUAGAACUUUCAAAAACUUAGGCAAGCACUGGGCUGCAGCUAAGCCCCCGAGUGGGAGGUUUGCUCUCCACUCGGUAGGAUUUUCAAAAACUUAGGCGAGCACUGGGCUGCAGCUAAGCCCCCGAGUGGGAGGUUUGCUCUCCNNNNNNNNNNNNNNNNNNNNNNNNNNNNNNNNNNNNNNNNNNNNNNNNNNNNNNNNNNNNNNNNNNNNNNNNNNNNNNNNNNNNNNNNNNNNNNNNNNNNNNNNNNNNNNNNNNNNNNNNNNNNNNNNNNNNNNNNNNNNNNNNNNNNNNNNNNNNNNNNNNNNNNNNNNNNNNNNNNNNNNNNNNNNNNNNNNNNNNNNNNNNNNNNNNNNNNNNNNNNNNNNNNNNNNNNNNNNNNNNNNNNNNNNNNNNNNNNNNNNNNNNNNNNNNNNNNNNNNNNNNNNNNNNNGUAGCUCGGAAGGAGAAGGUAGCAGUCGACCUGCACCUCGUCCUCCUUGCAGAGCGCACAUUGUAUUUGUGGCGUAGCUCGGAAGGAAAAGGUAGCAGUCGACUUGCACCUCGUCCUCCUUGCGGAUCGCACAUCAUAUUUGUGGCGUAGCUCGAAAGGAGAAGGUAGCAGUCGACCUGCACCUCGUCCUCCUUGCGGAGCGCAAAUUGUAUUUUUACUUAGGCGAGCACUGGGCUGCAGCUAAGCCCCCGAGUGGGAGGCUGGCUCACCACUCGGCAGGAUUUUGUUAAACUUAGGCGAGUACUUGGACUGCAGCUAAGCCUCUGAGUGGGAGGAUGGCUCACCACUCGGCAGGAUUUUGUUAAACUUAGGCGAGUACUUGGACUGCAGCUAAGCCCCUGAGUGGGAGGCUGGCUCACCACUCGGUAGGAUUUGAAAGUACUUAGGCAAAACAGAUUCGCAGCUAAGCCCCCGAGUGGGAGGAUGGCUCAUCACUCCGUAGGAUUUGAAAGUACUUAGGCGAAACGGAUUCGCAGCUAAGCCCCCGAGUGGGAGACUGGCUCACCACUCGGCAAGGAUUUUUUUUACAAACUUAGGCGAAACGGAUUCGCAGCUAACUGCUCAUGUAAACAAAAGUAACAACAAUCACUGGGAAAAUUAUAACACUCUCGUCUUUGAUAAAUAAACUACAAAAGUACUUUUAUUACAUCUCAUCCGAGUGAAUACUUAAGUAUAAAAGGGGCAGAGUAGCUCCGCGUUCCAAGCUCGGGGCUCGUCAAUCUGGUGACCGACAUUGUAAAGGCGGUAUGCCCCGUUGUGGAGAACUUUGGUGACGAAGAAGGGACCUUCCCAAGUAGGAGCAAGCUUGUGUGGCUUCUGCUGUUCCACUCGGAGAACCAAAUCUCCUUCUUGGAAGGCUCGACUCUUCACAUUUUUGGCAUGGAAGCGACGUAAGUCCUGCUGAUAAAUGGUCGAUCGGAUCAUUGCCAUCUCUCUUUCUUCUUCUAGAAGAUCGACUGCGUCCUGUCGGGCUUGCUCUGCUUCAUCUUCAGUGUAGAGUUCGACUCGGGGUGCGUUGUGAAGCAGGUCACUCGGCAAGACUGCUUCAGCUUCGUAGACCAAGAAGAACAGAGUACUCCCAGUCGACCGAUUAGGUGUGGUCCUUAAUCCCCAAAGUACUGACGGAAGUUUGUCGAACCAUGCACCAGCCGCGUGCUUGAGAUCGCGCAUCGGUCGGGGUUUCAGCCCUUUGAGAAUUAAACCAUUUGCUCGUUCUGCCUGUCCAUUUGAUUGGGGGUGAGCGACUGAAGCAUAGUCGACUCCUGUGCCCUGAGAUGUGCAAAAGGCUCUGAAUACCUCGGAAUCAAAGUUUGACCCAUUAUCAGUGAUGAUGCUAUGUGGAACUCCAUAUCUGAAUAUCAACUCUAUGAUGAAGCUGACAGCAGUGCCGGCAUCAAGAUUCUUGAUGGGUUUAGCUUCAAUCCACUUAGUGAACUUGUCGACUGCCACCAGCACAUUGGUGAAGCCGCUUCUGCCUGUUCUCAGUUGUCCAACCAUAUCCAAUCCCCAUACAGCGAAAGGCCAGAUGAGUGGAAUGGUCUUCAAGGCUGAGGCGGGGUUGUGUGACAUAUUGGAGUAAAAUUGACAUCCUUCACACUUGUCGACUAUCUCCUUUGCCAUUUCAUUUGCUCUUGGCCAGUAAAAUCCCACUCGGUAUGCUUUAGCCACAAUGGUUUGAGAGGACGCAUGAUGGUCACAGGUCCCCGAGUGGAUAUCGUCAAGGAUUAUCCGACCUUCUUCUAGCGUUAUAUAUUUCUGACCAACUCCAGUCACGCUUUCUCUGUACAACUCUCCCUUUAUCACGAUGAAGGCUUUGGAUCGGCGGACGAUCUGUCAAGCCUCUUCCUCAUUCUCUGGGAGCUCUUUCCUUAAGAUAUACGUGAUGUACGGCUCUGUCCAAUUGGGAGUGAUGACCAACGCUUCCAUGAUCAGGUUGACCACCGCUGGAACUUCAACUUCAGUCGGAUCUGUGACACUUUUUCGCUGCGGAGCUUCUUCGGUAAAAGGAUCUUCCUGAAUUGAUGGAGUAUGGAUAUGUUCCAAGAACACAUUACUGGGAAUGGCUUCUCUCUUGGAACCUAUCUUUGCCAAAUCAUCAGCCGCUUGAUUCUUCAGUCGGGGUAUAUGAUGGAGCUCUAACCCUUCAAAUUUCUUCUCAAGCUUUCUUACUGCAUUGCAGUAACCAGUCAUGGCUGGGCUUCUGACGUCCCACUCCUUCAUCACCUGAUUGACCACCAAAUCUGAGUCGCCAUAAACCAUAAGGCGACAGACGCCGAGUGAAAUGGCCAUGCGCAACCCAUACAAAAGUGCUUCGUAUUCUGCUUCAUUGUUGGAGGAAUCAAAGUGGAUCUGGAGCACAUAUCCGAGCUUAUCUCCUCGGGGGGAAACCAAUACUACCCCAGCACCGGAACCAUUCAACAUCUUAGAACCGUCAAAGAACAUGGUCCAGUGCUUCGAGUGAACUUGAGUCGGUAGUUGCUGUUCAAUCCACUAGGCGAUGAAAUCUGCUAUUUCUUGGGACUUAAUGGCUUUCUUUGCCUCAAACCUGAUAUCAAGGGGAAGGAGUUCAAUCGCCCAUUUUUCCACUCGACCAGUUGCAUCUCUGUUGUGCAGAAUCUCUGACAAUGGGGCGUCGCUAAGAGAAAUAAUGAGCAACCUUCUUUGUCGUCAUGUAAAUCCCAUAUACAAGCUUCUGAUAAUGAGGGUAUCUUUGCUUCGAUGGGGUCAAUACUUCGGAAAGAUAAUAUACUAGGCACUGAACUUUGAAGGCUUUCCCUUCUUCUUCCCGCUCGACCGUAAGUACUGUACUGACGACUUGUCCUGUGGCUGCAAUGUAAAGAAACAAAGGCUCUUUGCUGAUUGGAGCAGCAAGCACUGGCUAGGUGGAGAGCAGAGCUUUUAGCUCUGCAAACGCUGCAUCAGCUUCUGGAGUCCACUCGAACUUGUCUGACUUCUUCAUUAGUCGGUAAAGAGGCAAUGCCUUUUCACCGAGGCGAGAGAUGAAUCGACUUAACGCGGCCAAGCAUCCAGUAAGUUUCUGGCCAUCGUGCACAUGUACGAGGCGUUUCAUUCGGAGUAUAGUGCCACUUUUUCUGGGUUGGCGUCGAUUCCUCGUUCGGAAAUGAGAAAACCGAGUAACUUUCCACCAGGAACUCUGAAUGUGCACUUUUAUGGAUUAAGCUUGAUAUCAUACCUCCUGAGAUUGGCAAAUGUUUCAGCGAGGUCAGUCAACAAGUUGGAACCCUUCUGUGAUUUGACCACAAUAUCAUCCAUGUAUGCUUCCACGUUCCGACUGAUUUGAGUGAGUAAACACUUCUGAAUCAUCCUCAUGAACGUGGAUCCGGCAUUCUUGAGGCCGAAUGGCAUGGUGACAUAGUAGAAGCACCCGAAUGGAGUGAUGAAAGCUGUUUUGAUCUCGUCGGGUCCAUACAGACGGAUCUGAUGGUAACCAGAAUAAGCAUCUAAAAAAGACAGGCGCUCACAUCCCGCAGUUGAGUCGACUAUUUGGUCGAUGCGGGGGAGAGGAAAAUGAUCUUUCGGGCAGGCCAGAUUGAUAUGUUUGAAAUCAAUGCACAUGCGAAGUGACUUGUCCUUCUUGGGGACCAUGACAACAUUGGCAAGCCACUCGGAGUGGUAAAUUUCUCGGAUAAACUCUGCUGCCAGGAGCCGAGCCACCUCCUCGCCAAUGUCCUUUAUUUUCUAGACGGCGGACCGUCGAAGAUGUUCUUUGACAGGUUUCGCUUUUGAGUCGACUCGUAAAUGAUGCUCAGCCAGCCCCCUGGGAACACCUGGCAUGUCAGCAGGCUUCCAUGCAAAGAUUUCCCAGUUGUCACGGAGGAACUGGAUGAGCACUUCUUCCUAUUUAGAGUCGAGUAUUGUGGAGAUAUGAGUCAGAGCAGCACUGGGGUCGGUCGGGUGAAUGUGAACGGGCUUCGUCUCACCAGACGACUGGAACGCUGACACUGUGGCGGGCUUCUUGGCCCGCAAUAAAUAACUCGGAUCUGCAUUUUUCUGGUAUUCUUGCAGCUCCACCACUGUUAUCUGAGCAUCGGCAAUCUUUGAGCCCUUCUGAAAGCACUCUUCUGCCUUUUUCCGAUUGCUAGUGAUGGUGAUCACACCCUUGGGACCAGGCAUCUUCAAUUUGCGGUACACGUAACAUGGUCGAGCCAUGAAUCGUGCAUAAGCUGGCCUGCCUAAAAUAGCGUGAUAAGCACUCUGGAAAUCCACAACUUCAAAUGUUUACUUUUCUUUGCGGAAAUGCUUUGAAUCGCCGAAAACCACAACAAGAGCAAUUUGGCUGAGUGACUCAGCCUUCUUCCCAAGAAUGACUCCAUGGAAACUCAUGUUGCUGGAACUGAGUCUGGACAUCGGAAUGCCCAUUCCUUUCAGCGUCUCCACAUACAAUAUAUUCACGCCGCUGCCACCAUCCAUCAGAACCUUAGUCAGUCGAGUUCCUUCAACGACUGGGUUGACCACCAAAGCUUGCCUCCCAGGGGUGGCUAUGUGUGUCGGAUGAUCAGACUGGUCGAACGUGAUGGCAGUCCGGGACCAUUUCAGAUAACUGGGUGUCGCCGGAGCAACCAUAUUCACCUCACGGUUGAUAACUUUCAAUCGACUUUUGCUCUCAACAUCAGCAAAAAUCAUCGGGGUGGAAUUGACAUGGGGGUAUCCUCCAUCACUGUCCUCUUUGUCUUCAACCUUGUCUGACUCCUUUUCCUUAUCCUUGGGCUGUUUCCCCUGAAACUGCUGGAUUAAGAGUCGGCCCUGGCGAGUGGUAUGUUUCGGGUAAAUGAAGUUACCCUCCUCGUCUUUCUUCGUGUGGAUAUGGCAUGGCAAAUCCAUCACGUCGUUUCCCUCCUUGUCCUUCACCUUCUUGGGGUUCCAAGAUCCUUUGGGCUUCCCUUUAAACUUUCCCUGAGUCACGGCCAAGGCUUCUCCAGGAGCAGCUGGCUCGGCUUUCCGCUUCUGCUUCCGACUGGAGUUCCCUGCUCCGGUUUCAUGAGCAGUCGGCUUGUACUUGCCACUCCGGAGCCGAUCCUCUUCUUCACCAUUGGCAUAUUUGGUGGCAAUCUCCAUCAUUCGACUCAGAGUCAUGUCUCCGGUCCGACCGAACUUCAAACUUAACUCCCUGUUCUUAACGCCUUCCUUGAAGGCACAGACUGCUUGGUGAUCAGAUACAUUCUCCACCGUCUGAUGCAAUAUGAUCCACCUCUGGAUGUAAUCCCUUAGGGUCUCAUUUGACUUUUGCACGCAAACCUGCAGCUCUGUCAAACCUGCUGGUCGCUUGCAAGUUCCUUUAAAUGUCCUGACAAACAUUCGGGCAAGAUCUUCCCAAGUGUAAAUGCUGCUAGGUGUUAACUGAUUCAGCCAUGCUCUGGCCGAGCCCUUCAACAUAAGAGGUAGGUGUUUCAUGCCCACCUCAUCAUUGCCGCCGCCAAUCUGAACAGCCACUCGGUAGUCCUCAAGCCAAGUAUCGGGCCUGGACUCACCAGUGAACUUACUCACCCUAGUCGCCAACCUGAAGUUGGGAGGAAUCACCACGGCCUUGAUGGCUCUGCUAAAACACUCUGGUCCUGAAACAUGAACUCUGCUGCUGGUGGGUACAUCUCUAUCAUGACCUUCUCAGUGAGCUCUGUUCCGGUCGACCAAACCCUGAACAAUAAUGGAUCUCGCAUCAAAGCCCGGUUGGCUGGGGUCGACUAGAACACUUCGUCCAACACUGUGGUGGCUCCUAUCAUCUUGCUGUCAAGGGGCGUACGACCCACCCCUUGGGGGAGGAGUGGGCACUCGACGCCGAUCAUCGCGAUCGAAUCGGUCAUCAUACUGAUCACGUCGACCUCCACGUCCCUCACACCGCGGGGGCGAUCUUAGGCUAUGGUCCGACUGGACUGUAUUCGCAGCGACGAAUCGGCUGUGAAUCCUAUUAUGCGACUGCGAUACAGCUAAAUUUUGAUCUCCCGCUGUCCGGAGUAAAUCUCUGAUCUGCAUCAAGCCUCUGCCAGCGUCUGACUGAGAGGGCUAAAUCGACUUUGCUAUACGGGCUGCAGCUGCUAGAUUCUGAAUUGGAGUUUGAUAUACCUGAGUCGGUGGUGGAAAGAGCUGACGUCGACUGGAGUCUGGUACUUGUUGCCGCGCACGUUCGUCGAGUGCUCGUUGGAGGUUCUCCAGUCGAGUGCGCUCAGCCAAGUUUGCCAAACGCGCGACCUCUAGGGCGCCCUCGGGGGUUUCUCCUAUGAUAGGAGUAUGCAGAGCAUCCAUGUUCCGGCGGCGAAGAUCUUCCCUUUGCAGCAAAGUGAGUGGUUCCGGUUGAUACUCCUCGUGGACCUGCGCUGGGUCGCCUCCGCCGUCCCCUCCGUCGGUGCGGGGGAAGCCGAGAGGACUACGCGGUCCAUUGACCAUCAGGACCUCCGCCGCUGGAUCACUACUGUCGCACUCGGAUGCAGUUUCUACGGAGCCAGUCGACAGAUCGAACUGGCCGUAGAGAGAUUCGUCAGGCUCGAUCGCCGCGACUUGGGGGGUGGCCGACUGGCGGGCCGCUGCGUGCCUCACCCACCACUGAAGCCUCGACCAACCAGAGCGCUUGCGCUGGCAGGAGACAGGGAUGGAGGGCGACGCAGGGGUCGACCGAUACGGGGCCGACGAUUGCCGCAGCAGGACGCCGCGGACACAUGCGCGAAAGUGUGCCGCCCCAUGGACUGGGAGCGCGUCGAUGUCGAGUGGAGCCUCCUGGAGCCAAGCGAAGUCGUCGGCAAUGAACAUGAGCACGCCGAGACAGAUCUCGCGUCCCUCAACUAAAACUCCACCAGAAACCAUGAUGAAGGCGAUCGGAACAAUUGCAACUUCUCCAAUAAGUCGCUAAGACACCUGCCCCACGGUGGGCGCCAGCUGUCGUGGUUCUAAGCCUGAUAGUAGAAUAUGGGGGUAGGUAUGGAGAGGCAAGAUCCUAGCUAUGGAGUAGUUGUGUACGCAAGGGAUUUACGAGUUCAGGCCCUUCUCGGAGGAAGUAACAUCCCUACAUCUCGGAGCCCAGAGGCGGUCGACUGGAUUUUAUGCGUAUGAGUUACAGAGGUGCGAACCCUUCUACCUGUGGAGGGGGUGGCUUAUAUAGAGUGCGCCAGGACCCCAGCCAGCCCACGUAAUGAAGGAUUCAAUGUACAUUAAGGCCGGGCGUUACUGGUAAUGUCAUACAUAAAGUGCUAUCAUGACCAUAAAGACUACUUAAUAACAGACCAUUUGUGUGUGGAGAGUCUCUAGAUCUCCUGGUGGUCGAGUGAGUGGCUCAUGGUCGAGUCUCUUCGAGUCUGUCAAGUGGAAUCCUUCCAAGUCGACUGGAAGGCAGUUUCUUCUAAAGAUGUCCUUGGGGAGGGUACCUUGGACAUGUCCAUGACCCUACCCUAGGUACAUGGCUUCAUCACCAGGUCCAGGAGAAAAUAGUGAUGCUUAUCACUUUGGACCAUCAACGGAAGAUGAGAUGGAGCCGACUUGAAAAGGAUAGAUGCCAUGGAGGAAGAUCAAGAAGUUACCUCCCACUUCCAAGCAGGAUUCAUGAUGGGGGAACUACAAAGCUCGGCUAUUCCAAAUUCGGUCAUCCCUUCCAACGUUAAAUUUCUUUCUUAUGAAAACAUGAAAAAGAGCGUCACUUGUUCUCCAGAAGCUUUGUAGCAUCCUUGGGUAAAGGGAGCUUUAGCCGUGACGGGCAAGCUCCGCAAGGAAAUUAUGGACCUCAAACAACAAGUCAAUAAGCUCGAGGAGGAGAAUCGUAUCCUGAGGGGCAUCAAUGCCAAGAAGAUCACAACACCAAUGAUGAAGAAGGAGACACAAUCACAUGGGUAUGGGCACUCCCCUUGGCAACUGCCAAGCUUGGGGGAGGUGCCCCGGUAUCGUAUCACCAUAACACUCCUAUCUUUACCGUUUUACUUAGUUCGAUCAUUUUAGUAAUAUCUUGAUCUUAUAUGUUGAAGUUUUGGUAUGAUUUAGUUUUGAGUUUUGCUUUGUGAUCCCACUACAAAAAAAACACUUCCGUGAUGAUACGUGUUUGUCACAGUAGGUCGCGUUUUUUGUCAUGCAUGUACAUCCAUGACGAUUUUAUGACAGAAUCAAGAUAGUCAUACCUGUGCUGUCGUAGAAGUGUUCCAUGACAUUACCAAAAUUAUCAUCACGGAAGUGUCCACUUCCAUGACGAUAAAUCGCGCGUCACAGAAGUGCUUUCGUCAAGGGUGACUGACACAUGGCAUCCACCGUAACGGAAUGCUGUUAAGCUAUCGGGUCGGGUUUUGGAUCCGAUAACCCAUUAACAACCCCGACCAAUGGGAAAUUUCCACGGUUAAAAUUCUUAGUGGCCGGACGAAACACGUGUCAGCUUGUCAGUGGGUCAGAUAGGCGCCUAUGAUAUGUCGACACGUGCCAUGGCCCACCACUGGCCCAUUUAGCUUACAAAGCCGGCCCGUUUGACUUGGUCAAAAGUUAAUGGGCUGACCCAUGAAAAGCCUUUUAAUGGUCUCUUCGCAAAUAGCCCAUUUUACGGCCCGUUAACUCACGACCCGUUAGGCCCUAACGGAAAUCGGCCCAACAAUGUCUUGUGGGCCAUCGAGUAUAACACCAGCCCAUUUCACUUUCUGCCCAUGUAUGGCCCACGACGUCUUUCGACCCAUAUGAGGCCUUCGUAUCUUUCGGCCCUUUACAGGCCCACGGUGACUCUAGCCCAUAAUGAACAGUAAUUUUCUUUGUACCCGUUAAAGGCCCGUGAUUUACAUGGGCUGUUUCCAGCCCUUGUUAGCUUUCGGCCUAUUGAUGACCCAUACGUUCUUGGGCUCCUUUUCGGCCCUCGAUUACUUCCGUCCCGUUAUUGGCCUGUUCCCCGAAUGGGCCAAAUUCGGCCCAUGGCAAGAGUCGGCCCAUUACUGGCUUGUUACCCUAAUGGGCCAAAUUCAGCCCAUGGCAAGAGUCGGCCCAUUUCUGGCCUGUUAACCCGUUGCGCCGUUUCCAGCCCGUCCUAUAUACUAGCCCAUUAACGACCCGUUAGGCCUGUGACAGAAUUAAGCCUUUGCAGUCCUACGACCUGUUAACGGCCCGUUACCGUGUUGGGCCGAUACCAAUUACGCCCAAUUAUGGCCCAUGUAGACCCAUUUAUCCGACCACCCGAGGCCCACCGAUUACAGGCCCAUUUAUCAAUGGACUGAGGCCCACCGAUUACAGGCCCAUUCAUCGACGGCCCGUAGGAGACCCAUGGAUCCUACGGCCCGUAUAUGGCCUGUGGUAGUUGUGGCCACUAGCAAACCAGGGAAAAAGAAGACUAGGAAAUAAAUAAGGCCGAAACUAACACUAGGCUAUUAAGGCGAUUGCACAUAUUACAUCCACUCAGCAUCAAAGAUCGCCACCAGUGCAAAUAUAGGGAACACCCUACACUAUACAAAAAUGACUUGCUAUUUUCUUCAGCCGGUGGCUGCACGUUAAGAAUAAAUUUUGUAUGGCACCAAAACAAAUUACAACUAUAUAACAAAAGGAAGGUUGGCAUAAAACUUAACAGUCUAGCAGAUAAAUGCACCACCAGAAGUUCAGAAGCUCGGUUCAUUUGACCUGACUAUUACGUUUUCAUGAUGUAUUGUCCGAUGGAGAACCAUAACCCUCGCCUUCAUUUCCCCUAGGCUCCUGAACAACAUAGCAAAUGUCUGAUAGUCUGGUUUCAAAACCAUGCAUAUCUUGAUGACAUUGAGCAAUGUUUCUCCUUGUUUCACAAAGGGCCUCUGUUAGGGAAUGGACUUGUGUCUGGAGCGCAGAUACAACAUUGCUUUGAGCUUGCAUAUCUUGAUCAUGAGGCAGUUUGGACGAUAUUGCCUGAUACGUCUCCAACGUAUCUAUAAUUUUUGAUAGCUCCAUGCUAUAUUAUCUACUGUCUUGGACAAUAUUGGGCUUUAUUAUCCACUUUUAUAUUAUUUUUGGGACUAACCUAUUAACCGGAGGCCCAACCCAGAUUUGUUGUUUUUUGCCUAUUUUAGUGUUUCGAGGAAAAGGAAUAUCAGACGGAGUCAAAACGGAACGAAAUCAACUAGAGAAGUUAUUUUUGGAAGGAAAGCCACCCGAUGGACUUGGAGUGCACGUCAGGGAAGAAGGGAGGUGCCCACGAGGGUGGGGGGCACGCCCACCCCCCUGGGGCGCGCUCCCUGCCUCGUGGCCCCCCCUUCGGUCCACCGACGUACUUCUUUCACCCAUAUAUACCUACGUACCCUAAAACUUUUAGAACGGAAGAUAGAUCGGGAGUUCCGCUACCGCAAGCCUCUGUAGCCACCAAAAACCUCUCGGGAGCCCUUUCCGGUGCCCUACCGGAGGGGGAUCCCAUCACCGGUGGCCAUCUUCAUCAUCCCGGCGCUAUCCAUGACGAGAAGGGAGUAGUCCACCCUCGAGGCUGAGGGUAUGUACUAGUAGCUAUGUGUUUGAUCUCUCUCUCUCUUGUGUUCUCUCUCGUGUUCCUUCUGUGGCACGGUCUUGAUGUAUCCCGAGCUUUGCUAUUGUAGUUGGAUCUUAUGAUGUUUCUCCCCCUCUACUCUUUUGUGAUGAAUUGAGUUUCCCCUUUGAAGUUAUCUUAUCGGAUUGAGUCUUUUAUGAAAACACUUGAUGUAUGUGAUGCCGUGAUUAUCUGUGGUGACAAUGGGAUAUCAUGUGCCACUUGAUGUAUGUUUUGGUGAUCAACUUGCGGGUUUCGUGGAAUUGGGAACCUAUGCAUAGGGGUUGGAACACGUUCUUGACUCUCCGAUAGAAACUUUGGGUCACUCUUUGAAGUACUUUGUGUUGGUUGGAUGAAUCUGAGAUUGUGUGAUGCAUAUCGUAUAAUCAUGCCCACGGAUACUUGAGGUGACAACGGAGUAUCUAGGUGACAUUAGGGUUUUGGUUGAUUUGUGUCUUAAGGUGUUAUUCUAGUACGAACUCUUUUAUAGAUUGAUCCGAAAGAAUAACUUUGAGGUAGUUUCGUACCCUACCAUAAUCUCUACGUUUGUUAUCCGCUAUUAGUGGCUUUGGAGUGACCCUUUGUUGCAUGUUGAGGGCUUGUUAUAUGAUCUAUCUAUGUUAUUAUUGUUGAGAGAACUUGGACUAGUGAAAGUAUGAACCCUAGGCCUUGUUUCCUAUCAUUGGAAUACCGUUUACGCUCACUUUUAUCAUUAGUUACCUUGCUGUCUUUAUUAUUUCAGAUUACAAAUACCUUUAUCUACCAUCCAUAUUGCACUUGUAUCACCAUCUCUUCGCCAAACUAGUGCACCUAUACAAUUUACCAUUGUAUCGGGUGUGUUGGGGACACAAGAGACUUUUUGUUAUUUGGUUGCAGGGUUGCUUGAGAGAGACCAUCUUCAUCCUAUGCCUCCUACGGGUUGAUAAACCUUAGGUCAUCCACUUGAGGGAAAUUUGCUGCUGUCCUACAAACCUGUGCACUUGUAGGCCCAACAACGUCUACAAAAAGAAGGUUGUGUAGUAGACAUCAAGCUCUUUUCUGGCGCCGUUGCUGGGGAGGUGAGUGCUUGAAGGUAUAUCUUUAGAUCUUGCAAUCAAAUAUUUUUGUUUCUUGUUUUAUCAGUAGUUUAAUUUAUAAAAGAAAACUACAAAUAAAAUGGAAUUAAGGAUGCCUCAUAUGCUUCAUCUUUUUAAUGUCUUUCGUGAAAGUGAUGGGAAGGAAAAUUGUUCUCAAGUACUAGAAGAAGAAUUACAUAGAAUGCUUGGCAUAAAAUAUGUGAAUGAUGAGCAUGAUUGCAAUGUUGUUAGUAUGAAUUCCUUGAAUAUCCAUGAUGCUAAUGAUAUGCAAAGCCACAAUCUUGGGGAAGCUAUGUUUGAUGAAGAUGAUAUUUUUGUCCCGCAAGCUUUGAUGAGCAAAUUUAGUAUGAUGAAAUCAUGCCUCCUAUCUAUGAUGAUUAUUGUGAUGACACAUAUGCUUUAAAGAAUAAUGAUAACCAUGAAACUUGUCAUCUUGAUCCUAAUUUUAAAUCAUAUGAUAGUUAUUUUGUUGAGUUUGCUCCCACUACUAUUCAUGAGAAGAAUUUUGCUUAUGUGGAGAGUAGUAAAUUUUCUAUACUUGUAGAUCAUGAAAAGAAUGCUUCUGGUGCUGGUUACAUUGUUGAAUUCAUUCAUGAUGCUACUGAAAAUUAUUAUGAGGGAGGAACAUAUGCUUGUAGGAAUUGCAAUAAUAUCAAGUUUCCUCUCUAUGUGCUUCAAGUUUUGGAGCUAUGCUUGUUUUACCUUCCUAUGCUAGUUGAUUAUCGUUCCCAUAAGUUGUUUUCUCACAAAAUCCCUAUGUAUAGGAAGAGAGUUAGGCUUAAAUGUGCUAGUCAUAUGCUUCAUGAUGCUCCCGUUAUGUUUCAAUUCUUAUCUUUUAUGUGAGCAUCAUUGCCAUCAUCAUGCCUAGCUAGAAAGGCAUUAAAGAAAAACGCUUGUUGGGAGACAAACCAAUAUUUAUCCUUACUGUUUUUGUGUGUUCACAUGAUUAUGCUACUGUAGUAAUCAUGUUUUAUAGUUUUUGUUUCAAUAAAGUGCCAAGUAAGACCUUUAGGAUAGCUUACGGUGAUAGUUGUGUUGAUCCUGCUGAAAAUUAGAAACUUUUGCACCCAGUAAAUUAGUUUUGUUAAUUCACAGAAACGUGAUUCUGAUCUGAUUUGUUUUGCUCUGUAUAGGUACACGAAUUUCUUAGGACUUCCUAAUUUGGUAGGAUUUUUGGAGUUCCAGAAAUAUACGUUUGAUACAGAUUACUACAGAAUGUUCUGUUUUUGACAGAUUCUGUUUUCUUUGUGUUGUUUGCUUAUUUUGAUGAAUCUAUGAGUAGUACCGGAGGGUAUGAACCAUAUAUAAGUUGGAGUACAGUAGAUAUUACACCAAUAUAAAUAAAGAAUGAGUUCAUUACAGUACCUAAGUGGUUGUUUUAUUUUCUUAUACUAACGGAGCUUACGAGUUUUCUAUUGAGUUUUGUGUUGUGAAGUUUUCAAGUUUUGGGUAAAGAUUCGAUGGACUAUGGAAUAAGGAGUGGCAAGAGCCUAAGAUUGGGGAUGCCCAAGGCACCCCAAGGUAAUAUUCAAGGACAACCAAGAGCCUAAGCUUGGGGAUGCCCCGGAUGGCAUCCCCUCUUUUGUCUUCGUCUAUUGGUACCUUUACUUGGAGCUAUAUUUUUAUUCACCACAUGAUAUGUGUUUUGCUUGGAGCGUCAUUUUCUUUUGUUAGUAUUAGCUUUCUUUUAUUUAGAAUAAUGUUUUGCAUCUUUUGUUUCAAUAAAGAAGUCAAUGAUAGCCUUUGCCAUGCUUAUUUUGCUACUAUACAUGUUGCUGUUUGAAAACAGAAAGUUUACCGCUGUUGCAAAAAUUUCCUAGAAAAGUCAGAGAGUGGUAUAAUGUUGAAUAUUUUUGCGUAUUGAGCUCUGAUGAAUUUAUUACAGUGGGAAUUUUAGUUCAUAAUUUUUGGAGUCAGGGAAGUAUUGAUACUCUUGCAAUCUUUACAGACUGUACUGUUUUGGCAGAUUGCUGUUAUGGUUGCAUUGUUUGCAUAUGUUUGCUUGAUUAAUGAUUCUAUUUGAGGAUAGGAGUAUUAAAUAUGAAGAGGCAUAUUGUAUGCAAUGUUGAAUAAUUUUUUAAGUGAUUUGUUACAGUAGAAAAUGAUAAGGUUUUGCAUUGGUUUAUACUAACCUAUCUCACGAGUUCUUGUUGAGUUUGUUGUGAAUGAAGCUUUUGAUAAAAAGAGAAACCAUGAUAUGAGACGAAUUAAGGAGACACAAAAGCUCAAGCUUGGGGAUGCCCAAGGCACCCCAAGAUAAUAUUUCAAUAAGUCUCAAGCAUCUAAGCUUGGGGAUGCCCCGGUAGGCAUCCCACCUUUCUUCUUUAACAACUAUCGGUUAGUAUCGGUUGAGCCUAAGUUUUCGCUUCUUCACAUGAGUUGUGCUAUCAUUGCAAUAUAGUUUUCUUUAGCUUUGCUUGCUGUUUGAAUAAAGUAUCAAGAUCUGAAAUUAUUAAAUGAGAGAGAGUCUUCACAUAAUUGCAUAAUUAUUUAGCUACUCAUUGACCUUCACUUAUAUCUUUCGGAGUAGUUUGUCAUUUGCUCUAGUGCAUCACUUAUACCUUUUAGAGCAUGGUGGUAGUUUUAUUUUGAAGAAAUAGAUGAACUCUCAUACUUCACUUAGAUUAUUUUGAGAGUCGUUAAUAGCAUGGUAAUUUGCUUAAUAUUAAUAUACUUGGUAUUCAAGAUAUGUGAAACUUUCUGAUGAGUGUGUUGAAUACUAAGAAAAGUUUGAUACUUGAUAAUUGUUUUGAGAUAUGGAGGUAGUCAUAUUAAAGUCAUGCUAGUUGGGUGAUUAUGAAUUCAAAGAAUGCUUGUGUUGAAGUUAGCAAGUCCUGUAGCAUGCACAUAUGGUUAAAGCUGUGUAACAAAUUUGAAACAUGAAGUGUACCUGGCUUGUGCAUCCUGAUGAGUGGCCGUCUCGGAUGAGCGAUGGUCUUUUCCUACCAAUCUAUCCCCCUAGGAGCAUGCACGUAGUACUUGGUUUUUGAUGACUUCUAAAUUUUUGCAAUAAGUAUAUGAGUUCUUUUGACUAAUGUUGAGUCCAUGGAUUAUACGCACUUUUACCUUUCCGCCAUUGCUAGCCUCUUCGGUACCGUGCAUUGCCCUUUCUCACCUUGAGAGUUGGUGCAAACUUCGCCGAUGCAUCCAAACCACAUGAUACGAUACGCUCUAUCACACAUAAACCUCCUUAUAUCUUCCUCAAAACAGACACCAUACCUACCUAUCAUGGCAUUCCCAUAGCCAUUCCGAGAUAUAUUGCCAUGCAACUUCCAUCAUCAUAUUCAUGACAUACAUUACUUUUGUCAUAUUUCCAUUGCAUGAUCAUGUAGUUGACAUCGUAAUUGUGGCAAAGCCACCAUGAAAUAUUUUUUAUACAUGUCACUCUUGAUUCAUUGCACCAUCCCGGUACACCGCCGGAGGCAUUCAUAUAGAGUCAUAUCUUGUUCUAGUUUCGAGUUGUAAUCCUUAUGUUGUAAUCAAUAGAAGUGAGAUGAUCAUCAUUAUUAGAGCAUUGCCCAAACAAAAAAAAGAAAGGCCAAACAAAAGAAAGGCCCAAAAAAAGGGGGCAAUGCUACUAUCCUUUUUUUCCACACUUGUGCUUCAAAGUAGCACCAUGUUCUUCAUAUAGCGAGUCUCAUAUAUUGUGCUUCAAAGUAGCGCCAUGUUUUUCAUAUAGAGAGUUUCAUAUGUUGUCACUUUCAUAUACUAGUGGGAAUUUUUCAUUAUAGAACUUGUCUUGUAUAUUCCAACGAUGGGCCUCCUCAAGUGCCCUAGGUCUUCGUGAGCAAGCAAGUUGGAUGCACACCCACUUAGUUUCUUUUGAUGAGCUUUCACACAUUUAUAGCUCUAGUGCAUCCGUUGCAUGGCAAUCCCUACUCCUCAUGUUCAUAUCAAUUGAUGGGCAUCUCCAUAGCCCGUUGAUUAUCCUCGUCAAUGUGAUACUUUCUCCUUUUUUGUCUUCUCCACACAAUCCCCAUCAUCAUAUUCUAUUCCACCCAUAGUGCUAUAUACAUGGCUCACACUCAUGUAUUGCGUGAAGGUUGAAAAAGUUUGAGAUUAUUUAAGUGUGAAACAAUUUCUUGGCUUGUCAUCGGGGGUAUAGAAGUUGGGAACAUCUUUGUGCGACGAAAAUGAAGCAUAGCCUAACUAUAUGAUUUUGUAGGGAUGAAAUUUCUUUUGCCAUGUUAUUUUGAGAAGACAUGAUUACUUUGAUUAGUAUGCUUGAAGUGUUACUAUUUCUUUUAUCAAUAUGAACUUUUGUCUUGAAUCUUUCGGAUCUGAAUAUUCAUAUCACAAGUAAGAAGAAUUACAUUGAAAUUAUGCCAAAGUAUCACUCCGCAUCCAAAAUUCUCUUUUUAUCAUUUACCUACUCGAGGACGAGCAGGAAUUAAGCUUGGGGAUGCUUGAUACGUCUCCAACGUAUCUAUAAUUUUUUAUUGCUCCAUGCUAUAUUAUCUACUAUUUUGGGCAAUAUUGGGCUUUAUUAUCCACUUUUAUAUUAUUUUUGGAACUAACCUAUUAACCGGAGGCCCAGCCCAGAUUUGCUGUUUUAUGCCUAAUUCAGUGUUUCGAGGAAAAGGAAUAUCAGACGGAGUCAAAACGGAACGAAAUCAACUAGAGAAGUUAUUUUUGGAAGGAAAGCCACCCGAUGGACUUGGAGUGCAUGUCAGGGAAGAAGGGAGGUGCCCACGAGGGUGGGGGGCGUGCCCCCUGACUCGUGGCCCCCCCUUCGGUCCACCGACGUACUUCUUUCACCCACAUAUACCUACGUACCCUAAAACUUCCAGAACGGAAGAUAGAUCGGGAGUUCCGCCGCCGCAAGCCUCUGUAGCCACCAAAAACCACUCGGGAGCCCUUUCCGAUGCCUUGCCGGAGUGGGAUCCCAUCACCGGUGGCCAUCUUCAUCAUCCCGGCGUUAUCCAUGACGAGGAGGGAGUAGUCCACCCUCGGGGCUGAGGGUAUGUACUAGUAGCUAUGUGUUUGAUCUCUCUCUCUCUCGUGUUCUCUCUCAUGUUCCCUCUGUGGCACGAUCUUGAUGUAUCCCGAGCUUUGCUAUUGUAGUUGGAUCUUAUGAUGUUUCUCCCCCUCUAUUCUCUUGUGAUGAAUUGAGUUUCCCCUUUGAAGUUAUCUUAUCGGAUUGAGUCUUUUAUGAGAACACUUGAUGUAUGUCUUGCCGUGAUUAUCUGUGGUGACAAUGGGAUAUCAUGUGCCACUUGAUGUAUGUUUUGGUGAUCAACUUGCAGGUUUCGUAACAUUGGGAACCUAUGCAUAGGGGUUGGCACACGUUCUUGACUCUCCUAUAGAAACUUUGGGGCACUCUUUGAAGUACUUUGUGUUGGUUGGAUGAAUCUGAGAUUGUGUGAUGUAUAUCGUAUAAUCAUGCCCACGGAUACUUGAGGUGACAAUGGAGUAUCUAGGUGACAUUAGGGUUUUGGUUGAUUUGUGUCUUAAGGUGUUAUUCUAGUACGAACUCUUUUAUAGAUUGAUCCGAAAGAAUAACUUUGAGGUGGUUUCGUACCCUACCAUAAUCUCUACGUUUGUUCUCUGCUAUUAGUGGCUUCGGAGUGACUCUUUGUUGCAUGUUGAGGGCUUGUUAUAUGAUCUAUCUAUGUUAUUAUUGUUGAGAGAACUUGCACUAGUGAAAGUAUGAACCCUAGGCCUUGUUUCCUAUCAUUGCAAUACCAUUUACGCUCACUUUUAUCAUUAGUUACCUUGCUGUUUUUAUUAUUUCAGAUUACAAAUACCUUUAUCUACCAUCCAUAUGGCACUUGUAUCACCAUCUCUUCGCCAAACUAGUGCACCUAUACAAUUUACCAUUGUAUUGGGUCUGUUGGGGACACAAGAGACUUUUUGUUAUUUGGUUGCAGGGUUUCUUGAGAGAGACCAUCUUCAUCCUAUGCCUCCUACGGAUUGAUAAACCUUAGGUUAUCCACUUGAGGGAAAUUUGCUACUGUCCUACAAACCUGUGCACUUGCAGGCCCAACAACGUCUACAAGAAGAAGGUUGUGUAGUAGACAUCAUUGCCUUAACAACCAACCCAGUAUUACACAGGAACGUGCUUUUGGCACUGUUAGUGGACAGGUACUGACCCACUGCAGCAAGAGCUGACAUUGCGGUUAUAGUUGCCUCGCCACCUUCAGAAGGUGGCGGUUCCACCAUUUUUUCCAUGCUCGCUGAAAAGUUGAGGUUUUACAUUAGUAGUACCAGAACAGAAGAUAUUAAGGAGGCAGCAAAAACAAUCAAAAUAGCUUUGGUCUAUAUACAGAACUUAUUCUAGUGAACCCAUGUAAAAUAUUAGUUGUAUUUUAUUGCAAAGUACAUAACAAAACCAGGUUCCAAACAUAUGACCAUGUACCAUCGCUAAUGUAUUGUCUAUUUCUUCACAUUGUAUUGAGGGCUAAGGAUAAGGAGACAAAGUUUAUAAUACGGUAAGCAUAGUAUGACAUAAUUCAUAUCACAAAACAACUGAGAAUAGACAAACAGGCAAUUGUAACAUUGUGUGGGAAAGUCCCGCAUGGAACUAGAUUGUGGGUCAAGAUCAAAGGAACAUCACUCCUCACUUUUAAACCUUGUAAGGUGCAAUGAUACGCUAAGACAAUUGUGUAUAAAAUUGAAGUUCAAGGCACAAGUCAGAGUAAGUAGUAGUUAAAAGGCAUGAGGAUUAAGGACUUACAACAGCGGCUUUGACUGGUGUAGUCAUGCCCUUCUUGCUGGAGUGACAGUCCUUGAAGAUUUCCACAACAUUUGGUUCAGGUACUUUUUGGUCCUUGCGGGCUUUCCUCUGCAUUUCGAACAAGUCAAUAUAGAUAUGAUAAUAUGGUACAGCAAAAAGAGUGAAACAACAGCUAAUUACAAGAGCCUCGCAGUGUGCAAUAUAGCUAUGAGAUCCUGUUGUCUGUUGGAAUUUCACUUUCAUACGGUUGGCCUUGUUCUUUGAAUAGUUCACCUAGAAGAAGAUAGAUUUGUGUGGCACAUGCGUAAAUAGGACUUCAACAUGUGAUCUUAUCACAUAUAUAUAAUGUACCUGAUACUUCGGAUCAGACCAGUGUUUAACAAGGCCCCUCCAGUCUUCAUCCGAUAUAUUUUCCACUGGAGAUGUUUGGGAAAGUUCACUGUUAGCCUUGCCUUCAAAGUCCUCAAGUUAUACCAAUACUUUCGCAGAGCAGACUUGAAAACAUGGGUGCAAGCUUGUCUGGUUGCAUCAUCUUGGCUAUCCAACUUCAACCUCAUUUGUCGAAAAUUAUGGGAGUCUCAUUAUCAGCAGCCUAGAAAGUAUGGGACAGAGCAAGACGAUAUUACUAGUUUCCAUACAUAACCAUACUUACGGAUAAAUGGUCGAGGAAGGUGUUGAACUAGGUUUCAUGUUUGUCAUUCCUGUACUGAAUCCAGGUUGGGAGGAUACAUACAUGACACCUAACGGCAACCGCUGCCUCUGAUACUAACUUGGCUGACUUUGUAGCAUCACGUGGCCUUUUUAAACCUGCCUCAAAAUAGAUCUCCAUUCUUCCUCCUCUAGAUUUAGUUAACCUAUCGAGCAUUAUCCCUGAUGUUUGUUUCCUCUUGCACCUAGGUGCUAGUCCAACAACGAACAUAGGAAGUGUUAGUGUACAUCAAACUGUGAGACUACAUAUAAAGAAGCAUGCAACUGUAACUUGACUCCAGCAACUACCUUCUUGCUAUUGAAGCUCACAAGGUUCAUCUGAUAUUGCCAACUCGUCUUGUGUCAAGAGUGCUUGGGAAGUACUGUUAGGUGGCAAGGGAGCUUGGGAACGUGCUGCUAGCUCAGUUGACGCACGAGUAAGUCGUGCAGCUGGUAGUACUGUGUUAGGUGUUGCAAAAACUAGGGUUGUCUCUGCUUGUUUGGUGGCAGCUAUUUGUUUCAAUUUGGCUUUUUUUGCAGCUCGUGUAGCAUGGGAUGCCGUGUUUGUAGAAUUUUUCGCUGGACUUUCACCUUCUAUUUCACCAUCAGUACCAGCAGAAUCCGCAGGAUUCAUCCGCUUCUCAUUCCCUGCCAUUCUGUGUUUCUUCCUCUUUCUCUAUGCCAUGUUAAGUCAAGCCGACAAGAAAAAUGAAUAACAAUUUUUUAGAAUAAAUUGAUGCGUUAUGCAGACGAACUGAACUUUGAUGUUAGACAACCACAUGAUAGGAGGAUGUAAUAUGUAUGAAAAACAGGACGGCGGAGAUAACCGGAACUAUGAUGUGUAAACUAAGAAGAAUACAUUCACCAAAUUAGAAGCAAUGCAAUGGAAGGUAGACACCAUAUGAAAGAUGCUACAAAUAUCGCUCUACUAAGUUAACAUUAUCUCAUCAUAAAUGGCGUUUAAACAAAUGUGAAGCAGUACAAGAAAUAAAUCAUAUGCAAGAUGCAAACAACAUCACACUAGCAUGUUAGAGGUCUCUCGUCAUUAGUGCCAUUGCAUAUUCACAUCAUUGCAUAUUCACAGCUUAUGAUGUGUAAACUAAGGAGAAGGCAUUUCAACAAAUUAGAAGUAAUGAAAGCUAGACACCAUAUCAAAGAUGUAACGAAUAUCACUCUACCAAGUUAAAACUGUCUCGUCAUGAGUGACAUUUCAACAAAUUAGUAGUACAAGCUAGAAAAGAAUGUGAGAUGUAACCUAUAUCACACUCCGAAGUCAAAAGUGUCUUAUGAUAAGUGAUUGUUGCAGGUUACACAACAGUAGUAAUUUGAUGUAAGAACAUGGUGUGAUAUACAGAUAUUGUAUGUUCUAGAAACAGGAACACGUGUCUUAUUCAAGUAUAAUGUGUAAAGUAAGCCGAUGGAAUUCAACAAAAUUAGAAGCAAUACAAGCUAGACAUCACACAUAACAUGCAACCACAUAUAACAGUGCCAAGUUAGAGGGAGCACCAGUGAUGCUGCACUAGGGGAGACGUGCUCAUCAUAAACACAACUUUGUUGAGUGUCUAUGCAUGUGUUGUCUUGGAAAUCAUCUUGGGGGUGUGGAGGAGUAGAAACUGUAGAGGCCCUCCAUUCGGAAGGAGCACCUUUAUCCGCUGCCUUGCUAACUUCCUUCCACUUUAUUGAUUUUGAAUUGUCAAGUAAAACCGACAAGAAAAAGCAAUAAAAUUCUCUCUUCAGAACUCAUUCAUGCAUGAUACUGACAAUCACUACUUUGAUGUAAGGGAAACACAUGAUACCAGGAUGGAACAGGAUGGCAUGGCAUGUUCACAACUGUUUGUGUAAACUAAGCAGUAAACAUUCCAGCAAAUAAGAAGCAAUGCAAGCUAGACACCACAUGAAAGAUGCAACCAAUAUGACUUUGCCAAGUUAAAAGCGUCCCAUCAUAAAUGGAAUUUCAACAAAUUAGAAGUAGCGCAUGCUAUAAAUCAUAUGAAAGAUGCAACUAAUAUCGCACUGCAUAUACUAAAGGUGUCGCAUCAUAUUGAUUGAUGCGGGAUACAAAAAAACAAUAGUUUUAUGUAAUGACAUGCUUAAUAGACAGAUGUACUAUGUACUAAAUACAGGAAGGCAUGUCACAUUAACAGGUAUAAUGUACUCCCUCCGGCCCAUAAUGUAAGACGUUUUUUGGUACUAAUUAAGUGCCAAAAACGUCUUACAUUAUGGGACGGAGGGAGCAUAAGCUAAGCAGACUAGCACAUGCAGUUUAACCAGAUUGGAAGAAUUACAAUCUAGACACCAUAUGCAACAUGCAACCACAUAUCAUGCUGCCAAGUUAGAGCAAGCACCUGCAAUGCUAGUGUAGGGGAAAUGUUGUAAUCAACUACAGAGCUACGCUCACUAUCUUCAUCUAGCAUUUCUGUUUCUUGAGAAUCAUGUCGGGAGGCUGACGCUGCAUUCUUUAAAUGAGGAGUAGUCCCCUUGCCUGCCUGCCUCGUCAUAAGUGAUUGAUGAGGGAUACACAAGAACAUUAGUUUGAUGUAAGAACAUGGUUAAUACACAGAUGUACUAGUAUGUACCAAAAACAGAAAGGCAUGUCAUAUUCAAAGGUAUAAUGUGUAAGCUAAGCAGAUGCAAUUUUACCAAAUUGGAAGCAAUACAAGCUAGACAUCUGACUGGAGUGGUGAACAUGAUCAUCUAGGACCUGAGAGCCUGGUGGGAGGCGGGCUGCUUCGCCACCAUCGUGGAUUUUUAGUUGGCUUCCAGGUGAUGCCUGUCUUUGCUAGGCUUGUCACAGGCACGGCCAGUGGCCUGACUAGCUAUUUGUCUUCUGGUGCUCACGGGAUGGUGGUUCGUGUAAAAAAUAUCUUUCCUUAUCUUAAUAAAGACCGAUUUCGGCCUUUCGAAUACAAGCUAGACACCGUAUGGAACAUGCAACCACAUAUGACACCACGAAGUUAAAGCAAGCACUUGGGAUGGCGGUUCAUUGCGAGCGAGGUCAUCAACUCCAGAGCAAUGUUUACCGUCUCCAUCUACUAACACUGCACCCUUUAUAGCGCUGUAACGUGCCAUGCCUAGCCGCGUAGAAAGUUGGCACGACUUUUCUCUUUUCUUUUUUGCUUCUCUUGAGGCAGACUCUAAAAUACCCUUGCAUAAAAAGACAAUAGUGAGAGUAUGGGUGAAGUGUGUGCAGAACUAGUGCACUGUAAAAGUAGCAGAUAGCAGGUGGCUGAAAAAUAAAUGACAGGAGACAUGUGAUAGCUCUACAACAUUGCAUGGCAAACAAAAUUAGAUUCUACUCCAUAUAAUUUUGCAAUAUAUGAGCACAGGAAAUGCAGGUACUCCUCCAGCACACCACCACAUGUGGUCAUAUCUAAGAUAACAGUCGACUGAAAAUAAAUAGGUCAGUCAAUUUUUUUAAUGAACCGUCCGAUCUAUAAGGAACGGGCAGAUGGCCUUCGUCUACCUCCCGCCAGUCACUGUUGACGAUCUUUCUCGAACCGCCAGCGACCACCGGCCCAGACCCCUGCCUCCGCCGCCCCGCCCUCCCAUCGACCUCACACCACCGCCGUGCUUGGCAGCGCCCCCAGGCCAUCCCUUUAAUCCUGGCUGACCUCCAGAGCGGGCGCCAGUAGCUCUAGGCCGCACAAGCCCCUAAGAUAAACACCAAGGCGCUGCUUCCCCGACGUAAUAGUCGUACUAGCGCCUGUUAUGCCGGGGAAUGCUUCCAUUAAUUGGGAAUCAACUGGCUAGAAAUUGAAAUUCAGGGGGGCGACGGACCUCUAGCUAAGGUGAAAUAGUAUAUGAGGAGAAACCUUGUGCAUCGCGAGUUACUAGGAACAUCUAGUAUCAAGAAGGAGCGGUCAACUAGUGUCUUCUGUGGGAUGAAUACCGUGCAAGCAGAGACGUAAGAUUUGCAUGAAUAAGGGAAGAGGAGUACCUUCUUCGGUUUCCGUAGUGGUCACCUCCACAUGUUGCACUGAUCUUCUUCUUUUUACCGGGGAAACCGAUGUUCUGGAGGGUGCAGGCUUGGACGAACCCAUGGCCAAAUUGUUGACUAUGUUGCCAUGGCCGUAUGUCGGUGGAGGGGAAGCAGAUCUGAGGCGGCGAAGGAUGGCGUAGCAGGAACAACUCUGAUGCGGUGGAGGGUGGCGAAGUUGGAGCGGCAGCAGUGAGGCACAGGACAGCGUGGUUGAACUGGCCUCGGCUUCAACUACUAGCCGUGGAGGGUGUUGCGGUUGAGGUUGCGGUGGACGACGACGUCGGGGUAUCGGCUCCGGCGUGAUGGAGGAGGGCGGUUUAAAGCACAAGUGCUCCCUAGGUGGUUUUGGUAAUUAAUGUCAACAUAUCUCUUGUUGGACUAACACUUUUACCUAGUAUGUUUCAGAUAAGUUCAACAAUGGAGUGGCAUGGACUAAAGGAUGUGGGAACUCCUUCAAGAUGCUAAGGACAAAGGGUUGGCUCAAGCUUCAAGCUCAAGACUCUUCAGUUUAUAUUUUAGUGAUCCAAGAUCACAUUGAGUCUAUAGGACAAGCCAAUACUAUCAAGAAGGGAUGAGGUGUUGCUUAAUGAGUUUCUUGCUCCACAGUGCUUAGUGAUAUGCUCCAAAACCCUCAACUACUUUCCCACUUCCACACAUAUGACCUAAACCUAAAGUCAAACUCGGCCCCACUGAUUCUUUCUAUCCGGCGCCACCGAGUUCAGAUGUCAUAGCCACUGCCACAAACCCUAGGCAAAUCGGUCUCACCGAUAGGGAUCUCGGUCUUACCGAGAUGGGAUUGUAAUCUCUCUGUGUAUGUCCAUUACCAAAAUCGGUCUCACCGAGUUUGAGAAAUCGGUACUACCGAGAUUACAAUGCAAACUUCCUGGUUGACUCAUUACCAAAAUCGGUCCUACCGAGUUUGUGUAAUCGGCCCAACCGAGUUUGCCUGACCAACUCUCUGGAAAGCUUAUUACCAAAAUCGGUCCCACCGAGUUUGUGUAAUCGGUCUCACCGAGAUUAUGUUAUGCCCUAGCCCUAACCAUAUCGGUCCUACCGAGUUGCAUAUCGGUCCCACCAAAAAUCCUAACGGUCACUAAGUUUAUCAAAUCGGUCUGACCGAGUCUGUUGAAUCGGUCCCACCGAGUUUUGUAAAUUGUGUGUAACGGUUAGAUUUUGUGUGGAGGCUAUAUAUACCCCUCCACCUCCUCUUCAUUCAUGGAGAGAGCCAUCAGACUGAACCUACACUUCCAGCAUACAUUUUCUGAGAGAGAACCACCUACUCAUGUGUUGAGGCCAAGAUAUUCCAUUCCUACCAUAUGAAUCUUGAUCUCUAGCCUUCCCCAAGUUGCUUUCCACUCAAAUCUUCUUUCCACCAGAUCCAAAUCCCAUGAGAGAGAGUUGAGUGUUGGGGAGACUAUCAUUUGAAGCACAAGAGCAAGGAGUUCAUCAUCAACGCACCAUUUGUUACUUCUUGGAGAGUGGUGUCUCCUAGAUUGGCUAGGUGUCACUUGGGAGCCUCCGACAAGAUUGUGGAGUUGAACCAAGGAGUUUGUAAGGGCAAGGAGAUCGCCUACUUCGUGAAGAUCUACCGCUAGUGAGGCAAGUCCUUCGUGGGCGACGACCAUGGUGGGAUAGACAAGGUUGCUUCUUCGUGGACCCUUGGUGGGUGGAGCCCUCCAUGGACUCGUGCAACCGUUACCCUUCGUGGGUUGAAGUCUCCAUCAACGUGGAUGUACGAUAGCACCACCUAUCAGAACCACGCCAAAAACAUCCGUGUCUCCCAUUGCGUUUGAAUCCUCCAAAACCCUUCCCUUUACAUUCUUUAAAGUUUCAUGCUUUACUUUCCGCUGCUCAUAUACUCUUUGCAUGCUUGCUUGCUAUGUGCUGUGAAUGUUAAACUUGUGCCUAAACUCCACUUAAACUUAAAGAACUUAAAAACUGCAACUUUGGUACUUAGUGUCUAAUCACCCCCCUCUAGACACCUCUUCUCAAGGUCCUACAAGUGGUAUCAGAGCAUUGGUCUCCAUUGCCUUGGUUUAAUCACCAUUGGAGGAAGAUGGAUGAGUCUACGUUGGGGAGUCUUAGACAUAGAGUGCCUAUUCUUGACAGAGAGUAUUUUCAUGAGUGGAAGAAUGAGAUGCUUGUAAUUUUCAACCAAUAUCAUUUGAACAAGUACAUUGCUAGCCCUUGUGCACCUCAUGUUGACCCUAUGCAUCCUACUCUUGAUGAGUCAAUUGACAUGAUUAGGAAUCUUAGAACUGCCGAACUUAUCAUUAGAGGCUUGCCUAGAAACUUGAUUGGAUGUUUGCCUACACCAUAUGGAAAUUUCUUGAGGAACGCUUUCCAAAUUAUUCCUUGAAAAAUCUAGAUGAAAUUCUCCAUAAGUCUAUUGCUUUGAGUAAGAUGAAUACUAGUGAUCCUAUGUUUGGUGAUCGUCUAUUUGAGCUUACAAACCUUAUGCGUGCCAAAGGAGAUGUUGGAAUUAUUAGUGAUAUUAUUUCCAAAGCUAUAAAAAUUCAUAAGCAAGAUCAUUGUCAAACUCACUCUAACGAAUUACUCUCUCUAGGACUUGAGCCACCACAUGACGAUGUUGAACAUGGAUACUAUGAUGAGGAUGAUGAUAGUGACUUCGAUCUUGACGAUGCAAUGAGACAUUUUGGUCUUAUGGAAAAUCUUCGGGGAUAUAUGGCAGGAGGAAAGGAAUGGGUUCUUGAUAGUGGAUGUACCGAUCACAUGACCGGAGAUAAAGACAUGUUUCGUGAGCUUGCUGAAAACGAUGGUCCUCGAAAGUAUGUCACUUUCGGUGACAACUCAAAGGGUAAGGUGGUUGGCCUCGGUAAGGUGGCCAUAUCACAUGAUAGCUCCAUACAAAAUGUCAUGCUCGUUGAAUCUCUUGGAUACAACUUACUUUCAGUAUCUAGACUUGCUGAUUUCGGUUUCAAUGUCCUAUUUACUGAAGUAGACUGCCAAGUGUUUCGUCGAGACAAUCAUAAAAUGGUCUUUACCGGUGUGCGUAGAGGUGAUCUAUACAUUGUUGAUUUCACUAAAAAGGCUCAACCUAAAACUUGCUUCAUUUCUAAAUCCUGAAAAGGUUGGUUAUGGCAUAGACGAUUAGGUCAUGUUGGUAUCACUACUGGAAUCUGGCACUUUGCCAUCUGCCAUGGCAGAUGGCAAAGGCAUGUUCGGCGGAUGGCAAAGGCUUUGCCAUCAGCCAGCAGAUGGCAAACAGUUCGUCUGAAACCCUGCCGGUAAAGGCUUCUUUGCCAUCUGCUGGCUGAUGGCAAAGAGCCUGUGGCUUUGCCAUUUGCUGGCUGAUGGCAAAGAGCCUGUGGCUUUGCCAUCUGCUGGCAGAUGGCAAAGCCUCUUAACGGGGUUAGCUCCGUUAGAGGUUAACGGCAUACUUUGCCAUCAGCCAGCAGAUGGCAAAGAGCCCAAAUAGGCCAGCCCAAAUGUUACAUGUAGAUGACACGUGGCCUCUUUGCCAUCUGCCAGCUGAUGGCAAAGCUCUUUGCCAUCUGCCAGUAGAUGGCAAAGUGACUAUAUUGCUCCAUUUAAUUUUGUUUUUUCUUAUAUCAAUUCAUUUUCACAGAAAUCAAACACAAAUAUAUUUAUAUGACCAAUAUAGCAUAUUCAACACAUAUUACCAAUAGUCAUGAACACAUAUGUAUCCAACACAUGUUACCAAUAGUAGCAAGUUUCAUCCGUACAUAUACAUAGUUUCAUCAAUAUUACACAGUUUCAUCCAUAGGUAGCAAGUUUCACAAGGUCAAAACAAAAACUAAAUACAAGCACUCCAUCAACCCAAGCUUCCGUGAUCUUAAGCAAAUCUGUAAAAUGGGAAAGAAGAAAGUUAGAAGAAGAAGAUUAUUGUGAUGCAACUAAAAUGUGAAGAUUAUUAUGAUGCAACUUAUAUCUGUAAAAUAGGUCAUUCUUGAACAUGUAAAGAUAAUUUCGAAAUGUAUGGAAGUUCAGUUGCAUGAGUCUGGUGACAACAUUCAAACAGAGAAUUAGAUAGUACUUACUCACUCCAGUUCACAAAAUUUUGUCAUUUUUCGCAUAAUUUUAACGAGUGUUUGGAAUAUAGGAAUAUACAAAUUCGGGGAUGCUACUACAAUGAUAGUAUUGUACAGCUGCCACUAGGUUAUUCCUUCAACAUUAAGGGCAUGAGCAAGCAUAUAAGGCCUAAGGUGAUACCUGAUGUUAUCUCAAUCUCAUCCAUGACAGCUGGAAAACCACGCUGAGUUUGGCCUGGCCAAAAAAGAUACAAAAUCAACACAUGAACUUAGAUUAACCGCAGUAGCUGAUAGUUCUUGGCUCAAAGAUCUGUUGCAACAACAACCCAGACCAUGCCCCCCGCGCCCUGUGAGGAAGAGAUGCAAUUAAUUGAAAGCAGAUUGAAAUGGAAAUAAAUAUAACGGAGUACAAGAGAGAAAUAACACAAUUGAAUUUACUUGUGACUAUAUGAGCAACUGAAAUGUAAAUAUAGGAUUAGUAGAAGCUAUAUCCAUAUGGUCAAAUGAAUGAAAGCAAGCACACAUUGCAUUGGAAUCGAAUCUGUCAUAGGUUGGCCCAAGUGUAUUAAAAGAGUCAGAGCAUAACAAUAGAACAUUAGUUAGUUGUUCAUUCAUGAUUAGAAAGUGGAAAGUGAGAGGCAUGAGCACCAUGGCUCACAAAACUACAAGGACAAUGGUGAUAGACUCGACGAAGUGAAGCAGGGAGGAGCCUAAGUGUGUGGUGAUUCAAAGCAGAUGCAAUGAAUUACAUAAUGUAAUGUUGUAGAGAAACGCGGUGAUAAUAAUAAUUUCCUGAAUAAAAAAGCAGAUAUACAAUGUGGGGAUUUCCCCCAGCCCUGACCUUGUCAAAAUAGAUUAAAAUGCAUGGGUGCUUAAAUUUUUUGGAAUGGAUGUAAGGAUAUGUGUACUAUAAAAAGUAGGGGGUAUUUUUCUUUUUCAUUUGAACAAACAGGCAAGGUGCACCUUUUGUAUCACAUAUAAUUGCAGCCGUCAUCACAAAAAGUUGUUCGAGUGGGGAUCGAAGAUCGAUGAAAAAAAUAGGUGCACACAUCCUAUCUGAUGCAUUAACACAAUCUUCGUUGUACACUUUUUUUCAAAAAAAGCUAAUUUUACAUUAGCUCCGUCUCGAUUCGGUGCUACUCUAGAAUCCAAAGAAAGUUAGAGAGGCAGAUUACAUUUUUUGUUUGUCUAAUGCCAAAUUUUAAUCAUGCAUCAUGAAGCUGCAAAACUGAGAGACGUCCAAUAGAUUUCUGAAUAUAAUUUGUGUGACUACUUGUUGGGAAGAGAUCAUCAUCAUAUGACAAAACAAAUACCCAAAAUAUGUUUCCACCACAUCACACAACCAAGAUGUGCAGUCAAGCAUGAGGUUGCAAUGCAAUGCAAGAACAAAGGAUUACAGUAGGUUGGGUGGGUUGUGGUCAGCUCUGAUGAGGACGGUGAGCCCGGCAGCUUCAACGCCACAAGUUACCUGCUCCGUCGUGGGCACUUACCCAAACAUUCUGGCACCUGACUUGCUGGAGAUAAGCGACAAGAUACGUAUCUGGUCCUGAAUUGACUCCCUAAAAAAGCGAGCCCAUAAAUAGGAGGUAGAAAAAGAAACAGAACAGAGUGCGAGUCCCCAAGAACCACAUAACGACCAUUUAAAAAAAGUGCCACGAAUCGAUUCUCGCCUGAUAGCUUGAUUGUUCACAAGGGCGAUAGCACAAAAUCAAAUCCAUGAGUGUGUAAAUCCAACAAUAAAUCAAUCCAAGUAAGUUUAGGGUGGUUGAGUUCAUCACCAAAAAGAGACAUAAAUCCCAAGUCCAGAUGGAUCUUCAUUCACAUCAACACAAUAGAGGAAUAGAAAAGAAAGAAGAACAUUGUAUAGUAGAUAAGGAAAUUUUGUGUAUUUGUAGCAUAGCAAAAGAGGGCUCAGUUUUGUCUUUGAUCUUCAAGCCCAACACUCACAUAUCUUGCUACAUAACAUACCCAUCGCAAUGUAAAUGAACUGCCCUGGUUAUCACUUGUCAGAAUGACCAUUCGAGGUGCAGAACGUCCAACAUCACCGAUGAAUUGAACAGGCUGCAAGAGAGGUAAGGGUGGGCUCUAAUUUAGUACCCACAAGCCACAACAGUCUUGAUUGCUCAAUACAUGCUUAUUUCAGCCAGAGUCAUCAUCAUGGCCCCUCAUUUUCUACCGGAAAGAAGGUUGUACCCCCGGCCUUUGCUCACCAAGCAACAUGACCCUGAUAUCCAUCCAAUACAUACAUACAUACACACAUCCAUCCAUCCGUUAGCCUCAGGAGCUACUCAUACCUGGCCUCGGCCGACCAAACCUCCUAGUACGCAUCAGAGAAUACCGUACAUUUUCCAGCCCACGCCACAACCGAAUCCAAGGCACUUUGUGGGGCUUGUCCAGCAUGACCAUGAGCUGGGCCGAAGGCGCAAUGCGACCUGGUACUCGUCACCGCGGGUGGGGGCAGGGAGCCGGGCGAGGUCACGCCCACCACGCGGUCCUAGAGACCUCGUCGGCGCACCCAACACCGCGGCGGCUGCCCGAGCCCGGGCCUCCAUGCCGGCGACGACGCGGCACGGACGGGAUCCCUGGCCCAGCAAGACGGAGGGAUCCAAGGGCUGAGCCUCCUCAUCGCCCAGUCACAAAUAUGUGAAAAAAUAUCCAAACCAUGCCAAUCGUGAGCUCGCAAGACAGCCAUGUUGCAGGGCAACAACCCCUUACCUAGUCCGGGCAGCGAUUGCAAGAACAUCAAGGUAAGAUUGGGCAAAGUACCGUAGAAGUCAUCGGUCUCGGGCACCACGAGGACCACCUGGUCACCAUGCAAUGCAAGCACAACAGAGGAUUGAAAUAUCUGAAUCAAACGUUUGCUGCACCAAACUCAAUGAAUCGUCAACUGUAAAAACUGAAGAAAUGUUCAUCCAUUUUCUACAAAGGAGCCUAAACAUCUACAAUAUUUGUUUUGCUACUUUACCUGGUAGAGGAUAUUCUCUACCAAUGGAUCAUUGACUCUGGAAAAACUCUGAAGAAAUGUUCACCCUUCUGUUCUUUAUAUUACAGAUAAGAUAGGCAGGAAGCGUUACUGAACCUGAACGCGUGUGUUUGUUUGGUUCUGUGACGUAAGUGGUUGUGAGCAAGCAAAUCAUGAGAAGCACAUGCCAUAUUCAGCAACAAUGAGCUAAUCUGAUAGUGCAACCAUGAUAAUUAAGAUUCUACAUUACAUUCAAUAUCAGUUACUUCAUUAUUCAACACCCAGUACAGCAGUAAGAGAAUUACAGAUGUACUAAACAUGAUACUGCAAAUUUUCCUUAAAGACGAACUCAAAAUCUUAUAAAAUGACUUUGAUAUGUAGUCUUAAUCUCUAUAUAAUAUUCAAUGACAAUGAUAUAGUCAUGAAGAAGAGUGGCUUUUAGGGUACAUAUUAUUAUCUGAUUACUUUGAUAUGUAGUCUCAAUCAUCUAACAAACUAUUUGCUGCACCACUUCUAAAACUGGCAAGUUAUUUGUUGGUUCUUGUAGAUCAUUGUACUUUAAAUGGCACAAACAAGUUCAGUUCUCGUUUUAAAGUGCACCGCAGCAGAAUUGAUUUCAAAUCCACCUUCACACAGUCACACAUAACAAUCUUGCUCAAAAUCUAGAUAACUGAAUUUCAAAUGGCAGGAACAAGUUCAGUUAACUUCAGUUCAUUUUAAAGCGUACAUCACAACUCAAUUGAUUUCAAAUCCAUCUUUAUACAGUGGCACAUAACAAUCUUUCUCAGAAUCUCUAGGAACAAAAAGAAGAACGAACCACCCGUAAAUCUUACUGCUAGAUACGCUGGAUACUGGCGAGGCGACAUGGAAGGAGUAUAUUUUCUAGAUGGCAAAUAUUAAUUUCCGAAUGGAGGGAGUAUAUUUCCGAAUGGAACAAACCUGCCAGAUGGAGGGGCGGGCCCCGUGGCGGGGAGGGCCACGGGAAGGGGGCGGCGCCGUGGCCUGGCUCGAAGGAGGGGCGGGCCGCGGGGCACGCCGCGGUGGCCGGGAGGGCCGCGGUGGCCGGGGAGGGGCGGGGGAGGUCCGGCUCGGUGGANNNNNNNNNNNNNNNNNNNNNNNNNNNNNNNNNNNNNNNNNNNNNNNNNNNNNNNNNNNNNNNNNNNNNNNNNNNNNNNNNNNNNNNNNNNNNNNNNNNNNNNNNNNNNNNNNNNNNNNNNNNNNNNNNNNNNNNNNNNNNNNNNNNNNNNNNNNNNNNNNNNNNNNNNNNNNNNNNNNNNNNNNNNNNNNNNNNNNNNNNNNNNNNNNNNNNNNNNNNNNNNNNNNNNNNNNNNNNNNNNNNNNNNNNNNNNNNNNNNNNNNNNNNNNNNNNNNNNNNNNNNNNNNNNNNNNNNNNNNNNNNNNNNNNNNNNNNNNNNNNNNNNNNNNNNNNNNNNNNNNNNNNNNNNNNNNNNNNNNNNNNNNNNNNNNNNNNNNNNNNNNNNNNNNNNNNNNNNNNNNNNNNNNNNNNNNNNNNNNNNNNNNNNCGGCGGUGGCAGGCCGACGGCGCGCUGGGGUCGUCGGGGCGCGCGGGUGCGGUUUGUUGGGGGCAGACUUUUUUUAGACAAUGGUGGGUGGGUGAGGUGGGGAGAGAGAGAGAGGGGGGUGGGGCCGGGCUGGAAGAGAGAGAGAGGGGAGGGGCCGGGCUGGGAGAGAGGGCUCGACCUCUUUGCCAUCUGCCAGCCGCUGGCUAAUGGCAAAGAUAUGGGCCUUUGCCAUCCGCUGGCAGAUGGCAAAGAGGUGGGGCUACUGGCCGUUAUAGCGCCGUUAUCCAUUGGGCUCCACCCACUUCUUUGCCAUCUGCCAACAGAUGGAAAAGAUUCUUUGCCAUCUGCUGGCAGAUGGCAAAGAGGUGGGUUGACAGGCCGUUGCAGCACUGGAUCCUACCCACCUCUUUGCCAUCUGCUGGUAGAUGGCAAAGAUUAUUUGCCAUCCACUAGCAGAUGGCAAAGAAUUGGCUGAUGGCAACCACGUUCUUUGCCAUCUGUCAGUUCUUUGCCAUCUGUUUUUUAUAAGCAGAUGGCAAAGACAUUCUUUGCCAUCAGCUGGCAGAUGGCAAAGAGCUGGCUGAUGGCAAAUUCCCAGUUUCCAGUAGUGUAUGCGAAACCUUGACAAGCUUAUUAAAGGUUGGUUAUGUCAUAGACGACUAGAUCAUGAUGUCAUAUUUGAUAAGGAUAGACUUUGCAGCGCUUGUCAGGCAGGUAAGCAGGUUGGAGGAAGGCAUCCCAUGAAGAACAUCAUGACCACAAGGAGGCCACUCGAGCUACUUCACAUGGAUCUCUUAUGUCCCAACUCUUACAAGAGUCUCGGUGGAAAUUCUUUUGAUCUAGUUAUACUUGAUGAUUUUUCAAGAUUUACGUGGGUGUUCUUUCUCGAUGAUAAAUCGCAGGUCCAAAAGAUCUUCAAAAACUUCACUAGGAAGGCCCAAAAUAAAUUCGAAGUGAAGAUCAAGAAGGUUCGCAGCGACAACAGAACGGAGUUCAAGAACGCAAAUUUGGACACCUUUCUUGAUGAAGAAGGGAUUUCACACGAGUUCUCGGCUACGUACACACCUCAACAAAAUGGAGUUGUUGAGAGGAAGAACCGGACGCUCAUCGAAAUGGCGAGAAUGAUGCUUGAUGAGUACAAGACACCGAAGCACUUUUGGGCAGAAGCGGUUGAGACAUCUUGCCAUGCAACAAAUCGCUUGUAUCUUCACAAGCUACUCGGCAAGACGGCAUACGAGCUCCUCACCGGUAACAAACCCCAAGUUGGAUACUUUCGAGUAUUCGGCUCAAAGUGCUACAUUCUUGAUAAGCAUCGUCGUUCUAAAUUUGCUCCUAAGUCUCAUGAAGGUUUCCUACUAGGUUAUGGUUCAAACUCUCACACUUACCGUGUCUACAACAAUUUCACCCGAAAGGUUGAAGAGACGGUAGAUGUGAAGUUUGAUGCAUCUAACGGCUCACAAGUAGAGCAAUUGCCAAUUGAUGCAGGAGACAAAGAUCCCACGGAAGCAAUCCAAGACUUGUCUAUUAGCAAGGUUCGUCCAACGGAGGUGAAGGAGAGUACCUCGUCCAUCCAAGUGGAAGCUUCUACUUCACGACAAGGUGAACCAAGAGUUGAUACAGAAGCAUCCACAAGUGGGACACACCAAGAUGAAGAAAAAGAGGAAGUGCAUCAAGAUGAACAUCAACAACCUCGUUCCCCACCACGACAAGAGAACGACAAUGCCAACAAUGAAGAAGGCCAAGAAGAAGAACAAGAUUAAGAAGAAGUUCAACCAAGAACCAAGCAAAAGUUUUCACGAGUUCGUGCAAAAAUUGCUAAAGACCAUCCCGUCGAGCAAAUCUACAAUGAUAUUCAAACCGGGAGAAUGACUCGCUCUAAAACUCGUUUAGCUAACUUUUGUGAAAACUAUUAUUUCAUCUCUAGCAUUGAACCUAUGAAGGUCAAAGAAGCAUUGGAAGAUCCAGAUUGGAUAAUGCUAUGCAUGAACAGCUACACAACUUUGAGAGGAACACAGUUUGGACAUUGGUUGAGAAGCUCGACAACAACCACAACAUCAUCGAUACCAAAUGGGUGUUUCGCAACAAGCAAGAUGAAGAUGGAAAAGUAGUUCGCAACAAAGCACAUCUCGUCGCCCAAGGCUACACACAAGUCGAAGGUAUGGACUAUGGUGAGACUUAUGCUCCAGUUGCUAGACUUGAGUCGAUUCGCAUCUUACUUGCCUAUGCAAAUCAUCAUGAUAUCACCUUGUACCAAAUGGACAUUAAAAGUGCUUUUCUAAAUGGUGAAAUAGAGGAGGAAGUUUGUGUUAAACAACCUCCCGGCUUUGUCAAUCCUAAGAAACCCAAUCAUGUUUACAAACUUCACAAAGCUCUUUAUGGUCUUAAACAAGCUCCUAGAGCAUGGUAUAAAUGCUUGACCAAGUUCCUUAUUGAAAAAGGCUUUGAAAUUGGGAAAAUUGAUUCUACUCUUUUUACGAAAAGGGUUAAUGGAGAACUAUUUGUGUACCAAAUCUAUGUUGAUGAUAUUAUAUUUGGUUCAACUAACCCUCAUUUUAGUGAAAAGUUUGGGAAGCUAAUGUCGGAGAAAUUUGAGAUGUCUAUGAUGAGUGAACUCAAAUUCUUUCUUGGUUUGCAAAUCAAGCAAACUAAGGAAGGUACUUUUGUUUCUCAAACGAAGUACACCAAGGACUUAUUCAAGAAGUUCAAUAUGCAAGAAUGCAAAGGUAUGUCUACACCCAUGCCUACUAGUGGACACCUUGAUUUGACCAAAGAUGGUGAACUAGUUGAUCAAAAGGUUUAUCGCUCUAUGAUUGGUUCAUUGUUAUAUCUAUGUGCUUCAUGUCUAGAUAUCAUGCUAAGUGUGUGCAUGUGUGCACGAUAUAAGAUGCUCCUAAAGAAUGUCAUCUUAAGGCCAUGAAAAGGACAGCGAGAUACUUAAUCCAUACACCAAAUUUUGGCAUUUGGUAUCCUAAGAGGGCCUCUUUCAAUCUUGUUGGCUACUCCGACUCGGACUAUGCCGGAGACAAGGUUGAUAGAAAGUCCACUUCGGGUACUUGUCAAUUUCUUGGUAGAUCUCUUGUGUCUUGGUCUUCCAAGAAACAAACUCGGUAUCCUUAUCCACUGCCGAAGCGGAAUACAUUGCCGCUGGUUCUUGUUGUGCUCAAUUACUUUGGAUGACCCAGACUCUUAAAGACUAUGGGAUAUAUGUGAAACAUGUUCCAUUGCUUUGUGACAAUGAAAGUGCUACCAAAAUUAACCCUCAUUAAAUUAUCCGCUUCUUUUUGAAAUUUUAACACUUGAAAAUCCUAUAACUACGAUUAUUUUGGAAUGGAGGAGCUAAAUUUGAAUCUAUUUUGUACACGACUACAUAUGCUAUUAUGUACAAAAUCAGAGCAAAGUUUGGUGCCCCCAUAAUUUAGGUAUGGUUUACAAAUGCCAUGAUAUCAAAUUCAAAUAAUUGAAUGGACUUCAUGUUGAAUUCGAUUUUUUUAAACCACCUUAAGUUGAAUUCAAAUGUAUGCUAGUUCAUAGGUAGCUAUUUAUAAUGUCCAUUGUGUAACUUUCGUAUGUAUAAUGUGCUUUACACACACAACAUGAACUAUACUCACGUUUAUAUUCGAUUGCUAAAGGGAUGCAUUGUCUGGAGUUCAAAAUACUAACUAUGUGGAUCAAUUGUGUCGAAUAAUAACAUAGACAUGCUCAAAUUCGAUAGAAUCUAGAUGUCUGAUGGAUCAAUGACCGCUCCUUACGCGAAUUGCAAAUAUGAUGAUCCCAUCCUAAUAUUUGGAUACAACUUAUAUCUUUAAUCAAUGUGUAGAGCAGUCUUUUACGUGUAGUUGCACUCUCCAUCUGUGGUCUCUCACACAUGCUCACACACUCUCUCUCGAGGUGUCUUUCUCACACACAUGCUCUAGAUAUAACCCUCCUCCCUUUCGUAACCAUUUACAACUGUUUUCACUAACCUUUAUCACAAGCACUCUUCCUCUCGCAAACAUACACACGCACAAUCCUCAUCGACCCUUUCUAUAUACAUGGACCUGCCUACGUGUCUCAUGUACGCGCAUUAUCUUUACGCCUAUCUCUCAUGCAUUGUCUCACACCUCUCUUCCUAAUCGACGAGUAUGAUUCUAGUAGAGCAUUCUAUAGGAUGCCCCUUAAAGUUAGGUUGGAUGAAUAGUAAUAUCAGAGAUAAAGGGGUUACCUUAGUCCGAGAACCUAGGGUUACAAAUCCUAGCCGGCUUUGUCAGUGGACACAGAGUCCUUCACAAUUCUGCUAUCUUUGUCUUGUACGACUAGGCAUCCAUAGGUCUUCUUAAAUGUGUCAUGGGCCGACCAAUGUGGCGCAGGACGGAACCGAACGAAGGGCCUCACCUCGACCCACCAGACCUCACGCGGUGACACACCCUCUGCCCCCACGUCUCAUUAUCUUCUCACACCCACACAUACCAACACAAACACCACACACAAAGAAAAUUUGUCCUGGUGCCUCUAUUCCCCCCUUGCAUAUAUACACUCAAGGGAAUGGAAUUUCUUGUCGUGACGUCAUAUUCUUCUCUCUCUCUCUAGACCACUCUCAUUUCUCGUGCUAUCUCUCCCACGCCCCCUCCCCCCGUCUGCCCCUCUAUCCAUGCCUCUCUCGAAUACGUAAUACACACACAUACCUCUCUAGGCCCCGCCAAAUGCAUCAACUACACAUUCACACAUGUUACAUCACGUACCCCAUUGAUCUAGAAAGCCCUCUCUUCACGUUUAUUUCGCAUACAACAUUCCUUUUGAAUAAAGUGUGGCCAAAAAAUUAUUUUAGAGUUUCUACAUAUAUACAACAAUACAAAGUUAUAUGGAGGAUUACGAAAGCUAAUUGGCAUUGCGUGGUGCCCACAACGAUAUUUAUUUUGCACCGUGAAUUUGUAUAUUUUUAUACUAUAUACAAAGUUAGUCAUAAUAAAGAGAAACAAAGAGCAUCUCUCUCUCCAUCACAUACCACCCCCCAUGUAUGCCCCAUUCACAUAUGCACACAAAACUAUCUCCAGGUCCUCUAAAAGUAAGCCCCCAGAAAAUUCACGCGUGUUUCAUCUUUCUCUCGCGAUAUAUGCAAUGACGAUCAUUGUAUUUGAAGCGAAAGCACGAUACAUACAUUGGAGUUCAUAAUCCACUCAUUACGGUCACCGUUUACGUUUAGUGGUUAUUAUACAGUCACGGGCUCACCGUACAACUUUGUAUUUGCUCAUGACAUGACUAGUUGACCAGUUAAACGCUCCACGUGGCACCUCUAGUGUUGCAUCACAUUAUCUCACUACCAUCAUGCCCACCUGUUGACUUGUAUCUACUCUACAUCUACACUCUUAUAAAAUACAUAAAAUACACUCUUAUAAAAAACAGAGUUGGUGAUGACGGUGUUCCUGCCAUCCUGCAAUAUAGGCCGUCCGAUUUAUAUCUGAUGGAUAGGAAAGAAACUAUGCAAUUUUGCAAAAAGGUACCCGCACACCUCUCCACAUUUGCAAAUAAGGCCUUCCCUCGUUCAUCCUUUUCUCUCAGAAGAUAAACAAGUCAUAAAAAUGCAUCUUGAUGUUACGUGCAACGCAUGGGCAUCUUGCUAGUAAGAAUGAAAACAAACGACAAAAAUAUAUUUUGACGGUGGUUCCAAGUCAUGACUGCGGGCACAACGGACAAGGUGGCCUUGUAUUGGUAUGCUGAGCCAUCUGUUUUAACACACAGGAGCUGGUGUGGUGAUUAUACACACACGCACGCAUACACACGAACUGCAUCCACGCAACACUCACACAAACACAUGCACCCACGCACGCACGCAACACUCACACGUACACACGCUGCCACGCACGCACGCAACACUCACACGCACACACGCACACAUGCAUGCACACACCAGUACACCACACGACCAACACACACUCUCACACUCAAGUGCUCAACCUACACGUGCAUGCGCACACAUCAGGCCCUGACAGACACAUACACAACCAGGUGAUUCUCGCGCACGGGUUGGAGGCUUGUCGGGCCUGCAUAAAUUUGUGUUUAUCUGACCUUUUCCGUAUGCGAACUGAUAGGUGGGACCCACAAGGAACGUGGUCAAUUUAACUAGUCAACAUGGCGCCACGCAGACUAUUUGGCCGGUCAACAGAGUGCAAUCCGAUGCUGAGCUAUGAGUAAGUGACCGGAUAAUCACCGCAAAAUGUAUAUAGUGACCGUAAUCAGCUUCUUCUGAAGUUUGGUGACCGUAUUACGCUUUUCUCUCUGUAGGCCCUCCAAAACUACAUCUCUACACGUUCUCGCAUGUUACAUCUGACAACUAUGCAAUACAACACUACUACUACACUCUAACACAAUAAAUCAUAUGUGUUUUUAGUUUUACUAGAUAUCAUAUUGUUACUUAUAAUUAUUUAGUUUGCAUACAUUAAAAUUUCCUUUGAAAUGUAUGGCCAGUAUCAUCUACCGUGCGGGAAAAAUCCCGCCCUUUCCUGUUUAAUCGGGUUUGUAUCAAUGGAUCAUGUGAAACAGCAAAACUAUAGUACUAUACAGUACAAGUGACAGUGCACUGGGCCGUCGUGUCGUCUACUCCUCCGUCGUAAGAGUGGAGUGCUCGCUUUCAUAAAUCUUCUAGUCCCUUUCGCCGACAUGUGGGACAUCAAGCUACUAGGUCCACGUGCCAUACCGGAAUACAGUGCAGAGCAGCCGGGGUGAAGCACCCCAGUCAUGGCGCCGGCGUAGUAAUGAGCAAUGAGGCGUCAAAUCACAAAGCUGCACCUUUCCCGCAGUUAAGUUCGAGGGACGAAGUAAUAAUGCUAAAAAAAUAAGUUGGAGGGACGAAGCAACCAUCAUUUCACUCAUUGCUAAAUCCGCUUCUCCCUCAUCUUCUUCAACUUAACCACGUGUUGCUUCUGCCGUUGUUCUGCCUCAUGUGGGACGCGGAUCGGCUUGGUAAAGCACUGACACAUGGGACUGCAUGUUAGCAAACCGCCAGGACAACGUCCUCUGAAAAUAAGAAACCUCCCCCGCCAUCUGCGUGGCAAAAUCACCUCCUUUUUACUAAUCUUGAUUCUAUAAAUUUUUAGAUCAAUAUAAUUGAGAUUUGUAUAGAUAGCACACAGGAGCAAAACCAAGUGGUACAGUUAAGGGCAUCCACAAUGUGUAGCCAAAUGUGAAAAUAGCUUUUGGCAUCAUGGGAACCAUUGUGUACAGUGUUGCCAAAGCCAAAAAGAUGGAACCGAAGCUCCCUGUUUGAUUGAUUGAAGGAAUAGAAAAAUGCAACGUCUCUCCUCUUUCUCCCAUGCUUGGACGCAUGUAGUACAGUAUAGAGCAUGGAGUCUACUCCCCUGUCCCUUCUAUCACGAAUCACAAAGCAGUGAGGCGUCAAAUCACAAAGCACGGAUGAAGCAACCAUCAUUUCACUCUUCGCUGACCCCGCUUCUCCAUCGUCUUCUUCGAGACACCAUCUCACCGCACUAGUACUCCUAGUAGUAGUACUAGAAAAGGACUUCCUGGAUGCAAAUAAGGCGGUUGUCUCGGCUUGUAGGCGGCACUUGCGAAUGACUUACCGUGGUCUCCCUCAAUGGUGUUCUCCGUCGAACGCACUUCGCCAAACCACAAAAAAAAAAUAUCGUCGACCUCACCGCAAUGGGGAAGGAAGUCAAAUAUAGUUACUACCUCCAUUUUUUUGUACACAAGGCGAGUAUAACAAAAUUUUGGUAAUGUCAUGGAACAUUUCAAUGACAGCACAGGUAUGACUAUCUUGAUUCUGUCAUAAAAUCGUCAUGGAUGUACAUGCAUGAGACAAAACGCGACCUACUGUGACAAACACGUAUCCUCACGGAAGUGUAUUUUUUUUGUAGUGCAAGCAAUACAACAUAAAGCAAGAGUAGGCUUUUACCUCGUUGAGAGAGGCCGAACAUGGGUAAAAACUCUCGGUGUCCUUUGUCCCGUUUAACCCUUCAAGCUAACCUAACGGCAAUGGCUCCACACCUAAGUCCUCUUGCUAGGGCAUCUGCCGUGUUAAGUCCAUGAUAGCCUGCAAGGACAGGAUUGAAGGAAGCUUCACUAUGAUGUGUCAAUGCCAAUGGAAGAUAUAUUGCACGUUUCACCAUGCAUGUGCCACCAACAACCUGACUUUGUUAUGGAAGACUUGAUGAAGAUCGAAUAUACUUACAGGUGCAUUCGUUACCCCCAUAUAGCACAACAGAAUAACCAUCUUCAGCAUGGCCCUUUCCUCUACCCAGUUCCAAUCACCCCUCCUCCAUAACUGCUAGAACUUGGACCUGAUUUCCAUGUUUGAGAUAAUAUUUUUAAGAAUACCUAUGCAAUGGUUAUUUCUUUUCAUGAUAUCGCCAUGGAGAUUUAUAGUUGAAAAAUGAUCAAUUUCUAUAUAGAAGUUAACAGUAUAUAAUGGUUCGAAGCAACUCUAACAGCAGUGAAUUUAGGAUAGAGUACAUGACAUGAUAUACACUCUCAAUAAUAGUAGCUACUAUUGUGCGUGUAGAGUUUUUUCCCUUACAAGAUGCUAUAUGAAAAUUUUCAUGCCUGCAAAAUAAGUCUAUAGGAUUAUUCUAUAUUUAUGAACUACUCCCUCCAUUCCCUUUUGUAGUGCGUAUAGUUUUUUGCCUAAAAUUCCGGAAUGUAGUGCUUGCAUGCAGCACAAAGUUGGUUUGGACAAGUUACCCUUCGCUGGAAUCAAGGGACACAUGCAGCAGAGCACGCACAUGGGUGUGUAGCAGACCAUGCAUGCAAGGUUAAUCUGGUAAAAUUCACAGCUCCACCUCAUGCAUUGGUAUUGGAGCUAACAUCUAUGUGCACUAUAUAAUGAAACAGAGGGAGUAACAAUAGCACUAUUGUGUGCAGUAUUUUUCUAGAAGAUGAUAUAUGCAGAUCCUGUUAUCCGCAAGUUUCUGUGGCGCACAUCAGCUUCAAGUCAGCACCCUAGGCCAAUACAACCACUUCCUCCUUUAUUUAUCCCUCCCUUUCUGACUUCCUUCCUUCUUCCUUCCGAGCAAAGACAAAUUUAGUGGGAUGUAGAAGAGGCGGCAAGCACAUCUAGCAGCCGGAGAUAAGCAAUAGUUUGUUCCUCAAUAGCAACAACAAUAUUUCUUCCGUUCACUUUUGCAAGGGGCUGGAGGCUGUGACGUAGAAAAAAUUUCAGAGUAUCUCGAUUUGCCCUGUCACUUUCGCAGUCUCGCUUCGCGCACCCUUCUCUCAGUCGAAAGUGGAUCCUCUAAUCUCUUGCUUCGCAUCACCCUCCCUCUCUCUGAAAGAUUGGAUGAAAGCGUGUACCUCUGGCAGGGACGCACGCAUGUUUAUAUAGAGCAGAUGGUUUACAAGAUACGGUAAUUAGGCGUGGAUUGAUCCUCAAGCAAACUAUACAAGAGAUAAGGAGGAAUCCCAACAGGCUAACUACCAGAUUGUAUCAACACACCCGCACUAGCUAUACCAGAAUGUAUAUACGGUUUAUAUACAACCAUACAUAUGUACAAUAAUAUCUAACAUGCCCCCUCAAUCACAGCUUCACCAAGUUGAGAUUGCUCUUGAAGUCUUCCAACUGGCACCAUGAUAGUGCUUUAUUAAAGCCAUCCACAACUUGAUCACAUGUGGGAAUGAAACGAAUAUCCAGGAGUUUCUGUGCUACUCUUUCUCUAACAAAAUGACAGUCCACCUCUAUGUGUUUGGUCCUUGCAUGAAAGAUUGGAUUUGCUGACAAAUAUGUGGCACCAAUAUUGUCACACCAAAGACGAGCAACUGGUGAGUGAGCAACUCCAAGUUCUUGCAGAAGAGUCUGAACCCAAAUAAUCUCUGCAGUAGUGAUGUCUACUACACAACCUUCUUCUUGUAGACGUUGUUGGGCCUCCAAGUUCAGUAGUUUGUAGGACAGUAGCAAAUUUCCCUCAAGUGGAUGACCUAAGGUUUAUUAAUCCGUGGGAGGUGCAGGAUGAAGAUGGUUCCUCUCACACAACCCUGCAACCAAAUAACAAAGAGUCUCUUGUGUCCCCAACACACCCAAUACAAUGGUAAAUUGUAUUGGUGCACUAGUUCGGCGAAGAGAUGGUGAUACAAGUGCAAUAUGGAUGGUAGAUAUAGGUUUUUGUAAUCUGAAAAUAUAAAAACAGCAAGGUAGCAAGCAAUAUAAGUGAGCAUAAACAGUAUUGCAAUGGUAGGAAACAAGGCCUAGGGUUCAUACUUUCACUAGUGCAAGUUCUCUCAACAACAAUAACAUAACUGGAUCAUAUAACUAUCCCUCAACAUGCAAUAAAGAGUCACUCCAAAGUCACUAAUUGCAAAUAACAAACGAAGAAAUGAUUGUAGGGUACGAAACCACCUCAAAGUUAUUCUUUCCGAUCAAUCCGUUGGGCUAUUCUUCUAAGUGUCACAAAUAACCCUAGAGUUCGUAGUAAAAUAACACCUUAAGACACAUAUCAACCAAAACCCUAAUGACACCUAGAUACUCCAAUGUCACCUCAAGUAUCCACGGGUAUGAUUAUACGAUAUGCAUCACACAAUCUUAGAUUCAUCUAUUCAACCAACACAAAGAACUUCAAAGAGUGCCCCAAAGUUUCUACCGGAGAGUCAAGACAAAAAUGUGUGCCAACCCCUAUGCAUAAGUUCACAAGGUCACUGAACCCGCAAGUUGAUCACCAAAACAUACAUCUAGUAGAUCGUGUGAUAUCCCAUUGUCACCACAGAUAAGCACAUUCAAGACAUACAUCAAGUGUUCUCAAAUCCUUCAAUACUCAAUCCGAUAAGAUAACUUCAAAGGAAAAACUCGAUCCAUUACAAGAGAAUAGAGGGGGAGAAACAUCAUAAGAUCCAAUUAUAGUAGCAAAGCUCGUGGUACAUCAAGCUCGUGCCAUAUCAAGAACACGAGAGAGAGAGAGAGAGAGAGAGAGAGAGAGAGAGAGAGAGAGAUCAAACACAUAGCUACUGGUACGUACACUCAGCCCCGAGGGUGAAUUACUCCCUCCUCGUCAUGGAGAGCGCCGAGAUGAUGAAGAUGGCCACCGGUGAUGGAUCCCCCCUCCAGCAGGGUGCCAAAACAGGGUCUCAAGAGGUUUUUGGUUGCUACAGAGGCUUGCGGCGGUGGAACUCCCGGUCUAGGUUUCUUUCUGGGGGUUUGUGUGUUUGUAGGAAUUUUUGGCGUCGGUUUUACGUCAGGAGGGUCUCCGAGUCGUCCACGAGAUAGGGGGGCGCGCCCAGGAUGUAGGGCGCGCCCUCCACCCUCGUGGACAGCUCGGGACUCUUCUUGCCCAAUUCUUUUACUCCGGGGCCUUCUUUUGGUCCAUAAAAAAUCAUCAAGAAUUGGCACGUCAAUUGGACUCCAUUUGGUAUUCCUUUUCUGUAAAACUCAAAAACAGGGAGAAAACAGAAACUGGCACUGGGCUCUAUGUUAAUAGGUUAGUCCCAAAAAUCAUAUAAAACAACAUAUAAAUGCAUAUCAAACAUCCUAGAUGGAUAAUAUAAUAGCAUGGAACAAUCAAAAAUUAUAGAUACACUGGAGACAUAUCAAGCAUCCCCAAGCUUAAUUCAUGCUCGUCCUCGAGUAGGUAAAUGAUAAAAACAGAAUUUUUGAUGUGGAAUGCUACCUAACAUAUUUAUCAAUGUAAUCUAUCUUUAUUGUGGCAAGAAUAUUCAGAUCCAUAAGGUUCAAAACAAAAGUUUAAUAUUGACAUAAAAGUGAUAAUACUUCAAGCAUACUAACAAAGUAAUCAUGUCUUCUCAAAAUAAUAUGGUCAAAGAAAGCUAUCCCUACAAAAUCAUAUAGUCUGGCUAUGCUCUAUCUUCAUCACACAAAAUAUUUAAAUCAUGCAAAACCCCGGUUUCAGCCAAGCAAUUGUUUCAUACUUUAGUAUUCUCAAAAAAAAUUAGUCUUCACGCAAUACAUGAGCGUGAGCCAUGGACAUAGCACCAUAGGUGGAAUAGAAUGGUGGUUGUGGAGAAGACAAAAAGGAGAAGAUAGUCUCACAUCAACUAGGCGUAUCAACGGGCUAUGGAGAUGCCCAUCAAUAGAUAUCAAUGUGAGUGAGUAGGGAUUGCCAUACAACGGAUGCACUAGAGCUAUAAGUGUAUGAAAGCUCAAAAAGAAACUAAGUGGGUGUGCAUCCAAUUUGCUUGCUCAUGAAGACCUAGGGCAUUUGAGGAAGCCCAUCAUUGGAAUAUACAAGCCAAGUUCUAUAAUGAAAAUUCCCACUAGUAUAUGAAAGUGUCAACAUAGGAGAAUCUCUAUCAUGAAGAUCAUGGUGCUACUUUGAAGCACAAGUGUGGUAAAAGGAUAGUAGCAUUGCCCCUUCUCUCUUUUUCUCUCAUUUUUUGGGCCUUCUCUUUUUUUGGCCUCUUUUUUUUCGUCCGGAGUCUCAUCCCGACUUGUGGGGGAAUCAGUCUCCAUCAUGCUUUCCUCACUGGGAUAGUGCUCUAAUAAUGAAGAUCAUCACACUUUUAUUUACUUCCAACUUAAGAAUUACAAAUCGAUACUAAGAACAAAAUAUGACUCUAUGUAAAUGCCUUCGGCAGUGUACCGGGAUGUGCAAUGAAUCAAGAGUGACAUGUAUGAAAGAAUUAUGAACGGUGGCUUUGCCACAAAUACAAUGUCAACUACAUGAUCAUGCAAAGCAAUAUGACAAUAAUGAAGCGUGUCAUAGUAAACGGAACGGUGGAAAGUUGCAUGACAAUAUAUCUUAGAAUUGCUAUGGAAAUGCCAUAAUAGGUAGGUAUGGUGGCUGUUUUGAGGAAGAUAAUGGUGGAUGUAUGGUACCGGCAGAAAUUGCAUGGCUGUCGGGUGGUUGGUGCGACAUAUGGCAACGGGUGGCUUAUCAUUGUGGGAGCCAAUAAGAUGUCGCCGGUGCCUGGAAAUGGGAUAAGGCGAAGACAUGCACGUCGGCAAAUCUUACCCAGGUUCGGGGCUCUCCGUGGAGAUAACACCCCUAGUCCUGCUCUGCGGGGUCUCCGCAUGAUCACUAGAUCAACAAGUAGCUACAAGAGGCUCCUUGAGCUGUUUGGCGAGAGGAGGAAGAGGAGGCCAUGCUAGCUCUCUUCUCCUCUCAAAGUUGUGUCUAAAUCUAUCAGGGUCCAACCCUUUGCAUGGGUGCCCCAUGGGGUUUAUAUAGGCCUACCCCCCGGGGGUACAAUGGUAAUCCGGCCGGGCCUGGGCCCAGCCGUCGUGCGAAACAGCAAAACUAUAGUACUAUACAGUACAAGUGACAGUGCACUGGGCCGUCGUGUCGUCUACUCCUCUGUCGUAAGAGUGGAGUGCUCGCUUUCAUAAAUCUUCUAGUCCCUUUCGCCGACAUGUGGGACAUCAAGCUACCAGGUCCACGUGCCAUACCGGAAUACAGUGCAGAGCAGCCGGGGUGAAGCACCCCAGUCAUGGCGCCGGCGUAGUAAUGAGCAAUGAGGUGUCAAAUCACAAAGCUGCACCUUUCCCGCAGUUAAGUUGGAGGGACGAAGUAAUAAUGCUAAAAAAAGAAGUUGGAGGGACGAAGCAACCAUCAUUUCACUCGUUGCUAAAUCCGCUUCUCCCUCAUCUUCUUGAACUUAACCACGUGUUGCUUCUGCCGUUGUUCUGCCUCAUGUGGGACACGGAUCGGCUUGGUAAAGCACUGACACAUGGGACCGCAUGUUAGCAAACCGCCAGGACAACGUCCUCUGAAAAUAAGAAACCUUCCCCGCCAUCUGCGUGGCAAAAUCACCUCCUUUUUACUAAUCUUGAUUCUAUAAAUUUUUAGAUCAAUAUAAUUGAGAUUUGUAUAGAUAGCACACAGGAGCAAAACCAAGUGGUACGGUUAAGGGCAUCCACAAUGUGUAGCCAAAUGUGAAAAUAGCUUUUGGCAUCAUGGGAACCAUUGUGGACAGUGUUGCCAAAGCCAAAAAGAUGGAACCGAAGCUCCCUGUUUGAUUGAUUGAAGGAAUAGAAAAAUUCAACGUCUCUCCUCUUUCUCCCAUGCUUGGACGCAAUUAGUACAGUAUAGAGCAUGGAGUCUACUCCCCUGUCCCUUCUAUCACGAAUCACAAAGCAGUGAGGCGUCAAAUCACAAAGCACGGAUGAAGCAACCAUCAUUUCACUCUUCGCUGACCCCGCUUCUCCAUCGUCUUCUUCGAGAAACCAUCUCACCACACUAGUACUCCUAGUAGUAGUACUAGUAAAGGACUUCCUGGAUGCAAAUAAGGUGGUUGUCUCGGCUUGUAGGCGGCACUUGCGAACGACUUACCGUGGUCCCCCUCAAUGGUGUUCUCCGUCGAACGCACUUCGCCAAACCACAAAAAAAUUAUCGUCGACGUCACCGCAAUGGGGAAGGUAGUCAAAUAUAGUUACUACCUCCAUUUUUUUGUACACAAGGCGAGUAUAACAAAAUUUUGGUAAUGUCAUGGAACACAUCAACGACAGCACAGGUAUGACUAUCUUGAUUCUGUCAUAAAAUCGUCAUGGAUGUACAUGCAUGACACAAAACGCGACCCACUGUGACAAACACGUAUCCUCACGGAAGUGUUUUUUUUUUGUAGUGCAAGCAAUACAACAUAAAGCAGGAGUAGGCUUUUACCUCGUUGAGAGGGGCCGAACAUGGGUAAAAACUCUCGGUGUCCUUUGUCCCGUUUAACCCUUCAAGCUAACCUAACGGCAAUGGCUCCACACCUAAGUCCUCUUGCUAGGGCAUCUGCCGUGUUAAGUCCAUGAUAGCCUGCAAGGACAGGAUUGAAGGAAGCUUCACUAUGAUGUGUCAAUGCCAAUGGAAGAUAUAUUGCAUGUUUCACCAUGCAUGUGCCACCAACAACCUGACUUUGUUAUGGAAGACUUGAUGAAGAUCGAAUAUACUUACAGGUGCAUUCGUUACCCCCAUAUAGCACAACAGAAUAACCAUCUUCAGCAUGGCCCUUUCCUCUACCCAGUUCCAAUCACCCCUCCUCCAUAACUGCUAGAACUUGGACCUGAUUUCCAUGUUUGAGAUAAUAUUUUUAAGAAUACCUACGAAAUGGUUAUUUCUUUUCAUGAUAUCGCCGUGGAGAUUUAUAGUUGGAAAAUGAUCAAUUUCUAUAUAGAAGUGAACAGUAUAUAAUGGUUCGAAGCAACUCUAACAGCAGUGAAUUUAGGAUAGAGUACAUGACAUGAUAUACACUCUCAAUAAUAGUAGCUACUAUUGUGCGUGCAGAGUUUUUUCCCUUACAAGAUGCUAUAUGAAAAUUUUCAUGCCUGCAAAAUGAGUCCAUAGGAUUAUUCUAUAUUUAUGAACUACUCCCUCCAUUCCCUUUUGUAGUGCGUAUAGUUUUUUUCCUAAAAUUCCGGAAUGUAGUGCUUGCAUGCAGCACAAAGUUGGUUUGGACAAGUUACCCUUCGCUGGAAUCAAGGGACACACGCAGCAGAGCACACACAUGGGUGUGUAGCAGACCAUGCAUGCAAGGUUAAUCUGGUAAAGUUCACAGCUCCAGCUCAUGCAUUGGUAUUGGAGCUAAAAUCUGUGUGCACUAUAUAAUGAAACAGAGGGAGUAACAAUAGCACUAUUGUGUGCAGUAUUUUUCUAGAAGAUGAUAUAUGCAGAUCCUGUUAUCCGCAAGUUUCUGUGGCGCACAUCAGCUUCAAGUCAGCACCCUAGGCCAAUACAACCACUUCCUCCUUUAUUUAUCCCUCCCUUUCUGACUUCCUUCCUUCUUCCUUCCGAGCAAGACAAAUUUAGUGGGAUGUAGAAGAGGCGGCAAGCACAUCUAGCAGCCGGAGAUAAGCAAUAGUUUGUUCCUCAAUAGCAACAACAAUAUUCCUUCCGUUCACUUUUGCAAGGGGCUGGAGGCGGUGACGUAGAAAUUUUUUCAGAGUUUCUCGAUUUUCCCUGUCACUCUCGCAGUCUCGCUUCGCGCACCCUUCUCUCAGUCGAAAGUGGAUCCUCUAAUCUCUUGCUUCGCAUCACCGCUCUCUCACUCCUCUCCGGCGCCUGCGUCGCCACCGCGUCUACCCUCCCUCUCUCUGAAAGAUUGGAUGAAAGCGUGUACCUUUGGCAGGGACGCACGCAUGUUUAUAUAGAGCAGAUGGUUUGCAAGAUACGGUAAUUAGGCGUGGAUUGAUCCUCAAGCAAACUAUACAAGAGAUAAGGAGGAAUCCAACAGGCUAACUACCAGAUUGUAUCAACACACCCGCACUAGCUAUACCAGAAGGUAUAUACGGUUUAUAUACAACCAUACAUACGUACAAUAAUAUCUAACAUGCCCCCUCAAUCACAGCUUCACCAAGUUGAGAUUGCUCUUGAAGUCUUCCAAUUGGCACCAUGAUAGUGCUUUAUUAAAGCCAUCCACAACUUGAUCACCUGUGGGAAUGAAACGAAUAUCCAGGAGUUUCUGUGCUACUCUUUCUCUAACAAAAUGACAGUCCACCUCUAUGUGUUUGGUCCUUGCAUGAAAGAUUGGAUUUGCUGACAAAUAUGUGGCACCAAUAUUGUCACACCAAAGACGAGCAACUGGUGAGUGAGCAACUCCAAGUUCUUGCAGAAGAGUCUGAACCCAAAUAAUCUCUGCAGUAGUGAUGUCUACUACACAACCUUCUUCUUGUAGACGUUGUUGGGCCUCCAAGUUCAGCAGUUUGUAGGACAGUAGCAAAUUUCCCUCAAGUGGAUGACCUAAGGUUUAUUAAUCCGUGGGAGGUGUAGGAUGAAGAUGGUUCCUCUCACACAACCCUGCAACCAAAUAACAAAGAGUCUCUUGUGUCCCCAACACACCCAAUACAAUGGUAAAUUGUAUUGGUGCACUAGUUCGGCGAAGAGAUGGUGAUACAAGUGCACUAUGGAUGGUAGAUAUAGGUUUUUGUAAUCUGAAAAUAUAAAAACAGAAAGGUAGCAAGCAAUAUAAGUGAGCAUAAACAGUAUUGCAAUGGUAGGAAACAAGGCCUAGGGUUCAUACUUUCACUAGUGCAAGUUCUCUCAACAACAAUAACAUAACUGGAUCAUAUAACUAUCCCUCAACAUGCAAUAAAGAGUCACUCCAAAGUCACUAAUUGCAGAGAACAAACGAAGAAAUGAUUGUAGGGUACGAAACCACCUCAAAGUUAUUCUUUCCGAUCAAUCCGUUGGGCUAUUCUUCUAAGUGUCACAAACAACCCUAGAGUUCGUAGUAAAAUAACACCUUAAGACACAUAUCAACCAAAACCCUAAUGUCACCUAGAUACUCCAAUGUCACCUCAAGUAUCCACGGGUAUGAUUAUACGAUAUGCAUCACACAAUCUUAGAUUCAUCUAUUCAACCAACACAAAGAACUUCAAAGAGUGCCCCAAAGUUUCUACCGGAGAGUCAAGACAAAAAUGUGUGCCAACCCCUAUGCAUAAGUUCACAAGGUCACUGAACCCGCAAGUUGAGCACCAAAACAUACAUCUAGUUGAUCGUGUGAUAUCCCAUUGUCACCACAGAUAAGCACAUUCAAGACAUACAUCAAGUGUUCUCAAAUCCUUCAAGACUCAAUCCGAUAAGAUAACUUCAAAGGAAAAACUCGAUCCAUUACAAGAGAAUAGAGGGGGAGAAACAUCAUAAGAUCCAAUUAUAGUAGCAAAGCUCGCGGUACAUCAAGAUCGUGCCAUAUCAAGAACACGAGAGAGAGAGAGAGAGAGAGAGAGAUCAAACACAUAGCUACUAGUACGUACACUCAGCCCCGAGGGUGAAUUACUCCCUCCUCGUCAUGGAGAGUGCCGAGAUGAUGAAGAUGGCCACCGGUGAUGGAUCCCCCCUCCGGCAGGGUGCCGGAACAGGGUUUCAAGAGGUUUUUGGUGGCUACAGAGGCUUGCGGCGGUGGAACUCCCGAUCUAGGUUUCUUUCUGGGGGUUUGUGUGUUUGUAGGAAUUUUUGGCGUCGGUUUUACGUCAGGAGGGUCUCCGAGUCAUCCACGAGAUAGGGGGGCGCGCCCAGGGUGUAGGGUGCGCCCUCCACCCUCGUGGACAGCUCGGGACUCUUUUGGCCCAACUCUUUUACUCCGGGGCCUUCUUUUGGUCCAUAAAAAAUCAUCAAAAAUUGUCACGUCAAUUGGACUCCGUUUGGUAUUCCUUUUCUGUAAAACUCAAAAACAAGGAGAAAACAGAAACUGGCACUGGGCUCUAUGUUAAUAGGUUAGUCCCAAAAAUCAUAUAAAACAACAUCUAAAUGCAUAUCAAACAUCCUAGAUGGAUAAUAUAAUAGCAUGGAACAAUCAAAAAUUAUAGAUACGCUGGAGACAUAUCAAGCAUCCCCAAGCUUAAUUCACGCUCGUCCUCGAGUAGGUAAAUGAUAAAAACAAAAUUUUUGAUGUGGAAUGCUACCUAACAUAUUUAUCAAUGUAAUCUAUCUUUAUUGUGGCAAGAAUAUUCAGAUCCAUAAGAUUCAAAACAAAAGUUUAAUAUUGACAUAAAAGUGAUAAUACUUCAAGCAUACUAACAAAGCAAUCAUGUCUUCUCAAAAUAAUAUGGCCAAAGAAAGCUAUCCCUACAAAAUCAUAUAGUCUGGCUAUGCUCUAUCUUCAUCACACAAAAUAUUUAAAUCAUGCAAAACCCCGGUUUUAGGCAAGCAAUUGUUUCAUACUUUAGUAUUCUCAAAAAAAAUUAGUCUUCACGCAAUACAUGAGCGUGAGCCAUGGACAUAGCACCAUAGGUGGAAUAGAAUGGUGGUUGUGGAGAAGACAAAAAGGAGAAGAUAGUCUCACAUCAACUAGGCGUAUCAACGGGCUAUGGAGAUGCCCAUCAAUAGAUAUCAAUGUGAGUGAGUAGGGAUUGCCAUACAACGGAUGCACUAGAGCUAUAAGUGUAUGAAAGCUCAAAAAGAAACUAAGUGGGUGUGCAUCCAACUUGCUUGCUCAUGAAGACCUAGGGCAUUUGAGGAAGCCCAUCAUUGGAAUAUACAAGCCAAGUUCUAUAAUGAAAAUUCCCACUAGUAUAUGAAAGUGUCAACAUAGGAGAAUCUCUAUCAUGAAGAUCAUGGCGCUACUUUGAAGCACAAGUGUGGUAAAAGGAUAGUAGCAUUGCCCCUUCUCUCUUUUUCUCUCAUUUUUUUGGGCCUUCUCUUUUUUUGGCCUCUUUUUUUCGUCCGGAGUCUCAUCCCGACUUGUGGGGGAAUCAGUCUCCAUCAUGCUUUCCUCACUGGGACAGUGCUCUAAUAAUGAAGAUCAUCACACUUUUAUUUACUUACAACUUAAGAAUUACAACUCGAUACUAAGAACAAAAUAUGACUCUAUGUAAAUGCCUUCGGCAGUGUACCGGGAUGUGCAAUGAAUCAAGAGUGACAUGUAUGAAAGAAUUAUGAACGGUGGCUUUGCCACAAAUACAAUGUCAACUACAUGAUCAUGCAAAGAAAUAUGACAAUAAUGAAGCGUGUCAUAGUAAACGGAACGGUGGAAAGUUGCAUGACAAUAUAUCUCAGAAUUGCUAUGGAAAUGCCAUAAUAGGUAGGUAUGGUGGCUGUUUUGAGGAAUAUAAUGGUGGAUGUAUGGUACCGGCAGAAAUUGCACGGCUGUCGGGUGGUUGGUGCGACAUAUGGCAACGGGUGGCUUAUCAUUGUGGGAGCCAAUAAGAUGUCGCCGGUGCCUGGAAACGGGAUAAUUCGAAGACAUGCACGCCGGCAAAUCUUACCCAGGUUCGGGGCUCUCCGUGGAGAUAACACCCCUAGUCCUGCUCUGCGGGGUCUCCGCAUGAUCACUAGAUCAACAAGUAGCUACAAGAGGCUCCUUGAGCUGUUUGGCGAGAGGAGGAAGAGGAGGCCAUGCUAGCUCUCUUCUCCUCUCAAAGUUGUGUCUAAAUCUAUCAGGGUCCAACCCUUUGCAUGGGUGCCCCAUGGGGUUUAUAUAGGCCUACCCCCCGGGGGUACAAUGGUAAUCUGGCCGGGCCUGGGCCCAGCCGUCAGUGUCUACGCUGGCCGGCUUCUCCGCCGACAGCUGGGGCCCGCCGGCUGCCGGCUUCCUGGUAGACAGGUAGGCCCCACCGCUUGGGGGUCUUGUCGGGGGUUGGUUACUGUCGCCUCACCUUUGAUGACGAGGGCUUGCUCGAGGUAAGCAUGGCUACAGUGCCGACGCCUUGCGGGCGCUCACUAUAGCGUCACCUCGAAUUGUCUCCUUAAUGGGGCUCAUUCUUCGAGGGAGGGAUCAAGCCGGCUGGGGAGAGCCGGCUUCAUCCCUGGCCGACUAGGGGGCGUGCGACCGCCUUCAGAUGCCCCUCUGGCCAAAGGGGCCCGCCGCCUGCGGGCCGUACCAUCAGUUUAUCGUGGGUGAUGUCAUGGUCAGCAUGGCAACAGUGCCGCGCCGGACGGGUCAUGGCAGCCCCAUACGGCGCACUGUAGCCAUGCGAAAUCCGGGAUUCGGGGGCGGCGUAUCUCACUGUUGCCACGCCCUGUCGCGUUGUCAUUAUGCUGGAACAAGCUCCGAGUGCCCGAUCUGGGCCGUCUAUUGGGGGCCGGCUUUACGGAGUCGACCGUGCGAUGGCCGGCUUUACGGAGUCGGCCAUGUGGUGGCCGGCUUUUAUGGAGUCGGCCAUGUGGUGGCCGGCUUUCUUUGGGAGGGCUCUUGGCCAGGCCGCCCCGGUAGCCGGCCAAGGGGGUAGCCGGCCGGGGGAAGGCGACCCUGCGUCUUGGAUGCUUGACGGUUCGAUCAGCCUGAUUAUUUUGUCAAGAACCAGGGGGAGCCGGCUAGGCUACCCGUGGUCAAUUACUCCGACAGUAUUCCCCGAAGUUGGUUGUGCUUCGUGGCUGCGAAGGGAACUAAAAGCUCAAUCAGCUUCCUAUCCUGAAGAGCCGGCAGCUAGGAGCCGGCAUCGCUUUAUGCUUGCCCUCUCGGCGAAGUCUCCUUUGAAAUUCAAAGGCAGGAACGAGUUGGCGCACGAGCCAAGCUACGGUCUGACCGCCCACCGCUUAUGCGCCACAUGGCGCCCUCUGACCAGAGGGGCCUGCCAGCCCACGCGCCUGACGGGACGCCACUGCAGACCGGGGCCCGCCACUACCACGCCUCGGCCCAAGCGAGGAUCCUUUGUGGCCCGAUCUGGCCGCUCGCCUUCCAGCGGCGGUUUCCGCAUGCUGUUAUGGCACGGAAUCGCGGGACGUGGGGGAGUGGGGCAGUUAAUCCCACGUCCCCCCACGCCUCGCCUCCUCGGCUUCGCCACACGAGGCUAUAAGUAGGGGGAGGGGGAGAGCGGCUGACGCACGCGCGCUCGCCCCAGUCCCAUCUCUCUCUCCUUCUCCUUCUACCCCGCUGCCGCAGCAGCAAUGCUCCGCCGUGCCACCGCCCAGCCACUUUCCUGGGCGCGCCGCUGCCUCGUUGCCGCCGACCCGGGUGUCCUCCGCCGCUGCGCGUCUCCAGGCGCCUUCCCGUCCUUAUGGCUCCUACGUCAAGCAACUGGGACGGCUCCAACGUCCACGAAGACCACAUCGAUUUCCUUCGCAAGACGCGGAGGUUGCCGGGCAAGGAGCCCGUUCAGGUCCGGCUCGCGCGGGAGGGGGAGAUUUCGCCGGCGCUGGAGGAGGGCGAGCGGGUGAUCUUCCGCUUGCACUGCCUGCGCGGCAUCGGCCUCCCCGCGAGCGGCUUCUUCUGCUCGUUCCUCGAGUUCUACCAUCUGCAACCGCACCACCUCACUCCAAACACAGUGGUGCUGCUGUCAGCCUUUGUCACUCUGUGCGAAGGCUUCCUCGGCGUUCUCCCCACCCUCGAGCUAUGGAGGGGGGGGGGUUUCUUCCAGUCCAAGCUCGGCACCGUCACCGCGGGCGUGCCGGCCCCAUGUGGCGCCGUCUUCGCCAUGCGGUGGAUGACGAUCGACAACCCGUUCCCGGCCAUUGCGCUGAUCCAGUCGGUGAAGCUUUGGCAGAAGUCUUAUUUUUACGUGAAGAACGUCGCCCCGCAAGGCGACUAUGUCAACCUGCCGGCUUACAUAGCCGGCCCGCCGGCUGGGAGGCAGCCCUCGUGGUCUUAUCGGGCCAGGUAGCUGACGCCGGCUGGGGGAGGCGCCGUCGCCCGGCUUCGGGUGCUGAUCUAGUCGGAGGGCGUGACCGACCUUGAUCUGAUUGCCGCCUUCUUGGAGCGCCGGGUGCUCCCGCUUCAAGGACGCCCUCAUCUGAUAAGCCAGAUGAGCGCCCGAUUCAGCACCAGGGAGAUGCCUCACGACGAGGUGUCUUACAUGGUGAACUACAUCACCAACUGCAAGCUUACUUAAGACUGACAGUACGGCAAGGCGCCGUACUCUCGCGCCAAUCCACCACACAUGGUAAUCUUUUUUCUUUCCUCUUUUUCUUUGUUGCCGAGUUUUCCUUUCUGGCCGACUUCUGACCAGUCGGCUUUUUCUUCUUUUAAUCAGAAUCCCCUCCUUCAUCAGCCGGCCGGGACCGCAGGGGCGGAACGCGAGUUUGCCCCUGAUCGCGUGGCGGACGACUUCGACGACCCGACUUGGGGGCGGCCGCCUUGGAAGACGAUGCCGUGGGGGGAGGAGGCGAGCUAGGCGGCUCUGGGCUCUCCGCCACCUUCGAGGAUUGGUUGGAUGAUGACGAGGCCGAGCCGCUACCACGCCGCCAGCCGGUGUCCGACCAUCAAGGCGCAGGCUCACCGGCCGAGCCGGCUGCCCGAGGCGGCAUACGGAAACGCCGUACCGGGUUGUGAUAUCUGGGAUGAAUGUUACGGCAGUCGGCCCAUUCAGCUUCUUGAUCGGCUUUGCUUCAAUCCACUUGGUAAAUUUGUCCAUGGCGAUAAGCAGAUGUGUCAUGCCACCGCGUGCAGUCUUGAAUGGGCCCACCAUAUCCAACCCCCAGAUGGCAAAGGGCCAAGUGAGGGGGAUGGUCUUGAGUGCAGAAGCCGGCAGGUGUUGCUUGGAGCUGAAGACUUGGCAGCCUUUCCAGUGUUUGACUAGUUCCUUGGCAUCGUCCAAAGCAGUCGGCCAAAAGAAACCAUGGCGGAAAGCUUUGGCGACGAGUGAUCUUGAGGCUGCGUGGUGGCCGCAUUCGCCUUGGUGUAUAUCUUCGAGGAUUGCUAUGCCCUUCUCUGGCUCGACGCAGCACUGGAAAACUCCAGUGACACUACGCCUAACAAGCUCUCGGUUCAUGAUUGUAUAAGCUCCGGCUCGGCGUUGGACUUGUCUUGCCGAGAUCUCAUCAGUCGGCAAUUCCGUGUUAAUCAGGAAUUUGAGGAUGGGCUGGGCCCAUGAUGGAGCUGUGACUUCUUCUGUUGUCAAGGUGCCUACCACGACCAGGGCGGGUGGGCUGGGUGGUGAGGAGUUGGAAUCGGCCAUCACCUGUGGUGUUGAUGCAGUCCCCGGGCCGACUGCAGUAGUCCUUGAGCCGUGUUCUGAAGUCCCCGGUCCAGGUAAGACUACAGCAGUCCCCGAGCCACCUGUCGAAGUCCCCGAGCCCCCUGCUUGGUUCCCCAAGCCGGCUUCGAUUGCGUCGGGGUCAGGCGGCACGAAGAUGGAAUCGGACUCCGGAGCCGGUUUGACAGACGGCUUAAGGAGGCGUUGGAGGGAGACGCCGGUUGGUAUAGCUUGCCGGGUGGAGCCUAUUCGUGCCAGGGCAUCAGCUUGCUCGUUGUUGGCUCGUGGCACAUGGAGGAACUCGCACCCUUCAAAGUAUCCGCUGAGUUGCUGAACGAGGAAGCGGUAGCUCGCCAUGUUUGCGUCCUUGGUGUCCCAUUCGCCGGAUGAUUGUUAGACUACCAAGUCCGAGUCGCCAUAACACAGGAUCCGGCGGAUGCCGAGCUCUUUGGCUAGCCGGAGUCCGUGUAUGAGCGCCUCGUACUCGGCCACAUUGUUGGAGGCGGCAAAAUGAAUUUGCAAUGUGUAUCUGAGCUUGUCGCCCUUGGGAGAGGUGAGGACGAUGCCGGCUCCCAAGCCGAUGCGCAUCUUGGAUCCAUCGAAGUGCAUCCGCCAAUGGGUGGAGUUGGGCGCAGGCGGCAGGUACUGGGUCUCGGCCGAGUCGACGAGGAAGUCGGCCAAUUCUUGGGACUUGAUGGCGGUGCGGGGUUGAUAGAAGUUCGUAUACGGGGCCAACGCAAUGGCCCAUUUGGCCACCCGGCUGGAUGCAUCCUGGCUGCCUAUGAUCUCGGCCAGCGGGGCAGUGCAUACGACCGUGAUGGGGUGUUCUUGGAAGUAGGGCUUGAGCUCCUUGGCGGCGAAGUACACGCCAUAGCACAUCUUCUGAUAGUGUGGAUAGUUUUGCUUUGAUGUGGACAGUACUUCACUCAGGUAAUAGACCGGCCUCUGGACUGGCUGAACUCGGCCCUCUUCCGGGCGUUCAACCACGAUGACAGUGCUGACCACUCUGCUAGCGGCGGCAAUGUAUAGGAGCAUGGGCUCUUUCUCGGUUGGUGCCGCCAGGACAGGCGGCACGGACAACAUCUUCUUUAACUCGUUCCACUCGAAGUGAGUGGACUUCUUCAUGAGUCGAUAGAGAUGGAGGGCCUUCUCCCCGAGCCGGCUUAUGAAGCGGUUGAGGGAGGCCAAGCAUCCGGUAAAUUUCUGGACAUCUCUCAGCUUGGUAGGAAUCUCCAUUCUCUCUAUAGCCUUGAUCUUCACCAGGUUGCAUUUGAUGCCGCGUUCGGAGACCAGGAAUCCUAGGAGCUGGCCGGCUGGCAUUCCGAAGACGCAUUUUUCUAGAUUGAGCUUGACCUGAAAUCGGCGCACAUUCUCGAACGUCUCUUUAAGGUCUUCCAGCAGGGUGCCGCGCUUCUUCGUCUUCACCACAAUAUCGUCUACAUAGACAUGAGCAUUUCUGCCGAGUUGCUUGAGGAGGCAUUUCUGCAUGCAACGCUGAAAAGUGGCACCGGCGUUUCUCAAGCCGAAUGUCAUAGUCAAGUAGCAGAAAGCUCUGAAUCGUGUGAUGAAGGCGGUCUUCAAGCGGUCAGCUGGGUCCAAUUUUAUCUGGUGGUAGCCUGAGUAAGCAUCCAGAAAACUCAACAGCUCGCAUCCGGCUGUGGAGUCUAUCACUUGAUCAAUCCUUGGCAGGGCAAAAGGAUCCUUGGGGCAGGCUUUGUUGAGGCUGGUGUAGUCAAUACACAUGCGCCAUUGUUUGUUCUUCUUCAGCACCAGGACCGGGUUGGCAAGCCACUCGGGGAAGAAAACCUCCAUGAUGAAGCCGGCUGCCAGAAGUCGGGCUAUUUCCUCUGCGACUACUCUUCUCUUUUCCUCUGAUAGGCGGCGCAAGGGCUGUUUGACCGGUUUGGCAUCCUUCCGGACGUGUAGCUUUUGCUUGGCGAAAUCUGUCGGGACACCUGUCAUGUCUUUGGGAGACCAUGCAAAGAUGUCCCGAUUCUCACGGAUGAAAUCAAUGAGCUCGCUUUCCUAUUUGCUGUCAAGGCCGGUUCCCAUGACCGCGUAUCUCUUGGGGUGCUCCGGGUCCAGAGGUAUCUUCUUGGUUUCUUUGGCCGGCUGGAAAGAACACUGAGCCUCACAUUCCUUUGAAUCGGGGGACAGGGCCGGCUGUUUGCCGGCCAUGGCCACGACUCGGUCCAACAUCUUCUUCUCUUCAGCAAUCACGAGGGACUCGGCCAGCCGGCUGCUAGCAGCCGCACACUCGGCGGAUUUCUUCUAGUCUCCGGAUAUGGUGAUGAUGCCCUUGGAACUCGGCACCUUCAUCUUGAGGUAGGCUUAGUGGGGUACAGCCAUGAACUUGGCCAAUGCGGGUCGGCCAAGCAGCGCGUGGUAAGGGCUCUCCAAAUCCACUACCUCAAACCAUACUGCUUCUCGGCGGAAAUGAUCUUUGUCUCCAAAGAGGACGUCUAUCUUGAUCUUGCCGAUCGGAGCAAAGGACAAGCCGGGUACAAUGCCAUGAAACACAGUCCGACUCGGCAUGAGCUGUUUUGCCUUGACGUUCAGCUUCUCCAUGGUAUCACAGUAUAAUAUGUUGAUGUUGCUUCCGCCAUCUAUCAACACGCGGGAGAAUCAGGCAGCCCGCCGAUCCAUUGCGAGGGUGGCAUCUAAAACCAAUGCAUAAGAGCCGAGCGACGGCAUCACCUCUGGGUGAUCAGCCCGGCUCCAACUGAUAGGUUUCUUCGACCAGUGCAUGAACUCGGGGUUGUUGGAUGCGACCGCGUUGACUUCUUGGUGUUGUCGGCGCCGACUUCGCUGAUCUUCUGGUUGGCUCGUGAAGACGACGUAGGCGGCAUGCUCGUCAGGGAACUCGUCGUGGACGGCUCCGACUGCUGGCCGAGCGGCCGGCUGUUGAGGAGCCGGAGGCGGCUGACCAGCAGGCGGAGGCGGCACCAGCCCCUCGCCUUUGGAGAUUCGUGUGAGCCAAUGGCACUUCCAAGUGGUGUGGUUGGAGGCCUUCGCGCUGCUGUGGAACUUGCGGGGCAUCAAGUGCUUGUUCAUAGGAGAAAGCCGGCUGCCAAGCCGGCCUGCCACCCUUCUGCUUCUUGGGCGCGGGCUGCCCCUCAGGUUGUUCGUCUUUGACUAUGGGCUACUUGCCGACUGGCGAAGUCGGCAUCGGAGCUUGGCACUUGUUGUCAUUAUGGUACGGGCGCUGAGUGGACUCUCCAGCCGGCGUCUUGGGAGCCGGUGCAAGCACCUUCCCGGAAGCGUCGACUCGAAGCUUGGUCUUCAUGGAGGUGUAGGCCAUGGCGUAUUUGUCCGCGAUGAUCAGCAGCUCGUCGAGGGUAGUCGGCUCGUCGCAGAGGAACCGGUGCUUGAGGAGGGUGCCUUCUUGGCACCCGGCCGUGAAGUACUCUAUUGCUUGAACCUCGUGCACCCCUUCGCAGGAGUUUCGGAGCUCGGCCCAAUGCGUAAGGUAGUCACGAGUCGACUUGUUGGGUUCUUGUAUGCACAAGGAGAGCCGUCGGGGCUUGGGGGCCCGCUUGUAGGUGCUGGUGAAGUUGCAGAUGAAGGCUUCCGUGAAGUCGAGCCAGCUGUUGAUGUUGUAGGGCUUGAGGCUAUUGAGCCAGGUCCGCGUCGUGCCCUGGAGCAUCAGGGGGACGUAUUUUACGGCAACACGCCUGUUGCCAUUCGCUAUGCGAACCGCGGUGGAGUAGUCAAUCAACUAAUCCUCCGGCUUCACGGAGCCAUUGUAUUUGGGCGUGUCUCUUGGGAGCGAGAACCCUUUGGGGGAGGGCUCAUCGCGGAUGCAAGGGCCAAAGCAAGGCGUGCCGACAUCAUCUUCUUCUUCCAAUGCCAGGGAUCGCGCGAGGCGGUCAAUCCGAUGGCGGGCAUCGUUUUCGCCGACUCCUUCACGGCGACCUAGUCGGCCGCUAAGAGUCGGAUGCGUGACAGGCGGUGGGGUGGGAUAUCUCUCCCCACGAGGCGGCGGAGGAGGCGGAUCGCCUCGUCGCUCCACGGCUCGAGGGCAGCCUUCUGUGUCGCGCUCGAUAGUGACUCGAGUCCGUCUGCGACUGGCAACCGGCUCCUUUUCCUGCCUUGUCUGGGCUCCGCCCGCAGUUGGCGUACGCGACAUCGCGCCGUGCUCUCGGCGCGGGGGAGGGCUUUUGGCGCGGAUGCCGGCUUCGUGCCGCUUUGCGGCCGCGUCGAUCGGCUGUUGGAUUCGCCUGAUCAUGUAGGGGAGCUCGUCGGCCCCUACUCCGUUCAGCUCGUCUACAACCGACUGGGCGGCGCGUAGGUUCUCGAGAGGCGUGGCGUAGACUGGGCAUUCUGCCCCUAGCAUGUCGGCGAUGUCCGCGCCGCGUUUCUGGACAACGCUGGCCUGGCUCGGUCCGUCGGGAGGCGGCGUUCCGAAGGCGGCGCGGUCGACCUCGCUCUGGUGGGCCUCGGUGAGGCAUCUCAUGGUGGCUAGCUUCUAUCCCUCCGCGACGAGGGCAAGGUGGCGAGCCUCCAGUGCCUCGGCGUCAGCGUCGUCCGGGAUGGGGACGGACAGGUCCUGCAGCGCCGCUUGCAGGGCGUCGUGGGUGUUCUCGUUGGAGGCGACUCUGUGGCUGAUGAUCAGCACCUCGGUGAUGGUGCUGCCACCACUGUCGGCUUGCGGGAGAGGAUCAUCGAAGACCACCAUGUUGGUGGGGAAAGCGUCGAGCAAUGCGGUGUCGGAGUCGACAAGCAUCGGGUCGGUGGAACCGACCGACUCCAAAUCCAUAGCAGGCUCGCUGGAGACGUGGAGUUGGUCGAGGAGGCUGACGAGGCGGCUCUCGAUGCAGCCGGUGCAUGCAUCAGAUGCGGGCUCGUCGGAGAUGCGAGCCUCGCCAAGGAGAUCGGCGAGGCAGCUCGCCGCGCAGGCGCCAUCGACACCUCGCAGCGCGUCAGGGCAAGCGCCAUCGGGCGUGCCGGGCUGGCUACGCUCGCGGGGGAGGAAGAGGGUUCCCGUACAGAACAGGUCUCCGGACGACGGUGCAUCUGGCCCCACGGUGGGCGCCAAAUGUCGGGUGGUUGGUGCGACAUAUGCCAACGGGUGGCUUAUCAUUGUGGGAGACAAUAAGACGUCGCCGGUGCCUGGAAACGGGAUAAGGCGAAGACAUGCACGCCGACGAAUCGUACCCAUGUUCGGGGCUCUCCGUGGAGAUAACACCCCUAGUCAAGCUCUGCGGGGUCUCCGCAUGAUCACUAGAUCAACAAGUAGCUACAAGAGGCUCCUUGAGCUGUUUGGCGAGAGGAGGAAGAGGGGGCCACGCUAGCUCUCUUCUCCUCUCAAAGUUGUGUCUAAAUCUAUCAGGGUCCAACCAUUUGCGUGGGUGCCCCGGGGGUUUAUAUAGGCCUACCCCCCCGGGGGUACAAUGGUAAUCCGGCCAGGCCUGGGCCCAGCCGUCAGUGUCUAUGCUGGCCGGCUUCUCCGCGGACUGCUGGAGCCCACCGACUAGUGGGUCCCACCGGCUGCCAGCUUCCUGGUAGACAGGUAGGCCCGACCGCUUGGGGGUCUUGUUGGGGGCUGGUUACUGUCGCCUCACCUUUGAUGACGAGGGCUUGGUCGAGGUAAGUGUGGCUACAGUGCCGCCGCCUUGCGAGCGCUCACUGUAGCCUGACCUCGUCUUGUCUCCUUAAUAAGGCUCAUUCUUCGAGGGAGGGAUCAAGCCGGCUGGGGAGAGCCGGCUUCAUCCCUGGCCGACUAGGGGGCGUGCGGCCGCCUUCAGAUGCCCCUCUAGCCAAAGGGGCCCGCCGCCUGCAGGCCGUACCGUCAGUUUAUCGUGGGUGAUGUCAUGGUCAGCAGGGCAACAGUGCCGCGCCGGACGGGUCAUGGCAGCCCCGUACGGCGCACUGUAGCCAUGCGAAACCUGGGAUUCGGGGGCGGCGUAUCUGAUUGUUGCCACGCCCUGUCUCGUCGUCAUUAUGCUGGAACAAGCUCCGAGUGCCUGAUCUGGGCCGUCUAUUGGGGGCCGGCUUUACGGAGUCGGCCGUGCGAUGGCCGGCUUUACGGAGUCGGCCAUGUGGUGGCCGGCUUUUAUGGAGUCGGCCAUGUGGUGGCCGGCUUUCUUUGGGAGGGCUCUUGGCCAGGCCGCCCCGGUAGCCGGCCAAGGGGGUAGCCCGCCGGGGGAAGGCGACCCUGCGUCUUGGAUGCUUGAUGGUUUGAUCAGCCCGAUUAUUUUGUCAAGAACCAGGGGGAGCCGGCUAGGCUACCCGUGAUCAAUUACUCCGACAACGGCACAAGAGAGGCUAGCAAUGGUGGAAGGGUGAGAGUGUGUAUAAUCCAUGGACUCAACAUUAGUCAUAAAGAACUCACAUACUUAUUGCAAAAAUCUACAUGUCAUCAAAACAAAGUACUACGCGCAUGCUCCUAGGGAAAGGUUGGUAGGAGUUAACCAUCGCACGAUCCCGACCUUGAUACGUCUCCAACGUAUCUAUAAUUUUUGAUUGUUCCAUGCUAUUAUAUUACCCCAUUUGGAUGUUUAUGGGCUUUAAUUUACACAUUUAUAUCAUUUUCGAGACUAACCUACUAACCGGAGGCCCAGCCCGUAUUGCUGUUUUUUGCCUAUUUCAGUAUUUCGAAGAAAAGGAAUAUCAAACGGAGUCCAAACGGAAUGAAACCUUCGGGGGCGUGAUUUUUGGAACGAAUGUGAUCCAGAGGACUUGGAGUGCAAGUCAAGAUGCAGCCGAGGCAGCCACGAGAUAGGAGGGUGCCCCCCUAUUGGGCAUGCCCCCUGUCUCGUGGGCCCCUCGGGCGGCCACCGACGUACUUCUUCCUCCUAUAUAAGCCUACGUACCACGAAAACAUCCAGGGAGCAACCGAAACACAAUUUCCACCGCCUUAACCUUCUGUAUCCGCGAGAUCCCAUCUUGGAGCCUUCGCCGGUGCUCCGUUGGAGGGGGAAUCGACCAUGGAGGGCUUCUACAUCAACACCAUAGCCCCUCCGAUGAGCUGUGAGUAGUUUACCACAGACCUACGGGUCCAUAGUUAUUAGCUAGAUGGCUUCUUCUCUCUUUUUGGAUCUCAAUACAAUGUUCUCCCCCUCUCCUGUGGAGAUCUAUUCGAUGUAAACUCUUUUUGCGGUGUGUUUGUCGAGAUCCGAUGAAUUGUGGGUUUAUGAUCAAGUUUAUCUAUGAAUAAUAUUUGAAUCUUCUCUGAAUUCUUUUAUGUAUGAUUGAGUUAUCUUUGCAAGUCUCUUCGAAUUAUCAGUUUGGUUUGGCCUACUAGAUUGAUCUUUCUUGCCAUCGGAGAAGUGCUUAUCUUUGGGUUCAAUCUUGCGGUGUCCUUACCCAGUGACAGAAAGGGUUGCAAGGCACGUAUUGUAUUGUUGCCAUCGAGGAUAACAAGAUGGGGUUUAUAUCAUAUUGCUUGAGUUUAUCCCUCUACAUCAUGUCAUCUUGCUUAAAGUGUUACUCUGUUCUUAUGAACUUAAUACUCUAGAUGCAGGCAGGUGUCGGUCGAUGUGUGGAGUAAUAGUAGUAGAUGCAGGUAAGAGUCGGUUUACUUGUUGCAGACGUGAUGCCUGUAUACAUGAUCAUGCCUAGAUAAUCUCAUAAUUAUUCACUUUUCUAUCAAUUGCUCGACAGUAAUUUGUUCACCCACCGUAAUACUUAUGCUAUCUUGAGAGAAGCCACUAGUGAAACCUAUGGCCCCCGGGUCUAUCUCUUAUCAUAUUUGCUUCCAAUCUACUUUUAUUUGCAUCUUUACGUUUUAUAUCUAUCUUAUAAAAUACCAAAAAUAAAUUUAUCUUAUCAUACUAUCUCUAUCAGAUCUCACUUUCGCAAGUGGCCGUGAAGGGAUUGACAACCCCUUUAUUGUGUUGGUUGCGAGUUCUUUGUUUGUUUGUGUAGGUGCGUGGGACUUUUGAGGAGCCUCCUACUGAUUGAUACCUUGGUUCUAAAAAACUGAGGGAAAUACUUAUGCUAAUAUUGCUGCAUCACCCUUUCCUCUUCAAGGAAAACCAACACAAGCUCAAGACGUAGCAAGAAGGAUUUCUGGCGCCGUUGCCGGGGAAGUCUUCGCUCAAGUCAAGACAUACCAAGUACCCAUCACAAACUCAUCUCCCUCGCAUUUACAUUAUUUGCCAUUUGCCUCUCGUUUUCCUCUCCCGCACUUCACCCUUGCCGUUUUAUUCGCCCUCUCUUUCCCAAUCUCCUCCUCUCUUGUUCGCUUGCCUUUUUCUGUUUGCUUGUGUGUUGGAUUACUUGUUGCCAUGGUGCAAGAUAAUACCAAAUUGUGUGAUUUCUCGAAUACCAAUAAUAAUGAUUUCCUUAUCACUCCGAUUGCUCCUCUUAAUGAUGUUGAGUCUUGUGAAAUGAAUACUGCUUUACUGAAUCUUGUUAUGAAAGAUCAAUUCGCCGGCCUUCCUAGUGAAGACGCCGCUACUCAUCUAAACAACUUUGUUGAUUUGUGUGAUACGCAAAAGAAGAAAGAUACGGAUAACAAUAUUGUCAAAUUGAAGUUAUUUCCGUUUUCACUUAGAGAUCGUGCUAAAGUUUGGUUUUCGUCUUUGCCUAAAAAUAGUAUUGAUUCUUGGAACAAGUGCAAAGAUGCUUUUAUGUCUAAAUAUUUUCCUCCCACUAAGAUUAUCACUCUUAGGAACGAUAUCUUGAAUUUUAAAAAACUUUAUAAUGAGCAUGUUGCCCAAUCUUGGGAAAGAAUGAAAUUGAUGCUUCGCAAUUGCCCUACUCAUGGUUUGAAUUUAUGGAUGAUCAUACAAAAAUUUUAUGCCGGUUUGAACUUUGCUUCUAGAAAUCUCUUAGAUUCGGCUGUGGGAGGCACGUUUGUGGAAAUCACAUUAGGAGAUGCUACAAAACUUCUCGAUAAUAUUAUGGCUAAUUAUUCUCAAUGGCACACCAAAAGAUCUUCUAGUAAAAAGUGCAUGCUAUAUAAGAAAUCAAUGUUUUGAGUGGAAAGAUGGAUGUACUUAUGAAAUAUUUGCUACUAAAAAUACUCCUCUUGAUCCCAAUGAUAUUCCUUUGUCUACUUUGAUUGAUAAUAACAAUGAAUCUAUGGAUGCGAAUUUUGUUGUUAGGAAUAGUUUUGGAAACAAUGCUUAUAGAGGAAACUUUAAUUCUAGACCGUUCCCUAGUAAUUCCUCUAAUAAUUAUGGAAACUCAUACAAUAAUUCUUAUGGCAAUUUUAAUAAGAUGCCCUCUGAUUUUGAGAAUAGUGUGAAAGAAUUUAUGAUUUCUCAAAAGAAUUUUAAUGCUUUGCUUGAAGAAAAAUUGCUCAAAGUUGAUGAUUUGGCUAGGAACGUUGAUACACUUUCGCUUGAUGUUGAUUCUCUUCAACUUAGAUCCUCUCCUCCUAAGCAUGAUAUCAAUGAGUCUCUCAAAGCCAUGAGAAUUUCCAUUGAUGAGUGCAAGGAAAGAACCGCUAGACUGUGUGCAAAGAAAGAUUGCUUUAUAAAAGCGUGUUCUUCUAGUUUCCAUGAAAAUAACGAUGAAGAUCUUAAAGUUAUUGAUGCGUCUCCUAUUAGAUCUAUGUUUUGCAAUAUGAAUCUUGAUAAUUAUGGCACCGAUGAUGAGUCAACUUUACCUAGAAGGCGUCCCAAGAAUUCAGAGUUUUUAGAUCUUGAUGCUAAAUUUGGUAAAAAUGGGAUUGGAGAGGUCACAACUUCAAAUAGUAUUGAACCCACUAUCUCGGAUUUCAAGGAUUUUGAUUAUGAUAAUUGUUCUUUAGAAAGUUGUAUUUCCUUGUUGCAAUCUGUUGUUAAUUAUCCUCAUGCUUAUAGUCAAAAUAAAGCUUUUACCAAACAUAUCGUUGAUGCCUUGAUGCAAUCUUAUGAUGAGAAACCUAAUUUGGAAGUUUCUAUACCUAGAAAACUUAAUGAUGAGUGGGAACCUACUAUAAAGAUUAGAAUCAAAUAUCAUGAGUGUUUUGCUUUGUGUAAUUUGGGUGCUAGUGUUUCCACGAUUCCGAAAACUUUAUGUGAUAUUCUAGGUUUCCAUGAUCUUGGUGAUUGCUCUUUAAAUUUGCACCUUGCGGAUUCCACCAUUAAAAAGCCAAUCGGAAGGAUCAAUGAUGUUCUCAUUGUUGCAAAUAGAAAUUUGGUGCCCGUAGAUUUUAUCGUUCUUGAUAUACAUUGCAAUCUUUCUUGCCCUGUUAUUCUUGGUAGACCUUUCCUUAGAACGAUUGGCGCGAUUAUUGAUAUGAAGGAAGGGAAUAUUAGAUUCCAAUUUCCAUUAAAGAAAGGCAUGGAGCACUUUCCAAGAAAGAAAGUCAAAUUACCUUAUGAAUCUAUCAUGCGGGCUACUUAUGAAUUUAGUGCCAAAGAUGGCGCUCGUUAGAUCUAUCUUCGCUUUUAUGCCUAGCUAGGGGCGUUAAACGAUAGUGCUAGUUGGGAGGCAACCCAAUUUUAUUUGUGUUUUUUGUUUUUUUCCUGUUUAGUAAUAAAUAUUGCAUCUACCUUCUGUUUAGAUGUGUUUUUAUCUUUUAAUUAGUGUUUGUGCCAAGUAGAACCUAUAGGAUAACCUAUGAUGAUAGUUGAUUUGAUUCUGCUGAAAAACAGAAACUUUGCGCGCACGAAUUUAGUUUUGUUACAUCACAGAAACGUGCUUUUGCGUUGAUUCUAGUUUCUUCUGAUCAAUAGACAAAUUUUCCAGGACUUCCUAUUUUGGUAGGAGUUUUAGAGUUCCAUAAUUUUGCAUUAGUUACAGAUUGCUACAAAUUAUUCUGUUUUUGACAGAUUCUGUUUUUCGUGUGUUGUUCGCUUAUUUCGAUGCAUCUAUGGCUAGUAAAAUAGUUUAUAAACCAUAGAGAAGUUGAAAUACAGUAGGUUUAACACCAAAAUAAAUAAAGAAUGAGUUUGUUACAGUACCUUAUGUGGUGGUUUUCUUUCUUUCACUAACGGAGCUUAUAAGAUUUCCUGUUGAGUUUUGUGUUGUGAAGUUUUCAAGUUUUGGGUAAAGCUUUUAUGGACUAUGGAAUAAGGAGUGGCAAGAGCCUAAGCUUGGGGAUGCCCAUGGCACCCCAAUAUAUUCAAGUAUAGCCAAAAGCCUAAGCUUGGGGAUGCCCCGGGAAGGCAUCCCCUCUUUCGUCUUCGCUCAUUGGUAACUUUACUUGGAGCUAUAUUUUUAUUCGCCACAUGAUAUGAGUUUUGCUUGGAGCAUCGUGUAUUAUAUUAUUCUUUGCUUUUUAGUUUACCACAAUCAUCCUUGCUGUACACACAUUUUCGGAGAAGCCUAUUUUAUUAGAAUUUGCUAGAAUACUCUAUGUGCUUCACUUAUAUCUUUUGAGCUUGAUAGUUUUUGCUCUAGUGCCUCACUUAUAUCUUUUGGAGCACGAGGUGACUUAUUUUUGUUGAAAUUGCUAGUAUCUCAUGCUUCACUUAUAUUAUUUUGAGAGUGAGGGAGUUCCGGACUAGGGGGUGUCCGGAUAGCCGAACUAUCAUAAUCGGCCGGACUCCAAGACUAUGAAGAUACAAGAUUGAAGACUUCGUCCUGUAUCCGGAUUGGACUUUCCUUGGCGUGGAAGGCAAGCUUGGCGAUACGGAUAUGUAGAUCUCCUACCAUUGUAACCGACUUUGUGUAAUCCUAGCCCUCUCCGGUGUCUAUAUAAACCGGAUGGCUGUAGUCCAUAGAACGAACAACAAUCAUACCAUAGGCUAGCUUCUAGGGUUUAGCCUCCUUGAUCUCGUGGUAGAUCCAAACUUGUAACACACAUCAUCAACAUUAAUCAAGCAGGACGUAGGGUUUUACCUCCAUCAAGAGGGCCCGAACCUGGGUAAAACAUCGUGUCCCUUGUCUCCUGUUACCAUCCGCCUAGACGCACAGUUCGGGACCCCCUACCCGAGAUCCGCCGGUUUUGACACCGACAUUGGUGCUUUCAUUGAGAGUUCCUCUGUGCCGUCAACGAUAGGCUCGAUGGCUUCUUCAAUCAUCAUCAACGACGCAGUCCAGGGUGAGACCUUCCUCCCCGGACAGAUCUUCGUAUUCGGCGGCUUCGCGCUACAGGCCAACUCGCUUGGCCAACUAGAGCAGAUCGAAAGCUACGCCCCUGGCCGUUAGGUCAGAUUUGGAAGUUUGAACUUCACGGCUGACAUCCGCGGGGACUUGAUCCUCGAUGGAUUCGAGCCACAGCUGAGCGUGCCACACUGUCACGGCAAGCAUGAUUUAGCUCCGCAGCCGGACAGUACCCUGGAGGCCGCACUCGAAACCGCUCCGAUCUUCAAUUCGGAGCCGGCUGCGCAGAUCGAGGACGGAUGCCUAGACACCGCCUCGGGGGCUGCAACCUCCAUGGCGAUAGAGCCAAACGCUGACCUUGUCCCUCAUAAAGCUCGUGACUCCGAGGUGCCGGACUCCUCGCCGGACUCCGCACCUCCUGCGCCCUCCCCAAUCGAAUCCGAUUGGGCGCCGAUCAAGGAGUUCACCGCAGCGGACAUCUUUCAACACUCACCUUUUGGCGACAUCUUGAGUUCACUAAAGUAUCUCUCGCUAUCAGGAGAGCCCUGGCCGGACUGCGGUCAGGACGGUUGGGAUGCGGACGACGAAGAAAUUCAAAGCCCACCCACCACCCACUUGGUAGCCACUGUCGACGAUCUAACCGACAUGCUAGACUACGACUCCGAAGACAUCGACGGUAUGGACGACGAUGCAGGAGACGACCAAGAACCAGCGCCUACUGGGCACUGGACAGCCACCUCAUCAUACGACAUAUACAUGGUGGAUAUCCCAAAAGAUGAAAAUGGCGAAGGAACAGAGGACGAUGACCCCUCCAAAAAGCAGCCCAAGCGCCGGCGUCAGCGGUGCCGCUCUAAAUCCUGCCACAGCAAGAAUGAAGACUCCGGCACCGGAGAUAAUAAUACACUGGACAGUGCCAAAGACAACCCACUCCAGCAAGAUGCAGCGCAGGAGGACGGAGACGCCAGCCCUUAUGAAGGAGCGGCAGAAGAAGAGGUAGAGGAUUAUAUGCCUCCCACCGGAGACGAGGCAAGCCUCAACGACGACGAAUUUGCCGUGCCUGAGGAUCCCGUCGAACAAGAGCAUUUUAAACGCAGGCUUAUGGCCACGGCGAACAGCCUCAAGAAAAAGCAGCAACAGCUUAGAGCUGAUCAGGAUCUGCUAGCCGACAGAUGGACUGAAGUCCUCGCGGCCGAAGAGCAUGAGCUUGAAUGCCCCUCCAAAAGCUACCCUAAAUGCAAGCUGCUCCCCCGAUUAGAGGAGGAGGCGUAUGAACCCGCAUCACCAGGAGACAAUACGGCUGACCGACCACCCCGUGGUCGCGACAGAGAGGCCUCUAGGCCCUUCACUAGACCCGUACCCUGGCAUCGCUCGAAAAGCACAAGGCCACAGGGGAACGCUCCGGACUUGCAAGAUAUAUUGGAGGAUAAGGCAAGACAAUCAAGAUCGAUCUAUGGAUCGCGUGGGCGCCCCACGAUACGUGACGACAACCUCGCGCCGGACACAGUAAGUUCGGCCGGGCCGAACAAAAUAGACAGAGCUCCCUUGAGCUCCGUCGUGAUAUCGCCUAGUACAGAGGUGCCGCACACCCACUAUGCUUCAUAGAUGAAGUAAUGGAUCAUCAAAUCCCCGAAGGGUUUAAACCUGUCAAUAUUGAAUCCUAUGAUGGCACAACAGACCCCGUGGUUUGGAUCGAAGACUACCUCCUUGACAUCCACAUGGCCCGCGGUGACGAUCUUCAUGCCAUCAAAUACCUCCCCCUCAAGCUUAAAGGACCAGCCCGGCAUUGGCUCAACAGCUUGCCAGCAGAGUCAAUUGGGAGUUGCGAAGACUUGGAAGCCGCAUUCCUUGAUAACUUCCAAGGCACGUAUGUGCAACCACCAGACGCCGAUGACCUAAGCCACAUAAUUCAGCAGCCAGACAAAUCGGCCAGACAAUUCUAGACAUGGUUCUUAACCAAGAAAAACCAAAUCAUCGACUAUCCGGAUGCGGAGGCCCUCGCGGCCUUCAAGCAUAACAUCCGCGACGAGUGGCUUGCCCGGCACCUGGGACAGGAAAAGCCGAAAUCCAUGGCAGCCCUCACAUCACUCAUGACCCGCUUCUGCGCGGGUGAGGACAGCUGGCUAGCACGCAGCAGUAACCUCAGCAAAAAUUCUGGCAGUCCGGAUUUCAAGGACCGAAAUGGCAGGCCGCGUCGUAACAAAAACAAACGCCACAUUAACGGCGACAAUAGUGAGGAUACAACAGUCAAUGCCGGAUUCAGAGGCUCUAAACCCGGUCAGCGGAAAAAGCCAUUCAAAAGAACUACUCCGGGUCCGUCCAAUUUGGACCGAAUACUCGACCGCUUGUGCCAGAUACACGGCACCCCCGAAAAGCCAGCUAACCACACCAACAGGGACUGUUGGGUAUUCAAGCAGGCAGGCAAGUUAAUUGCCGAAAACAAUGACAAGGGGCUGCAUAGCGAUGACGAGGAAGAGACCCGACCGCCGAACAAUAGAGGACAGAAGGGUUUCCCCCCACAGGUGCGGACGGUGAACAUGAUAUAUGCAACGCACAUACCCAAAAGGGAGCGGAAGCGUGCACUCAGGGAUGUCUACGCGAUGGAGCCAGUUGCCUCGAAGUUCAAUCCAUGGUCCUCCUGCCCGAUCACUUUUGACCGAAGGGACCACCCCACCAGCAUCCGCCACGGCGGAUUCGCUGCAUUGAUCUUAGAUCCAAUCGUCGAUGUAUUUCACCUAACCAGAGUCCUAAUGGACGGCAGCAGCAGCCUGAACCUGCUUUAUCAGGAUACAGUGCGCAAAAUGGGCAUAGACACCUCAAGGAUUAAACCUACCAAAACGACCUUUAAAGGCGUCAUACCAGGUGUAGAAGCUAAUUGUACAGGCUCAAUUACACUGGAAGUGGUCUUCGGAUCCCCGGAUAACUUCCGAAGCGAGGAGUUAAUCUUCGACAUAGUCCCGUUCCGCGGCGGCUAUCAUGCCUUGCUCGGACGUACCGCAUUUGCAAAGUUCAACGCGGUGCCGCACUACGCAUACCUCAAGCUCAAGAUGCCAGGCCCUCGAGGAUUCAUCACGGUCAACGGAAACACCGAACAUUCUCUCCGAACGGAGGAACAUACAGCGGCUCUCGCGGCAGAAGUACAAUGCAGCCUCUUAAGGCAAAUCUCGAGUCCGGCCGUUAAGCGGCCGGACUUAGCUAAGCGCGCCCAGAGUAACCUACAACAAGACCACCUGGCACGUUCCGAGCACGCGUAGCAGUGCGGCCCCAACCCCAGCCCCUGCAAAACAACAAAGCAGGUCCUUCACGUACACCAUUACGCUCUGAAGAUACCAUGGGCAUGGGGAGAGGGGCACAACCAUGAUAAGCCCAGACUAUGGCUCAACCACACCAGGGGCUCUCAAGUGUGUCGUUCUUUUUUUCUUUUUACCUUUUAUUUUUUACCCACAGGACUUCGUUCGUCAGAGGCCCUGUCCGGCAGCAGAACUGCCAAACUCACGAUGCAAUAGCCAGGGAAGGAUAAAGGCUACAACGAAUAUCCAGGUGGUCUCCAUUACGAGCAUUUUUAUACACCAAUCCGCAGCCUACCCCUGGAGGGGGACAUGUUCAACAAGUCCCAUCCUUUGCUUAUCGCACUAUUUGUAUCAUUCUGCAUUCAUAGCAGCACUUAUUGAAUAAAACAAUGUAGCACCUUCUUGCUUAUAAUUGCAUUUCUUUUUCUACGUAUGUUCAUUUACGGCAUGUUGCAUCCGUACGCUUUGGUACGGCUAAUAUACACCAGGGGCUUAUGUUCCCCGCAUUAUGGUGUGAUAAGUCCGAACACUUUCACAAGUGCGGGACCCCAAACUUAUAGCACUAUAUGCAUCGGCUCCAAAUCAUGUCUUGGGUCAAUAGUUGGGUUUGCCCGGCUCCCAUGUUUUGGUACCUUACGUUCCGUUAUAUCGGCUAAGGUAGCACUGGGAGAACCACUGCGAUUGCGCCCCAGUUGAGCUGGGUUAAUGCCUCAGUGGAGAAAGCUAAAACUGACCGUCAUGAUGAGGCGAGAGCCGGUCGCUGUUCGAGAGGUUUUUUGCGAGUCCUUAAAGACUUAUGCCGCUUAGAGCGAGGAGCCGGAUCCUGUCCGGCCCAGGCGUAGAUAGCGCCCCAAAUUCGGCCUUCCGAAGACUAGGGGCUUCGCCGAAAUUUAAAAUUAUAGAAUUCUAUGGCUAAGUGAGAGUGUUCAAGCAUUAUAAGUCCGGUUGUCUUAUUCACUGUGUUGAGCGCCUCCCUAGAUGGACCCAAAAAUGGGAACAAGAGUGCUCAAGUUUAUCCCAAACACCCCGGCACUCGUGGCAUGGGGGCUGAAGCCGACGACUUGCCAUCUCUCAGAUUUGAUAAACAGCCGCACAGAAGGUAAUAUUUUAAAUUAACAAGCGUUGCUUAGCGCAUAUGAACUAAGUUUUCAGCGCACAGGAUAAGAAAAUGCGAGUCUACUCAAAUAUUACAUCUUUGGAGCACUCACCCGCAAUAGUGCGGGCGCCCUUCAGCACACUCUUAUAAUACAUCUCGGGCGUGCGAUGCUGCUUGCCCUCUGGUGGCGGGUCCGUCACGAGCUUCUGGGCAUCCAUCUUGCCCCAGUGCACCUUUGUGCGGGCAAGGGCCCGACGGCACCCUCAAUGCAAGCGGAGUGCUUGAUGACUUCAACCCACGGGCACGCAUCCACCAGCCACCGCACCAGGCCGAAGUAGCUCCCAGGCAUGGCCUCCUUCGGCCACAGCCGAACUAUGAGGCCCUUCAUGGCCUGUUCGGCCGCCUUGUGGAGCUCCACCAGCUGCUUCAGCUGGUCGCUAAGGGGCACCGGAUGUCCAGCCUCAGCAUACUGAGACCAGAAGACCUUCUCUGUCGAGCUCCCCUCCUCGGCCCGGUAGAAUGCGGCAGUAUCGGACACGCUGCGAGGAAGAUCUGCGAACGCUCCUGGAGAGCUCCGAAUUCGGGUAAGCAACAGGUAAUUAACACUCACAUGCUUACUUUGCAUGAAAAAUGCCUUACCCGCUACUAUUUUCUUCACCGCCUCAAUCUCCUGGAGGGCCUUGUAGGCUUCGGCCUUAGCGGCUUUGGCACUCUCAAGAGCCAUUGCAAGCUCAGACUCUCGAGUCUUCGAGUCACGCUCCAAGCUCUCAUGUUUUUUCACGAGAUCCUGGAGCUCUUGCUGUACCUCCACCACCCGCGCCUCCUGCUUCUCUCGCUCAGUGCGCUCCACGGCCGCAUUGCGUUCGGCCGCGGCCACCGCCUCCUUCAGGGUCACCACCUCGUUAGUGUCCCCUGCAAUACCCACGUUAUCCUUGUCAUUUUUCUUGCAACCAAAUCCUUUUCUGUAAGGUACAAUUUUAGUAACGUAUUACUCACCUUCUUUUUCCUCGAGCUGCUUCUCGGCAUGGCCGAGCUCGUUCUCGGACCGCUCGAGGCUUUCCUUCAAAGUAUUGACCUACGCAGUCAGUGCAGCGGAGGUCAGCAGCACAGCCUGCAAUCCCAUAUUGACAUAUUUUUUAUGACUCCUGCGUAUAUCUUUUUAAAGAUCCUCAGUCCGGCUUUUAUUUCCGAACACCGAACCGAGCAUCAGGGGCUACUGUCUAUGCGGUACCAUUUUACAUAUAUUGAAAUUCUUACCUCAAAGCCUGUUAGAAGGCUGCUGAAGGCUUCGGUGAGCCCGCUCUUGGCGAGCUGAACCUUCUGAAUCACCGCACUCAUAACAGUGCGGUGUUCCUCUUCAAUGGAGGCGCCAUUGAGCGCCUCCAGCAAAUUAUCCGGUGCCUCCAGUUGGAUGGAGGCAGCCGGCAUCACGGUCUUGCCCUUCUUACGAAGGGGUCGCCCGCCAGACUCCGGAGCCACUGUGGCCUCCGGGGCUGAGUCCGGUGCAAUGUCCGGGAGGUUGUCCUAUGACACCUCCGGGGCCUCCCCCUCCUGGUGGGUCCUUUCCUAGGAUCCCACCUCGGUGUCAUCCGCAUCACGAGGGGUGGAGGCAGUCGAAAGAGAAUCCAUAUCCGACGCACCUAAGGACCCGCUCGAUGAAGCGGGAAGAUCAUCCUUGGGCGGACUGCAGGGUUGUAUGCGGCAUUAGAAAGACAUUAUGUGACGAAAGGGAAAAACCUUGAAGGUAUUCGGGAGUCCGGAUACUUACGAUCUCGCCAGGGGCUUGGCCCUUGGAGGCCAGUCCUCGUCGUCGUCGCUGGCGUUGGCAGAGUAGUCCGGGGGAAGAGUUUUCCCCUUCUUGGACCCUUCGGCCUCCCUUGUUGGGGAGGCCUUCCUUUUCUUCCCUCCCCCCGCUGGGGGAGAGGCUUUCUUCUUCUCCUCCUCGCCUUGGUGGGAGGAGUCGGCCUCGGAUUCAUCAUCCGAUAGCACCUGAAAACGGGAACUCUUCCGAGUCCCCGUGGCCUUCUUCUUGGCCUUCUUCUCCAGCACCACGUGGGGUGCCGGAGCCAGCAGCCCCGUUAGGCGGGCCUCCGCUGGGUCCUGUGGCAAUGGGGCCAGAUAGAUAGUCCGUUCGGCCUUCGCCAGCCAGUCCUGUCAAAGGUAAAGGGAGUUUAGAUCCCGCAUAGAGUCAAACUAUGGAAAACGAGUGGCAUAAUCACUUACCUCGUCAGCUGGAUGCUGCGAGCGGAAUCCACGAUCUUCGGUAGCGGAUGCGGGAGCCUCGGCGCCCUUGAACAACACCUUCCAGACAUCUUCGUACGUAGUGUUGAAGAGCCCGCUCAGGGUCUGGUGCUGCGCCGGAUCGAACUCCCACAUGUUGAAACCCCGUCGUUGGCACGGGAGAAUCCGGCGGAUGAGCAUGACCUGGACUACGUUGACAAGCUUGAGCUUCUUGUCCACCAUCUUCUGGAUACAGGCUUGGAGUCUAGUCAGCUCCUCCGAAUCCCCCCAGAUCCGGCCACUCUCUUUCCAGGAGGUGAGCCAUGUAGGGAUGCCGGAUCUGAAUUCGGGGGCCGUUGCCCAAUUGGGGUCACGCGGCUCGGUGAUGUAGAACCACCCCGAUGGCCACCCCUUAAUGGUUUCCACGAAAGUGCCCUCCAGCCACGUAACGUGGGACAUCUUGCCCACCAUGGCGCCUCCGCACUCCGCUUGGCUGCCCUUCACAACCUUCGGCUUGACACUGAAGGUCUUGAGCCACAAGCCGAGGUGGGGCUGGAUGCAGAGGAAGGCCUCGCACAUGGCGAUAAACGCCGAGAUGUUGAGGAUGAAAUUCAGGGCCAGAUCAUGGAAAUCUAAGCCGUAGUAGAACAUGAGCCCCCGGACAAAGGGAUGAAGUGGGAAGCCCAGUCCGUGGAGGAAAUGGGGAAGAAAUACUACCCUUUCAUGGGGCCUGGGGGUGGGGAUGAGCUCUCCCUCGUCGGGGAGCCGGUGCGCGAUGUCGCUGGACAAAUAUCCGGCGUCGCGCAGCUUCUGGAUCUGCCCCUCCGUGACGGAGGAGGCCAUCCACUUGCCUCCCGCUCCGGACAUAGUUGGAGAAGGUUGAGAUGAGAAGUGCGUACUUGGGCGCUGGAGCUCGAGUUCGCGGAGAUGGAUAAGCCAAGGAGGAAGAACGCGCAGGUAAAAGGGUUGGAUCUUUAUCCCCUUAUAUGGGCGGAAAAAAACAUGUGUCCCCACCGGCCUAGUAAAACUCGCUUAUCUCCCAAGCGUCACAAUCAAUGGCGCGGUUGGGUUACCCACGUUCGUAUUGAUGGUAAUCCCGGAAUAAGGGGGACACGAUCUCUGCUUCGACAAGACGUGCCAAGGAAACCGCUUCGCUAAACGCGCUGAGGUGGAACAAUAAAAACAAUUCGAGUAAAGGUUUGGAAGUGGUGCGACGUCACGCCACAUAAUACGUCAGCAGAUUGAUCUUGUGUAACAUUAUUCUCUCUACGGUGGUACGUGGAAUUUAUUUUUGCAGAGCCGGACACUAUCCUAGUGUUCACAAUCUUCUAUAAAUUAUUCGGAGGAGGAACCCGCCUUGCAAUGCCGAAGACAAUAUGCACGCCGGACUCGUCAUCAUUGAAGCCUGGUUCAGGGGCUAUUGAGGGAGUUCUGGACUAGGGGGUGUCCGGAUAGCCGAACUAUCAUAAUCGGCCGGACUCCAAGACUAUGAAGAUACAAGAUUGAAGACUUCGUCCCGUGUCCGGAUGGGACUUUCCUUGGCGUGGAAGGCAAGCUUGGCGAUACGGAUAUGUAGAUCUCCUACCAUUGUAACUGACUUUGUGUAACCCUAGCCCUCUCCGGUGUCUAUAUAAACCGGAUGGCUGUAGUCCAUAGAACGAACAACAAUCAUACCAUAGGCUAGCUUCUAGGGUUUAGCCUCCUUGAUCUCGUGGUAGAUCCAAUCUUGUAACACACAUCAUCAACAUUAAUCAAGCAGGACGUAGGGUUUUACCUCCAUCAAGAGGGCCCGAACCUGGGUAAAACAUCGUGUCCCUUGUCUCCUGUUACCAUCUGCCUAGACGCACAGUUCGGGACCCCCUACCCGAGAUCCGCCGGUUUGACACCGACAGAGAGUCUUUUAGAACAGCAUGGUAUUUGCUAUGGUUAUAAAAUUGGUCCUAGAAUGGUAGGCAUCCAAGUUGGGUAUAAUAAAAACUAUCAUAGGAAGUAAAUUGGAUGCUAUGAUCAAUUUGAUACUUGAUAAUUGUUUUGAGAUAUGGAGGUAGUGAUAUUAAAGUCAUGCUAGUUGGGUGAUUAUGAAUUUAAAUAAUGCUUGUGUUAAACUUAGCAAGUCCCAUAGCAUGCACGUAUGGUUAAAGUUGUGUAACAAAUUUGAAACAUGAAGUGUACUUGGCUUGUGCAUCCUUAUGAGUGGUGGUUGGGGACGAGCGAUGGUCUUUUCCUACCAAUCUAUCCCCCUAGGAGCAUGCGCGUAGUGCUUGAUUUUUUAUGACUUCUAAAUUUUCGCAAUAAGUAUAUGAGUUAUUUUGACUAAUGUUGAGUCCAUGGAUUAUACGCACUUUUACCUUUCCAUCACUGCUAGCCUCUUCGGUACCGUGCAUUGCCCUUUCUCACCUUCAGAGUUGGUGCAAACUUCGCCGGUGCAUCCAAACCCCGUGAUAUGAUACGCUCUAUCACACAUAAACCUUCUUAUAUCUUCCUCAAAACAGCCACUAUACCUACCUAUUAUGGCAUUUCCAUAGCCAUUCCGAGAUAUAUUGCCAUGCAACUUUCCACCGUUCCAUUCAUCAUCAUCAUGACAUACUUUACUUUUGUCAUAUUGCCAUUGCAUGAUCAUGUAGCUGACAUCGUAUUUGUGGCAAAGCCACCAUGCAUUAUUUUUCAUACACGUCACUCUUGAUUCAUUGCACCAUCCCGGUACACUACCGGAGGCAUUCAUAUAGAGUCAUAUCUUGUUCUAGUUUCGAGUUGUAAUUCAUAUGUUGUAAUCAAUGAAAGUGCAAUGAUCAUCAUUAUUAGAGCAUUGCCCAAAAAAAGAAAAAAAAAGAAAGGCCAAAAAGAAAAAAUGAAAGGCCAAAGAAAAAAAGAAAAAAAGAAAGAAAAAAAGAAAUAGAAGAAAUAAAUAAAAAGGGCAAUGUUACUACCUCUUUUUCUACACUUGUGCUUCAAAGUAGCACCUUUUUCUUCAUGUAGUGAGUCUCAUAUAUUGUGCUUCAAAGUAGCCCAUGUUUUUCAUAUAGUGAGUCUCAUAAGUUGUCUUUUUCAUACUAGUGGGGAUUUUUCAUUAUAGAACUUGGCUUGUAUAUUCCUACGACGGGCUUCCUCAAAUGCCCUAGGUCUUCGUGAGCAAGCAAGUUGGAUGCACACCAACUAGUUUUCUUUUGUUGAGCAUUCAUUUAUAGCUCUAGUGCAUCCAUUGCAUGGCAAUCCCUACUCCUCAUGUUGACAUCAAUUGAUGGGAAUCUCCAUAGCCUGUUGAUUACCCUCGUCAAUGUGAGACUUUCUCAUUUUUUGUCUUCUCCACACAAUCCCCAUCAUCAUAUUCUAUUCCACCCAUAGUUCUAUAUCCAUGGCUCACGCUCAUGUAUUGCGUGAAGGUUGAAAAAGUUUGAGAUUAUUUAAGUAUUAAACAAUUUCUUGGCUUGUCAUCGGGGGUAUAGAAGUUGGGAACAUAUUUGUGUGACGAAAAUGAAGCAUAGCCUAACUAUAUGAUUUUGUAGGGAUGAACUUUCUUUUGCCAUGUUAUUUUGAGAAGACAUGAUUACUUUGAUUAGUAUGCUUGAAGUGUUACUAUUUCUUUUCUCAAUAUGAACUUUUAUUUUGAAUCAUUUGGAUCUGAACAUUCAUGCCACAAUAAAGAAAAUUACAUUUAGAAUUAUGCUAGGUAGCAUUCCACAUCAAAAAUUCUCUUUUGAUCAUUUACCUACUCGAGGACGAGCAGGAAUUAAGCUUGGGGAUGCUUGAUACGUCUCCAACGUAUCUAUAAUUUUUGAUUGUUCCAUGCUAUUAUAUUACCCCUUUUGGAUGUUUAUGGGCUUUAAUUUACACAUUUAUAUCAUUUUUGGGACUAACCUACUAACCGGAGGCCCAACCCGUAUUGCUGUUUUUUGCCUAUUUCAGUAUUUCGAAGAAAAGGAAUAUCAAACAGAGUCCAAACGGAAUGAAACCUUCGGGAGCGUGAUUUUUGGAACGAACGUGAUCCAGAGGACUUGGAGUGCAAGUCAAGAAGCAGCCAAGUCAGCCACGAUAUAGGAGGGCGCCCCACCCCUAUAGGGCGCGCCCCUGUCUUGUGGGCCCCUCGGGCGGCCACCGACGUACUUCUUCCUCCUAUAUAAGCCUACGUACCCAAAAAACAUCCAGGGAGCAACCGAAACACAAUUUCCAUCGCCGUAACCUUCUGUAUCCGCGAGAUCCCAUCUUGGGGCCUUCGCCGGCGCUCUGUCGGAGGGGGAAUCGACCAUGGAGGGCUUCUACAUCAACACCAUAGCCCCUCGGAGGUUCCAUAGUUAUUAGCUAGAUGGCUUCUUCUCUCUUUUUGGAUCUCAAUACAAUGAUCUCCCCCUCUCUUGUGGAGAUCUAUUCGAUGUAAACUCUUUUUGCGAUGUGUUUGUCGAGAUCCGAUGAAUUGUGGAUUUAUGAUCAAGUUUAUCUAUGAAUAAUAUUUGAAUCUUCUCCGAAUUCUUUUAUGUAUGAUUGAGUUAUAUUUGCAAGUCUCUUCGAAUUAUCAGUUUGGUUUGGCCUACUAGAUUGAUCUUUCUUGCCAUGGGAGAAGUGCUUAGCUUUGGGUUCAUUCUUGCGGUGUCCUUACCCAGUGACAGAAAGGGUUGCAAGGCACGUAUUGUAUUGUUGCCAUCGAGGAUAACAAGAUGGGGUUUAUAUCGUAUUGCUUGACUUUAUCCCUCUACAUCAUGUCAUCUUGCUUAAAGCGUUAUUCUGUUCUUAUGAACUUAAUACUCUAGAUGCAGGCAGGAGUCGGUCGAUGUGUGGAGUAAUAGUAGUAGAUGUAGGCAGGAGUCGGUCUACUUGUUGCGGACGUGAUGCCUAUAUACAUGAUCAUGCCUAGAUAAUCUCAUAAUUAUUCGCUUUUCUAUCAAUUGCUCGACAGUAAUUUGUUCACGCACCGUAAUACUUAUGCUUUCUUGAGAGAAGCCACUAGUGAAACCUAUGUCCCCCGGGUCUAUCUCUUAUCAUAUUUGCUUCCAAUCUACUUUUAUUUGCAUCUUUACUUUUUGCAUCUAUCUUAUAAAAUACCAAAAAUAUAUUUAUCUUAUCAUACUAUCUCUAUCAGAUCUCACUUUCGCAAGUGGCGGUGAAGGGAUUGACAACCCCUUUAUUGCGUUGGUUGCGAGUUCUUUGUUUGUUUGUGUAGGUGCGUGGGACUUUUGAGGAGCCUCCUACUAGAUUGAUAGCUUGGUUCUCAAAAAAUUGAGUGAAAUACUUAUGCUACUAUUGCUGCAUCACCCUUUCCUCUUCAAGGAAAACCAACGCAAGCUCAAGACGUAGCAGACCUCCACACAAAGGAUGAGAAUCAAUAAAUAAAUCAUGCUCCAACUUCAUCACAUAACGGUUCACCAUAAGUGCAUGCUACGGGAAUCACAAACUUUAACACAAGUAUCUCUCAAAUUCACAAUUACUCCACUAGCAUGACUCUAAUAUCACCAUCUUCAUAUCUCAAAACAAUCAUAACGAAUCAAACUUCUCAUAGUAUUCAAUGCACUUUAUAUGAAAGUUUUUAUCAUACCCAUCUUGAAUGCCCAUCAUAUUAGGACUAAUUUUAUAACCCAAGCAAAUUACCAUGCUAUUCUAAAUACUCUCAAAAUAAUAUACGUGAAGCACGAGAGUUCAUCUAUUAUAAAACUACCGUCGUUCUCUAAAAGGAUAUAAGUGAAGCACUAGAGCAAUUGACAAACUACUCCGAAAGAUAUAAGUGAAGAUCAAUGAGUAGUCGAAUAAUUAUGUAACUAUGUGGAGACUCUCUAACAUUUAAGAAUUUUAGAUCUUGGGAUAUUAUUCAAACAGCAAGCAAAACUAAAUGAAAUAAAAUGAUGCUCCAAGCAAAACGCAUAUCAUGUGGUGAAUAAAAAUAUAGCUCCAAGUAAAGUUACCGAUGAACAAAGACGAAAGAGGGGAUGCCAUCCGGGGCAUCCCCAAGCUUAGGCUCUUGGUUGUCCUUGAAUAUUACCUUGGGGUGCCUUGGGCAUCCCCAAGCUUAGGCUCUUGCCACUCCUUAUUCCAUACUCCAUCGGAUCUUUACCCAAAACUUGAAAACUACACAACACAAAACUCAACAGAAAACUCAUAAGCUCUGUUAGUAUAAGGAAAUAAAUCGCCACUUUGGAUACUAUUGUGAACUCAUUCUAAAUUCUUGUUGGUGUCAUAUCUACUGUAUUCCAACUUAUGUAUGGUUCAUACCAGAUACGUCCAUUUUGCAUCAUGCUUUUAUAUCAAUAUUUAUUGCAUUAUGGGCUAUUAUUACACGUUAUGUCUCAAUACUUAUGGCUAUUCUCUCUUAUUUUACAAGGUUUACCAUGAAGAGGGGGAAUGCCAGCAGCUGGAAUUCUGGCUGGAAAGGGAGCAAAUAUUGGAAACCUAUUCUGCACAUCUCCAGAAAUACUGAAACUCCAUGGAAGUCACUUUUGGAGUUAAUAAGAAUUAUUGAGCAAAGAAAAUACCAGAGGGGGCCCACACCCUGGCCAGGAGGGUGGGGCGCACCCACCCCUAUUGAGCGCGCCCCCUGUCUCCUGGGCCCAUGGUGGCCCUCCAAUGCCCAUCUUCUGCUAUAUGAAGGCUUUUACCCAGGAAAGAAUCGUAAGCAAGCUUACGGGACGAAACUCCGCCGGCACGAGGCGGAACCUUGGCAGAACCAAUCUAGAGUUGUUCUUCCGGGGAAACUUCCCUCCGGGAGGGGGAAAUCAUCACCAUCGUCAUCACCAUUGAUCCUCUCAUCGGGAGGGGGUCAAUCUCCAUCAACAUCUUCAUCAGCACCAUCGCCUCUCAAAACCCUAGUUCAUCUCUUGUAUCCAAUCUUGUAUCAAAACCACAAAUUGGUACCUGUUGGUUGCUAGUAGUGUUGAUUACUCCUUGUAGUUGAUGCUAAUUGGUUUACUUGGUGGAAGAUCAUAUGUUCAGAUCCUUAAUGCGUAUUAAUACUCCUAUGAUUAUGUACAUGAAUAUGCUUUGUGAGUAGUUACGUUUGUUCCUGAGGACAUGGGUGAAGUCUUGCUAUUAGUAGUCAUGUGAAUUUGGUAUUCAUUCGAUAUUUUGAUGAGAUGUACGUUGUCUCUCCUCUAGUGGUGUUAUGUGAAUGUCGACUACAUGACACUUCACCAUUAUUUGGGCCUAGAGGAAGGCAUUGGGAAGUAAUAAGUAGAUGAUCGGUUGCUAGAGUGACAGAAGCUUAAACCCUAGUUUAUGCGUUGCUUCGUAAGGGGCUGAUUUGGAUCCACUAGUUUCAUUCUAUGGUUAGGUUUACCUUAAUACUUGUUUUGUAGUUGCGGAUGCUUGCAAUAGGGGUUAGUCUUAAGUGGGAUGCUUGUCCAAGAAAGGGCAGUACCCAAGCACCGGCCACCCACAUAUCAAAUUAUCAAAGUACCGAACGCGAAUCACAUGAGCGUGAUGAAAACUAGCUUGACGAUAAUUCCCAUGUGUCCUCGGGGGCGCUUUCCUCAUUAUAAGAAAUUGUCCAGGCUUGUCCUUUGCUACAAAAAGGAUUGGGCCACCUUGCUGCACUUUAUUUACUUUCAUUGCUUGUUACCCGUUACAAAUUAUCUUAUCAUAAAACUAUCUGUUACCUACAAUUUCAAUGUUUGCAGAGAAUACCUUACUGAAAACCGCUUGUCAUUUCUUUCUGCUCCUCGUUGGGUUUGACAGUCUUACUUAUUGAAAGGACUAAGAUAGAUCCCCUAUACUUGUGGGUCAUCAAGACUCUUUUCUGGCACCGUUGCCGGGGAGUUAAGCGCCUUUGGUGAGUAGAACUUGGUAAGGAAACAUUUAUAUAGUGUGCUGAAAUUUUCUGUCACUUAAUCCUUUGAGGGGCUUGUUCAGGGUAUCUUCACCCUGACCAGUAGAGCAAAGAGUUUCUCCUGAACCUACUGAACCUACUGAACAUGUUUACUUUGAGAUUCCUUCGGGUAUGAUAGAGAAACUGCUAGCUAAUCCCUUUGCAGGAGAUGGAACAUUGCAUCCCGAUUUACACCUUAUCUUUGUGGAUGAAGUUUGUGGAUUAUUUAAGCUUGCAGGUAUUCCCAAUGAUGUUGUCAAAAGGAAGGUCUUCCCUUUAUCUUUGAAGGGAGAUGCAUUGACGUGGUAUAGGCUAUGUGAUGAUACGGGAUCUUGGAAUUAUAAACGAUUGAAGUUGGAAUUUUACCAGAAGUUCUAUCCUAUGCAUCUUGUUCAUCGUGAUCGUAAUUACAUAUAUAAUUUCUGGCCUCGCAAAGGAGAAAGAUCAAGCUUGGGGGAGGCUUAAGUCAAUGUUAUAUUCAUGCCCCAAUCAUGAACUCUCAAGAGAUUUGAUUAUUCAAAAAAAUUAUGCUCGGCUUUCUCUCAAUGAUCGCACCAUGCUCGAUACUUCCUGUGUUGGUUCUUAUAUGCUGAAGAUUAUUGAAUUCAAGUGGGAUUUAUUGGAAAGAAUUAAACGCAACUCUGAAGAUUGGGGUUCCGACGAUGGUAAAGAGUCAGGUAUAACACCUAAGUUUGAUUGUGUUAAAUCUUUUAUCGAUACCGAUGCUUUUCGUGGAUUUAGCACUAAGUAUGGACUUGACUCUGAGAUAGUAGCAGCCUUUUGUGAAUCUUUUGCUACUCACGUUGAUCUCCUUAAGGAGAAGUGGUUUAAAUAUAAUCCUCCCAUUGAAGUAAAAGUAGUUGCACUAAUUACAGUUGAAGAAAAGACUAUCACUUAUAAUGAUCCUAUUAUUCCUACUAGUUAUGUUGAGAAACCACCCUUUCCUGUUAGGAUGAAGGAUCGUGCUAAAUCUUCAACUAUUGUUUGUAAGAGUAAUACUAGAACUUAUACACCCCCUGAGCAAAUCAAAGUUGAACCUAGUAUUGCUAUGGUUAAAGAUCUCUUGGAUGAAAAUAUAGAUGGGCAUGUUAUUUAUUUCUGUGGUGAAACUGCUAAUAUUGCUAGACCAGAUGCUAAAAUACAUAGACCUGUUGUAGGCAUGCCUGUUAUUUCUGUUAAAAUAGGAGAUCAUUGUUAUCAUGGCUUAUGUGAUAUGGGUGCUAGUGCUAGUGCAAUGCCCUUUGACUUAUAUGAAGAAAUUAUGCAUGAUAUUGCACCUGCCUGAAAUAGAACGUAUUGAUGUUACUAUUAAGAUUGCCAAUAGGGACACCAUCAAGCCCAUUGGGAUUGUUAGAGAUGUUGAAGUCUUGUGUGGGAAAGUUAAAUAUCCUACUGAUUUUCAUGUUCUUGGUUCCCCACAAGAUGACUUUUGUCCCAUUAUAUUUGGUAGACCCGUCUUGAAUACUGUUAAUGCUAAGAUUGAUUGUGAAAAGGGUAUUGUUACAAUUGGCUUAGGGGAUAUGUCUCAUGAGUUUAAUUUUGCUAAGUUUCGUAGACAACCCCGUUGUCGGUGUCAAAACCGGCGGAUCUCAGGUAGGGGGUCCCGAACUGUGCGUCUAGGCGGAUGGUAACAGGAGACAAGGGACACGAUGUUUUUACCCAGGUUUGGGCCCUCUCGGUGGAGGUAAAAUCCUACUCCUGCUUGAUUAAUAUUGAUGAUAUGGGUAGUACAAGAGUAGAUCUACCACGAGAUCAAAGAGGCUAAACCCUAGAAGCUAACCUAUGUUAUGAUUGUUGUUCGUCCUACGGACUAAAACCCUCCGGUUUAUAUAGACAACGGAGAGGGCUAGGGUUACACAGAGUCGGUUACAAUGGUAGGAAAUCUACAUAUCUGUAUCGCCAAGCUUGCCGUCCAUGCCAAGGAAAGUCCCAUCCGGACACGGGACGAAGUCUUCAAUCUUGUAUCUUCAUAGUCUUGGAGUCCGGCCAAAGAUGAUAGUUCGGCUAUCUGGACACCCCCUAGUCCGGGACUCCCUCAGUAGCCCCUAAACUAGGCUUCAAUGACGACGAGUUCGGCGCGCAUAUUGUCUUCGGCAUUGCAAGGCAGGUUCCUCCUCCGAAUACUUCAUAGAAGAUUUUGAACACCAGGAUAGUGUCCGGCUCUGCAAAAUAAGUUCCACAUGCCACCGUAGAGAGAAUAAUAUUUACACAAGUUCAAUCUGCUGACAUAUUUCGUGGCGUGACGUCACACCACGGCCAGGCCUUUAUUCGAAUUGUUUUUAUUGUUCCACCUCAGCGCGUUUAGCGAAGCGGUUUCCUUGGCACGUCUUGUCAAAGCAGAGAUCGUGUCCCAUUAUUCCAGGAUUCUCAUCAAUACGGGCGUGGGUAACCCAACCGCGCCAUUGAUUACGGUGCUUGGGAGAUAAGCGAGUUUUACCAGGCUGGUGGGGACGUAUAGUUUCGUCCGCCCAUAUAAGGGGAUAAGGAUCCACCUUUUUACCUACGCCUUCUUCCUCCUUUGCUUAUCCAUCUCCGCGCACUCGAGCUCCAACGCCCAAGUCCGCACAUCUCGCCUCAACCUUCUCCGGCCAUGUCCGGAGCGGGAGGCAAGUGGAUGGCCACCUCCGUCACAGAGGGGCACAUCAAAAGGCUAAGGAAAGCCGGAUACCUGCACAACGACAUUGCGCACCAGCUUCCAGACGAGGGGCAGCUCGUCCCCACCCCCAGGCCCCAUGAGAGAGUGGUGUUCCUUCCCCAUUUCCUCCAUGGACUGGGCUUCCCACUCCACCCAUUUGUCCGAGGGCUCAUGUUCAAUUAUGUCCUGGAUUUCCAUGACCUGGCCCCGAAUUUAUCCUCAACAUCUCAGCGUUUAUCGUUGUAUGUCAGGCCUUCCUCCGCAUCACACCCCACUUUGGCUUAUGGCUGAAUACCUUCAAUGUCAAGCCGAAGGUAGUGGGCGUCCAACAGGCGGAGUGCGGAGGUGCCAUGGUGGGCAAGAUGCCCAACGUCUGGCUCGAGGGCGCCUUCGUGGAAACUAUCAAAGGGUGGCAAUCGGGGUGGUUCUACAUCAUCGAGCCGCGUGACCCUGAAUGGGCAGCGGCCCCCGAAUUCAGAUCUGGCAUCCCCACAUGGCUCACCUCUUGGAAAGAGAAGGUCCUGACAUGGGGUGAUUUGGAAGAGCUGACCGGACUCCAAACCUGCGUCCAAACCUUAUGAGCGAGAAGAUCAAGCUCGUCAACGUGGUCCAGGUCAUGCUCAUCCGCCGGAUCCUCCUGUGCCAACAACGGGCCUUCAACUUGUGGGAAUUUGAUCUGGCACAGCACCAAACCUUGAGCAGGCUCUUCGACACUAAGUACGAAGACGCCUGGAAGGUGCUGUUCAAGGGUGCCAAGGCUCCCGCAUCCGCUACUGAAGAUCGCAGAUUCAGCUCGCAGCGCCAAGCCAGCGAGGUAAGCUAUUUUACCCUUUACGGGACACUUUACUUUUCAUAGUUUGACUCUAUGCGGGAUCUAAACUCCCUUUACCUUUGACAGGCCUGGCGGAAGAAAUCCGAGCAGGUUAACUGUCCGGCUCCCUUACCAAAAGAUCCAGCGGACGCCCGAUUGAUGGGGCUGCUGGCUCCGGCGCCUUACGUGGUGCCGGAGAAGAAGGCCAAGAAGAAGGCCACGGGAACCCGGAAGAGUUCCCGGCGUCAAGUGUUAUCGGACUCAUCGUCCGAUGACUCCAAGGCGGACUCCUCCCGCGAAGACGAGGAGGAGAAAAAAGAGGCCUCUCCCUCAGCGGGGGGAGAGAAGAAAAGGAAGGCUUCCCCAAUGGGGGAGGCCGAAGGGUCCAAGAAGGGAAGGACCCUCCCCCCGGACUACUCCACCAACGCCGACAACGAUGAAGAGGAGUGGCCACCAAGGACUAAGCCCCUGGCGACAUCGUAAGUGUCCAGACACCAGAAUAAUUCAAGGUAUUUCAUUUGUCGCAUAGAAUCUCGUAACGCCGAAUACAUCCCUGCAGCCCGCCCAAGGACGGGCUCGAUAUUUCAAAGAGCGGCUCCCUGGCUCCAUCGGAAGUGAAUAGUACUUCACUUCCGGCCGCCUCUUCUCCUCGCGCUACUGAUGAUGCCGAGGUGGGGUCCCAGAAGGGGCCCGGCCAGGAGGAGGAGGUCCUGUAGGUGCCGCAAGGCAACCUCCGGGACUUUGGGCACGAGGGGGAUCAACCCCCAAAGGGUUUAGAGUUCGGCCCUCGGCCGGACUCCGCACCGGAACCUUUAGUGGCUCCGGAGUCCAGCGGGCGGCCCCUUCGUAAGAAGGGCGAGACUGCGACGCCGGUGACCUCCGUCCAACCGGAGGCGCCGGAUAAUCUGCUGGAGGCGCUCAACGGCGCCUCCAUCGACGAGGAGCACCACGCUGUUAUGAGUGCGGUGAUUCAGAAAGUUUGGUCCGCCAAGAGCGGGCUGACUGAAGCAUGUACCAGCCUUCUAACAAGCUUUGAGGUACGUAAUUAAGAUAUGUAAAAUAGUACCGCAUAGACAGUAGCCCGUGAUGCUCAGUUCGGUGUUCGGAAAGAAAAGCCGAACUGAGGAUCUGAAAAGAUAUACGCAGGAGUCUAACAUAAGUAUGUCAAUAUGGGAACGCAGGCUGCGCUGCUGACCUCUGCCGCACUGACUGCGGAGGUCAAUGCAUUGAAGCAGAGCUCGAGCGGUCCGAGAACGAGCUCGGUCGUUCCAAGAAGUAGCUCGAGGACAAGGAAGGUAAGUAGUACCUUAUUAAAGUAAUACCUUAUAGAAAGGAUUUGGUUGCAAAAAAUGAUAGGAAUAACGUGAGUAUUGCAGGGGCCACGAACGAGGUGGCGACCCUGAAGGAAGCGGUGUCCAAGGCUGAAAGCGAUGCUGCCGCGGAACGCACCGAGCGAGAGAAGCAGGAGGCGCAGGUGGCGGAGGUGCGGCAAGAGCUGCAGGAUCUCGUGGAAAAACACAAGAGUUUGGAGAGUGACUCAAGGACUCGAGAGUCCGAGCUCGCCUCGGCUCUUGAUAGUGCCAAAGCCCCUAAGGCCGAAGCCCAAAAAGCCCUCCAGGAAAUUGAGGCGAUAAAAAAGAUAGCGGCGGGUAAGGCAUUUUUCAUGCAAAGCAAGUAUGUAAAAGUGAAUUAUCUGUUACUUCCCCGAAUUCGGAGCUCUCCAGGAGCGUUCGCAGAUCUGCCCCGUAGUGUGUCCGAUGCUGUCGCAUUCUACUGGGCCGAGGAAGGGAGCUCGACGGAGAAGGUAUUCUGGUCUCAGUAUGCUGAGGCCGGACAUCCGGUGCCCCUGAGUGACCAGCUGAAGCAGCUGGUCGAGCUGCACAAGGUGGCCGAACAGGCCAUGAAGGGCCUCAUAUUUCGGCUGUGGCCUAAAGAAGCCAUGCCUGGGAGCUACUUCGGUCUGGUGCGGCGGCUGGUGGACGCCUGUCUGUGGAUUGAAGUCAUCAAGCAUUCCGCCUGCAUUGAAGGUGCCCGUCGGGCCCUUGCCCACGCUAAAGUGCACUGGGGCAAGAUGGACGCCGAGAAGCUUGUGAUGGACGCGCCACCGCCGGGCAAGGAAUAUCGCACGCCCGAGAUGUACUAUAAGGGUGUCCUGAAGGGUGCCCACCUUAUAGCGGGCGAAUGCUCCAAAGAUGUAAUUUUGGAGUAGACUCGCAUGUUGUUAUCUUGUGCGCUGAAAACUUUGUUCAUAUGCGCUAAGCAACGCUUGUUAAUUUAAAAUAUUACCUUCUGUGCGGCCGUUUAUCAAAUUUGAGAGAUGGCAAGUCAUUGGCUUCAGCCCCCAUGCCACAAGUGUUGGGGUGUUCGGGAUAAACUUGAGUGCUCUUGUUCCCAUUUUUGGGUCCUUUGAGGGAGGCGCUCAACACAACGAACAAGGCAACCGGACUUAUAAUGCUUGAACACUCCCACUUAGCCAUAGAAUUCUAUAAUUUUAAAUUUCGGCGAAGCCCCUAGUGUUCGGAAGACCGAAUUCGGGGUGCUAUCCACACCUGGGCCGGAUAAAGCCGGCUCCUCGCUCUAAGCGGCAUAAGUCUUUAGGGACUCGAAAAAACCUCUUGAACAGCGACCGCCUCUCGCCCUAUCAUGACGGUCAGUUUUAGCUUUCUCCACUGAGGUGCUCAACCCAGCUCAACUGGGGCACAAUCGCAGUGGUUCUCCCAGCGCUACCUUAGCCGAUAUAACGGAACGUAAGGUACCAAAACAUGGGAGCCGGGCAAACCCAACUAUUGACCCAAGACAUGAUUCGGAGUCGAUGCAUAUAAUGCUAUAAGUUCGGGGUGCCGCACUUGUGAAAGUGUUCGGACUUAUUACACCAUAUUCUGGGGAACUUAAGCCCCUGGUGUAUUUGGCCGUACGAAAGCGUACGGGUGCAACAUGUCAUAAGUGAACAUGUAUAGAUAGAAAAAGGAAUGCAAUAAUAGGCAAGAAGCGAUGCAUUGUUUAUUCAAAAAGUACUGCAAUGAAAGCAGAACGAUACAAAUAGUGCGAUAAGCAAGGGAUGGGACUAUUUAACAUGUCCCCCUCCAGGGGUAGGCUGCGGGAUGGUAUGUAAAACAGGUAUACUGCUCGUAAUAGAGACCAUCUGGACACUCGAUGUAGCUUUUCUGCUUCCCUGGUUGUUGCAUCGUGAGUUCGGCAAUUCUACUGCCGGACAGGGCUUCUGGAAAACAGAGUCCUGUGAAUAAGAGAAAAAAAAGAAUGGCACAAUUGGGAGCCCCUGGUGCGGUUGAGCCGCUCUCCGGGCAUGUCGUGGUCGUGCCCCUACCCCUAUGCCCAUGGUAUCUCCAGAGCGUAGUUAUGUACUCGUGGUACUGGUCUCGUGAUUUUGCGAGGGCUGGGGUUGGGGCCACAUUGCUACGCGUGCUCGGAACGUGCCAGGUGGUCUUGUUGUAGGUUACUCCGGGCGUGCUUGAUGGUUUCUGGCCUCUUAACAGCUGGACUCGAGAAUUGCCUUAAGAGGCUGCUUUGUACUUCCGCCGCGAGAGCCGCUAUAUGCUCCUUCGUUCGGAGAGAGCGUUCGGUGUUUUCAUUGACCAUAAUGACUCCUCGAGGGCCUGGCAUCUUGAGCUUGAGGUAUGCGUAGUGCGGCACCGCAUUGAACUUUGCAAAUGCGGUUCGUCCGAGCAGUGCAUGAUAUCCGCUGUGGAACGGGACUAUGUCGAAGAUUAACUCCUCGCUUCGGAAGUUAUCCGGGGAUCCGAAGACCACUUCAAGUGUAGCUGAGCCUGUAUAGUUGGCCUCUACACCUGGUAUGUCGCCUUUAAAGGUUGUCUUUGUGGGUUUAAUCCUUGAGGGGUCUAUGCCCAUUUUGCGCACUGUAUCCUGAUAAAGCAGGUUCAGGCUGCUGCCGCCGUCCAUCAGGACUCUAGUGAGGUGAAAUCCGUCGACGAUUGGGUCUAGAACCAAUGCGGCGAAUCCGCCAUGGGGGAUGCUAUUGGGGUGGUCCCUUCAAUCAAAAGUGAUCGGGCAGGAGGACCACAUAUUGAACUUUGGGGCGACUGGCUCCAUCGCAUAUACGUCCCUGAGUGCAUGCUUCCGCUCCCUUUUGGGUAUGUGGGUUGCGUAUAUCAUGUUCACCGUCCGCACUUGUGGGGGGAAACCCUUCUGUCCUCUAUUGUUCGGCGGCUGGGUCUCUUCCUCGUCAUCGCUAUGCAGCCCCUUGUCAUUGUUUUUGGCAAUUAACUUGCCUGCCUGCUUGAACACCCAACAAUCCCUGUUGGUGUGAUUGGUUGGCUUUUCGGGGGUGCCGUGUAUCUGACACAAGCGAUCGAGUAUCCGGUCCAAAUUGGACGGGCCCGGAGUAGUUCUUUUGAAUGGCUUUUUUCCGCUGACCGGAUUUAGAGCCUCUGAAUCCGGCAUUUACUAACGUAUCUUCAGUAUUAUUGCCGUUAAUGCGGCGCUUGUGCUUGUUGCGACGCGACCUGCCACUGCUGUCCUUGGUAUCCGACUACUAGGGUUUUCGGUCAGGUUGUUACUCGAGCUAGCCAGCUAUCCUCUCCCGCACAGAAGCAGGUCAUGAGUGAUGUGAGGGCUGCCAUGGAUUUCGGCUUUUCCUGUCCUAGGUGCCGGGCAAGCCACUCGUCGCGGAUGUUAUGUUUGAAGGCUGCAAGGGCCUCUGCAUCCGGACAGUCGGUGAUUUGAUUUUUCUUGGUUAAGAACCGUGUCCAGAAUUGUCUGCCGAUUCCUCUGGCUGCUGAAUUAUGUGGCUUAGGUCAUCGGCGUCUGGUGGUCGCACAUAAGUGCCUUGGAAGUUGUCGAGGAAUGCGGCUUCCAGGUCUUCCCAACAACCAAUUGAUUCUGCUGGCAAGCUAUUGAGCCAAUGCCGAGCUGGUCCUUUAAGCUUGAGUGGGAGGUAUUUGAUGGCGUGUAGAUCAUCACCGCGGGCCAUGUGGAUGUGAAGGAGAUAGUCCUCGAUCCAAACCGCCGGAUCUGUUGUGCCAUCAUAUGAUUCAAUGUUUACGGGUUUGAAACCCUCGGGGCUUUGAUGAUCCAUUACUUCGUCUGUGAAGCAUCGUGGGUGUGCGGCGCCUCUGUAUUGGGCUAUAUCACGACGCAGCUCAAAUGAGCUUUGUCUACUGUGUUCGGCCCAGCCGGAAUUGCUGUAUCCGGCAUGACGGUUGUCAUCACGUAUUGUGGGGCGCCCACGCGAUCCGUAGAUCGAUCUUGUUUGUCUUGCCUUGUCCUCCAAUAUGUCUCGCAAGUCUGGCGCAUUCCCCCGUGGCUUUGUAUUCGAGCGACGCCGGGGCCUAGAGGCCUCUCUGUCACGGCCACGAGGUGGUCGAUCAGCCGCGUCAUGCGCUGGUGAUGUAGGUUUGGGUGCUUCCUCCUCUAAUUGGGGUAGCAGCCUGCGUUUGGGGUAGCUUUUGGAGGGGCGAUCGAGUUUAUACUCUUCGGCCGCAAGGACUUCAGUCCAUCUAUCGGCUAGCAAGUCUUGGUUAGCUCUAAGCUGUUGCUGUUUUUUCUUGAGGCUGCUUGCUGUGGCCAUAAGCCUGCGUUUGAAACGCUCUUGCUCGACGGGAUCCUCAGGCACGACAAAUUCGUCGUCGUUGAGGCUUACCUCGUCUUCAGAGGGAGGCAUAUAAUUAUCGUCCUCUACCUCUCUGUCUACCGCUCUCUCAUGAGGGAUGGCUUCUCCAUCCUCCUGCGCUGAAUCCUGCUGGAGGGGGUUGUCUUCGACACUGUCCGGGGUGUUAUUGUCUUUGGUGCCGGAAUCUCCAUUCUUGCUGUGGCGGGAUUUAGAGCGGGGCCGCUGACGCUGGCGCUUAGGCUGUUUCUUGGAGGGGUCAUCCUCCGUUGUUCCAUCGCCAUUCCCGUCCUUUGGGAUGUCCACCAUGUAUAUGUCGUAUGAAGAGGUGGCCUUCCAGUGCCCUGUAGGCACUGGUUCUUGGUCAUCUCCUGCAUCAUCGUCCAUACCGUCGAUGUCUUCGUAGUCGAAGUCGAGCAUGUCGGUUAGAUCAUCGACAGUGGCUACAAAGUGGAUGGUGGGUGGGCGUUGAAUUUCUUCGUCGUCCGCACCCCAACCUUCGUGACCAUAAUCCGGCUAGGGCACUCCUGAUAAAGAGAGAGACUUUAGUGAAUUCAGGAUAUCACCAAAGGGCGAGUGCUGAAAGAUGUCCGCAACGGUGAACUCCAUGAUCGGCGCCCAAUCGGAUUUGAUUGCAGGGGCGCGGAAGGUUCGGAGUCCGGAGAGGAGUCCGGCACCUUGGAGUCACGAGCUUCGCAAAGGACCGGGUUGGUAUCCGGCUCUAUCGCCAUAGAGGUAGCAGCCCCCGAGGCGGUGUCUAACCACCCGUCCUCGAUCGGCGUAGUCGGCUCCGAGCUAAGGGUCGGAGCGGACACUUGUGCGGCCUCCAGGGCACUGUCCGGCAGCAGAGCUAGAUCAUGACCAUCGUGAUAGUGCGGCGCACUUGGCUGUGGCUCGAGUCCGUCGAAGAUCAAGUCUCCGCGGAUGUCAGCCGUGUAGUUCAAACUCCCAAAUCUGACCUCAUGGCCAGGGGCGUAGCUUUCGAUCUGCUCCAGAUGGCCAAGUGAAUUGGCCCGCAGUGCAAAGCCGCCGAAUACGAAGAUCUGUCCGAGGAGAAAAGUCUCACCCUGGACCCCGUCGUUGGUGAUGAUCGAAGGAGCCAUCAUGCCUAAAGAUGACGACAUAGAGGAACUCUCAAUGAAAGCAAUAAUGUCGGUGUCAAAACCGGCGGAUCUUGGGUAGGGGGUCCCGAACUGUGCGUCUAGGCGGAUGUUAACAGGAGACAAGGGACACGAUGUUUUUACCCAGGUUAGGGCCCUCUCGGUGGAGGUAAAACCCUACUCCUGCUUGAUUAAUAUUGAUGAUAUGGGUAGUACAAGAGUAGAUCUACCAUGAGAUCAAAGAGGCUAAACCCUAGAAGCUAGCCUAUGGUAUGAUUGUUGUUCGUCCUACGGACUAAAACCCUCCGAUUUAUAUAGACACCGGAGAGGGCUAGGGUUACAUAGAGUCGGUUACAAUGGUAGGAAAUCUACAUAUCCGUAUCGCCAAGCUUGCCUUCCACGCCAAGGAAAGUCCCAUCCAGACACGGGACGAAGUCUUCAAUCUUGUAUCUUCAUAGUCUUGGAGUCCGGCCAAAGAUGAUAGUUCGGCUAUCUGAACACCCCCUAGUCCGGGACUCCCUCACCCGUGAUAAAGAAUCACCUAGUAAGGAUGUGAUUAUUGGUCUUGCUUCUAUUGCCGUGCCUCCUACUGAUCCGUUAGAACAAUAUUUGCUAGACCAUGAAAAUGAUAUAUUUAUGAAUGAAAGAAGGGAAAUCGAUGAAGUGUUCCUUCAACAGGGUCCUAUUCUGAAACACAACCUGCCUGUUGAAAUCUUAGGGGAUCCCCCUCCACCCCAGGGUGAUCCUAUGUUUGAGCUCAAACCAUUACCUGAUAAUCUUAAGUAUGUUUAUCUUGAUGAAAAGAAAAUAUAUCAUAUUAUUAUUAGUGCUAACCUUUCACAGCAAGAAGAAGAAAGAUUAUUGAAAACUCUGAAGAAGCACCGUGCUGCUAUUGGAUAUACUCUGGAUGAUCUUAAGGGCAUUAGUCCCACUCUAUGCCAACACAAAAUUAAUGUGGAGAAAGAUGCCAAACCAGCUAGAGAUCCUCAAUGAUGGUUAAAUCCUAAGAUGAAAGAAGUGGUAAGAAUGGAGAUACUGAAGCUCCUUGAGGCAGGUAUAAUUUAUCCCGUUGCUGAUAGUGAAUGGGUAAGUCAUGUCCAUUGUGUUCCUAAAAAGGGAGGUAUUACUGUCGUUCCUAAUGAUAAAGAUGAAUUGAUCCCGCAAAGAAUUAUUAUAGGUUAUAGGAUGGUAAUUGAUUUUCGUAAAUGAAAUAAAGAUACUAAGAAAGAUCAAAUGCUAGAAAGCUUAUCCAAACAUACACAUUUCUGCUUUCUAGAUGGUUAUUCUGGUUUCUCUCAAAUACCUGUGUCAGCGGAGGAUCAAUCAAAAACUACUUUUACUUGCCCUUUCGGUACUUUUACUUAUAGACGUAUGCCUUUUGGUUUAUGUAAUGCACCUGCUACCUUUCAAAGAUGCAUGAUGGCUAUAUUUUAUUACUUUUGUGAAAAGAUUUGUGAGGUAUUCAUGGAUGAUUUCUCCGUUUAUGGGUCCUCUUUUGAUGAUUGCUUGAGCAACCUUGAUCGAGUUUUGCAGAAAUGUGAAGACACUAGUCUCGUCUUGAAUUGGGAAAAGUGCCACUUUAUGGUUAAUGAAGGAAUUGUCUUGGGGCCUAAGAUUUCCGAGAGAGGUAUUGAAGUUGAUAAAGAUAAAGUUGAUGCUAUUGAAAAGAUGCCAUGUCCCAAGGACAUAAAAGGUAUAAGAAGUUUCCUUGGUCAUGCCGGUUUUUAUAGGAGGUUCAUUAAGGACUUUUCUAAAAUCUCUAGGCCUCUGACUAAUUUAUUGCAAAAAGAUAUUCCUUUUGUCUUUGAUGAUGAUUGUGUAGAAGCGUUUGAAAUAUUUAAGAAAGCUUUGAUCACUGCACCUAUUGUUCAGCCACCUGAUUGGAAUUUACCCUUUGAAAUUAUGUGUGAUGCUAGUGAUUAUGCUGUAGGUGUUGUUCUAGGGCAAAGAGUUGAUAAGAAAUUGAAUGUUAUCCAGUAUGCUAGUAAAACUCUUGAUACUGCCCAGAGAAAUUAUGCUACUACUGAAAAAGAGUUCUUAGCAGUUGUAUUUGCUUGUGAUAAGUUUAGACCUUAUAGUGUUGAUUCUAAAGUUACUAUUCACACAGAUCAUGCUGCUAUUAAAUAUCUUAUGGAAAAGAAAGAUGCUAAUCCUAGACUUAUUAGAUGGGUUCUCUUGCUCCAAGAAUUUGAUUUGCAUAUCAUUGAUAGAAAGGGAGCUGAGAACCCCGUUGCAGACAACCUGUCUAGGUUAGAGAAUGUUCUUGAUGACCCACUACCUAUUGAUGAUAGCUUUCUUGAUGAACAAUAACGGUCAUUAAUGCUUCUCGUACUGCUCCUUGGUAUGCUAAUUAUGCUAAUUACAUUGUUGAUAAAUUUAUACCACCUAGUUUCACAUACCAGCUAAAGAAAAGGUUCUUUUAUGAUUUAAGACAUUACUUCUGGGAUGACCCACACCUUUAUAAAGAAGGAGUAGAUGGUGUUAUUAGACGUUGUGUACCUGAGCAUGAAUAGGAACAGAUCCUACGCAAGUGUCACUCUGAAUCAUAUGGAGGACACCACGCUGGAGAUAGAACUGCACAUAAGGUAUUGCAAUCCGGUUUUUAUUGGCCUACUCUCUUCAAAGAUGCUCAUAAGUUUGUCUUAUCUUGUGAUGAAUGUCAAAGAAUUGGAAAUAUUAGUAGACGUCAAAAAAUUCCUAUGAAUUAUUCUCUUGUUAUUGAACCAUUUGAUGUUUGGGGCUUUCAUUAUAUAGGACCUUUUCCUGCCUCUAAUGGUUACACACAUAUUUUAGUUGCUGUUGAUUAUGUUGCUAAGUGGGUAGAAGCUAUUCCAACUAGUAGUGCUGAUCAUAACACCUCUAUUAAGAUGCUUAAAGAAGUUAUUUUUUUAAGGUUUGGAGUCCCUAGAUAUCUUAUGACUGAUGGUGGUUCACAUUUUAUUCAUGGUGCUUUCCGUAAGAUGCUUGCUAAGUAUGAUUUUAAUCAUAGAAUUGCAUCUCCUUAUCACCCGCAGUCUAGUGGUCAAGUAGAAUUGAGCAAUAGAGAGCUCAAAUUAAUUUUGCAAAAGACUGUUAAUAGAUCUAGAAAGAAUUGGUCCAAGCCACUUGAUGAUGCAUUAUGGGCCUAUGGAACUGCAUAUAAAAAUCAUAUGGGUAUGUCUCCGUAUAAGAUGGUAUAUGGAAAAGCAUGUCACUUACCUCUCGAACUUGAACAUAAAGCAUAUUGGGCUAUUAAAGAGCUCAACUAUGACUUCAAACUUGCCGGUGAGAAGAGGUUAUUUGAUAUUAGCUCACUUGAUGAAUGGAGAACCCAAGCCUAUGAGAAUGCCAAGCUGUUCAGAGAAAAAGUUAAAAGAUGGCAUGACAAAAGGAUACAAAGAGUGAGUUUAACGUAGGUGAUUAUGUGUUGCUAUUCAACUCUCGUUUAAGAUUUUUUGCAGGAAAACUUCUCUCCAAAUGGGAAGGUCCUUACGUUAUCGAGAAGGUCUAUCGUUCCGGUGCCAUAAAAAUCAACAAUUUCGAAGGCACAAGUCCGCAGGUGGUGAACGGUCAAAGAAUCAAACAUUAUAUCUCAGGUGGUCCUAUCAACGCUGAAACUAAUAUUAUUGAAACCGUAACCCUGGAGGAAUACAUAAGGGACACUUUCCAGAAUGUUUCACACUCCAAAAAGGAAUAGGUAUGUGGUCCGGUAAGUAAACCGACUCCAAAACAGUUCUAAUGGCAAUUUUUCUCCGUUUUGGAAUAUUUAGGAAUUUUGGGAAGCAAGAAGUAAUCCGGGAAGGACACGAGGCCUCCACGAGGGUGGAGGGCGCGCCCACCCUUACUGGGCGCGCCCCCCUAUCUCGUCGGCACCCCGUGUGCCUCCCAGACUCUGUUUUCUUGCACGUUACGUAUUUUGGUCAGUAAAAAUUCAUUAUAUAAUCUCUCGAAGGUUUUGACCAUCCUAUCACGCAAAACUCCUCUGUUUUUGUUUUAAGUUAUUCUUGUUGCAGAAUUAGAGCAAGAUGUCUUCUCAAGAGUCAGUCGUGGAGAGUCGGGUGUCUCACCCGACACCAGGUCGAGGAGAAAAUAGUGAUGCUUAUCACUUUGGACCAUCAACGGAAGAUGAUAUGGAGGCCGACUUGAAAAGGAUAUAUGCCAUGGAGGAGGAUCAAGAAGUUACCUCCCGCUUCCAAGUAGGAUUCAUGAUGGGGGAACUACAGAGCUCCGCUAUUCCAAAUUCGGUCAUCCCUUCCAACGUUAAAUUUCUUUCUUAUGAAAACAUGAAAAAGAGCGUCACUUGUUCCCCAGAAGCUUUGCAGCAUCCUUGGGUAAAGGGAGCUUUAGCCGUGACGGGCAAGCUCCGCAAGGAAAUUAUAUACCUCAAACAACAAGUAAAUAAGCUCGAGGAGGAGAAUCGUAUCCUGAGGGGCAUCAUCGCCAAGAAGAUCAUAACACCAACUAUGAAGAAGGAGACAUAAUCACAUGGGUAUGGGCACUCCCCUUGGCAACUGCCAAGCUUGGGGGAGGUGCCCCGGUAUCGUAUCACCAUCACACUCCUAUCUUUACCGUUUUACUUAGUUCGAUCCUUUUAGUAAUAUCUUGAUCUUAUAGAUUGAAGUUUUGGUAUGAUUUAGUUUUGAGUUUUGCUUUGUGAUCCCACUACAAAAAAAACACUUCCGUGAUGAUACGUGUUUGUCACAGUAGGUCGCAUUUUUUGUCAUGCAUGUACAUCCAUGACGAUUUUAUGACAGAAUCAAGAUAGUCAUACCUGUGCUAUCGUAGAAGUGUUCCAUGACAUUUCCAAAAUUAUCAUCACGGAAGUGUCCACUUCCUUGACGAUAAAUCGCGCGUCAUAGAAGUGCUUUCAUCAAGGGUGACCGACACGUGGCAUCCACCGUAACGGAACACCGUUAAGCUAUCGGGUCGGGUUUUGGAUCCGAAACCCGUUAACAGCCCCAACCAAUGGGAAAUUUCCACGUGUAAAAUUCUUAUUGGCCGGACGAAACACGUGUCAGCUCGUCAGUGGGUCAGAUAGGCGCCUAUGAUAUGUCGACACGUGCCACGGCCCACCACUGGCCCAUUUUAGCUUACAAAGUCGGCCCGUUUGACUUGGUCAAAAGUUAACGGGCUGGCCCAUGAAAAGCCUGUUAACGGUGUCUUCGCAAAGAGCCCAUUUUACGGCCCGUUAACUCACGGCCCAUUAGGACCUCAAGGAAAUCGGCCCAACAACGUCAUGUGGGCCGUCGAGUAUAACACCAGCCCAUUUCACUUUUGACCUAUGUAUGGCCCACGAUGUCUUUCGGCCCAUAUGAGGCCUUCGUAUCUUUCGGCCCUUUACAUGCCCACGGUGACUCUAGCCCAUAAUGAACAGUAAUUUUAUCUGUACCCAUUAAAGGCCCGUGAUUUACAUGGGCCGUUUCCAGCCCGUGUUAGCUUUCGGCCUAUUGGCGACCCAUACGUUCUUGGGCUCCUUUUCGGCCCUUGAUUACUUCCGGCCCGUUACUGUCAUGUUCCCCUAAUGGGCCAAAUUUGGCCCAUGGCAAGAGUCGGCCCGUUACUGGCAUGUUCCCCAAAUGGGCCAAAUUCGGCCCAUGGCAAGAGUCAGCCCGUUACUGGCCUGUUACCCUAAUGGGCCAAAUUCGGCCCAUGGCAAGAGUCGGUCCGUUUCUGGCAUGUUAACCCGUUGCGCCGUUUCUAGCCCGUCCUAUAUUGUGGCCCAUUAACGACCCGUUAUGCCUGUGACAGAAUUAAGCCUUUGCAGUCCUACGGCCUGUUAACGGCCCGUUACCGUGCUGGGCCGAUAACAAUUACGCCCGAUUACGGCCCAUGUAGACCCAUUUAUCCGACGGCCCGAGGCCCACCGAUUACAGGCCCAUUUAUCGAUGACCCGAGGCCCACCGAUUACAGGCCCAUUCGUCGACGGCCCGUAGGAGACCCAUGGAUCCUACAGCCCAUAUAUGGCCCAUGGUAGUUGCGGCCACUAGCAAACCAGGGAAAAAGAAGACUAGGAAAUAAAUAAGGCCGAAACUAACGCUAGGCUAUUAAGGCGAUUGCACAGAUUACAUCCACUCGGCAUCAAAGAUCGCCACCAGUGCAAAUAUAGGGAACACCCUACACUAUACAAAAAUGGCUUGUUGUUUUCUUCAGCCAGUGGCUGCAUGUUAAGAAUAAAUUUUGUAUUGCACCAAAACAAAUUACAACUAUAUAACAAAAGGAAGGUUGGCAUAAAACUUAAUAGUCUAGCAGAUAAAUGCACCACCAGAAGUUCAAAAGCUCGGUUCAUUUGACCUGACUGUUACGUUUUCAUGUUGUAUUGUCCGAUGGAGCACCAUAACCCUCGCCUUCAUUUCCCCUAGGCUCCUGAUCAACAUAGCAAAUGUUUGAUAGUUUGGAUUCAAAACCAUGCAUAUCUUGACGACAUUGAGCAAUGUUUCUCCUUGUUUCACAAAGGGCCUCUGUUAGGGAAUGGACUUGUGUUUGGAGCGCAGAUACAACAUUGCUUUGAGCUUGCAUAUCUUGAUCAUGAGGCAUAAUAUGGUACAGCGAAAAGAGUGAAACAACAGCUAAUUACAAGAGCCUCGCAGUGUGCAAUAUAGCUACUAGAUCCUGUCGUCUGUUGGAAUUUCACUUUCGUACGAUUGGCCUUGUUCUUUGAACAGUUCACCUACAAGAAGAUAGAUUGUGUGGCACAUGCGUAAAUAGGACUUCAACAUGUGAUCUGAUCACAUAUAUAUAAUGUACCUGAUACUUCGGAUCAGACCAGUGUUUAACAAGGCCCCUCCAGUCUUGAUCCGAUAUAUUUUUCACUGGAGAUGUUUGGGAAAGUUCACUGUUAGCCUUGCCUUCAAAGUGAGUUUUCCUCAAGUUAUACCAAUACUGUCGUAGAGCAGACUUGAAAACAUGGGUGCAAGCUUGUCUGGUUGCAUCAUCUUGGCUAUCCAACUUGAACUUCAUCUGUUGAAAAUUAUGGGAGUCUCAUUAUCAGCAACCUAGAAAGUAUGGGACAGAGCAAGACGAUAUUACUAGUUUCCAUACAUAACCAUACUUACAGAUAAAUGGUCGAGGAAGGUGUUGAACUGGGUUUCGUCUUUGUCAUUCCUGUACUGAAUCCAUGCUAGGAGGAUACGUACAUGACACCUAACUGCAACCGCUGCCUCUGAUACUAACUUGGUUGACUCUGUAGCAUCACGUGGCCUUUUUAAACCUGCCUCAAAACGGAUCUCCAUUCUUCCUCCUCUAGAUUUAGUUAACCUAUCGAGGAUUAUCCCUGAUGUUUGUUUCCUCUUGCCCCUAGGUGCUAGUCCAACAACGAACAUAGGAAGUGUUAGUGUACAUCAAACUGUGAGACUACAUAUAAAGAAGCAUGCAACUGUAACUUGACUCCAACAACUACCUUCUUGUUGUUGAAUCUCACAAGGUUCAUCUGAUAUUGCCAACUCGUCUUGUGUCAAGAGUGCUUGGGAAGUAGUGUCAGGUGGCAAGGGAGCUUGGGAACGUGCUGCUAGCUCAGUUGACGCACGAGUAAGUCGUGCAGCUGGUAGUACUGUGGUAGGUGUUGCAUGAACUAGGGAUGUCUCUGCUUGUUUGGUGGCAGCUAUUUGUUUCUAAUUGGCUUUUUUGCAGCUCAUGUAGCAUGGGAUGCCGUGUUUGUAGAAUUUUCCGCUGGGCAUUCACCUUCUAUUGCACCAUCAGUACCAGUAGAAUGUGCAGGAUUCAUCCGCUUCUCAUUCCCUGCCAUUCCGUGUUUCUUCCUCUUUCUCUGUGCUAUGUUAAGUCAAAUCGACAAGAAAAACGAAUAACAAUUUAGUUCUUCAGAACAAAUUGAUGCGUGAUGCAGACGAACUGAACUUUGAUGUUAGACAACCACAUGAUAGGAGGAUGUAAUAUGUAUGAAAAACAGGACGGAAGAGAUAACCAGAACUAUGAUGUGUAAACUAAGAAGAAGACAUUUCACCAAAUUAGAAGCAAUGCAAUGGAAGGUAGACACCAUAUGAAAGAUGCUACAAAUAUCGCUCUGCCAAGUUAACAGUGUCUCAUCAUAAAUGGUGUUUAAACAAAUGUGAAGCAGUACAAUAAAUAAAUCAUAUGCAAGAUGCAAACAACAUCACACUGCCAUGUUAGAGGUCUCUCGUCAUUAGUGCCAUUGCAUAUUCACAGCAUUGCAUAUUCACAGCUUAUGAUGUGUAAACUAAGGAGAAGGCACUUCAACAAAUUAGAAGCAAUGAAAGCUACACACCAUAUGAAAGAUGCAACGAAUAUAACUCUACCAAGUUAUAACUGUCUCGUCAUAAGUGCCAUUUCAACAAAUUAGUAGUACAAGCUAGAAAAGAAUGUGAGAUGUAACCUAUAUCACACUCCGAAGUCAAACGUGUCUUAUGAUAAGUGAUUGUUGUAGGUUACACAACAGUAGUAAUUUGAUGUAAGAACAUGGUGUGAUAGAUAGAUAUUGUAUGUUCUAGAAACAGGAACAUGUGUCUUAUUCAAGUAUAAUCUGUAAAGUAAGCAGAUGGAAUUCAACAAAAUUAGAAGCAAUACAAGCUAGACAUCACACAUAACAUGCAACCACAUAUAACAGUGCCAAGUUAGAGGGAGCACCAGUGAUGCUGCACUAGGGGAGACGUGCUCAUCAUAAACACAGCUUUGUUGAGUGUCUAUGCAUGUGUUGUCUUGGAAAUCAUCUUGGGGGUGUGGAGGAGUAGAAACUAUAGAGGCCCUCCGUUCGAAAGGACCACCUUUAUCCGCUGCCUUGCUAACUUCCUUCCGCUUUAUUGAUUUUGAAUUGUCAAGUAAAACCGACAAGAAAAAGCAAUAAAAUUCUCUCUUCAGAACUCAUUCAUGCAUGAUACUGACAAUCACUACUUUGAUGUAAGGCAAACACAUGAUACCAGGAUGGAAUAUGUACGAAAAACAGGACGGCAUGGCAUGUUCACAACUGUUUGUGUAAACUAAGCAGAAACCAUUCCGGCAAAUAAGAAGCAAUGUAAGCUAGACACCACAUGAAUGAUGCAACCAAUAUGACUCUGCCAAGUUAAAAGCAUCCCAUCAUAAAUGGAAUUUCAACAAAUUAGAAGCAGCGCAUGCUAUAAAUCAUAUGAAAGAUGCAACUAAUAUCGCACUGCAUAUACUAAAGGUGUCUCGUCAUAUUGAUUGAUGUGGGAUACAAAAAAACGAUAGUUUUAUGUAAGGACAUGCUUAAUAGACAGAUGUACUAUGUACUAAAUACAGGAAGGCAUGUCACAUUAAUAGGUAUAAUGUACUCCCUCCGUCCCAUAAUGUAAGACGUUUUUUGGCACUAAUUAAGUGCCAGAAAAACGUCUUACAUUAUGGGACGGAGGGAGUAUAAGCUAAGCAAACUAGCACAUGCAGUUUAACCAGAUUGGAAGAAUUACAAUCUAGACACCAUAUGCAACAUGCAACCACAUAUCACGCUGCCAAGUUAGAGCAAGCACCUGCGAUGCUAGUGUAGGGUAAAUGUUGUAAUCAACUACAGAGCUACGUUCACUAUCUUCAUCUAGCAUUUCUAUUUCUUGAGAAUCAUGUCGGGAGGCUGACGCUACAUUCUUUAAAUGAGGAGUAGUCCCGUUGCCUGCCUACCUCGUCAUAAGUUAUUGAUGAGGGAUACACAAGAUCAUUAGUUUGAUGUAAGAACAUGGUUAAUACACAGAUGUACUAGUAUGUACCAAAAACAGAAAGGCAUGUCAUAUUCAAAGGUAUAAUGUGUAAGCUAAGCAGAUGCAAUUUAACCAAAUUGGAAGCAAUACAAGCUAGACAUCCGGCUAGAGUGGUGAACAUGAUCAUCUAGGACCUGAGAGCCUGGUGGGAGGCGGGCUGCUUCGCCACCAUCGCGGCUUUUUAGUUGGCUUCGAGGUGAUGCCUGUCUUUGCUGGGCUUGUCACUGGCUCGGCCAGUGCCCUGACUAGCUAUUUGUCUUCUGGUGCUCACGGGAUGGUGGUUCGUGUAAAAAAUAUCUUUCCUUAUCUUAAUAAAGACCGACUUCGACCUUUCGAAUACAAGCUAGACACCAUAUGGAACAUGCAACCGCAUAUGACAUCGUGAAGCUAAGGCAAGCACCCUGGAUGGUGGUUCAUUGCGAGCGAGUUCAUCAACUCCAGAGCAACAUUUACCGUCUCCAUCUACUGACACUGCACCCUUUAUAGAGUUGUAAUGUGUCAUGCCUAGCCGCGUAGAAAGCUGGCACGACUUGUCUCUUUUCUUUUUUGCUUCUCUCGAGGCAGACUCUAAAAUACCCUUGCAUAAAAAUGCAAUAGUGAGAGUAUGGGUGAAGUGUGUGCAGAACUAGUGCACUUUAAAAGUAGCAGAUAGCAGGUGGCUGAAAAUUAAAUGACAGGAGACAUAUGAUAGCUCUACAACAUUGCAUGGCAAUCAAAAUUAGAUUCUACUCCGUAUGAUUUUGUAAUAUAUGAGCACAGGAAAUGCAGGUACUCCUCCAGCACACCACCACAUGUGGUCAUAUCUAAGAUAACAGUUGACUGAAAAUAAAUAGGUCAGUCAACUUUUUUAAUGAACCGUCCUAUCUAUAAGGAACGGGCAGAUGGCCUUUGUCUACCUCCCGCCAGUCACUGUUGACGAUCUUUCUCGAACCGCCAGCAACCACCGUCCCAGAACCCUGCCUCCGCCGCCCCGCCCUCCCAUCGACCUCACACCACCACCGUCCUUGGCAGCGCCCCCAGGCCAUCCCUUUAAUCCCGGCUAACCUCCAGAUCGGGCGCCAGUAGCUCUAGGCCGCACACGCCCCUAAGAUAAACACCAAGGCGCUGCUUCCCCGGCGUAAUAGUCGUACUAGCGCCUGUUACGCCGGGGAAUGCUUCCGUUAAUUGGGAAUCAACUGGACAGAAAUUGAAAUUCAGGGGGGCGAGGGACCUCUAGCUAAGGUGAAAUAGUAUAUGAGGAGAAACCUUGUGCAUCGCGGGUUACUAGGAACAUCUAGUAUCAAGAAGAAGCAGUCAACUAGUGUCUUCUGUGGGAUGAAUAAUCUGCAAGCAGAGAUGUAAGAUUUGCAUGAAUAAGGGAAGAGGAGUACCUUCUUUGGUUGCCGGUGUGGUCACCUCCACAUGUCGCACCGAUCUUCUUCUUUUUACCGGGGAAACCGAUGUUCUGGAGUGUGCAGGCUUGGAAGAACCCAUGGCCAAAUUGUUGACUGUGUUUCCAUGGCCGUAUGUCGGCGAAGGGGAAGCAGAUCCGAGGCGGCGAAGCACGGCGUAGCAGGAACAGCUCUGGUGCGGUGGAGGGUGGCGAAGUUGGAGCUGCAGCGGUGUGGCGCAGGACGGCAUGGUUGAACUGGCUCGGGUACGAAUGGCUCGGCCUCGACUUCAACUACUAGCCGUGGAGGGCGUUGCGGUUGAGGUUGCGGUGGACGACGACGUCGGGGUAUCAUCUCCGGCGUGAUGGAGGAGGGAGGCGGUUGAUGGGUGGGAUGAGGUGGCGGACGGAGGACGCCGGGGUUUCGCGGCUGGUGGAGAGGUAGUUUUGGCGCCCACGAAGUACGAAUGGGGAAUCGGACGGGUGGGGGGAACCAUGUUUCGGUCUGGGACGCGCUUGUUUUUGGCUUUUUUGAACAGAAGAUGGGACGCGCUUGUUUGAAAUUUGGGGAAAGUACAAACUUUGCCCCCCUCUUAAGUUUCGGACCUACUCCGGGUCGGGGGUAGGAUGGUAAUCCCAGGUGUCCCAAAUAGUGGGCGGGAGCAAUUUCGGUCGCGCGCAUGUGCGCUUAGGCGGCCAUUGUGUAUGAAUAUUUUUCGGAGGCGGUUGCGUGGUGUCUAGAUGAAGCUACAAACCUACCCUGGUUUAGACCUUUGGACGUCGGGCCGGUAGGUUUCACGGGUCGGAGUUAUUAGAAAAGUAAUUUCCUUGUACUACCAAACAUUGGUCUCACCCGGUUUCGGGCGAGUAGAGGCUCUUUUGGCGCUUCGUUCGAAAUUUUGAAACACAAGCAUUCACGUUUAGAGUACUCUUGAACUAUGAGGAUUGACCUAAAUAGACAACGUUAUAUUUGACCUUGUAUGUUUGAAAACCUCAUUAAAUUAUCCGCUUCUUUUUGAAAUUUUGACACUUGAAAAUCAUAUAACUACGAUUAUUUUGGAAUGGAGGAGCUAAAUUUGAAUCUAUUUUGUACACAACUACAUAUGCUAUUGUGUACAAAAUCAGAGCAAAGAUUGGUGCCCCCAUAAUUUAGGUAUGGUUUACAAAUGCCGUGAUAUCAAAUUCAAAUAAUUGAAUCGACUUCAUGUUGAAUUCAAUUUUUUUAAACCACCUUAAGUUGAAUUCAAAUGUAUGCUAGUUCAUAGGUAGCUAUUUAUAAUGUCCAUUGUGUAACUUUCAUAUGUAUAAUGUGCUUUACACACACAACAUGAACUAUACUCACGUUUAUAUUCGAUUGCUAAAGCGAUGCAUUGUCUGGAGUUCAAAAUACUAACUAUGUGGAUCAAUUGUGUCGAAUAAUAACAUAGACAUGCUCAAAUUCGAUAGAAUCUAGAUGUUUGAUGGAUCAAUGACCGCUCCUUACACGAAUUGCAAAUAUCAUGAUCCCAUCCUAAUAUUUGGAUACAAUUUAUAUCUUUAAUUAAUGUGUAGAAUAGUCUUUUAUGUGUAGUUUCACUCUCCAUCGGUGGUCUCUCACACAUUCUCACACACUCUCUCCCGAGGUGUCUUUCUCGCACACAUGCUCUAGAUAUAACCCUCCCUCCCUCUCGUAACCAUUUACAAUUGUUUUCACUAACCUUUAUCACAAGCACUCUUCCUCUCGUAAACAUACACACGCACAAUCCUCAUCGACCCUUUCUAUAUACAUGGACCUGCCUACGUGUCUCAUGUACGCACAUUAUCUUUACACCUGUCUCUCACACAUUGUCUCACACCUCUCUUCCUAAUCGACGAGUAUGAUUCUAGCAGAGCAUCCUGUAGGAUGCCCCCUAAAGUUAGGUUGGAUGAAUAGUAAUAUCAGAGAUAAAGGGGUUACCUUAGUCCGAGAACCUAGGGUUACAAAUCCUAGCCGGCUUUGUCAGUGGACAUAGAGUCCUUCACAAUUCUGCUAUCUUUGUCUUCUACGACUAGUCAUCCAUGGGUCUUCCUAAAUGUGUCAUGGGUCGACCAAUGUGGCGCAGGACGUAACCGAACGAAGGGCCUCACCUCGACCCACCGGACCACACACAAUGACACACCCUCUACCCCCACGUCUCAUUAUCUUCUCACACCCACACAUACCAACACAAACACCACACACACAGAAAAUUUCUCCUGGUGCCUCUAUUCCCUCCCCCCUUGCAUAUACACACUCAAGGGAAUGGAAUCUCUUGUCGUGACGUCAUAUUCGUCUCUCUCUCUAGACCACUCUCAUUUCUCGUGCUAUCUCUCCCACGCCCCCCCUNNNNNNNNNNNNNNNNNNNNNNNNNNNNNNNNNNNNNNNNNNNNNNNNNNNNNNNNNNNNNNNNNNNNNNNNNNNNNNNNNNNNNNNNNNNNNNNNNNNNNNNNNNNNNNNNNNNNNNNNNNNNNNNNNNNNNNNNNNNNNNNNNNNNNNNNNNNNNNNNNNNNNNNNNNNNNNNNNNNNNNNNNNNNNNNNNNNNNNNNNNNNNNNNNNNNNNNNNNNNNNNNNNNNNNNNNNNNNNNNNNNNNNNNNNNNNNNNNNNNNNNNNNNNNNNNNNNNNNNNNNNNNNNNNNNNNNNNNNNNNNNNNNNNNNNNNNNNNNNNNNNNNNNNNNNNNNNNNNNNNNNNNNNNNNNNNNNNNNNNNNNNNNNNNNNNNNNNNNNNNNNNNNNNNNNNNNNNNNNNNNNNNNNNNNNNNNNNNNNNNNNNNNNNNNNNNNNNNNNNNNNNNNNNNNNNNNNNNNNNNNNNNNNNNNNNNNNNNNNNNNNNNUCUCAAAUACGUAAUACACACACAUACCUCUCUAGUCCCCGCCAAAUGCAUCAACUACACAUUCACACAUGUUACAUCACGUACCCCAUUGAUCUAGAAAGCCCUCUCUUCAUGUUUAUUUCGCAUACAACAUUCCUUUUGAAUAAAGUGUGGCCAAAAAAUUAUUUUAGAGUUUCUACAUAUAUACAACAUUACAAAGUUAUAUGGAGGAGUACGAAAGCUAAUUUGCAUUGCAUGGUGCCCACAAUGAUAUUUAUUCCGCACUGUGAAUUUGUAUAUUUUUAUAUUAUAUACAAAGUUAGUCAUAAUAAAGAGAAAUGGAGAGCAUCUCUCUCUCCAUCGCAUACCCCCCCCCCUGUACGCCCCUUUCACGUAUGCACACAAAACUAUCUCCAGGUCCUCUAAAAGUAAGCCCCCAGAAAAUUCACGCCUGUUUCAUCUUUCUCUCGCGAUAUAUGCAAUGACGAUCAUUGUAUUUGAAGCGAAAGCACGAUACAUACAUUGGACUUCAUAAUCCACUCAUUACGGUCACCAUUUACGUUUAGUGGUUAUUAUACAGUCACGGGCUCACCGUACAACUUUGUAUUUGCUCAUGACAUGACUAGUUGACCAGUUAAAUGAUCCACGUGGCACCUCUAAUGUUUCAUCACAUUAUCUCACUACCAUCAUGCACACCUGUCGACUUGUAUCUACUCUACAUCUACACUCUUAUAAAAUACAUAGAAUACACUCUUAUAAAAAACAGAGUUGGUGAUGAUGGUGUGCCUGCCAUCCUGCAAUAUAGGUCAUCCGAUUUAUAUCUGAUGGAUAGGAAAGAAACUAUGGCAAUUUUGCAAAAAGGUGCCCACACACCUCUCCACAUUUGCAAAUAAGGCCUUCCCUCGUUCAUCCUUUUCUCUCACAAGAUAAACAAGUCAUACAAAUGCAUCUUGAUGUUACAUGCAACGCACGGGCAUCUUGCUAGUAAGAAUGAAAACAAACGACAAAAAAAUAUUUUGACGGUGGUUCCAAGUCAUGACCGCAGGCACAGCGGACAAGGUGGCCUUGUAUUGGUAUCCUAAUCCGUCUGUUUUAACACACAGGAGCUGUUGUGGUGAUUAUACACACACGCACGCAUGCACACGAACUGCAUCCAUGGAACACUCACACAAACACAUGCACCCACGCACACAUGCAACACUCACACGUGCACACGCAGCCACGCACGCAUGCAACACUCACACGCACACACACACACGCAUGCAUGCACACUCCAGUACACCACACGACCAACACACACUCUCACGCUCAAGUGCUCAACCUACACGUGCAUGCGCACACAUCAGGCCCUGACAGACACAUACAAAACCAGGUGAUUCCCGCGCAUGGGUUGGAGCCUUGUCGCGCCUGCGUAAAUUUAUGUUUAUCUGACCUUUUCCCUAUGCGAACUGGCAGGUGGGACCCACAAGGAACGUGGUCAAUUUAACUAGUCAACAUGGCGCCAUGCAGACUAUUUGGCCGGUCAACAGAGUGCAAUCCUAUGCUGAACUGUGAGGAAGUGACCAGAUAAUCACCACAAAACAUAUAUAGUGACUGUAAUCAGCUUAUUCUGAAGUUCCGUGACCGUAUUACGCUUUUCUCUCUGUAGGCCCUCCAAAACUACAUCUCUACACGUUCUCGCAUGUUACAUCUAACAACUAUGCAAUACAACACUACUACUACACUCUAACACAACAAAUCAUAUGUGUUUUUAGUUUUACUAGAUAUCAUAUUGUUACUUAUAAUUAUUCAGUUUGCAUACAUUAAAAUUGCCUUUGAAAUGUAUGGCCAGUAUCAUCUACCGCGCAGACUAUUUGCCUUUGAAAUUACACAAUAAAUCAUCGCAGACUAUUUGGCUUUGAAAUUGCUGAUACGUCUCCAACGUAUCUAUAAUUUUUGAUUGCUCCAUGCUACUUUAUCUACUAUUUUGGACUAUACUGGGCUUUAUUUUCCACUUUUAUAUUACUUUUGGGACUAACCUAUUAACCGGAGGCCCAGCCCAGAAUUGCUGUUUUUUGCCUAUUUCAGUGUUUUGAAGAAACGGAAUAUCAAACGGAGUCCAAAUGGAAUGAAACCUUCGGGAUCGUGAUUUUCCAACCGAACAUGAUCCAGGAGACUUGGACCCUACUCCAAGAAGUUCCAGAGGCGGUCACGAGGGUGGAUGGCGCCCUCCCCCCCCCCCUGGGCACGCCCCCCUACGUCGUGGGCCCCCUGACGCUCCACCGAUGUACGCCUUCCUCCUAUAUAAACCUACGUAUCCCCGAAUGAUCAGAACAGGAGCCAAAAACCUAAUUCCACCGCCGCAACCUUCUGUAUCCACGAGAUCCCAUCUUGGGGCCUAUUCCGGAGUUCCGCCGGAGGGGGCAUCCACCAUGGAGGGCUUCUACAUCAUCACCAUAGCCCCUCCGAUGAAGUGUGAGUAGUUUACUUCAGACGUUCGGGUCCAUAGCUAGUAGCUAGAUGGCUUCUUCUCUCUUUUUGGAUCUCAAUACAAUGUUCUCCCCCUCUCUUGCGGAGAUCUAUUCGAUGUAAUCUUCUUUUUGCGGUGUGUUUGUUGAGACCGAUGAAUUGUGGGUUUAUGAUCCAGUAUUAUCUAUGGAAAAUAUUUGAUUCUUCCCUGAAUUCUUUUAUGUAUGAUUGAGUUAUCUUUGCAAGUCUCUUCGAAUUAUCCUUUUUGGUUUGGCCAACUAGAUUGGUAGUUCUUGCAAUGGGAGAAGUGCUUAGCUUUGGGUUCAAUCUUGCGGUGUCCUUACUCAGUGAAAGAAAGAGUUGCAAGGCACAUAUUGUAUUGUUGCCAUCGAGGAUAACAAGAUGGGGUUUUUAUCAUAUUGCAUGAAUUUAUCCCUCUACAUCAUGUCAUCUUGCUUAAGGCGUUACUCUGUUUUUAACUUAAUACUCUAGAUGCAUGCUGGAUAGCGGUCGAUGAGUGGAGUAAUAGUAGUAGACGCAGAAUCAUUUCGAUCUACUUGUUUUGGACGUGAUGCCUAUAUACAUGAUCAUUGCCUAGAUAUACUCAUAACUAUGCUCAAUUCUGUCAAUUGCUCAAUAGUAAUUCGUUCACACACCGUAGAAUAUCUAUGCUCUUGAGAGAAGCCACUAGUGAAACCUAUGGCCCCGGGUCUAUUCUCAUCAUAUCAAUCUCUAUCACUUUAUUUACUUUCUUUGUUUUUACUUUUCGUUUUUCCUUUACUUUGCAUCUAUCUAUCAAAAAUACCAAAAAUAUUAUUUCUAUCAGAUCUCACUCUCGUAAGUGACCGUGAAGGGAUUGACAACCCCUAAGCGUUGGUUGCGAGUUGCUAUCGUUUUGUGUAGGUAUGAGGGACUUGUGCGUGGUCUCCUACUGGAUUGAUACAUUGGUUCUCAAAAACUGAGGGAAAUACUUACGCUACUUUGCUGCAUCAUCCUCUCCUCUUCGGGGAAAUCCAACGCAGUGCUCAAGAGGUAGCAAGAAGAAUUUCUGGCGCCGUUGCCAGGGAGUUUCACGCAAGCAAGUCAACAUACCAAGUACCCAUCACAAUCCCUAUCUCUCGCAUUACAUUAUUUGCCAUUUGCCUCUCGUUUUCCUCUCCCCCACUUCACCCUUGCCGUUUUAUUCGCCCUCUCUUUCCCAAUCUACUUCUCUCUUUCCCGUUUUCCUUUUUCUUGUUGCCUUUCUAUUUGCUCGUGUGUUAGUUUGCUUGCUUGUCGUUAUGUCUGAAAUUGGGGAAAUUAUUGCCGACAUGGGCGAUAAUAAUAUCAUGGAAAAUUCUGAAGCUCCUGCUGAAGAAUCCCCUACUUAUCAUACAAAAAGAUUUCGAAUAGGUAGUGGUAAUAUUAUUGGAAAAGGAGUUAUUCAAGAUUUCUUUACUUGUGCCGGUGCUUUACCCUCUAUGUGCAGUUCUAUUCUUCAUAGAACCAGCAGUCUUGCUGAUGCCAUUGCCAUGCUUAUCGUUGAACUUGAGAGGCAAUUUAUGCAUAUGCACCCUUCUAUACAAAGGAUUUUCCUAGAAUUUUCUAAUAUCGAACACUCCUUUGUUAAGCGUGCCGCUACUAUCUUUUUGGCUCAUGAAUUCAGAUUUAUAAUAAAAGAGGCCAAAGAAAUCUUUGCACAUUAUAGGGUGGACGCUGGCCGUCCUCCCAUAGAAUCUAUCCUCUUUGAUCAAGAAGAAAUUAUGUGUUUUCAAUCUCUUGAUUAUGUUGCUUUCAAUGAAAACCUUAGAAAAAAGGUGCCAACCAAUAUUUUAAUUGAUAGAAUCUCUGAACUUCAUGAUGAUUUGGCUAUUUGAAAUAAUGAGUUAGGAUACUCUCUUGAGUGUAGACUCACAAGGUUCUGUCAAAAGAACGUUUAUAAUGACGAAUUGGUUGUGCAUUAUGAAGGGCCGAAAGAGGAACCUAUACCUCCUAAAAUUGAUCUUGGGGAUUUUUGCCCUAUUAAAUUUAGCCCUUUUGAUUACUUUUUCUUACCUCAAAGAAAACUUGCUGCCGAACAUACAGAAUAUGAUAUGAGUUUCACCGAUCUAUCUUAUUAUUACGGCACUUCCUAGAUCUAUCCUUACUUUUAUGCCUAGCUAGGGGCGGUAAACGAUAGCGCUUGUUGGGAGGAAACCCAAUUUUAUUUUGUGUUUUUUGUUUUUGCUUCUGUUUAGGAAUAAAUAAUCCAUCUACCUUCUGUUUGGAUGUGGUUUUAUGUUCUAAUUAGUGUUUGUGCCAAGUAGAACCUAUAGGAUAACCUACGAUGAUAGUUGAUUUGAUUCUGCUGAAAAACAGAAACUUUGCACUCACGAAUAUAAUUUUGUUAAAUCACAGGAACGUGAUUUUGCGUUGAUUCUUUUUUCUUAUGUUCAAUAAACAAAUUGUCCAUGAAUUCCUAUUUUGGUAGAAUUUUUAGAGUUCCAGAAGUUUGCGUUAGUUACAGAUUGCUACAGACUGUUCUGUUUUUGACAGAUUCUGUUUUUCGUGUGUUGUUUGCUUAUUUUGAUGAAACUAUGGCUAGUAAAAUAGUUUAUAAUCCAUAGAGAAGUUGGAAUACAGUAGGUUUAACACCAAUAUUAAUAAAGAAUGAGUUCAUUACAGUACCUUGAAGUAAUCUUUUGUUUUCUUUCUCUAACGGAGCUCACGAGAUUUCUGUUGAGUUUUUUGUUGUGAAGUUUUCAAGUUUUGGGUGAAUUCUUUUGAUGGAUUAUGUAACAAGGGGUGGCAAGAGCCUAAGCUUGGGGAUGCCCAUGGCAUCCCCAAUAUAAUCCAAGGACACCAAAAAGUCAAAGCUUGGGGAUGCCCCGGAAGGCAUCCCCUCUUUCGUCCACUUCCAUCGGUAAUUUACUUGGAGCUAUAUUUUUAUUCACCACAUGAUAUGUGUUUUGCUUGGAGCGUCUUGUAUUAUUUGUGUCUUUGCUUGUUAGUCUACCACAAUCAUCCUUGCUGUACACAUCUUUUGAGAGAGCCAUACAUGAAUUGGAAUUUGUUAGAAUACUCUAUGUGCUUCACUUAUAUCUUUUGAGCUUGAUAGUUUUGCUCAUAGUGCUUCACUUAUAUCUUUUGAGCAUGAUAAUUUUUACUCUAGUGCUUCACUUAUAUCUUUUAGAGCACGGUGGUGGAUUUGUUUUAAAGAAACUAUUGAUCUCUCAUGCUUCACUUAGAUUAUUUUGAGAGUCAUUAAUAGCAUGGUAAUUUGCUUAAUGUUAAUAUACUUGGUGUUCAAGAUAUGUGAAACUUUCUUUUGAGUGAAUUGAAUACUAAGAUAAGUUUGAUGCUUGAUAAUUGUUUUGAGAUAUGGAGGUGAUAAUAUCAAAGUCGUGCUAGUUAACAAUUGUGAAUUUGAGAAAUACUUGUGUUGAAGUUUGCAAGUCCCGUAGCAUGCAUGUAUGGUUAAAGUUGUGUAACAAAUUUGAAACAUGAAGUGUACCUGGCUUGUGCAUCCUUACGAGUGGCGGUCGGGGACGAGUGAUGGUCUUUUCCUACCAAUCUAUCUCCUUAGGAGCAUGCGCGUAGUACUUGAUUUUUGAUGACUUCUAAAUUUUUGCAAUAAGUAUAUGAGUUAUUUUGACUAAUGUUGAGUCCAUGGAUUAUACGCACUCUCACCUUUCCGCCUUUGCUAGCCUCUUCGGUACCGUGCAUUGCCCUUUCUCACCUUGAGAGUUGGUGCAAACUUCGCCGGUGCAUCCAAACCCCGUGAUACGAUAUGCUCUAUCACACAUAAACCUCCUUAUAUCUUCCUCAAAACAGCCACCAUACCUACCUAUUAUGGCAUUUCCAUAGCCAUUCCGAGAUAUAUUGCCAUGCAACUCCACCAUCAUCAUCAUGACAUACAUUACUUUUGUCAUAUUGCCAUUGCAUGAUCAUGUAGUUGACAUCGUAUUUGUGGCAAAGCCACCAUGCAUUAUUUUCCAUACAUGUCACUCUUGAUUCAUUGCACUAUCCCGGUACACCGCCGGAGGCAUUCAUAUAGAGUCAUAUCUUGUUCUAAGUUUCGAGUUGUAAUCUUUAUGUUGUAAUCAAUAGAAGUGUGAUGAUCAUCAUUAUUAGAGCAUUGCCCAAACAAAAAAAAGAGAGAAAGGCCAAAAGAAAAAAAUAAAGGCCCAAAAAAGGGCAAUGCUACUAUCUCUUUUUCCACACUUGUGCUUCAAAGUAGCACCUUGUUCUUCAUGUAGUAAGUCCCAUAUAUUGUGCUUCAAAGUAGCACCUUGUUCUUCAUGUAGUAAGUCUCAUAAAGUUGUCCUUUUCAUACUAGUGGGAAUUUUUCAUUAUAGAACUUGGCUUGUAUAUUCCUACGAUGGGAUUCCUCAAAUGCCCUAGGUCUUCGUGAUCAACCGAGUUGGAUGCACACCCACUAGUUUUAUUUUGUUGAGCAUUCAUAGCUCUAGUGCAUCUGUUUCAUGGCAAUCCCUACUCCUCAUGUUGACAUCAAUUGAUGGGCAUCUCCAUAGCCCGUUGAUUAUCCUCGUCAAUGUGAGACUUUCUCCUUUUUUGUCUUCUCCACACAAUCCCCAUCAUCAUAUUCUAUUCCACCCAUAGUGCUAUAUCCAUGGCUCACGCUAAUGUAUUGCGCGAAGGUUGAAAAAGAUUGAGAUUAUUUAAGUAUGAAACAAUUGCUUGGCUUGUCAUUGGGGGUAUAGAAGUUGGGAACAUCUUUGUGUGACGAAAAUGAAGCAUAGCCUAACUAUAUGAUUUUGUAGGGAUGAACUUUCUUUUGCCAUGUUAUUUUGAGAAGACAUGAUUGCUUUGAUUAGUAUGCUUGAAGUAUUAUUAUUUUUGUGUCAAUAUGAACUUUUGUCUUGAAUCUUUCGGAUCUGAAUAUCAUAUCACAAUUAAGAAGAUUUACAUUGAAAUUAUGCCAAAGUAUCACUCCGCAUCAAAAAUUCUUUUUUAUCAUUUACCUACUCGAGGACGAGCAGGAAUUAACCUUGGGGAUGCCUGAUAUGUCUCCAACAUACCUAUAAUUUUUUAUUGCUCCAUGCUACUUUAUCUACUGUUUUGGACUAUAUUGGGCUUUAUUUUCCACUCUUAUAUUACUUUAGGGACAAACCAAUUAACCGGAGGCCCAGCCUAGAAUUGUUGUUUUUUACCUAUUUCAGUGUUUCAAAGAAACGGAAUAUCAAACGGAGUCCAAACGGAAUGAAACCUUCGAGAUCGUGAUUUUCCAACCGAACGUGAUCCAGGAGACUUGGACCCUACUCCAAGAAGUGACAGAGGCGGUCACGAGGGUGGAGGGCGCCCCCCUGGGCGCGCCCCCUACCUCGUGGGCCCCUUGAUGCUCCACCGACGUACUCCUUCCUCCUAUAUAUACCUAUGUAUCCCCGAACAAUCAGAACAGGAGCCAAAAACCUAAUUCCACCGCUGCAACCUUCUAUAUCCAUGAGAUCCCAUCUUGGGGCCUGUUUUGGAGCUUCGCCGGAGGGGUCAUCCACCAUGGAGGGCUUCUACAUCUUCACCAUAGCCCCUCCGAUGAAGUGUGAGUAGUUUACUUCAGACCUUCGGGUCCAUAGCUAGUAGCUAGAUGGCUUCUUCUCUCUUUUUGGAUCUCAAUACAAUGUUCUCCCCCUCUCUUGCAGAGAUCUAUUCGAUGUAAUCUUCUUUUUGCGGUGUGUUUGUUGAGACCGAUGAAUUGUGGGUUUAUGAUCCAGUAUUAUCUAUGGAAAAUAUUUGGUUCUUCUCUAAAUUCUUUUAUGUAUGAUUGAGUUAUCUUUGCAAGUCUCUUCGAAUUAUCCUUUUUGGUUUGGCCAACUAGAUAGUUAGUUCUUGCAAUGGGAGAAGUGCUUAGCUUUGGGUUCAAUCUUGCGGUGUCCUUACUCAGUGGCAGAAAGAGUUGCAAGGCACGUAUUGUAUUGUUGCCAUCGAGGAUAACAAGAUGGGGUUUUUUUCAUAUUGCAUGAAUUUAUCCCUCUACAUCAUGUCAUCUUGCUUAAGGCGUUACUCUGUUUUUAACUUAAUACUCUAGAUUCAUGCUGGAUAGCGGUCGAUGAGUGGAGUAAUAGUAGUAGAUGCAGAAUCGUUUCGAUCUACUUGUUUUGGACGUGAUGCCUAUAUACAUGAUCAUUGCCUAGAUAUACUCAUAACUAUGCUCAAUUCUGUCAAUUGCUCAACAGUAAUUCAGUCACCCACCGUAGAAUAUCUAUGCUCUUGAGAGAAGCCACUAGUGAAACCUAUGGCCCCGGGUCUAUUCUCAUCAUAUCAAUCUCUAUCAGUUUAUUUACUUGCUUUGUUUUUACUUUUCCUUUUUCCUUUACUUUGCAUCUAUCUAUCAAAAUACCAAAAAUAUUAACUCUAUCAGAUCUCACUCUCGUAAGUGACCGUGAAGGGAUUGACAACCCCUAAGCGUUGGUUGCGAGUUGCUAUCAUUUUGUGUAGGUACGAGGGACUUGUGCGUGGUCUCCUACUGGAUUGAUACCUUGGUUCUCAAAAACUGAGGGAAAUACUUAGCUUUGUUACAUCAUCCUCUCCUCUUCGGGGAAAUUCAACGUAGUGCUCAAGAGGUAGCACAUGCACGCGCUCCGCAUCGAGUUGACCCUCUGCCUACCGGUCCUCCUUUAGUUUUGCCAUGUUGAACCGCUGGUCCACCUGCACCAUGGGGGACUCGGACGCCGGCACGAAGUUGACGUCCAUCGUCUCAUACCCAUCGGGGGCCUUCUGCGCCGCGACCUCCGCAGUGAACAUUGGAUCGGCUUCCUCCUCCUCGUAGCUUGGCUCUAGAGAACUCGGGGAUUGGCCCGCCUCAAAGCAAGCUUGGGAACGGAGGUCUGUGGCGCCGACCGCCGCCACGAUUUCUGCGCGGCGCUCCAGCGUCUGCAUCUUGUAGUAAGUGAUCUUGCGGCGCACCAUGGCUUUCCGACGAACUAGGGGACGCUUGAUGCAGGCUACGGGAUCGAAAGGUGGGGGAGUGGGCUGGAGAUUUGGUGUGGUUUUAGGGCAGUGGUUGGUGUAGGCCGAGCAGCGAAGGUUCUGGUGUGAAUAGUGGUUCCGGUGACGACCGGUCAAUUGGUUUUGACUGUACAUCGCUCUUGUCGCGUUCGCGUUGCAGCCCAGCACGUUGGACCCUCCAUGUCGCUCACCGAAUGGAACGCGCUUGGGACCGCAGUUGAGAGCAAACCGACGUCCCUCCCCCUCCCCUGCCCGCAUCAUUUAUUAUACCACCACUCCCUCCGUUUUAUGCGGAGUAAAUAAAAACAGAGGGAGUAUACUACGGAUAAGGAUCCUCUGACGUGGCUGAACCCAUUGAGUAACUGACAUGCGCGGCCUAGCAAGCAUGGGGUCCACCAGUAAGUGACCGAAAGGGAGGGUAAGGCAGGGAUACCUACGUUAGAGGAUCCACUUCCACUAUACUACUUUGUUCAAGAGUAAUAAUAUAUGACAUGCAACUUACACAAAUGUUAGAGUAAUAAUAUAUGACAUGCAACUUACACAAAGCAUACAGGGUCUAAUGCGUUUUUCGAGGCUAACUUUGACCAAAUGUUAGAGUAAUAAUAUAUAACAUGCAACUUACACAAAGCAUACGGUCAAUUUCGUAUGUGAAAGGAGUUUCCAAUGAUAUAAUUUCACAUUAUACAUCUCAUUUACUCCCUCCGUCUAGGUGUGUAAGUCAUCUUACGAAAACCAAAUAAUCCCAAAACACGUAGGUGUGGUGCAUUAACUUCUACCUCGUUUCUUGUUUCUUGACAUAUCAACCAAUAAGAGAUGAGGGUGUGCAUGCUUUUAAUGACCUGCGACUAUCAAACAUGACAUGCGGUGGUUAGUUCAUUGCAUGUAAUACUAUUAAUUAGCAAAUAAACAUUAAUGUCUCUCGUUUUCCCCUCCUCCUUGGUCACGGUGCACAGCCUAAGAUGACUUACUCACCUAGACGGAGGGAGUACUAUUAAUCUUGUCAAUAGUCAAAUUGGAAACCAUCUCGAGUACAAAUCUAGGAGUACGUACGAAUCUAACAAUAUUGAUUGGACGUUGUUGAAUGUUGAUACCUUUUUUAUCAUAGUAGAGAUACUUUGACUACACAUAAAACUUAUAUGUAAAGUAGAAAGGAUAGGAGGGAGUAUAUUGUACGUUCAGAAACGAAACGAACAUUGAAUAUCCUUUAUAUAUGAUUUGCGGAUGCUAUGAUCACCGGUUCAAAAUUUUGAAUCCGCCUUAGGUAUCACGUGCCCCCACUCAUUCCCUCUCGAUUUCAUCUCGGGGUCCGGAGAUCUAUUGAAAGAGGACUAGGGUGGGUACAUGCGAAUGAUACUCGGCGGAAUGUUCAAAUGAGGCAUGCGGGAGGAUGGACUCGACUGGAGGGCGACAUGAUCGAUGGAGAAGAGGGUUCGAGAGGAAUGAGAAAUAAGCAAACGCCACAUGAUUACACUUGAACGGCUCAAAUAAACAAUAAGUUGUCUCGCUUGGCCUACAUAGUGAAAGGCCUAAUGUGCAACGCGGAGCACUGACGCUCGAAUAUGGCCGGGAAAACAGGGAAACCGAUAUGUGGGGCACACCCGUCGGGACGACGUAGCACAGACUAGUCCAAUGGAGGAGCUGGCCCACGACCUCCUCGCCACCGACAACCGUCCAUGUAGGUUAUUGGGGCCAACAACGGGGCGCAGCUCCAGCACCGCCUCUGGACACGGCGACCAUGGUGAGCGACACACUCAUAUCUUCUCUAGACACGGUCGGUUUCAGUGUGCCGAGGGUGGCGUUAGUGCUGUGGCACAACCAACGGUAUGUUUGGUUUGUGCCCAAGGUUGCCCCAUCAAAGCAUUGGGUAGCCAAAAUUUUGGUUGAGGUAUUGGUUGCCCAUGAUUUGGCUGACAUUGGCAAGAAAAAUGAACUAGAGUUGGCUAGAGAUCAUUGGCAUGCCAAAGAAAUGGCAACCAUCCAAACAAAGACCAAUCUUUGGGUCACGACCAAAAUUUUGGUUGAGGUAUUGGUUGCCCAUGAUUUGGCCGACAUUGGCAAGAAAAAUGAACUAGAGUUGGCUAGAGGUCAUUGGCAUGCCAAAGAAAUGGCAACCAUCCAAACAAAGACCAAUCUUUGGGUCAUGACAAAAAAUUUGGUUGAGGUAUUGGUUGCCCAUGAUUUGGCCGACAUUGGCAAGAAAAAUGAACUAGAGUUAGCUAGAGUUCAUUGGCACGCCAAAAAAAUGGCAACCAUCCAAACAGAGACCAAUCUUUGGGUCAUGACCAAAAUUUUGGUAAGGUGCACUUUGGACACAAUCCAAACACACCCCAACACCCGGCUCGUUGAGGAUGCACGGGGCGCCGUGACGCGUCCGCGGAGUGGUGUAGCGCGGCCAACUGCAUCCUCUGGACCUGUUGUUGACACCAGAUUUUGGCACAGUCAAGAACUUAUUUAAAAUGGCCUCAAAUGGAGAAGUGUUCUACAUGAAAAAGUUUCGUAUUGUCGAUACGAACAUCUUUGAAGUUUGGGCCAUCACCAUCUGAUCUCAUCUCGAAGGCCGAAGUUGUGUUCGAAAUACUGAGAUUUUGUAUUCAGAACACUAUUCAGCACAUUACGCCCCCAAUACUGCCUCGUAUGGAAAAAUGAUCUACAUGGAUUCUCUUCGUCUCGUCGAAACGAUCGAUUUUGAUAUAAGAGUCGUUCCAAUCCGAUUUCGUAUGCAAAAGUUAGAGCCAUCCGAAUACAGCACUAUCACUAGCCAAAACUGGCGCGCCCCACGAGACACCCUGUCUGAUGGGUAGCGCGAAUAACAGCCUGUGUUGCACGAGCAAUUUGACUCUCAAGAUGAACUCUAAUCAAAAAAUGUUAAACAUAAAAGUUGUUCGGCUCAUCGAAACGGUCAAGAUUGCUUUUGGGCUCGUUUCCAUCCGAGGUCGUUUACCACCUCAAAAGUUACCCGCAAGGUGCAGCCAGUUUAAACCGAACAGUUUUGGAAAGUUCGGACAAAACCAAUCCGAAAGGGUUUUGGACGUGAAUCCAAGCAUUUUCCUUGCACGGGAACUCCAGCCGCCUCUUAUAUACCUGAGGGGUGAUGGCCGAUUGAACAACACAUAAUCGAUCAAUCAAUCUACUACUUUUCCGUGUUCAUCUACUUUUAUCUCUCCCCUUGUAUCUUUCUUCUCCUUCUUCGUCGUUCUUCAAGAUUGGAGGCUGUGAAUCCACGAGGCUCUAGGGGUGGUAAGACCGACCUCGAGCAGCCAAUCGUCACCGCGAGCCCUGACGGGGUCCCUCCCGGGCGAGCGGGGCGUCUGGUCCCAAAAGCGCCGGCUUGCUGUCUUGCGUAUCGCACUGGAAGUCGGCCUCCCGCGGUGUGAGUUGUGGAGCAUCUCCCUCGGCGCCGCGGGUACACAUCGACGUGUUCGUGUGACGCGUUCCAGCGUCAACACACUUUUUGGUGACUCCGCUGGGGACGAAGCUUUGAAUGGUCUCCAGCCCGUUCUUGCUACGAAGAGAUCGUCAUCAAGUUGCUGCAAUCUACAAAGGUAAUAUGAAUACCCAAUUCCCCUUUGUAGAUGCAAAUAAUCCAUAUGUUGUUGCUGGAUCACCUAUUGAGCAUAAUGUAUCGGCUAGCCCUAGUUUUAUCAAUCAUGCAUCUAAUUAUGUGCAAGGGCCGAUGCAAAACAAUCUUCAUGUUUCAAAUUCUUAUAAAUUUAGCAACAUGCAACAUAUGUAUCCCAACUCCCAUGCAUCGGCAACCCCACAAAUUCAUAUACCGAUGAGUAACAUGAUGAGUUCGAUUAAUCAAUUUGAAACACCCAAAGUUAGAAUUUCCAAUGCCAUACAAGAAAGUGUUUCACCCUUUUAUUCAUCGGCAGCUAAUGUGCAAUAUAGUAAUCCAACCAUGCCGAUGAAUGAGAGAAUUGGCCAUGCUACUAAUGGCUAUUUGGCUAGUUACUCUCAACCGUCAUAUGCUACACCUCAUGUUAGUAAUUCUUCGGCACCAUACACAACUGUAGAUGCUCAUAAUUCGGCUUCACACCUUCCUGGUUAUAGCCGAAUGAAUGUAAAUUUUACAGGAGCGGUUGUGCCCAACAUUGUAGAAGAUGAGGUAGUGGUGGCUGCAUUGAAGAGUUUAGCCCAAAAUAAGAGAAUUAGUGCUCUUUGCCUUGAAAAACAUGAAAAGGGGCUAUUUCCUGAUUAUGCCGCAAUAAAAGCUAGAGUUUUGCAAGAAGAUGAAUCUUUGCCAAUUGAUAAAAUUGGUGAGCAAAAGUAUGGUCUUACAACACUGCAUAUGCCUUCACCUAGUACUACAUCAUAUUAUACACCCCCUACACAAUUGCAAAAUUUCGGCAACACCCGUGUGUCAUUGCCGAAAGAAUCUAAAAGCAUUGGGGGGCAAUCAUAUCCGGAGUGGGCUGAAAUUGAGAAAAAGCUUAAAGCUAAUUUUGCCGGUCGCCGUCAGAAACAAAUAGAAAAAGAAUUGGCUCAGAUAAAAGAAGCAUUGCCAAUUGGUACUAUCAAUGAAAAGAAGGAUGAUUCGGAACAUGAAAGUGAUUCGGUUGAAAAAGUUGAAUCAAGUAGUAUAUAUUCUGAAUCCAUCAAAUCCAACAAGGCAAGCAUUAUUGAGAAAGGGCAUGGUAAGCAUAGGAAAACAAUGGUGGUUCAUUUUUCUGAAGUUAAUGGAACCUACUUCCUGCCCUAUGAGUUCCAUGCCGUAGAAAUUGACAAGCUUCAAGGACAAGAACAAGUAGCCGAACAAAGUUCGGCCAACAAAAAUCUUCAAAGCAAUGAUGCACGGAUUCAAGAAAAAGAUUAUGACAAGGUGUUGGGGAGCCAUCCAAAGACGGAGCAAGAUGUUCUUCAAAUGGCACCACUAUCAUGCUCUCCCAACAUAUUUGAAGAGGUAUGCAUAGCGAGUAAUUUACCUAUUUUCAUAUUUGGUCGCAACUUCAUUAUUGAUGCAUCUAUAAGAAAUAUUUUCGUAAGUAAUUUUGAAAGACCAAUGAGGAAGGGUAAUUUACUUGUUAGUAGUAAAAUUGUUAUGGAACAUAUCGGUCAACCCAUUGCACCAUUUAUAAAGACCGAUAAUGACUUAUUGUUACAGCCAAAGCUUUUCCCGUUGCUUUCUCUAAAGUUCAUAUCUAGUUAGGUAGCUUUGCUUAUUUCUUACUUGGCUUACACUUGGUCUCAACUGAGACAUGUAUGUUCUAAAUAUCUUCGUUUCAGAAAUAUAAAGCCAAGGUUAAAUUCUAUUGAGAAAACCAAUGCUAAUAUAAUAUCAUAUCCAAAGACAUCGGAGAUAGAGUGGAAAACACAAUGCAUAGCCGAAUGGAGAGAUUCCAAAUCUGAACCAUUCGUUUGCUUAUCUCCAAAGCCGUUCAAACAGCAAGAUCGGCUAGGAAACAAGAAGUAUACUUUCAAUUCAAGCAUGUGUGAUAAUAUAUUUGAUUUGUUGCUGAAAAAUAAUUACAUUACAAUUCUUGAUCACCAUGUUAAGCCAUCAAUCCAAGGACGAAUGUAUUGUAAGUUGCAUGAUUCGUCCAAGCAUAAUUUUGAGGAUUGCAACAUGUUUCGUCAAAUAGUUAAAUCGGCCAUUGAAAAAGGACGAUUGAAGUUUGUUGAAACACCAAGAGAUGACCAGUCUAUUCCGAUUGGUCCCGAUGGUAAAAAGUUUUUACAUCGGCUGCUUCAAGCCGAUCAAUUUAAAAAGAAUGUAAAAGCUGCAGGUGAUGGGAUUAAGCUUUCAAGUAAAGAAGUUAUUGAAGAGCAUAACGAGCAUAAUCUUGAGGGCGGGAGUUCCAUCGAAGCUACAAUGGAGACGGCAAGGACUGGGGGGCAGCAAGCAAAUCUAAUGAUCGAUGAAAGCAAACCAAAAGAAAAUAAAGGCCGGAAUAAGCACAAGUGUAAGAGAUCAAAAAUCACCUUUGCUGAACUAUUGGAUAAAUAUCAAAAGAAGAGUGAAGACAAGAAUGAUUAUCGGCCAAAUCAUGCAAAGAAACCAAGAUCACCCCCAAGGCGCAAAUAUGAGGAUCGGUAUUGGCAAAGUGAUAAUUUUAAUGCAACAUAUUCAUAUCCUUAUUUUGGGCCGCCGAUGCCAAUGCCGUGGAUACCUCCCUAUGCUCAUAUAGAUGCAUAUUCAUCAUGGGACAGGUAUGAUACAAGGGUACAUUCUCCAUCUUAUUCUAGACCAUCUCACCAAUACUAUGCAACUCCAAGGAGAUCAACGUUUGAACAAUCACGCGUCAAAGACCGUUUCAAUCAUAAGGAAUCGGUCCAGAGCUCAAGAGAGAAGAAAGAGGUGGUAAAGCAAGUUUACCGCGUGAAAAGAGAUGGUCGUAAGUGUGUUGCUUCAGAUUUGAUCUCAAAUAACAAAGAGCCAAUUAAAGUGUUGACAUUAGCUACAAAAGGCAAAGAAGUGAAGCAAUCAACUGAUAAAAAACAGAGUGCCAAAUCUGAAGAAAAGAAGUUGAGGGUGCACAAGGCCCAAAAAGAGUUGCCAUUGGUUGAAACGAAAUCACAGCCGAGAUGCCCACUCGGUUUAUCAUAUUGGCAAAAGAAAAAAUUACAAAUCUUAGUGCACAAGAGCUGAAAAAGAAGAACAUGGCAUGGGUUCCCAAGAAGAUCAAUCAACACAAAAAUGAUGUGCAUGCUUCUGUUGCAACAAGUACAAUAAAAGUGAAGAAGGAAAAUAAUGAAAGCAACAAACAAUUAAGCCGAAGGUGCGCAUCACAACAUCAAAAUUUUCGGUUAGCACAUCAUCCAUUUUCUUCAACCAUAUCGUUGAUGCCUUUGCCAUGGAAUUCAUCCCUAGGUGUGACGCCCCGAGACCGACGCUUCAGAAGACUUCCAGCUAUUCCGAGUUUUGCCAUGUGUUUCUUUUGUGCUUGCUCUUUUAUUUUUGCAUUGCAUCAUGUCAUCAUGUCAUCAUGCCAUUUAAUUUUUAAAACUCAUCUAAAUAAAUCGUAUGGAUCUUCGGUCCAUUUAAAUUGAGGAAACUCACAUGGUGGGUUCUCUUUAAAACAUACCCUCCCGAUAUUUAGGGAGAUAAUAUAAAAUAUUCCAUUAUUUGAAAUUGAUCAUAACCCACUUGCAAAAUAUCCCAUGCCGUUGUUAUCUCAAUUCUUGUUCUCCAACCUUGCCCGUAAUUAUUUCAUCAUUUUCCGGAGCUCCACCAAAAAUUCGAACAUUUUUGGACCUUCCUUUUAUCAAGUCCUAGUUCAAACCCAUUUGAAUUAAAUUCAAAUGAGUUUGAAUUUACAUCUUUCAAUCGUGGCCUUUCUAUUUUUCUUGGAACGAGCAUAUUUUUGCGAGUCCGGGAAAUUUAUUCCCAUGCGCAAAUCUUCCCCCUAACCUCUCUUUCUUUUCUUUCUUUUCUCUGUUCUGUUUUUUAUUCAUUAGAGAGUAGAGAGAGAGCCCAGCCAGGCCUCUUAGGCCCGACCAUCCAAACCGGCCUGCUUCCUCGCAGCCCACCUCUCCAUCCGCAGCCAGCCGCAGCCCACUACCUAAGCCGGCCCAAGGCCCAGCCGCCCCCACCAGCUCUAACCCUAGCCCCAGCGCUCUCUGUCGAUCCCCAUCUCUCCCCUCGUUCCUCCUUGCAACGCCGCCAGGCACCCGCAUCGCCCGAUCCCCUCGCCUCCUCCCCUUCCUCCCCGCAGCGCCCGAACCCUCCUCUCGAGCACGCCUCUCAUGGUGCCCACAUCAGCCGGCCCCCUUCCUCUCCUCCUCCAUGCCGUCACCCCUUCUCGAGCGCCCCCGCGACCACGCCCCUGCCGAACCCAGCGCCAGGCCCCCGCUCCUCCCUCCUCGCGCGAUUCCCUCUCAUGUUCCCCUCGCCGCCUCCUCCCUCCACCGGCGCCAUCCAUGCCCCGUCGCCCCUCCGGUCGCUGUGACCAGGAGCGCUGCGCCCAUCCGCCCUGCUGGCUUUGCUCAACUCCGGCACCGCUGUAGCCAGAGCCCCGGGCCGUCCUCGUCGCCUUGCUCCUCCGCGACGCCCCUGCCGGCCCUGCGCCCGACCACCUCCUCCGCCGGCCUCCAUGGUUCGCCCGCGCCCUGCGGCCUCCUCCCUCGCCUCGGUUUUGGUCCUCCCCGCGCCUAGUCCCUCUGUUGCCCCCUGCUUCGUGCCUUCUGUCGUCGUCCCCAUCGACCCGAGCGCGCCCCAUACGUGGCCUUAGCCUCGAGCUGUUGUCACGAUGCCUACCCGAACAGGAGCAAUUUUGGAUCGCCAAGUCCCCUUCAGAUUCAUCAAGACCUUCAUGUACAACUACACCCGAUGAUGCGACAAGUACCCCGACAAUGUGUACAUCUACACCGCCAAGACCGGACCGACAAGUACCCCGACGUCACGUGUACCACUACCGUCGCCAUGUGAACAACUACUUCCACUACAUCGCGAGAACGUCUCUACGAAACGCAUUCCGCCCCGAAUGCACGCUUUGAAGGUAUAACCACCGAGAUGACCGACGUCCGUGGAACGAAUGCUUGUGUGUUGUAUGAGAUGCUCGUGUUUGCACCGUGUCCGAGAGAGGUCUUUGCACGUUCCUUGUUUGCCAUGCCGCCGUCCCAUGGGAACCCGGUAGUCGGGAGCACCCCACCAUCUCUAGCAUGUUGCACACAUCUGCACGCCUCCUUUUGCACCGGUAUCUCUGUGAGCUACCGGAACCGAUAUGUUGUCGUGGCAUCAUUUUCGGAUAUGUUGCCGUGGCACCAUUUCUGUUUCACCGCCGUGGCACCCUUUUCAUUCCGCCAUGGCGACAAAUGCCUCGUAUCAACAUGCUCUUGUUAAUGUUUUCAUAAAUUGCAUAAACCUUGCACAUGUCAUCCGCAUCAUGAUAACAACAAUUAAAAUGCUUAAAGAUUGUGUUUGCUUUAAAUUGCUAAAUGACAUAUGGGGUUUUUCAGGAAUUGUUGUUUCUUGCUUCCGGCCUCAUUUAAAUUGCCUAGCUAGGUAGUUUAGUUAUGUUUCACCUCUUGCCAUGUUUAACAACAUUUAAUAUUGCUGUGUUCCUAACUGAGAGUUAAACUAAAUAAUUGAUGUGGUGUUCCGUCAAUAUGCAACUCGUUGCAUAUUGAGCUCCACUUAAAUUGUAGUGUUGUUUGCUUUACUUUGGCAUGCCAUCCUCAUUAAACCGGACAUGCAUCAUCCUUGGUUGUGCAUCAUGCCAUGCUUAUGUGAUGGUUGUUUACCAUAUUGUUUGCUUCUUUCUGGGUUGCUUCUCUCGUUAGCUUCGGUUUCGUUCCGGAGUUGUGAGGAUUCGUUCGACUACGUCUGUUUGUCUUCUUCAUGGACUCAUUCUUCUUCCUUGCGGAAUCUCAGGCAAGAUGACCUUUACCCUCGAUAUCACUUCUAUCUUUGCUUGCUAGUUGCUUCGUUCUAUCGCUAUGAUGCGCUGCCUAUCCCUUGUUUACCAUGUCUCCCAUAUUGCCAUGUCAGCCUCUAACCUUUGACAACUUUCCUAUGCAAACCGUUGUUUGGCUAUGUUACCACUUUGCUCAGCCCUCUUAUAGCGUAGCUAGUUGCAGGUGAAGUUGAAGAUUGCUCCAUGAUGGACAGGAUUAUGAUUGGGAUACCACAAUAUCUCUUAUUUAAUUAAUGCAUCUAUAUACUUGGUAAAGGGUGGAAGACUCGGCCUUAUGCCUGGUGUUUUGUUCCACUCUUGCCGCCCUAGUUUCCGUCAUACCGGUGUUAUGUUCCCGGAUUUUGCGUUCCUUACGCGGUUGGGUGAUUUAUGGGACCCCCUUGACAGUUCGCUUUGAAUAAAACUCCUCCAGCAAGGCCCAACCUUGGUUUUACCAUAUUCCUACCUAAGCCUUUUUCCCUUGGGUUCUGCAGACUCAAGGGUCAUCUUUAUUUUACCCCCCCCCCCCGGGCCAGUGCUCGUCGUGAGUGUUGGUCCAACCUGUCAACCAUCGGUGGCCACCAGGGGCAACUCUGGGCUGGCCUACCGGAAGUUUGGACAAUCCGGUGUGCCCUGAGAACGAGAUAUGUGCAGCUCCUAUCAGGAUUUGUCGGCACAGCGGGAGGCUUUGCUGGUCUUCUUUUACCAUUGUCGAAAUGUCUUGUAAAUCGGGAUUCCGAGUCUGAUCGGGUCUUCCUAGGAGAAGGUCUAUUCCUUCGUUGAUCGUGAGAGCUUAUCAUGGGCUAAGUUGGGACACCCCUGCAGGGUAUAAUCUUUCGAAAGCCAUGCCUGCGGUUAUAGGCAGAUGGGAAUUUGUUAAUGCCCGGUUGUAGAUAACUUGACACCAGAUCCGAAUUAAAACGCAUCAACAGCGUGUGUAGCCGUGAUGGUCUCUUCUCGGCGGAGUCCGGGAAGUGAACACGGUUUUGGGUUAUGUUUGACGUAAGUAGGAGUUCAGGAUCACUUCUUGAUCAUUACUAGCUUCACGACCGUUCCUCUUGCUCUCUUCUCGCUCUUAUUUGCGUAUGUUAGCCACCAUAUAUGCUUAGUCGCUGCUACAGCCUCACCACUUUACCACUUCCUACCCAUAAGCUUAAAUAGUCUUGAUCUCGCGGGUUUUGAGAUUGUUGAGUCCUCGUGACUCACCAGAUACUAUCACAACAGUUGCAGGUGCCGAUGAUACCAGUGCAGAUGAUGCAACCGAGCUCAGAUGGUAGCUCAACGAAGAUCUUAGUUGUUGCUAUGUUUCGUUUAAUGUUGAUCAGUAGUGGAGCCCAGUUGGGACGAUCAGGGAUCUAGCAGUUGGGUUAUCUUCUUUUCUUUUGGCUUCGUCCGUAGUCGGACUAUGUGUGUACUCUGAAUGAUGUAUGAUUUAUUUAUGUUCAUUGUGUGAAGUGGCGAUUGUAAGCCAACUCUUUAUCCCAUUCUUGUUCAUUACAUGGGAUUGUGUGAAGAUGACCCUUCUUGCGACAAAACCACCAUGCGGUUAUGCCUCUAAGACGUGCUUCGACACGUGGGAGUUAUAGCCACAUCGUGGGUGUUACAAGUUGGUAUCAGAGCCAUCCCCGACUUAGGAGCCCCCUGCUUGAUUGUUUGCUGUCGUUGUUGAGUCUAGAUCAAAAAUGCUUUGAGUCUUAGGAUUAUAUAUAUCGGAGAGUAGGAUUCUUUUUACUCCUCAGUCCCUUCGUCGCUCUGGUGAGGUCUCCUGACGUAGAUGUUUUGACUUUCCUCUCCUCAAAUUUCACUAUUUUUUUUAGGAUCACGCGGGUAUCUUGGAAUCGCUCUGAUGGUUUUGUGACGAGAACAUUGUUCUUGGUGCCUCCUGUCUAUUAUGUGGCAUUGACCCGGGGAGUUGAGCUCUAAGGUGUUGUCGUCACAAUUUUAUUGUUGUAGUUCUGGAAUACCUGAGUUUUGCAGACAUCGAAAAUCUCUUUUAUGCAGUUGUUGGUGAGAUAACCUCGAUAACCCAGUACUGGGGCGAGUCCGGGAGUAUUGCCAUAACUCGUAUAACGGAUGCUUUUCGAAGGUUGAGGUACACGAUUUCCGAAGGUUUCUUGGUUACGUGUUGACGGAUGGAUACAGCUUGGAUGUAGGAAUUGUUAGUUUUGGGUGAGAUAUAUAUUGCUUCCCCUGUAUCCCCAACACCAGAUUGCAUAACCAGAAAGUUUCGGGAGUUUAUAGGUGGGAAUUCAAGUAGCUCCUAGAAUAUCUUUUUGACAGAUGCAUGAUAUGAGAUUGGGGUUCGACAUCUAGUGGUCCGCCUUUCCACGGUCGUUUUGACAGUGGUCUCGUUGUGUCUUAAAGAACCCUUGGCUAUGCUGGUUUGGGAACACUUCAUAUGUCAUGUGCACUGCCUUGUACAUGAUGGUGUUGUACACUCGAGCCCGUGUGGGCCCCACCACGAAAACUUCGAACGGAAUCUCUAUCAUGUUUUUGUCCGGCUUAUUCUGCAAGCCAAAUCCUUUGUUUUGUUUUAUUUGUGGUAUCCGAGUAUCUUCGAAGUCAAAUGUUGAAUCCAUACCUUCCCUAAAUGGUGUUCUCAUGUUGUUAUGUGAAUACUAAUCCUUUUGAUCAUUGAGGUUGUCAUGUUAAUUCUUUUCCUAUCGGUGUGCUUCUCUUCGAGAUGAUCCAAUCAUUCUCCCCAUCCGCAAGAUCAAUUCUAAGUUUUCUCAAUGGUGUUUGUUUCGUUCAUCCCAAGUUGUCUUUGUUUUCCCCACCCUCCCACCCUUUUAUUCAAGGACUCAGAUUUCUUAAUCGGGUAUCCAUUUUAUUGAUGGGAAGUCUCUCCAUUCUUUUCCGUCAAUGUUUUUAUCUGGUGAUUCUCAGGAAGAUACUAACGGAGCUUCAAGUUCAUCAUUCUUCGUUCUAUUUUCGUCUUCGGUGGAUCCAAUUGAAGCUUUGUCAAGCAUAUCCUUUCCCCGUUUCAAAUGGUUUCCCAUGCCGGUGCACCUCUUAAUUGCUCACUCUCUCUAUGCGUAUCCGGAGUGCUCAAGAUAUCUCAGAAGAUUUGUGUCUUCAUUAUCAAGAUCCGUUCAAGCUAUUUGGAGAUUAUUAUCUCAUUCAAGCCAUUUAAUUCAACCAGCGCAAUCCCCCCUUUCAAUGAAUCGUUCAACGGUGUUUUCCUUUUGAGUGGGCCCUAACCCACAGGUCUUUGUCCAGGAUCUUACCUGACACUUCUAACUUAUCGGAGCGAUUCUCAAAUUCAUUUCAAAGUUUGGCAUAAGAAUGAGUUAUCAUCAGUCAAAUGUCUUUCUCCAAGAUCUUCCAAAUUCUUUCAUCGUUGAUUCAACCUUUCUAUUCUUUAUUAUGGAGUGUCUCAACAAUUCAUGGUGGUGUUUCUCGUCGUCAUUCUCGAAUUUUGAAGACUGAAGAAGGAUUUUUCUUAAAUCUUGCUCCAUUCUCUUCAAGAUUCAUGGUUCUAGCCUGAUGCCAUCCCCUCAUAAUUGUUUUCGAUUGUGAGAAAUUUCUUUCACCCAUCCGGAGCAAUUCAAGAGUCUUUUCAGAUUGAUUCUCCGGAGCCAAUCUUCUCAGAAUUAUUCAUUCCAACUUUCAGUUCUCGUUCUCCAAAUCUUACCGGUGCAUCAUUCAAAUAUCCUCUAAUCAGCUCAUGGCCUCUUCGUUCUCAUGUAUCUAAAUCCCCUCAAGUAUCUUCGUUCGUUUUCCAAUUCUUCUCGGUGAUUUGUGCCUUUGGUACUUCCAUUUUCAAUUCUUACGGUGGUUCGUUCAAGAGUUCUCUUCCUUUGUUAUCAUAUCAAUUCAUUCGUUGUUUCCAAAUCCCACUGGUGGUUCCAUCUAUACCUUCUCAAGCUUGCGCUAUAUCUCUUUUAAUCCUUUCUACGACAAUAAGUAGUAUGCCAAAUUCAUUGCUUGUCAUCAAUUUAAUUUGAUGAAGGAUAAGCAUACAAUAAAUCUUAUUCUUAUUUCCUCGAGGUGAUUCAAUUCUUUUCUUUCGGAGAUUGUUCCUGAUGAAGUAAUUCUCGGCUCUAGUGCUUCAUCUUUUCUUUCUGGAGUUCCAAGUUCUCUCGGUUAUAUCGUCGCGAGGCUCCAUCUAAAUCAUCGCAAGGCUUCACCUUGUGUUUUCAACUUCUCUUUCUUUCUAUCAUCCUUUUAUUAUCGGAGUUCUUCAUGGAGGCUCUACAUGGUGGUUCAUCAAGGAUUCCUUUCAUUCUCGAUUUGUUCUUCAAGAUUUCUCUUGAAGCUAAGAUCCGCCAAGCUAUACUCAAAAAUUAAACAUGGUGCUCAACACAUGUUUUGUUUUGAGCCGUUCAAGCAUUCUUCAUCUUGCAUUCCAAAGUGCAAUUCUUCCUACCUUAUCUCUUGAGAUGGUGUUAUGUCACUCUUGACAAUUUCCUUCAUGUUUCAUGAUUCAUAUUGUUGUCAAGAAUGAGGCAUUUUAAAUCCAUCAAUCUCUUCGUUGGAGUUAUCUUGGUAUAGAUUUCACCUAAAGCCGUCCCUAAGGAAUGAUGUAUUGUGGUGCUUAUCAAUGAUCCAAGUUUUCUCCUAUCCUCUCGGCGAAAGCAGUUUUCAUCUCUUCGUUGAUCUCAAGCAAGAAAUUGUUUCCGUUAGUGGCCGGUUGUCACCUCAUAAUUUUGAGAUGUUUUCCAUAAGCCCACUACAAGCUUAUUCGUUUCGUUGUUGGUUUCCAACAACUCCAUUAUAACCUUCUUGGAAGGCUGCUUUCCAAGCUAAUUUGUGGCAGAAGUUGGCGUUUCCUUCUCCAGUAUGUUAUUCCAAUGAUCUAUCUUCUAUUCUUUCUUUCAGAGGCUUUGUGAGGUUGCUCUCGUUGACCCAUCAUCUCGUUUUGUCAAGAUCAUGUUUUUUUCUUGCUUAUCCAUUUAACCAGAGUGUUGCAUCACCUCUUCAAGUUCUUUUUCAUCGUAUCAAGUCUUGCAUCUCUUUUCUACCAGAGUGUUGUCCAAAUUUGUUCUUCCUUGUUCCUUGUUUAUCUCGUUUCAACUAGAGUGGUUCAAUUCCUUCUUGUCCAUUGUACUCGUCAUUCAUAGCUUUGCAACCUCCAAGGUUCAAAUGGUGUUCCUUGUUUCUAUUUUCUACCGCAGUGCUCUCAAUUGUGUUCAACUCCAUUGUGUUCUUUCUUUCAACUUUUCAACCUCUCAAGGUUCUUUGGUUUCACUCUUUUGUUGAAGAAGCAACUUAGCUUUACCUCUUCUCUUCCUCUUCCGUUUUCUCUCCGGUGCCAUCCUAGAUCUCGGGACGAGAUCCUCUUGUAGUGGUGGAGUGUUGUGACGCCCCGAGACCGACGCUUCAGAAGACUUCCAGCUAUUCCGAGUUUUGCCAUGUGUUUCUUUUGUGCUUGCUCUUUUAUUUUUGCAUUGCAUCAUGUCAUCAUGUCAUCAUGCCACUUAAUUUUUAAAACUCAUCUAAAUAAAUCGUAUGGAUCUUUGGUCCAUUUAAAUUGAGGAAACUCACAUGGUGGGUUCUCUUUAAAACAUACCCUCCCGAUAUUUAGGGAGAUACUAUAAAAUAUUCCAUUAUUUGAAAUUGAUCAUAACCCACUUGUAAAAUAUCCCAUGCCGUUGUUAUCUCAAUUCUUGUUCUCCAACCUUGCCCGUAAUUAUUUCAUCAUUUUCCGGAGCUCCACCAAAAAUCCGAACAUUUUUGGACCUUCCUUUUAUCAAGUCCUAGUUCAAACCCAUUUGAAUUAAAUUCAAAUGAGUUUGAAUUUACAUCUUUCAAUCGUGGCCUUUCUAUUUUUCUUGGAACGAGCAUAUUUUUGCGAGUCCGGGAAAUUUAUUCCCAUGCGCAAAUCUUCCCCCUAACCUCUCUUUCUUUUCUUUCUUUUCUCUGUUCUGUUUUUUAUUCAUUAGAGAGUAGAGAGAGAGCCCAGCCAGGCCUCUUAGGCCCGACCAUCCAAACCGGCCUGCUUCCUCGCAGCCCACCUCUCCAGCCGCAGCCAGCCGCAGCCCACUACCUAAGCCGGCCCAAGGCCCAGCCGCCCCCACCAGCUCUAACCCUAGCCCCAGCACUCUCUGUCGAUCCCCAUCUCUCCCCUCGUUCCUCCUCGCAGCGCCGCCAGGCACCCGCAUCGCCCGAUCCCCUCGCCUCCGCCCCGUCCUCCCCGCAGCGCGCGAACCCUCCUGUCGAGAACGCCUCACAUGGUGCCGGCAUCAGCCGGCCCUCUUCCUCUCCUCCUCCAUGGUGUCUCCCCUUCUCGAGCGCCCCCGCGACCACGCCCCUGCCGAACGCAGCGCUAGGCCCCCGUUCCUCCCUCCUCGCGCGAUCCCCUCUCCUGUUCCCCUCGCCGCCUCCUCCCUCCACCGGCACCAUCCAUGCCCCAUCGCCCCUCCGGUCGCUGUGACCAGGAGCGCCGCGCCCAUCCGCCUUGCUGGCUUUGCUCAACUCCGGCGCCGCUGCAGCCAGAGCCCCGGGCCGUCCUCGUCGCCUUGCUCCUCCGUGACGCUCCUGUCGGCUCCGCGCCCGACCUCCUCCUCCGCCGGCCUCCAUGGUUCGCCCGCGCCCUGCGGCCUCCUCCCCCGCCUCGGUUUCGGUCCUCCCCGCUCCUAGUCCCUCUGCUGCCCCCUGCUUCGUGCCUUCUGUCGUCGUCCCCAUCGACCCGAGCGCGCCCCAUACGUGGCCUUAGCCUCGAGCUGUUGUCAUGAUGCCUACCCGAACAGGAGCAAUUUUGGAUCGCCAAGUCCCCUUCAGAUUCAUCAAGACCUUCAUGUACAACUACACCCGAUGAUGCGACAAGUACCCCGACAAUGUGUACAUCUACACCGCCAAGACCGGACCGACAAGUACCCCGACGUCGCGUGUACCACUACCGUCGCCAUGUGAACAACUACUUCCACUACAUCGCGAGAACGUCUCUACGAAACGCAUUCCGCCCCGAAUGCACGCUUUGAAGGUAUAACCACCGAGAUGACCGACGUCCGUGGAACAAAUGCUUGUGUGUUGUAUGAGAUGCUCGUGUUUGCACCGUGUCCGAGAGAGGUCUUUGCACGUUCCUUGUUUGCCAUGCCGCCGUCCCGUGGGAACCCGGUAGUCGGGAGCACCCCACCAUCUCUAGCAUGUUGCACACAUCUGCACGCCUCCUUUUGCACUAGUAUCUCUGUGAGCUACCGGAACCGAUAUGUUGUCGUGGCAUCAUUUUCGGAUAUGUUGUCGUGGCACCAUUUCUGUUUCGCCGCCGUGGCACCCUUUUCAUUCCGCCAUGGCGACAAAUGCCUCGUAUCAACAUGCUCUUGUUAAUGUUUUCAUAAAUUGCAUAAACCUUGCACAUGUCAUCCGCAUCAUGAUAACAACAAUUAAAAUGCUUAAAGAUUGUGUUUGCUUUAAAUUGCUAAAUGACAUAUGGGGUUUUUCAGGAAUUGUUGUUUCUUGCUUCCGGCCUCAUUUAAAUUGCCUAGCUAGGUAGUUUAGUUAUGUUUCACCUCUUGCCAUGUUUAACAACAUUUAAUAUUGCUAUGUUCCUAACCGAGAGUUAAACUAAAUAAUUGAUGUGGUGUUCCGUCAAUAUGCAACUCGUUGCAUAUUGAGCUCCACUUAAAUUGUAGUGUUGUUUGCUUUACUUUGCCAUGCCAUCCUCAUUAAACCGGACAUGCAUCAUCCUUGGUUGUGCAUCAUGCCAUGCUUAUGUGAUGGUUGUUUACCAUAUUGUUUGCAUCUUUCUGGGUUGCUUCUCUCGUUAGCUUCGGUUUCGUUCCGGAGUUGUGAGGAUUCGUUCGACUACGUCUGUUUGUCUUCUUCAUGGACUCAUUCUUCUUCCUUGCGGAAUCUCAGGCAAGAUGACCUUUACCCUCGAUAUCACUUCUAUCUUUGCUUGCUAGUUACUUCAUUCUAUCGCUAUGAUGCGCUGUCUAUCCCUUGUUUACCAUGUCUCCCAUAUUGCCAUGUCAGCCUCUCACCUUUGACACCUUUCCUAUGCAAACCGUUGUUUGGCUAUGUUACCGCUUUGCUCAGCCCUCUUAUAGCAUUGCUAGUUGCAGGUGAAGUUGAAGAUUGCUCCAUGAUGGACAGGAUUAUGAUUGGGAUAUCACAAUAUCUCUUAUUUAAUUAAUGCAUCUAUAUACUUUGUAAAGGGUGGAAGACUCGGCCUUAUGCCUGGUGUUUUGUUCCACUCUUGCCGCCCUAGUUUCCAUCAUACCGGUGUUAUGUUCCCGGAUUUUGCGUUCCUUAUGCGGUUGGGUGAUUUAUGGGACCUCCUUGACAGUUCGCUUUGAAUAAAACUCCUCCAGCAAGGCCCAACCUUGGUUUUACCAUUUGCCUACCUAAGCCUUUUUNNNNNNNNNNNNNNNNNNNNNNNNNNNNNNNNNNNNNNNNNNNNNNNNNNNNNNNNNNNNNNNNNNNNNNNNNNNNNNNNNNNNNNNNNNNNNNNNNNNNNNNNNNNNNNNNNNNNNNNNNNNNNNNNNNNNNNNNNNNNNNNNNNNNNNNNNNNNNNNNNNNNNNNNNNNNNNNNNNNNNNNNNNNNNNNNNNNNNNNNNNNNNNNNNNNNNNNNNNNNNNNNNNNNNNNNNNNNNNNNNNNNNNNNNNNNNNNNNNNNNNNNNNNNNNNNNNNNNNNNNNGUGAGUGUUGGUCCAACCUGUCAACCGUCGGUGGCCACCAGGGGCAACUCUGGGCUGGCCUACCGGAAGUUUGGACAAUCCGGUGCGCCCUGAGAACGAGAUAUGUGCAGCUCCUAUCGGGAUUUGUCAGCACAGUGGGAGGCUUAGCUGGUCUUGUUUUACCAUUGUCGAAAUGUCUUGUAAACUGGGAUUCCGAGUCUGAUCGGGUCUUCCUGGGAGAAGGUCUAUUCCUUCGUUGAUCGCGAGAGCUUAUCAUGGGCUUAGUUGGGACACCCCUGCAGGGUAUAAUCUUUCGAAAGUCGUGCCUGCGGUUAUAGGCAGAUGGGAAUUUGUUAAUGUCCGGUUGUAGAUUACUUGACACCAGAUCCGAAUUAAAACGCAUCAACAGCGUGUGUAGCCGUGAUGGUCUCUUCUCGGCGGAGUCCGAGAAGCGAACACGGUUUUGGGUUAUGUUUGACGUAAGUAGGAGUUCAGUGUCAGGACCCCGACUCGAUGUCACAUCGAUCUAGCCGGUAACACUUCAUAUCACUUUGCGGCCUCACGCACGGUAUUCCCACGGGUGUCGCCUUACCUUUGCCCGGGACCGUUUGCGCCUUUUGGCUCACGUAUAUGAUAGUGUCGCUAGCAUCCAUAUGAUAAAGAGCCCGGGCUGACAUGACUAGUCGUAAACCCAAAGUGGCACAGACUUACAGGGACAGGCAUCCAUGACCCAGCUUCGAACGUGUCGGUCAUCAGCAAGUGGGUCCGGGCUGUAGCACUGGGCUAGCAGGACUCCGGUAAACCGGGCUGUAGCGGGCUAACAGGACUCCGGUACUCAAAGCGUGACAUUUCCCCGAAGGGAUAGACACAGGAACGAAGAAGGACACAUGCCGGCCAGCCUAAGUGUUCCAGAGCAGUAGCAAGCUACCAUGGCUCAGCGGUAACACUAGGAGACAUUUCCCGGUAAGAGAGGCUACUAAAGAUAAACAACUAGAUAGUCAGAUCCCACACAUACCAAGCAUUUCAAACAUACACACAAUAUGCUCGAUAUGUGCAAAUACAACGAAGCAUCAUAACAUGACUCUAUGACACAAGUACUUUAUUUAAGGCUCAGGGAGCCAUACAUAUCAUACACACAGGUACGGGUCACACGACCCAACAUACAAGUCAUACAGUCAUACAAGCCAACAGCGGAAGUAACUUGUCUGAGUACAGACAACUAGUAAAAUAAAAGAGGCUUGGAAGCCUAACUAUACUAUGUGGUCCAUCACAAGCUCAGGGUCACCACCUGGGUCUUUAGCCUACUCGUUGAUGUCAACGUCUACAUAGAACCCAUCAGAAGGGGUUGCAGCGUCUUCUGUAAAAAUGUAGAUUAUAGCAACAUGAGUACAAAGGUACUCAGCAAGACUUACAUCAGAUCCUACAUACAUGCAUAGUAUCAAGAAGGGUUGGUGGAGUUAUUGCAGCAAGCCAGCUUUGACUCCUGGCUAGACUAUCCUACGAUACUCCAUUUGAAAUAGUUUUGCGCACUCGAGUCCACUAUUCACCACUUCAAUACACUACCAAGGAUCCACCUCCGUCUUCCUACGGAAGAGCCAUCCUCGGCACUCACACUUAUCUUGAGGCUUUUAAUAGUUUCCAUUUACUUGUCUAUGAACUGUAUAGGCAACCAAGUAGUCCUUUACCGCGGACGCGGCUAUUCGAAUAGAUCAUGAUAACCCUGCAGGGGUGUACUUCUUCAUACACGCUCUCACCACUUAUCGUCGCUUACACGACAUGUACUCGGCAACCUUCAAGCGGAAGCCCAACGUGGGUGUCGGCCACGACCUACCUAAUCACCUAAGCCUCCAGUCCAGGUUUAUCGCCUAUUCAGGUUCCAUCCGCAGGGAGUCCGGCCGAGGUUUCCCAUACGGCCCCGAACGAUGUGAACAGGGUUCCCGAGAUACCUAACGGGUAUUCGGUACACCGUGCCACGUACCUACCGCAUCACAGCCCACCCCUACGGUCAGCGCUGUCCACGGCCUCCAGUAGGCUACAAACACCAGAAACUACUUGCAACUCUUGGACGGAGAACUAGGGUGAAUAAGAAGUCGAGAGGGUCCAUUGGUUUCGGGCCCAAUGCAUGGUAGUAGCUGAUUCUUAAAUCACACAUACAGAUCUCAGUGCUUAAGGUCGGCUUCAAUGAAACAACCCACCAUGUACUCCUACAUGGCCUCUCAUCGAUACCUUUACCAAAUCGUGUUCACCACACCACUCUCAUUACCGACAUAAUCAUUUCACUCUAGCCCAUCACCCAGAUGAACCAGACCUGACACGACUCUAAGCAUAGCAGGCAUAGCAAGGUAGGAACAACACAUACAUAUGGCUCAAUCAACUCCUACACAUGCUAGUGGGUUUCAUCUAGUUACUGUGGCAAUGACAGGUCAUGCAGAGGAAAUCGGUUCAACUACCGUAGCACACAGCAGUUUGAAUCGCGUUGUCUUAAUGCAGUAAAAGAGAGCAGGAGCGAGAACAUGGGAUUGUAUCGAUAUGAUCAAAUGGUUGGUUGCUUGCCUGAUGGUUCGUUGCACGGAUACGGUUCUUCGUUAGGGUAAUCACGGUACUCCUCGGGAACAGAUCCUGUCGCAAAGGACAUCGAUACACAAACAUCACCAAACAAUAUGCAACAAUAUGAUGCAUGCAUGAAACAUGGCAAUAUGAGUGUGUUGGGCUAAUGCAACUAAAACCAGAAGGGUUUGAAUAUAUUUGAAUCAAAGAUUCAAUUUUCAAUUUCAAAUAUGGCCUUUUAAAGUGCCUUUCCUUGUUCUGAUUAAAACAUCAACUUAACUUGUUUGAUCAUGCAUGAAAAUGGUACAGAUGGAUAGAUUGGAUUUUUCUGAUCAUUUUUCAUAUAUUAUUUGUCCAAUUUGGAGUUACAGAAUAAAAGUUAUGAAUUUUUGAAGUUUAAAUAAUAUUCUGGAAUUUCCUGAUUUAAUUAAAUCCAGAAAUAUCAUUUACUGCGUCAGCCUGACAUCACAGUGACAUCAGCAGGUCAACAGAGCUGGCUCGGGUCAAACCUGACGUGUGGGGUCCACACGUCAGUGACCAGGUGCUAAUCCCGCGUUGACCCCGGGCUGGUUAGCUUUGACUAACCCCUGGGGCCCACUUGUCAGCGUCAGUAGGUGAUGGAUUAGUGGUUAAUCAACUAGGCCACGUCAGCUCGCCGGAGUUCUGGCCGGCGGCGACCAACAGUGCGGCGGCGAUAGUGGUUUUGGUCGUUUCGGCCACCAAAUGGAACGUGGCGACCACCGGAGUGAAGCUGAGGACGACCCGCGGCUCUUGGCGGAGUCCGUUGGGGUCGGGGUGGCCGGAGUCGACGGCGGCGAGCUCGGAUGCGGCCGCCGGGGUUCGGUCGUGCACGGGAGUGGUGCUGGAGCUCGAAGUCGAGCAAGGUGAGGCGCUAGGGAUGCUCUACUGGGUUCUGUGAACGCGUUGGACUCGCCGGGGUGACCAAAUGGUCACCGGAGCUGCGUCGACGGCGAGCUUGGCGACGGCGGAGGUUCGGCCGAGGUGGGGAUGCAGCUACGGUGAGGGAACGAGGGGAAGGAGAGGGGGAAACGGCUCGGGGGCUCACCGCGGUUGCAGUGGGCGUCGAAGCGGGCUCGGGGACGCGCUGGAGACGGCGAAUUCGUCGGCGACGGUGGUCGGAGUCCGAAGAGGGGAACGGCGACGUGGCGGCGAUGCAGGGCUUCCGGGGACUCGUGGAGCGGUGAGGAGGAAGAGGGAGUCGAGGCGGAGCUUCUGAGCUACUCGGGGGAGCGAGGGGUGGCCGGAGUCAGUGGCUACGGCGAACGGCGGCGACGGUGGUGUUCGGCCGAGAGCGAGAGAGAGCGAGGGAGAAACGGGGGAGAGUGAGCGAGAGCAGGGGGGGAUCGGGACGGCUGCGGGCGUCGUCCACGCGGCCAGGGGGGCGUCGGCAAGCAGGAGGUGGCCGCGCGGCCGCGCGCGCGCGAGCACGCAGCAGCUUCGGGGCGUGGGGAGGAAGACGACGGGGAGCUACAGUGCUGGGCUGGGCCGGCCAGCUGGCUGGGCUGAACAGGGAGGAGCCCAGGUAAGCUUCUCCCUUUUAGUUUUUUUCUGUUUUCUGUUUUAUUUAAUAUUUCUGCAACUUUGUUGAAUUAAAUAAAAUACCUAGACAACUCCAAAAAUCACCAAACUACUCCUGGUCCAUAGUUGGAAUAUUUCCAACAUGAAACAUUUUAGUUUGGAGAUAUUUGAGCAUUUAAAUAUUUUAUAUUAUUUUAAAUGCCCAAAUUCAAAUAGUUAUGAUUUAACUCAAGAACCCUAGGAUGGCCUAGAAAAGUGUGCACCAUUUUUGGCAGAGGUUCUGAACCAAGGCUAAAAUGAUGGACAUUUUAGAAGGGCAUUUCAGGUUCAUUGAAGAAUUAUUUUAGUAAACCCUAGUUGGUUUUCAGAGGGGACUGGGGGUUCUGUCAUCCCCAUUUCAAGUUUCUGAUGCAGAAGUAAACAUGAUGCAACACUCUAAUGCAUGACUAGCUAGGGUGUGACAACUCACCCCCACUCAAAAGAAUCUCGUCCCGAGAUUUGGGUUCCUCCGAGAAGAAGGCGGGGUACUCGAGUCGAAGACGAUCCUCCCUUUCCCAAGUUGCUUCAUCUUCAGAAUGGUGCGACCAUUGAACCUUGAGAAACUUGAUAUUAUGACGUCGCGUGGUACGUUCGGCUUGAUCGAGGAUACGAAUGGGGUACUCUCGAUAUGUAAGAUUAUCUUGGAGAUCAAGAGUUUCGUGGUCCACUUCACGGAUAGGAUCCGAGAAGCAACGCCUGAGUUGAGAAACGUGGAAAACAUCGUGAACUCUGGAGAGGUGCGGAGGUAGUUCCAAUUGGUAGGCUACUUCUCCUCGUUUGGCAAGAAUGCGAAAAGGUCCAAUGUAACGAGGAGCCAAUUUGCCUUUGAUACCGAAACGAUGGGUUCCCUUCAGAGGGGUGACCCGAAGGUAAGCCUUCUCGUCAACCUUGAAAGUCAUAGCCUUAUGUUUUCGGUCAUAUUGACUCUUUUGACGGGAUUGGGCUGUUUUCAAUUUUUCACGAACGAUACGAACUUGUUCUUCUGCUUCCUGAAUCAUAUCUGGGCCAAAGAAUUGUCUUUCCCCGGUCUCUGACCAGUUAAGGGGUGUUCGACAUCGUCGUCCAUAGAGAACUUCAAAAGGGGCUUUACCCAAGCUAGAUUGAUAGCUGUUGUUGUAAGCGAAUUCGGCAAAUGGAAGGCACUUCUCCCAGUCCAUUCCGAAAGAGAUAACAGAGGCUCGAAGCAUGUCUUCUAGAAUUUGGUUGACGCGUUCCACUUGACCACUUGACUGAGGGUGGAAAGCGGUGCUAAAGGAGAGACGGGUUCCCAUAGCAUUUUGGAAACUUUCCCAAAAUCGAGAGGUGAAAAGACUUCCUCGAUCCGAAUUGAUUUCCAAAGGAACACCAUGGAGGGACACUAUUCGGGAGAUGUAUAAGUCUGCUAGCUGACUAGCGGUUAUACUCUCACGAACAGGUAGGAAAUGAGCUACUUUGGAAAGACGAUCGACCACGACGAAGAUAGCANNNNNNNNNNNNNNNNNNNNNNNNNNNNNNNNNNNNNNNNNNNNNNNNNNNNNNNNNNNNNNNNNNNNNNNNNNNNNNNNNNNNNNNNNNNNNNNNNNNNNNNNNNNNNNNNNNNNNNNNNNNNNNNNNNNNNNNNNNNNNNNNNNNNNNNNNNNNNNNNNNNNNNNNNNNNNNNNNNNNNNNNNNNNNNNNNNNNNNNNNNNNNNNNNNNNNNNNNNNNNNGGGACAGAUCCUGUCGCAAAGGAUAACGAUACACAGGCAUCACCAAACAAUGUGCAACAAUAUGAUGCAUGCAUGAAACAUGGCAAUAUGGGUGUGUUGGGCUAAUGCAACUAAAACCAGAAGUGUUUGAGCAAAUUUGAAUCAAAGAUUCAAAUUCCAAAUUCAAAUAUGGCCUUUUAAAGUGCCUUUUCUUGUUCUGAUUAAAACAUCAGCUUAACUUGUUUGAUCAUGCAUGAAAAUGGUACAGAUGGAUAGAUUGGAUUUUUCUGAUCAUUUUUCAUAUAUUAUUUGUCCAGUUUGGAGUUACAGAAUAAAAGUUAUGAAUUUUUGAAGUUUAAAUAAUAUUCUGGAAUUUCCUGAUUUAAUUUAAAUCCAGAAAUUCAAUUACUGCGUCAGCCUGACGUCACCGUGACAUCAGCAGGUCAACAGAGCUGGCUCGGGUCAAACCUGACGUGUGGGGUCCACACGCCAGUGUCACAGGGGCUAAUCCCGCGUUGACCCCGGGCUGGUUAGCUUUGACUAACCCCUGGGGCCCACUUGUCAGCGUCUGUAGGUGGUGGGUUAGUGGUUAAUCAACUAGGCCACGUCAGCUCGCCGGAGUUCUGGCCGGCGGCGACCAACAGUGCGGCGGCGAUAGUGGUUUUGGUCGUUUCGGCCACCAAAUGGAACGUGGCGACCACCGGAGUGAAGCUGAGGACGACCCGCGGCUCUUGGCGGAGUCCGUUGGGGUCGGGGUGGCUGGAGUCGACGGCGGCGAGCUCGGCUGCGGCCGCCGGGGUUCGGUCGUGCACGGGAGUGGUGCUGGAGCUCGAAGUCGAGCAAGGUGAGGCGCUAGGGAUGCUCUACUGGGUUCUGUGAACGCGUUGGACUCGCCGAGGUGACCAAAUGGUCACCGGAGCUGCGUCGACGGCGAGCUCGGCGACGGCGGAGGUUCGGCCGAGGUGGGGAUGCAGCUACGGUGAGGGAACGAGGGGAAGGAGAGGGGGAAACGGCUCGGGGGCUCACCGCGGUUGCAGUGGGCGUCGAAGCGGGCUCGGGGACGCGCUGGAGACGGCGAAUUCGUCGGCGACGGUGGUCGGAGUCCGAAGAGGGGAACGGCGACGUGGCGGCGAUGCAGGGCUUCCGGGGACUCGUGGAGCGGUGAGGAGGAAGAGGGAGUCGAGGCGGAGCUUCUGAGCUACUCGGGGGAGCGAGGGGUGGCCGGAGUCAGUGGCUACGGCGAACGGCGGCGACGGUGGUGUUCGGCCGAGAGCGAGAGAGAGCGAGGGAGAAACGGGGGAGAGUGAGCGAGAGCAGGGGGGNNNNNNNNNNNNNNNNNNNNNNNNNNNNNNNNNNNNNNNNNNNNNNNNNNNNNNNNNNNNNNNNNNNNNNNNNNNNNNNNNNNNNNNNNNNNNNNNNNNNGUGCUCCUCUGAGUGUUGGUCCGAACCAGGCAGCCUGCGGGGCCACCUCGGGGAAACUUGAGGUUUGGUUUUACUCGUAGCUUGACCUAUCCGAGCGUGCCCUGAGAAAGAGAUAUGUGCAGCUCCUAUCGGGAUUUGUCGGCACAUUCGGGCGGUGUUGCUGGACUUGUUUUAACCUGCCGAAUCAUCUUGUUGUACCGAGAUACCGAGUCUGAUCGGUGUGUCUUGGGUGGAGGUCUAUUCCUUCGUUGACCGUGAGAGCUUGUUAUGGGCUAAGUUGGGACCCCCCUGCAGGGAUUGAUCUUUCGAAAGCCGUGCCCGCGGUUAUGGGCGGAUGGGAAUUUGUUAAUGUCCGGUUGUAGAUAACUUUAAUUAAACUUAAUUAAAAUGAAUCAACCGUGUGUGUUACCGUGAUGGCCCCUUCCCGGCGGAGUCCGGGAAGUGGACACGGUGUUGGAGUUAUGCUUGCGCAGGAUGUUCCUUUAGCUUCUCGCUCAAGCUUCGCCUUCUCUUCUCGCUCUCUUUUGCGUAUAAGUUAGCCACCACAUAUGCUAGUCGCUUGCUGCAGCUCCACACAUAUUGGCCUUAUCCAUUCCUAUGAGCUUAAAUAGUCUUGAUCGCGGGGGUGUGAGAUUGCUGAGUCCCUGUGGCUCACAGAUACUACUACUCCAGAUGCAGGUCCAGGUGAUUCUGCUCCAGUUGACGAUUACGAGCUCAGGUGGGAGUUCGACGAGGACUCUCAGCGAUACUACGUAUCUUUUCCGGAUGAUCAGUAGUGGUGCCUAGUUGGGGUUAUCGAUUCAGGACCUUGUCGCAUGUUGGGGGUCUUUUCUAUUUUGGCGCCGUAGUCGGGCCAUGAGUGCUUGUUUGAUGGAUGUUAUUUAUGUACUCUGAUGUGACGUGGCGAGUGUAAGCCAACUAUGUUAUCUCCCCCUUUAUUAUGUAUUACAUGGGAUGUUGUAAUGAUUGCCUGACUUGCGACAUUGCUUUCAAUGCGGUUAUGCCUCUAAGUCGUGCCUCGACACGUGGGAGCUAUAGCCGCAUCGAGGGCGUUACAUCGAGACUGGGAUUUGUCACUCUGUGUAAACGGAGAGGUAUCUCUGGGCCCACUUGGUAGGACAUCAUCAUAUGCGCAAUGUGACCAAGGAGUUGAUCACGGGAUGAUGUGUUACGGAACGAGUAAAGUGACUUGCCGGUAACGAGAUUGAACAAGGUAUUGGAUACCGACGAUCGAAUCUCGGGCAAGUAACAUACCGAUAGACAAAGGGAAUUGAAUACGGGAUUGAUUAAGUCCUUGACAUCGUGGUUCAUCCGAUGAAGAUCAUCGCGGAACAUGUGGGAGCCAUCAUGCGUAUCCAGAUCCCGCUGUUGGUUAUUGACCGGAGAAUGUCUCGGUCAUGUCUGCAUGUCUCCCGAACUCGUAGGGUCUACACACUUAAGGUUCGGUGACGCUAGGGUUAUGAAGAUAUGUGUAUGCAGUAACCCGAAUAUUGUUCGGAGUCCCGGAUGAGAUCCCGGACGUCACGAGGAGUUCCGGAAUGGUCCGAAGGUAAAGAAUUAUAUAUAGGAAGUGCUAUUUCGGCCAUCGGGACAAGUUUCGGGGUCAUCGGUAUUGUACCGGGACCACCGGAAGGGUCCCGGGUCCACCGGGUGGGGCCACCUGCCCCGGGGGGGCACAUGGGCUGUAGGGGGUGCGCCUUGGCCUACAUGAGCCAAGGGCACCAGCCCCAAGAGGCCCAUGCGCCAAGAGAAGAGAAAAAGGGGAGAGUCCUAAAGGGGGAAGGCACCUCCGAGGUGCCUUGGGGAGGAUGGACUCCUCCCCACCCUUGGCCGCACCCUUCCUUGGAGGAAGGGGCAAGGCUGCGCCCUCCCCCUCUCCCUUGGCCCUAUAUAUAGUGGGGAAAAGGAGGAGCAACAAUACCUGAGCCUUUGGUGCUUCCCUCUCUCCCCGUUACGUCUCUCUCUCUCGUAGUAUAGGCGAAGCCCUGCUACUGUGACGCCCUGCAUCCACCACCACGCCGUCAUGCUGAUGAAUCUUCCUCAACCUCUCCCUCUCUCCUUGCUGGAUCAAGGCGUGGGAGACGUCAUCGGUCUGUACGUGUGUUGAACGCGGAGGUGCCGUGCGUUCGGCACUUGAUCAUCGGUGAUUUGAAUCACGACGAGUACGACUCCAUCAACCCCGUUCACUUGAACGCUUCCGCUUAGCGAUCUACAAGGGUAUGUAGAUGCACUCUCUUUCUACUCGUUGCUGGUCUCUCCAUAGAUAGAUCUUGGUGACACGUAGGAAAAUUUUGAAUUUCUGCUACGUUCCCCAACAGUGGCAUCAUGAGCUAGGUCUAUUGCGUAGAUUCUUUGCACGAGUAGAACACAAAGUAGUUGUGGGCGUUGAUGUUGUUCAAUAUGCUUACCGUUACUAGUCCAAUCUUGUUUCGACGGUAUUGUGGGAUGAAGCGGCCCGGACCGACCUUACACGUACUCUUACGUGAGACAGGUUCCACCGAUUGACAUGCACUUGGUGCAUAAGGUGGCUAGCGGGUGCCAGUCUCUCCCACUUUAGUCGGAACGGAUUCGAUGAAAAGGGUCCUUAUGAAGGGUAAAUAGCAAUUGGCAUAUCACGUUGUGGUCUUGCGUAGGUAAGAAACAUUCUUGCUAGAAACCCAUAGCAGCCACGUAAAACAUGCAAACAACAAUUAGAGGACGUCUAACUUGUUUUUGCAAGGUAUGCUAUGUGAUGUGAUAUGGCCAAGAAGAAUGUGAUGAAUGAUAUGUGAUGUAUGAGAUUGAUCAUGUUCUUGUAAUAGGAUUCACGACUUGCAUGUCGAUGAGUAUGACAACCGGCAGGAGCCAUAGGAGUUGUCUUUAUUUAUUGUAUGACCUGUGUGUCAUUGAAGAACGCCAUGUAAACUACUUUACUUUAUUGCUAAACGCGUUAGUCAUAGAAGUAGAAGUAGUCGUUGGCGUGACAACUUCAUGAAGACACGAUGAUGGAGAUCAUGGUGUCGUGCCGGUGACGAUGAUGAUCAUGGAGCCCCGAAGAUGAAGAUCAAAAGGAGCAAAAUGAUAUUGGCCAUAUCAUGUCACUAUUUGAUUGCAUGUGAUGUUUAUCAUGUUUAUGCAUCUUGUUUACUUAGGACGACGGUAGUAAAUAAUAUGAUCCCUUACAAAAUUUCAAGAAGUGUUCUCCCCUAACUGUGCACCGUUGCUAUAGUUCGUCGCUUCUAAGCACCACGUGAUGAUCGGGUGUGAUGGAUUCUUACGUUCACAUACAACGGGUGUAAGACAGUUUUACACAGCGAAAACACUUAGGGUUAACUUGACGAGCCUAGCAUGUGCAGACAUGGCCUCGGAACACAGAGACCGAAAGGUCGAGCAUGAGUCGUAUGGUAGAUACGAUCAACAUGAAGAUGUUCACCGAUGAUGACUAGUCCGUCUCACGGGAUGAUCGGACACGGCCUAGUUGACUCGGAUCAUGUGAUCACUUAGAUGACCAGAGGGAUGUCUAUCUAAGUGGGAGUUCAUAAGAUGAACUUAAUUAUCCUGAACAUAGUCAAAAGACCUUUUGCAAAUUAUGUCGUAAGCUCGCGCUUUAGUUCCACUGUUUAGAUAUGUUCCUAGAGAAAAUAUAGUCAAAAGUUAAUAGUAGCGAUUAUGCGAUCAGUAGAAAGCUUAUGUCCUUAAUGCACCGCUCAGUGUGUUGAACCCCAACAUCGUUUGUCGAUGUUGCGAACAUCGGACAUACACGUUUUGAUAACUACGUGAUAGUUCAAUUAAAUGGUUUAAGUAGAGGCACCAAAGACGUUUUCGAAACGUCGUGGAACAUAUGAGAUGUUUCGAGGGCUGAAAUUGGGAUUUCAGGCUCAUGCCCACGUCAAGAGGUAUAAGACCUCCGACGAUUUUCUUAGCCUGCAAACUAAGGGAGAAAAGCUCAAUUGUUGAGCUUGUGCUCAGAUUGUCUGAGUGCAACAAUCACUUGAAUCGAGUGGGAGUUGUUCUUCCAGAUGAGAUAGUGAUGUUUCCCCAAAGUCAUUGCCACCAAGCUGCUAGAGCUUCGUGAUGAACUAUAACAUAUCAGGGAUAGAUAUGAUGAUCCUUGAAAUAUUCGUGACGUUUGACACCGCGAAAGUAGAAAUCAAUAAGGAGCAUCAAUUGUUGAUGGUUGGUGAAACCACUAGUUUCAAGAAGGGCAAGGGCAAGAAGGGAUACUUCAUGAAACGGCAAUUCAGCUGCUGCUCUAGUGAAGAAACCCAAGGUUGAACCCAAACCCGAGACUAAGUGCUUCUGUAAUAAAGGGAACAGCCACUGGAGCAGAAUUACCCUAGAUACUUGGUAGAUGAGAAGGCUGACAAGGUCGAUAGAAGUAUAUUGGACAUACAUUAUGUUAAUGUGUACUUUACUAGUACUCCUAGUAGCACCAGGGUAUUAGAUACCGGUUCGGUUGCUAAGUGUUAGUAACUCGAAAUAAAAGCUACGGAAUAAACGGAGACUAGCUAAAGGUGAGCUGACGAUAUGUGUUGGAAAUGUUUCCAAUGUUGAUAUGAUCAAGCAUCGCACGCUCCCUCUACCACCCAGAUUGGUGUUUGCGUUGAGCAUAGACAUGAUUGGAUUAUGUCUAUCGCAAUACGGUUAUUCAUUUAAGGAGAAUAAUGGUUACUCUAUUUUUGAAUAAUACCUUCAAUGGUCUUGCACCUAAAGGAAUGGUUUAUUGAUUCUCGAUCAUAGUGAUACACAUUUUCAUGCCAAAAGAUAUAAGAUAGUAAUGAUAGUACCACUUACUUGUGGCACUGCCAUGUAAGUCAUAAUGGUAUAAAACGCAUGAAGAAGCUCCAUGUUGAUGGAUCUUUGGACUCACUCAUUUUUGAAAAGUUUGAGACAUGCGAACCAUGUCUAUUGGGGUAUAUGCAUGAAGAAACUCCAUGCAAAUGGACCGUUUGGACUCUCUUGAUUUUGAAUCACUUGAGAUAUGCAAAUCAUACCACAUGGGCAAGAUGACUGAAAAGCCUCGUUUUCAGUGAGAUGGAACAAGAUAGCAACUUGUUGGAAGUAACACAUUUUUGAUGUGUGCAGUCCAAUGAGUGCUGAGGCAUGCAGUGAAUAUUGUUAUGUUCUUACUUCACAGAUGAUUCGAGUAGAUGUUGAGAAUAUUUAUUUGAUGAAACACAAGUCUGAAUUAUUGAAUGGUUCAAGUAAUUUCAGAGUGAAGCAGAAGAUCAUUGUGACAAGAGGAUAAAAUGUCUAUGAUAUGAUCAUAGAGAUGAAUAUCUGAGUUACGAGUUUUGGCACACAAUUAAGACAUUGUGGAAAUUGUUUCGCAAUUAAUACCGCCUGGAACACCAUAGUGUGAUGGUGUGUCCGAACAUCAUAGUUGCACCCUAUUGGAUAUGGUGCAUACCAUGAUGUCUCUUAUUGAAUUACCACUAUUGUUCAUGGGUUAGGCAUUAGAGACAACCACAUUCACUUUAAAUAGGGCACCACAUAAUUCCGUUGAGAUGACACCGUAUGAAUUAUGGUUUAGAGAAACCUAAGUUGUCGUUUCUUAAAGGUUUGGGGCUGCGACGCUUAUGUGAAAAAGUUUCAGGAUUAAGCUCGAACCCAAAGCGGAUAAAAUACAUCUUCAUAGGACACCCAAAACAGUUGGGUAUACCUCCUAAUUCAGAUCUGAAAGCAAUAUGAAUUGUUUCUAGAAUCGGGUCCUUUCUCGAGGAAAAGUUUCGCUCGAAAGAGUUGAGUGGGAGGAUGGUGGAGACUUGAUGAGGUUAUUGAACCAUCACUUCAACCAGUGUGUAGCAGGGCACAGGAAGUUGUUCCCGUGGCACCUACACCAAUUGAAGUGGAAGCUUGUGAUAUUGAUCAUGAAGUUUCGGAUCAAAUCACUGCCAUACUGCGUAGGGUGACAAGGAUACGUACUACUUCAGAAUGGUACGUAAUCCUGUCUUGAAGGUCAUGUUGCUAGACAACAAUGAACCUACGAGCUAUGGAGAAGCGAUGGUGGGCCCAAAUUCCGACAAAUGGUUAGAAGCCAUGAAAUCCGAGAUAGGAUCCAUGUAUAAAACAAAGUAUAGACUUUGGAAGAACUACUUGAUGGUCGUAAGGCUGUUGAGUACAGAUGGAUUUUAAAGGAAGACGGACGAUGAUGGUAAAUGUCACCAUUAAGAAAGAUCGACUUGUCGUUAAGAUGUUUUCUGACAAGUUCAAGGAGUUGACUACGGUGAGAUUUUCUCACUCGUAGCGAUGCUAAGAGUCUGUUGGAAUUAUAUUAGCGAUUACUGCAUUAUUUAUGAAAUCUUGCAGAUAGGAUGUCAAAACAUUGUUUCCUCGACGAUUUUCUUGAGGAAAGGUUGUAUGUGAUACAACCGGAAGGUUUUGUCAAUCCCGAAAGAUGCUAAUAAGUAUGCAAAGCUCCAGCAAUCCUUCUAAGGACUGGAGUGAGCAUCUCGGAGUUGGAAUGUAUGCUUUGAUGAUGAUCAAAGAUUUUGGGUUUGUACAAAGUUUAUGAGAAACUUGUAUUUCCAAAGAAGUGAGUGGGAGCACUAUAGAAUUUCUGAUGAGUAUAUGUUGUUGACAUAUUGUUGAUCAGAAAUGACGUAGAAUUUCUGGAAAGCAUAUAGGGUUAUUUUGAAAGUGUUUUUCAAUGGAAAGCCUGGAUUAAGCUACUUGAACAUUGAGCAUCAAGAUCUAUAAGGAUAGAUCAAAAUGCUUAAUAAUACUUUCAAAUGAGCACAUACCUUGACAUGACCUUGAAGGUGUUCAAGAUGGACCAGUCAAAGAAGGAGUUCUUGCCUGAGUUGUAAGGUACGAAGUUAAGACUUAAAGCUCGACCACGGCAGAAUAGAGAGAAAGGACGAAGGUCGUCCCCUAUGCUUAAGACGUAGGCUCUUCAGUAUGCUAUGCUGUGUACCGCACCUGAAGUGUGCCUUGCCAUGAGUCAGUCAAGGGGUACAAGAGUGAUCCAAGAAUGGCUCACAGGACAGCGGUCAAAGUUAUCCUUAGUAACUAGUGGACUAAGGAAUUUUCUCGAUUAUGGAGGUGGUAAAAGAGUUCGUCGUAAAGGUUACGACGAUGCAAGCUUGACACCUAUCUGGAUAGCUCUGAGUAGAGAGACCGGAUACAUAUAAUGGAGCAAUAAUUUAGAAUAGCUCCAAGUAGAACGGUUGUUUGGAAUAGCUCCAAAUAGAGCGUGGUAGCUGCAUCUAGGAGAUGACAUAGAGAUUUGUAAAGCACACACGGAUCUGAAAGGUUCAGACCCAUUGACUAAAACCUCUCUCACAAGCAACAUGAUCAAACAUAAAACUCAUUGAGUGUUAAUCACAUAGUGAUGUGAACUAGACUACUGACUCUAGUAAACUCUUGGGUAUUAGUCACAUGGCGAUCUGACCUGUGAGUGUUAAUCACAUGGCAAUGUGAACUAGAUUAUUGACUCUAGUGCAAGUGGGAGACUGUUGGAAAUAUGCCCUAGAGGCAAUAAUAAAAGUAUUAUUAUUAUAUUUCCUUGUUCAUGAUAAUUGUCUUUUAUUCAUGCUAUAACUGUAUUAUCCGGAAAUCGUAAUACACGUGUGAAUACAUAGACCACAAUAUGUCCCUGGUGAGCCUCUAGUUGACUAGCUCGUUGUGAUCAACAGAUAGUCAUGGUUUCCUGGCUAUGGACAUUGGAUGUCGUUGAUAACGGGAUCACAUCAUUAGGAGAAUGAUGUGAUGGACAAGACCCAAUCCUAAGACUAGCACAAAAGAUCAUGUAGUUCAUUUGCUAGAGCUUUGCCAAUGUCAAGUAUCUCUUCCUUUGACCAUGAGAGCGUGUAACUCCUGGAUACCGUAGGAGUGCUUUGGGUGUAUCAAACGUCACAACGUAACUGGGUGACUAUAAAGGUGCACUACAGGUAUCUCCGAAAGUAUCUAUUGUUUUAUGCGGAUCGAGACUGGGAUUUGUCACUCUGUGUAAACGGAGAGGUAUCUCUGGGCCCACUCGGUAGGACAUCAUCAUAUGCGCAAUGUGCCCAAGGAGUUGAUCACGGGAUGAUGUGUUACGGAACGAGUAAAGUGACUUGCCGGUAACGAGAUUGAACAAGGUAUUGGAUACCGACGAUCGAAUCUCGGGCAAGUAACAUACCGAUAGACAAAGGGAAUUGAAUACGGGAUUGAUUAAGUCCUUGACAUCGUGGUUCAUCCGAUGAAGAUCAUCGUGGAACAUGUGGGAGCCAUCAUGGGUAUCCAGAUCCCGCUGUUGGUUAUUGACCGGAGAACGUCUCGGUCAUGUCUGCAUGUCUCCCGAACCCGUAGGGUCUACACACUUAAGGUUCGGUGACGCUAGGGUUAUGAAGAUAUGUGUAUGCAGUAACCCGAAUAUUGUUCGGAGUCCCGGAUGAGAUCCCGGACGUCACGAGGAGUUCCGGAAUGGUCCGGAGGUAAAGAAUUAUAUAUAGGAAGUGCUAUUUCGGCCAUCGGGACAAGUUUCGGGGUCAUCGGUAUUGUACCGGGACCACCGGAAGGGUCCCAAGGGUCCACCGGGUGGGGCCACCUGCCCCGGGGGGCCACAUGGGCUGUAGGGGGUGCGCCUUGGCCUACAUGGGCCAAGGGCACCAGCCCCAAGAGGCCCAUGCGCCAAGAGAAGAGAAAAAGGGGAGAGUCCUAAAGGGGGAAGGCACCUCCGAGGUGCCUUGGGGAGGAUGGACUCCUCCCCACCCUUGGACGCACCCUUCCUUGGAGGAAGGGGCAAGGCUGCGCCCUCCCCCUCUCCCUUGGCCCUAUAUAUAGUGGGGAAAAGGAGGAGCAACAAUACCUGAGCCUUUGGUGCUUCCCUCUCUCCCCGUUACGUCUCUCUCUCUCGUAGUAUAGGCGAAGCCCUGCUACUGUGACGCCCUGCAUCCACCACCACGCCGUCGUGCUGCUGAAUCUUCCUCAACCUCUCCCUCUCUCCUUGAUGGAUCAAGGCGUGGGAGACGUCAUCGGGCUGUACAUGUGUUGAACGCGGAGGUGCCGUGCGUUCGGCACUUGAUCAUCGGUGAUUUGAAUCACGACGAGUACGACUCCAUCAACCCCGUUCACUUGAACGCUUCCGCUUAGCGAUCUACAAGGGUAUGUAGAUGCACUCUCUUUCUACUCGUUGCUGGUCCCUCCAUAGAUAGAUCUUGGUGACACGUAGGAAAAUUUUGAAUUUCUGCUACGUUCCCCAACAUAUCUCUGCUUAAAACUCUUUGUUGCUAGCCUUGCCUUAUAUUUGUCAAUCUGACCACUUGCUUUCCUUUUAAUUCUAUACACCGACCUACAAUCAAUAACAUUUUUAUUUUUUGUUGGUGGGACUAAGUGCCAUGUUUUGUUUUUAAGAAGAGCGUCAUACUCAUCAUUCAUAGGCUUUUUCCAAUUUGUAUCACUCAAAGCUUCCUGCAAGCUAUUGGGUUCGCUAGUAGUUGUCAGCCCACCAAAAUGUACUUUGAGCUUAUCAUACCUGACAAUACCAUCUGUACGAACUUGAGGUUUUAUAAUACCAUGUUGUGACCUUGUUCGUCGAGUCGGUACAUCAGAAGCUGCAGAUGCAUGUGGCACAAAAGAUCCAGUGGAGAGGUGAACACCCGCAUGCGAUCUCGUGUCGGAUCUGUUGUUAGCGACAAAGGAUCCCCCAUCCUGUCAGGGCAGAUGCGCGGCGCCAGAGGAGGCACGCACGGCUCCCUCGCUCGAUUGGUUCACCUGGCGGUCAGCAAGAGGCGAACCACGUUGCCCGGGUUGGUGCGGCUGUCCAUGUGCCACGUGGUUGCCUGGGAAUGGCUCGGGCGGGGACACGCUGUCGGGCGAAUCGGUGUCGGUGUCAAAACUGGCGGAUCUUGGGUAGGAGGUCCCGAACUGUGCGUCUAAGGCUAAUGGUAACAGGAGGCGGGGGACACAAUGUUUACCCAGGUUUGGGCCCUCUCGAUGGAGGUAAUACCCUACUUCCUGCUUGAUUGAUCUUGAUGAUAUGAGUAUUACAAGAGUUGAUCUACCACGAGAUUGUAGAGGCCAACCCCUAGAAGCUAGCCUAUGAUUAUGAUUGUUGUUGUCCUACGGGCUAAACCCUCCGGUUUAUAUAGACACCGGAGGGGGCUAGGGUUACACAGAGUCGGUUAUAGAGAAGGAAAUCUACAUAUCCGAAUUGCCAAGCUUGCCUUCCACGCAAACGAGAGUCCCAUCCGGACACGGGACGAAGUCUUCAAUCUUGUAUCUUCAUAGUCCAACAGUCCGGCACAAGUACAUAGUCCGGCUGUACAUGAUGAGAGACUUACUCAGCCACUCUUCUUCAGUACAUAAAUAUCAUUUAUCCUGUUGCCUUUUAUGCUCAUAUAUGUUGCCUCUUAGGCGCCCCAUCUUGUUCUCACUCUAUUGGUAGUUUUCAUAAUCAUGCAAGAACUGCCAUCUCUGCAUGUCAAGAAUCAAGUCAGAGUCAUUGCAACUCAGGUCCAAGAAAUGGAUAGAGAAAGUGAAGAUUCUACUAUCUUGUAAGAGUAGCUUCAGUUUCUGAUUCCUGGGUACAUAUGCCUUUGUUAUUGUACUAAAGGUCGAAUGUCCAACAACAACUCACCUUCUUUUUCAGAAUCCUUUGACACACACUAUAAGUUGCCGACCAAAAUCUUUGAGCAUGCACAUCUAGCAUAAACAAUUAUACCUUGGUCUAAUCGACCUGCAUGAUGACACCGGUAAAAUCUAAGAUCACAUAUGACAAUAACGAUGGCGUGCAGACUAUCACCAAUAGGAUACCUUCUAAAACAUCACAUUAGAUUACUAAAUGCAAGUCUAAAAUGCAACACGCACUGGACCAAUAGGUUGCUGGCUCAAUACGUCAGUAUUUAGUGCUGGAGGUAGCUGAUUGGAUUUAAUUGUUUGUCCAUCAACCACCUUUAACUAGGAAAUAAGUCAGAAGAAGGCAAGCAAAUUUACUUUGACGGAAACCUCAAAGAAACAGCAUCCUGCAAAAUCCAAAAUAAAGACGAUCCCCAUAAGAAAUAUAGGAAAGAUCAAUUAUACCAUCGACAAAGAAGACUACAAAAGAUGAUCUUUGAUGGAAACCACAAAGAAACAAUAUGUGCAUGCUAAAUGUUUAGAUAUAAGCAACAUUGUCUGAUAGCAAAAUCAAGAAGCUACUGUUUGAUCCGGACAAAUAAAAGCAUGUGCAUGCCAAAAGCUAAAUGCCUAAAUUAAACCAAAACAAAAAGUUUCAAAGGACAAAGCUUAAUCCAGUGUGUCAAAGGAUACCACGGAACACAUGUUUUCACCAGCCAAGAACCAUCAUCAUGUCACAUUUGAUUUAGAAUAAAAAAAUGCCAAUCCAGACACAUAGCAUACGGGCAAGUACCGAGAUCGACAACGACAAGACGCCAAGAGAGAGGUAACACAACAUUUUUUCGAAAGUAUUUCCAGUCCUAGUGGAACAAUACCAGUCUAAAAUAUCACAUGCAAUGGUUAAUAGCAUGCGUAUAGACCUUACAUUUUUGGGCAUAUACCAAAAGUAUGUUCAUUUACCGAGCUAGCAACAUUUUCUGAAUCUUGAUAAGGAAUCAUGCAUAAGUAAAAAGUGAAGCGGGGAAACUUACAAAAGGAUCAACAACAACCUUCCCCUCCGCCAUGAAUGUCUUAACCAUCGUCUCCAAGUUUCUUCUUAAGCAAAUAGUCACAGAUGUGUACAUCAAACCUGCACCAUAAGAAACAGGAUCAACCCAAAAUCAAAUGUGCUACCCUUUUUAGACACCUAAUUAGCAUGGCUGGGAAGGAGCGGCGGCAGGGACGAGAGGGAGAGGCGACAUGGACGAGAGGAAGAGGCGUCGUGGGGUGAAAAAUCAGAUCUUGGGCAACGACAGCGAGAUGCGGGCGAGGAGAGAUGCGGUUGAGGGAGGCGAACGGAGAUGCAGAGGUGAGCUGCGGUGCGGGUGACACGACGGAGGCGAGCGGCGGUGCGGGCAACCCAAUGGAGGCGAGCAGUAGUGCGGGCGGCAGAGGCGAGAGAGUGGGAGUGCGGUAGUGCGGGCGGCCUCCUGCGGGCGUCGAGAGAGGAGGCUGGUCACUGGAGGUGCGGCCAACGGUUCCUGCGCUCAUCCUGUCGGUCGUGAUGCGCCAGCCCCGCCUGGCGCUCCUCUCGGGGAUGGCAAUGGCGACGGUGAGUAGUGGCAGCGGCACCGAGGCUGAGCGCGAGGGAGAAGGGGUGGUUGCCGGAGGGAUGGCCAGCGGUUCCUGCCUCGUCGAUGGUGAUGCGGGUGCACGCGAGGACGACGACGACGCCGGGGUCGCCCCUUGCUGUGUCCAGGGGAGGAGGCUGGGGCUACGCGAGGAGGAGCGGCGGCUCAAGGAGGAGCGACGUGGCGCGUUGGGGAAGGAAGAACGCGGGCGCGGGAGCCGCCGCCGCCGUUGCCAGAUGAAGAGCGAGCGAGUGAAGGAGACGACUGCGUGGGAGGGAGGGAGGGAGGCGGCUGCAGGAGCGAGCAAAGGAGGAGGCGGCUAGGUCUCCGUCAAAGGAGCGGCCCCCUUUAUACCCCACUACGCGAAAUGACCGAAAUGCCCUGGUGGGGGCACGGUAUUUACACGGUUGCCAUUGGAAUUUUUAUCCGACGGCUCACAGCGAUAUUGUAAAUAUCCGACGCCUCACGUGAGCCGAGCCUGAGAUCCGACGGCCCGAAUUGCAUCAGGAAACCGAUCCGACGACUGAGAAUCCAAACGCACGGGGAGGCUCCAUUUUGCUUCGGACUCUAACAAGGGGAUUCUUUGGAGGUCAAAGCUCGCAUUUUUAUCCGCUGGAUCUGCAGGAACGACGACGAUGAUGCCGGCGCAUCCGGGCUCUUCGUCGACCUUCCCGUGCUGGAGGCCGACACUGCCGGCUUCUCCUGGAAUCUCUGUUGCUGCUCAAGGUGUUGCAUCUCCUCCGCGGUCUCCCUCCUCGGCUGCUGCGCCUCCUCCGCGGCUGGGCGCCAGGGCAGUUGGGAAUCAAACGAAGAGGUCAAGGGGAACCACAACGGUGAGACGCGACGCUAAGGAGUAAGACGGCCGGAUCUGGAGCUUAAGGCCCUUCACCGCGCUUGUGUUCGUCAGAUUGCAAGGUCAGUCUACUCUGACCAAUCUCGCCCAAUUAUCUGUACUCCCUCAAUUAUCUGCCAAGUACUCCUGUUGAAAUGAGGAAUCAUCUUGAUCCUACAGAUUACCAUCCUCUCGAUUGUGGCCUGGCGGAAAUCAUCUGGAUCCGGCUAGUUUGUACUUAGGCACUAGUGUUGCUCUGCUCUUUUUCCUUGUGAUGCUUGAGUACUGAAGAAAUUGUUUGGAUAAUAUGCACUUUUCUUUUGCUUAUGCUCUUCUGAGAUUGGCUAGUUACUGUUUGGGGAGUAGAUGUAGUGUGUCGUAAUUUGCAAGUGAAUCACUGUGUAUAUCAGUGCUAAAUACAGUUACAAGCACAAUCCUACUAAUGCUUGUACACUGAAACAAUUGGUCAUCUCAAGGUCAAAUAUCAAGAAGAGCUUCUUGUCAUUAGUCAAAAUUUUCAUCAUCUCAAGGUCAAAUUUUAGAGUACUUGGUCUGACAUUUACUUUGUCUGCUGUAGUAAGCCCUGGAGUUGUACAGAGGAGAGGAAGAGGCAGUCACUGAGGGCGUGCUACGUCUACGGGCUCAUCUUCUUCGCCAUCAACCCGCACAGAGUAAGCAUCUGCUUGUUUAAGCUGGGUAAAGUGGUCGCCGUCUAAAUCAUGAGACACAUCAUCGACAGAGUGUUUUGUAGAGACCAUCAAUGAAAACCCAGUAAUUCGUUUGUCGAUCCAUCGUGCAUCCUUCUGAUGCUAGCUAGUCAGGUGCGAAGUGGAUCCUCUAACAUGAAGAAGAGAAGUCACCUAAGCUACAAUUCCCUAACUUCCCUCCUCCGCAUCAGUCAGGUGGUGCAUGUGUACACUUGUUCACUCCUUGUAAACACGAUCAACACGCCGGAUCACCAUUGCAAUUAAGUGCCUUCUGAAAUUAGGGGAGUAACAAUGAUGAUGAUACAAACUUGUAAGCCACAACAAAUUCUGCUUCUGCAAAAAAGAAAACCAUGUCUGCCUCUGUUUUGGAGAAUAAAACAUGAAGGAGAAAGAUUGUGUGUGUGUGGAUGACAAUGAAGCAGAUGGAGUAUAUCUUCCGGAGUAGUAACUUAUGCAUCUUACUCACUUGACUGUUUAAAUAUCUUGUACCGUAACCAUAUCAAAGUUGCAAAUUAAUUUGUUUGUCUGAAUAAACGUUUCGCAAUUCUGCAGCAGCGCUGCUGUCGGAGUCGUCGGUGGAUGAGACGCCCACGCCACCAGCGGUAUAAAUAUAUAGUGUUUGGCAACAAUAAAUAUACAAGUAUAUAAUUUGUGGCAGCAAUAAAAACAUACUCCAAACAUAAUCUGUGGCAACAAUAAAAAACACUCCAAACAAUACACACAUACUCCAACGGAGUAGACUACACAAUAAUCUGUGGCAACAAACUGGAGUAGGAUCAGUGUCCAAGCAUCUCUAGUGCCUUUGCAUACACUUCAGGAGGAACUGAGAUCCUGGGCGGUAGCAGUCGUAGCCUUUCUAGCCUUUCCUUGUUCAUGUGUGGGAUUUUGUAUUUAUUGGCUCCACCAAUCUUCAUUACUUCGACCAUGCAAGUCUGCAGAGUCUUCGAACAUGUGCUCCCAAUAUUGCAGCCACGUCCUUCUUAUCAGUUCUCUUGAACUUGCCUCCUCUACUCUUAUGGAGGGUUUCCAUGGACAUGUAAACGGCAUAUCUCUGCGCAUCAGUGAGCCAAUUCCUUUGCCUUUGUACUCCUACAAUAGCAAUAGAAUAAUAAAAUUAAUUAUUGCAAGAAUAUUACAAAUUGGUUGAUGGAAAUGUAAACAAGAGGUCAGCAAUAGCAAUAGCAAGUAAUUCCAUAGGAGUAUUUCUUGCUGAAAAUGUUGCUUGAUGUAAAUAUAAACAUAAAUUCUUGAGUUCAAGGUUUCUGCUCUCUCUGUGUAGCCAUGAAUAUUUCCGCUCUCUCUCUGUAGUAUGUACACAUCUCCCCUUUCCCUAGCAAAAAAGAGAAUGCUCUAACUAGUCUAGUCUCUCUAAGUGACCAAGUGGGAGACAUCACACCCACCUGUCUGGUUUAUGCAAGAUCCUCCUAACAAUCUACUGUACUCCAGUAUAAUUUCGAGGUUUAGGAUUGCUAGUAUGAAAAUGGUGUACUUUAUAAAUUUGCAAGAAUUUCAAAUGGAGUACUCCAAAUAUGCAUGCUGUUAAAAUGACAUUAGGAGUACUCCAAAUAUGCAUGCUGUUAAUUAUGAAAAUGGAGUACUCCAAAUAUGCAUGUUAUUAAAUAUGAAAAUACAGUAUAAUUCUGCAAGAACAUUAGGAUUUCGACAUUGAUGAGAAAUGGAGUAGAAUUCUACUGAUCACUAUGCACAAUUAUACUCCAUUAUAUGUUGAAAUCUUAGCAAUCCCUUCCUUCUAUGUCACUUCUCUGUUAUGGACACAAUAUGCACAAUUCUACUCCAUUGAUCAUUCAUCCUGAUAAUGUUCAACAUCAAGGUUUCCAUUUUGACAGGUAAUGUUGCCUUUUUCUUCAGGUUCUCACAAUAGGCACAAUCUGUUAUUGCUUAGCAAUCCUUGAUGUUGAAAAUGGAGUAGAACGUCUAAUGAAGCUUCCUCAUAUGCACUAUUCAGUCUUAGCAAUCCCUUCUUUGUUACUUCUCUGAGGCAUAAUUUGAUGCAAGAUUAAAAGAAAUUAUACCUGUAUUUUGACCAGCAUUGUUGCCUUCUUGAGGUUCUUCGUUGCUUUCUUCAGGUGGAGUGAAAUUGAGGUCUGGGACUACCACGAUUUAUACUGAGCCAAUGAUCUACUGUUGUCACCGUUGAGGAUCUGCUGCUGUUGCUUCUGUUGAGGGCCAAUGAUCUGCUACUGUUGAUGUUGAGGAUCUGUUGCUGUUGCUUCUGUUGAGGGCCAAUGAUUUGCUACUGUGGAUGUUGAGGAUCUGCUGCUGUUGCUUCUAUUGAGGGCCAAUGGUCUGCUGUUGAGGAUCUGCUGCCGAAGGCAAGGAGCUACAGUUGAGGAUCUGCUAGGCAAGGAGCACCGAGCCUGGAGGUGGUCACGCAUGAGAGGAGCUCCUGAUCUUCUCCCCUGGCCCCCGGUGAGCUGGACCUUGCUGGCGACACGGGGAAGAAGGGAGGUGGUUCUGGGCGAGCUUGACCUUGCCGGCGAAGUGCUGCUGGGGCCGGCGGCCGGCGAGGUGCCCUCCUGGGGCCGGCGGCAAGGUUCCUGGAUGAGCAGGAAGCUGGGCAGGGAGGAGGAGAUCCUGGGCGGAGGAAAAUCUGGGCGAGGUGGGCAGGAAGGAGAUCCCGGCGAGGUGGGGGGAGAAGCUGGGCGGCGAGCCGGCGACGCGCUGGGAGGCGAUGCACUUGGCGAAGCGAUCCCGAUGGUUUUUGAAUUUCAAGUUGAUGGAAGGGUAUUGUUGUCCAUUAGCGUUUUUGGGGGGCUGUCAGAAAUCUCCUUCCACGGCCUACAAAAGUGAACGGAGGGAGUACUAUUUUGUCUGGCGGAUAGUGCCGAUGGCAUCAUCCAUGUCUGUCGAAGUGGUGGUCACAUACUGCAGGUAUGCUAGCUCCUCACAAUAAAUACAUAAUUUUAAGUUUGUUACAGUUUAUGGAUGAAACUGGGAAUCACGUUCCACAAGCAUGCCUCAUAGUUAUGCAUAGUUUUUCUGUACAUAUGGUGUGCUGAACUCCUAUUUAAAGACGUUAUCAUUACCCAUCUGAUCCUUCUAUUUGUUAGUUGGUUUCCUGAAUAAAUCAGUUCAGACGAUUAAUUGAUUUGGAGUAGAACAUGUCUUGCAUUUUAAGCUCCCGGCAGUUAUAUUUCAGAUCAAUAUUUGUAGUUGGUUUCCUGAUUAUUGUGUAAAGCAUUUAUUCCAAGCUAAGAAAGCAAAACAGGUUCACAACAUCCGACAUCCGAAGUCUCAUCUGCCCUAAACAGCAGGCAACAAACCAAAAAGAAGAAACGGCCAGACGGAAAACAGAAGAAAGUCUAAAACUGCACUACUUGCAGGCUGUUAGACAACACCUGGAAUCUCCUCUGCAACAAUCUGCAGGAUACAUUCUGGUGGUUCAUCAAGCCACACUUUAUUCAUCUCCAUGCUAACCCCUUCCUUAGCCAUUUGCCGGUCUUCUCACCCAGCUCACCUUGUACUCUUGUCUGGUUCUGAGCAUCUCUUUCACUUCAUCGACGAUUGGACCCAUCGCCGAGAGAUCCUUGCUGCUGUUGUUGAGCAUGGCCACCACCUCUUUGCUAUCGAGUUCUAAGUGAACCUUCUGAAAUCCUUGCUGAAUCGCAAGUUGCAUCGCCUGCCGGCUCGCCAUUAGCUCCAGCAACUGGGGAUCGGAGGUGCUUGGGAGGAACGCACACGCCCCUCCUNNNNNNNNNNNNNNNNNNNNNNNNNNNNNNNNNNNNNNNNNNNNNNNNNNNNNNNNNNNNNNNNNNNNNNNNNNNNNNNNNNNNNNNNNNNNNNNNNNNNNNNNNNNNNNNNNNNNNNNNNNNNNNNNNNNNNNNNNNNNNNNNNNNNNNNNNNNNNNNNNNNNNNNNNNNNNNNNNNNNNNNNNNNNNNNNNNNNNNNNNNNNNNNNNNNNNNNNNNNNNNNNNNNNNNNNNNNNNNNNNNNNNNNNNNNNNNNNNNNNNNNNNNNNNNNNNNNNNNNNNNNNNNNNNNNNNNNNNNNNNNNNNNNNNNNNNNNNNNNNNNNNNNNNNNNNNNNNNNNNNNNNNNNNNNNNNNNNNNNNNNNNNNNNNNNNNNNNNNNNNNNNNNNNNNNNNNNNNNNNNNNNNNNNNNNNNNNNNNNNNNNNNNNNNNNNNNNNNNNNNNNNNNNNNNNNNNNNNNNNNNNNNNNNNNNNNNNNNNNNNNNNNNNNNNNNNNNNNNNNNNNNNNNNNNNNNNNNNNNNNNNNNNNNNNNNNNNCCUCCAGAAUUUUUGCAGAUGGCACACGCCCCUUUAGGAUGCACUUCUCUCCAUCCACUCAUAUGGGCACACACCCUCCUAGCGACUGUUCUUGCAUCGGCUAUCCGUUGGCCGUCCCUCACCUCAUUCCUCGCUAACCACAGCCCGUAAAGAGCUUGGAUCAUCGUCUCCCGUUCCACAUCAGUUGCGUCAGCUAACCAAUCCUGCAUCCAUGACGAGAUAGAGCUGAACGAUCCAUCCAACUCCGGCGGCGUUACAACAGGAGCCUCCAUCUCUUCUCUCAGGGCUCUCCAAAUUUGGGAAUGCGGGCAAGCCCAAAAACGAUGAUAGAUGGACUCGUCCCUACCGCAUGCUACACAGAAGACUCCUCCCUUGAUCCGUCGUCGGUGCAGCUCUGCCCCAACAGCCAAUCCGUUAUGCAUAAGCCGCCAGGUAUGUACCUUCGCCUUGUUCGGUACAUCCGUACUCCAUAGCGCCAGCCACAUCUUAUGCUUCCUGAGCGCUCAUUUUCAAGUGAUAUGCAGACUUUACAGUGAACUGGCCAUUCUUUGUAAACUUCCAUGCAAUUACACCCGGUCCACCAACCACAAUCUGUUUAAUAUCCUGUGCAUCAUCAGGUGAGAACAUUUCAUCAAUUUAUGCAUCAUCCCAUGUAUCUCCCUGUACGUUGAGCAGGUCGGCCACCUUGGUAACACCAUGCAUAUACAACUGACCCAGCGGCUUGAGACUCCCCUGUCUUGGAAUCCAAUUAUCAUGAUGCACAUUGACAGAGGUGCCAUCACCAAUCCUCCACACUAAACCUUCUUGUAACAGGUCUCUUCCAUGCAAAAUGCUCCGGAAAGUGAACGAGGCUCCACUUGGGCACGUAGUCGUCAUAAUUGAUCCCUCCUUGAAGUACCGUGCCUUAAGCACUCUAGCGCAAAGGGAUUCAGGGUUUUGCAAAAUCCUCCAAGCUUGCUUAGCAAGCAACGCUUGGUUGAAAGCCUCCGGGUCCCUACCUCCCUCUCUUCGAAGAGCACAUCUUAUCCCAAGAAAUCCAGUGUACUUUCCUUUCACCAUUUGCGGCACCCCACCAGAAUUUCGAGGAGAUCGAUUUCAGGUUCCGGCACAUCUUCUUUGUGAGUUGAAAACAGCUCAUGGUGUAAGUAGGAGUAGACUGAAGCCCUGACUUAAUAAGAAUCUCUCUUGCAGCCUUCGACAACUCUUGUCCCUUCCAACCAGAGACCUUGCUUGUCGAGCUUUCCCGUACAUACUUGAACGUACCCUCUUUCGAUCUACCAACCAGUGUUGGUAAACCAAGGUACCGUUCACUCAAAGCCUCAGAAGUGAUACCUAUAGCUUGCUUGAGCAUAACUUUAUCCGCAUCUCUGCAUCCUUUCCCAAAGAAUAUGGAUGACUUUUGGAGGUUUACCUUCUGACCCGAGGCCACCUCGUAGUCGGCCUUUGUAGCUGGCCAGUUGCUACCUCUUAAAAUAUAUAUAGAUGUUGCGAACCAACCUGUGGUUGGAUGGUUAGAGGGACUGUGGUAUCCCCAGCCCACCAGGGUUCAAGUCCUGGUGCUUGCAUUUAUUCCUGAAUUUAUUUCAGAAUUUCCGGCGAUGCACAUUCAGUGAGAGGAUACGUUCCCCGAGGUGCUCAUAGGGAUAGGGUGUGCGUUCAUAGGGGUGAGUGUAUGCGUGUAUAUAUGAACGCUUGUGUCUGUACUGAUGUUAAAAAAAAAUAUACAUGUUAAAGUGUGCAUGUUAUCUUCAAAUGAACGAGAUAAUUAAGAGAAGACCAGGAUAACAACAUAAAUCAGCAUAAGCAAAAAUUGUAGUAUAAUAUUAAAUAGUACAUAAAAAUGACGCACUCAUAUCUGUUUCUCUUAACAUGUCUUUCAUAAUGAAGAUCUAAGCUUAUGGAGUGUACUUCUACAUGUAAAAAAAAAUCUUAAGCUUUAGAGUGCACUUUUCAUUAUUUUUUCUAAUCGAGCUCAAAGGAGGCACUUAGGUUAGGAAGCACCCAAGAUUUUACUCACAGUACUAACAAAAGGAAAGAUACAUUUAUCGCAAUAGAAAUACAUUUAUCAUUUAAAAGCAAGGUAUGUUACAUAUUUGUUUUCAGUGAUUAAGACAUGGCUUGCAGAAACUCAAUUAGUAAAUUUACAAAGAAAGAAAAAAUUGUCAUUUUGGCGUGUAAUAUUUUUUCCUUUCAUUAAGACAUGGCUUGGGGAAACUCAUUAAUACGUGAGUACAGCUUACAAUCCAUGCAUGUAUGAUGCAUUUCCCUGAUUACUUUCGAUACAUGGAAAUAAAUAAUCUGUUGACUUGAAUGACCGGCCGCUGAUUGCUAUGCAGCACCUUUUAUUUGACGAUUCGGUUUGCCAUCCUUCCUUGUUUGCUUAAUAGUACUACCAAAGGAGGGGAUUAGCAUUUGGCGGGCAAACAGUCCGCCACCACGUUUUGGUUUCCCGCCACUGUGUUGUAUAUAUAUAUGAGCGCGCGCACGUCCGAUCAACACACCACCACAUCAGCCUAACAUAACAAGUAAUUCCAUGGCCGCCCCCAAGGAGACUGUAGUCAUUGACUCCGAAGAUGAGGACGACCAAGUCAAUGGCGCCUCCUAUGCCAAGGCCGUGUCCACGGCCGCUUCGUUCGUUGCUGCUAGCACCAACGGUGGCGACUCCCACGGCAACGGCGGCUCGGGCGGCAGCAACUCCCACGGCAACGGCAACGGCACCGGCGGCGACAACUCCGACUCCGACAACGCUUCCUCGGCCGCACCAAGUCGGCCGAAGCAGAGGCUACCGUACAAUUACUGGCAUAGCCAGGAUGUUGUUCGGCUUCUGAAAACCGCUACAAAGCUGCAAGAGGAUUACGACAAAGCGCGCGUACCUGCAUCCACACUUCUAGAGGAGUUCCUCAAGGGCGGGAAGCCGUUCCGCCGUGGUAAGCUCACAUCACGCAACAUCACCUCCAAGAUGAAUUAUUCACGGAGGAUAUUUGUUGAUAUGUGCACGGAAGAUCGCGAACGUAAGUUUCGGCAAGUGCGCACUGAGAGUGAAAAAGUAUUCUUCGAAUGUUGCAAAGAGUUAUGGCCCGAGGUCGUGGAGCAAGCCCGUGGUGAAGUUAAGAGAUGCAGGAGAUCACGUGCUACUAAAAAAAAGUAGGCAGACCCACAGGCACAAGCACAAGCACAGGGGUCUAGUUCGUCCAGUUUAAUCAUCAUGGGUACUUUUUUUGUUUCUGCGAGUUUCUUUCUUUCUUGAAUGAGGUGUUUUUCUUUCAGAUAUAAUCGUUUGCCAGAAGAAAUAAAUAUUUACUAGUAUCGUGUGAGUUUUUGUGGUCAAUGUGUGUGUAUUGGCCACAGGAAACAAUAUGUAAUGCUUUUGUAGAUUGAUCGCUAUGACUUUGUGUCACAGUUUCUCUCAACUUUCUCAAGUACGUAACAUAUAUCUAUCCCAUUCUGUUCUUUUUUUUGACAGAAAGCAUAAUACAGGUCAUAAAUAAAGAAAUAGCCUAGAUACUAAAUCCCACAAUAAUCAGAAACAUCUGACCACCAAUUUAACAGGCAAGUUAAUCAC
rnacentral:lncRNA from 1 species